AGGGUAACUCUUUUAUGGGUCAUCUCAAUCUUCCAUCUCAUCCGAAUCCAAACAUAUCCUUUGUUGAUAUAUCUGACAACAAAAUACAAGGUCCAAUUCCAGCAAACAUUUGUUCAAUCUUUCCACAACUAAAUGGGUUAAACCUAGCAGGCAAUUCCCUUCAAGGUAAUAUUCCUCCUUGUCUGGGUAGUUUGACCACUUCGAAUUUAUUAUUAGAUCUGUCACAUAAUCAGCUAUCUGGAGGAAUACCAGAAAUAUUAGCUCAAAGUGACUCGUUGAGGUUUCUUAGGCUAUCAAAUAAUCAUCUAAGUGGAAAGAUAACCCCAACGAUCUUUUGCUCAACUUCAUUACGAUUGCUAUAUUUAGAUGGCAAUAACUUUGAUGGAAAUAUACCUAGCAUUGAUAUCUCAACUUUCCUUUCAUAUUCCCUUGUUGAUAUGGAUUUAAGUAACAAUAAUUUGUCCGGAGAGCUCCCAAGAUGGAUAUUGAAUGUGUCAAAUUUAAUGGCAUUGGCAGUAUCUAACAAUCAGCUCAAGGGUCUCAUUCCGAUGGAAUUGUGCUAUUUGGAUUCCCUUAGAAUUUUGGACCUUUCAGAAAAUAAAUUUUCUGGCCCAAUACCAUCUUGCUUCGGCACACAAUUUAUCAUACAUCUCCAUUUGAGCAAAAAUAGAUUAAGUGGCACCUUGACAAAUGCAUUCUUUAAUAGCUCUUCCUUGGUGACUUUAGAUCUUAGUGAAAAUCAGUUGAGUGGAGAAAUUCCAUACCAGAUUGGAACUCUUUCUGCUUUGAGUGUUCUCCUUCUAAAAGCCAAUUAUUUUAUUGGAGAAAUUCCCAUUGAGAUAUGCAAAUUAUAUUCUUUAAGUAUCAUUGAUCUUUCUCAAAACAAGCUUUUUGGUCUGAUACCUUCUUGUUUGAGUCGUUUAACUCUUGAUCCAAAUGAUGAAAAAUCUUCAACAAAUAUCUAUGUGGAGGGCUUUGGAGGAAUCUUUGAGCCGGGUAAUUACUUUGGAAUGACUGAAUUUGAAUUUCUCACUUUAAGAGGAUACGAGUCAUUAGAUGUAGAUUUCGAAAUUGAGAAUCAAAUGGAAGAAAAGGUGGAUUAUACAACAAAAAGAGCAUCUUACACAUACAAGGGAAACAUUCUUAAAUACAUGUCGGGAAUUGAUUUAUCAUGCAAUAGAUUAACAGGUGAAAUCCCCAUAGAGAUUGGAAAUUUGAGUGAAAUCCGAUCACUAAACUUGUCGCACAACAAUUUGACUGGACAUAUACCGUCAACGUUCUCAAAGCUCAAGCAAAUUGAGAGUUUGGACCUGUCUCACAACAACUUAAUUGGAAGAAUCCCUGUUCAAUUAACGGAGUUGUACACCUUAGCAGUCUUCAAUGUGUCACACAACAACUUGUCAGGGAGUAUUCCGUCUCCAAAAGCUCAAUUUGGAACCUUUGAUGAAAGCAGUUAUGUGGAGAAUCCUUUUCUCUGCGGGCCUCCCCUGCAUAAAAAUUGCAGCGACCUUGAUUCACCCCCGACAACAGCACCAAAGAGCUCAAACGAGGAAGAAGAAAGUGGUUUGAUGGACAAGUAUGUUUUCUGGGUGACCUUUUUUGUUUCUUACGUGAUUGUGUUACUGGUUAUUGUUCUCAUCCUGUAUAUAAAUCCUUAUUGGCGACAAGCAUGGUUUUCUUUUGUUGAACACUGCAUCAAGACUUGUCAGUACUUUCUUCUGCGAUUUUCCAUCUUCAAAAGGAGUGGGUAGCCUUGUAUUUUGGUGGUUUACAUUUGUAUGUAAUUUUCAUCACUCUUUUUUUAUUUUUCAAAGUUUGAUUGGAUUAUCUGCUUCUAAGUUUUUAGAGCUAGAAUGCAAUAUAUCUGUUAUGGAAAGCAAUAUAUAAAGUUAUGCAUUUUCAAUUAAAACAUUUAAUAUUGCUUUAUAAUUUUUAGUGUUCUGAUAAGAUGAUGUUAAAUUCAACAUAUUGUAGCAUAUAUAUUAAUAAAACCUAUAUUCAUCUAUACAAAUUUUUUAGUCAACCAAACCAUUGAUGUGGUGGCAAAAACUUCACAUUGUUUUCAAGUCUUCAUUGACAUUAGGUUGAGGUUUCAAACCCUAGCGUAAAAGAGGGGGGAGAGGGGUUGUCUGAACCAAAACUUCAUUUCAACAGAUAUCCUUUACCCACUAAAUCAUAUGCUCAACUGAAACUUUUAUAUAUAUAUAUAUCAAACAUGAAUGAUAUAAAUAGUCUUUAAAUUUUUAAAUGAUAUAAAUAUAUAUAUAUUUUUAAAAUGAACAAAAAUUAUAAUAAUUAAUAUGUAGUUUCAUUAUUUUAUUUAAACUCAAAAUAAUAAUAUUUAAAAAUUGAGUUUACGUGAUAUUUAUUUACUUUAAAAUUAAUAAAAUGUAAAUAUAAACUUUAUUUUAUUUUAUUUAUAUUCAAAUUUAAUAAAUGUUUAUCUAAUUUAUUUAAAUUUAAAUAAAUUAAAUAAAUAAGCACACAAUUUUUUUUAGAGAAAGUGAUGACUCUUUUUUAAUGAUGAGAUGUUAGAAGAUUUACCAUAUGUGUAAUGUGGAGACAAUAACCCUAAUAUGUAACUUUUGCACAAUAACCUUAAUUUAUAAUUAGUGAAUCAUCAAUUAAAAAUUAAUUAAUUGAGUAUUUACACUUGUCCAACCAUAUUUUAUUUAAUAAGUGUCAUGGAUCAUAGGUCAAAUAAGUAUCACAAUAAUCACAGUAAUACCUGCAAAAAUUGAAUCCAAAUAAACAUAUCCAUAAAUUGUUAAUGAAAAUUUGUUCGCAGCGAGAACCUUAACUAAGAUUGGAAGAAUUUAUAUGUUUUUGUCUUUUUGCUAAAAUGAGUAUAAAACAUAUAAAAAAUAAAUUAUGAAUGUUCAUUUUUUUAAUAGUUCAAAAAAAUAUAUUAUAUAUAAUAUAUAUUAUUGUUUUGCAUUUGCUCCUCAAAGAAAAUGGAAACAAUCGUAAGCCUAUGGCAUCAUUAGAAACACCAUUAAUCUUGAUGUGUCGCAAAUCUCUAGAAAGUUAGCCAAAUGAGUAUUCAGAUCUUCAUCUUGCAACCUAUCAAACUGAACAUAUUGUUGUACCAUCUGAAUUGUGUUCGACUUUAGCUCAAAAUUAUUUACAGCAAUAGUCAGUCUGACAAUACUCGAUUCAACCCCAAUCAGAAUAGACUUAGCAUAAUCAUACAUAGUCCGAAGAGUAGGAGCUGCAGGAAGCUGUUGAUUAUUUUUAUGAUUAUCCAUCUCCACAUUAAUAUCCUUUUCCUCUUGAUCGUCUACUAAAAUCUAUUUAUCUUGUCUUUUGCUUUUCUAACCUCUCUAAGAUUUCUACGAGCAGUCUUUUCAACUUCACUAUAAAAAAUUAAUGUUUCUGACGAGUUUCCUCUAGUCAUAAACCAAAAGACUCUAUCAUAAUAAAAAAAUGAAAAAUUAGAAUAUUGUAAAAGUUAAAUUAAAAACAAAAAUAUCAAAAUAAAAAUAAAAAUAGCUAAAUUAAUAGAAAUAAAGUUUUCCUAAUAUUUUAGUCCCCUGGCAAUGGCGCCAAAAACAUGAUGCAGUCAUAAACCAACUAAAAAUCUGACUAAGGCAAGUGUACCUAUCAAUUAAUUGUAUAGUUACGAUGAGCAAAUAAAUCGUUCCCACAAAGACUAAAAGUAGUAAUUACUGUCUUUCUAUUAUUUAAUCGAUAAACUCGAGUAAUUGAUUAAAACUAAAAUUAUUUAAAUUAAUUAACAAUGAAUGUGACAAAUAAUAAAUCAGGAAAAUAAUUGAAUAAUAACCAAGAAGCAAAACAAUACCUAGGAAAAAAUUCACCUAGAUUUCAUCUGUCAUUAUCAAUCUAAAUUCCACAAUUUCUUUACUUAGUAUCUUAAUUCAUAGAAAUCCCUAAAUCAUGCUAAUAUCUCUCUUCAAGAAUAAGAGCAAUAACUUUAGGCUGGUUAAUUGAAAUUUCUUUCUAAUUAAAACCCUUAUUAUCGCAUUAAAUCGCUUUAUGGAUUUCCCAAUUACAUUUGACUCUAAUUCGGUGGAUUUAUAUCAUCCUAUUUCUAAGAUUGCAUGCAACUUCACUCAAUUACGCUAGAUCUACUCUUAAACAAGGUCUAUUCCUUCUCUGAUUUAAGCACAACAAACAUGGAUCAACAAUCUAGAAAUAUUAAACCAAGAGUAAAAUACACAUAAUUGAGAGCAAGAUCUAAGUAUUUAUUGUGUAAAAAUAGAAAUCAAAUAAUAUAAUUCAUCCUAAAGCUUAUCUCUCUAGGUAUUUGGAAAAUUAGUUCAUACUUGCAAAUAAAAACAUCCCAAAGACAAUAUAACCAAAAGAAAUAAAGAAGCUCGUGAUAAUCUCCUAAGAAAUCAACUGUGAGUCUUCAAUCUUGACUAAAAUUUGCUUCAGAAUCGGCUUCAAUGGUGUUUUCGAGUUGUUUUAUUGAGCAUUCUAUGACGGCUCUCUCCCCUCUUCUUAUAUUUGUCAUAUAUAGGUCUUAGAAUGCUCGAAAAACCUAAACAAAAGUGUUUUUCCGCAAGUUUGAAGUGUGACUCGUGAUUUCUACGUAGUCUCGCACAUGACCAUGUAGAAGCUCGUGUGGCCACACGGUCGUGUGUCCAGCCCAUGUGGCUCCUGAAACUUGCUCCAAUUUUCACUUAUUUUUCACUCUUUUUGCUCUAAAAUGCUACUAAGUAUAGAAACAUGAAUUUAAAGGAUUAGGAGCAUAAAAUUCACCAUUUUAAUUCGAAUAAUAAUCCAAAAAUGCAUUAAGAAUGAGGCUAAAACAUGUUACUUUUGGCAUUUAUUAAUUUUGCCAACACCCAAAAUAGUUGCUUAAAGGUACAAAUUUAAACAACCCAAAAAAGGGUCAGUAUAAUCCAAAAAGCGUUGUGUUAGGCUUUUCAUAUGAUAACACUUUUAUAUAGUUGGGAAAGGUAUAACAAAAGUCGGCAUAGUGUUGGAUAAAACUGAUUCUUAUUUAAGCGUUGCCUUAGGCAUGCAUAUCCCAACCUUUAUACAAAGAGUUGGCCAAAGCGUAUGUUAACAAGUCUAUCCUAACACUUAGGAAAGUGUCAGCAUAAUGUUGGACAAACUCGAAUCUUAUUUAAGUGUUGCCUUAGGCAUGCAUAUCUCAAACCUUAUACAAAGAGUUGGCCAAAGCAUACGUCGACAAGUCUAGUUAUUAGCUCAAUAGAUCAAACAGGAAUUGCUAAGAGGGGUGAAGUGGCUUUUAAAAAAAUGUGAAAGCUAGAAAGAAAAUUGAAAGAUGAACAUAAUAAUUUAGAAUGGUUUAGCCCCAAUUGCCUACCCCACUACCUUGACUUUCCACAACUAAGGAUUUUCCAAAAUUCACUAAAUUGAUAACCUUUAAGGAUAAGGUUUAACAUUACAACUCUAUUAAGAUUUCUGUAACACCCCAAACCCGGCUAGACGUUAUAACCGAAUCUGGCGAUGUCACAUGGAAUGGGAUUUGAAACCUCGUUGUUACGAUGAAAACAUUCCAUGCUAUUAUCUUUAGUAAACCUUUGUUAGAACUUAGGAAGUCGUCUUUAUUCAUUUAAAACAUUUGUUUUGAAACAUGCCUCGUUGUGGAAGCUUUAAUAAAACAGUCUAUGUGAUCAUGCGUUUAGAAAAUAAUUUAACUUUUUGAAAACGGAAUUUCCUAAGACCCGCAGGUAUAAAUCCAUAAAGUAAAAUAAAUAAAUAAAAACCCAAAUUUAAAACCAAAAUCCUAGAAGGUCCUUAAAUUACAUCCCAAAUAAUCAAUAAUAAUCAAAUCAUAAAUCGUAAAUUGAAAACCAUGAAGUCGAAAAAUUACGGUGGUUACCGCUAAGUCCUCCGUCGCACCGAUCCAUCUAAGUCUAGGGAUUAACUAUGCACAUUAAACAAAAAAUGUGAGUUUACGUAAACUCAGUGUGUAGUCCCGUAGAAACAAACAAACAAUCAGUAUUCACAGUGCACAGUUGAACAGUCUUGGGCCUAAGCCCUUUUCAGUAUCAGUGACAGUUUGGGCCUUAGCCCAUCUCAGUAUAGUGUCAAAAAUGCAGUAGGUCCUUAACCCAUCACAGUAUUAGUAGCAGUAACAAUUAUGCAGUAGCAAAAUCCUACCCAACCAGCCUCUACACACCAUCUUCGUCUAACCCUACAUUCUAUGUGGGGAUAUAAUCAACCUACCCAUCCCUUUUUAAUAAUAACCCAUGCUAGCUAAAUAUUCUAUGUUUUCACUAUUUACUUAUAUGUUCAUUUAAAGCUGUCUACUUGAGUCAUUGUCACUAAAUUAUUUACAUCUUAAGCUACAGAAUUCCAAAUUAAGAUCUGCUUGAUGUUUUCAAAACUGGACUCAGAUAUCUUUCUACCAUAAAUUUUCAAAAUUUAUAGCUUAUCAAAUAAGUACAGUAAAAUCUUCAAAGUUAUCCCUAUUCUGCCAUUUGACAGCUUCAACCUUUUCCUUACUAAAAAUUAUUAAUCUCUUAGUACGAAAUUUGAAUGAUGUUUCCAUUUGUUUCUCUUGAAAGUAGACUUAUUAAAGAUUUAAAUGUAUAAAUUUAAGCCCCUAAUUAUUUGUUUACAAUUUUUGAUAAUUUUCUAAAAUCAGAACAGGGGAACAAGAAAUCAUUCUGACCUUGUCUCAGAAAAUUUAUUAUAUCUCAUAAUUUACAAUUCUAUUGCUUACACUGUUUCUUCGAUGAAAAACUAGUCUCAAUAAAAUUUAAUUUAAUAUUUUAUUCAACCCUUAACUCAAUUUUCACUAUUUUUGAUGAUUUUUCAAAGUUAAACUACUGCUACUGUCUAAAACUAUUUUUGUGCAAAAUGUUGAUUUCCAAGGUUAUAACACCCUUAUUUCCUUUCUCUACAAUUUUUUUCGCAUCAUUUUCUCUUAUGUCUCGACAGCAAGCGAUUUUGACUUUUUGCUGAAUCCCCUUUUCUGCGUUUCGGGUACACACCUGGUUUCGUUAGAUGCUAAAAUAGUCCCCGAGCACUCCAAAGCCUAUAAUUGAACAAAUAACAUCAAUUUAAUCUCACAUAACGUGAUCCCAAAUCAAACUCAUAUCGAGGUUUUAACCCAUAAGCGACUAAACCUUACCUUCAACUGAUAAUAGUAGUUCCCACACAAACUAAGACUCCGAUUGGUGAUUACAAGCCCUUGAAUCAUCCCCUAAUAGGCAGAAACAAAACACUUUAGAAGAAAGUUAACAAAUAGAGACAAAUCACUUAUCUAAAACUUGUCGAACGAUCGCAGACAAACAUGGAGCGACACGAGGCAGAGUGGGAAAAAAAUCAAGAAGAUGAAGGGUGAAAGAGAGCAGAAAUUUGGCAAUAAUGAAGAGAAAAACAGCAAAAGGGUGGAGGGAUUUUGGGGAAAGUAAAAAAAAAGAAAAAAAAAAUUAACAGAAUAUUUGAUAACCACCCCAAUCCCUUAUUUCUCUCCAUCAAACUCCCCACAAAUCCACUACUCAGAUUUUUAGUCCAUCUCAAACUCUCUUGGACACAUGAGCAAAAAUAAUGCCUAUGCUAAGAUUCAAACACAAGACCUCUUUCACACCAACACUCUACUUAUCCACCAAACCAGCAAGCUAAUUUUGUUAAUUAUUUGCCAACUUUUACUUAAAAGUCUACUGACCAAAUAUAGGACUUAUUCAUAAAAAUACCAAAAUUUGCCCAAGUUCUGGCUUGAACUUGGGACCUCCCAAACACACCUAAAAUACUUAACCACUGAAGUAGAUACACAAUUGUGUCACACAUUCACAAUACCCAAAAUUAAAAUUUUUAGGUGUUACAGUGCUUCUUUUACUGAAUUAAACUAUAACCUUACUAACCUUAUAAAAUGCAUAAAAAACUAAUAAAUCACUUGAUUACAAACUCAUUAAGUAUAGAAUCAAGCUUAAUUUGCCACAACGAAUUGUGGUUAAUCAAUUGUUAAUAUGAAAUUUAUUUUUUUAGAACACCAAAUUCUUUCAACCGCAUUUUGAAGCAGUGGUGGAUCCUAGGACAAAGUUUGGAGGGGAGGCUAGUAAAAUUUUUAGGAAUUAUAAUAUAUAUAUUUGCCAUAACCAUCUAAUACUCAUACUUGUUUAUGCUUAUAAUAUAAUUUUUGUAACUAGUAUAAAAAUAAAUUUUUAAAAUGGGAUUUGAGUGUAAUUACGUAUGUAAUCAUUUUAAUUCUCAGUCCCCUAAGAAUUAAAAAGUGUAAUUGAGUGCUCUAAUUACAGCCAAUUCGUGGGACUCACCAAUCAAUGGUUACCCAAACAUGUCAUCUUUGUGUAAUUACUAGCAAUUACACCCAAAUUCAAUUACUAGGUGAUUUUCCAAACACUGUGUAAUAUGUCGCGACAUCUAAGCCCUUUUGUUUUGUACUUUUUUUAACUUAAUUUUUAAGAGUCCAAGAAAAGUAAAUUACUUAUUUGGUAACACUUAUAUUUAGUCAAGCUAAAAAUAGCUUAAUAAAUUGAUGUUAUUUACUAUAUUUGUCAAACCAUUUUAAAACUAAUUUUGGCUAAGUCAAAAUCACUUUUUAUUCAACUUACCUUUACUAUUUUUAGCCAAUUGAAGUCUUAUAAAUACCUUGUUCAUUUUCAUAAUAUACACACUUGCUCAUCCUUUCCAUCCUUUUAAGAUUGCUAAGUAUUUUUUUGUUGUGAUCUAUUAUUGAUUCCUACUCCCUUUUUAUAAUGAAAGAACUUAUUAAUACCUUAAUAUUUUACUAUUGGUUCUUUCUCACUUUUGUUUUAUUUUCAUCACUUUUAAAAUGUUAUUGUAGCGACCUAAAACUUUCUGGGCACGGGCGCUAGUCGAAGUAAUUAUUGAAGGUUUGAAAACAGUGUCUCGAUUUUAUUCGAAAAAGGGAGUCGCCACCGAUCUUUUUUUUUAGGUGUGAUCGGACACCUACAAAAUUCCCUUUUUAGAAGAAAAAUUUAUUUUUAAGCUUUUCUAAAAAGAGGUAAUUUUAGGUCCACGUAAAAAUCCAGAGAAAAUUAGGGUUCGGGAGUCGGUUACGCGCGAGGAAGGUAUUAGCACCCUCGCGACGCCCAAAAUUGGUAUCUCGUUAAACGCAUGUUGUCUUAACUUUCAAAAAUACGAGUUCCAUUUAAUAUUUAGUCGUGAUCCGAUUGAAACACGAGAAUUUUGAAACACAACAACCCCUUUUUUUUGAAAACACGAAAUUUUUUUAAAACGCAAGAAUUUUAGAAACACGAAAUUUUUCUUUAAAAAAACACGAAAAUUUUGAAACACGAGAAUUUUUUCAAAACACGAAUUUUCUUUUUGAAACACGAAAAUUUUGAAAACACAAAGUUUUAUUUUGAAAACACAAAAGAUUUGAUAAAUUACGAAACAUGAGAUUUUUUUUGAAACACGGAAAUUUAUGAAACACGGUCAAUUUUUGAAAACACGAAAAUUUUUGAAAGACGGGAUUUUUUUUUGAAAACACGAAAAUUUAUAAAACACGGAAAUUUUUUCUAAAAACAAGAAAAUUUUCGAAAAACGAGAAUUUUUGAAAACACAGGAAAUUUUUGAAAACAUGAAAUUUUUUGUUACACUAGAAUUUUGAAAACACGAAGAUUUUUGAAACAUGAGGAUUUUUGAAAACACGAAGCUUUUUGAAACAUGAGAAUUUUUUGAGAACAUGAAAACAUGAAAAUUUGUCAAACACGGGAAUUUUUUGAAAACACGAUAACAUCAAAGAGUAGUCAAGAGAGUUUUUUGAAACACGGAAUUUUUUUUGAAAAAAAGAAACACAAAUAUAUUUUUUUGAAACACGAGAAAUUUUUUGAAAAAAAGAAACACGAAUAUAUUUUUUUGAAACACGAGAAAUUUUAUUAUUAUUAUUUUGAAACACGAGAAAUUUUGAAGACAUGAAAAUUUUUGAAACACGAUUUUUUUAAUAAUACCAUAUUUAACACGAAUCGAUGAUAUUCACCCCGAUAUGGUGAUGAAAUCGUCGUAUUAGUGUCAAAACAAAUCAAAUUAAUAUUUAAUCAGGAUUCUAAUAAAACACGAGGAUUUUUAUUAAAACACGAGGAAUUUUGAAUAUUUUCGAUUUUUAGAAGGGCGUCCCGUAUUUAACACGAGCCAUCGAUAUUCACCCAACAUAGCGAUGAAUUCAACGGCUUGAUGCUAAAUCGGUUCGUUGCCUUAUGCAUUAAAAUAUUUUUUCUAUAAAAAAAAUGCAAAUAAAAUUACAUAUAAUAAUAUUUCUAAACUAUUAAAAAACUAAUUUAAUUGUAAUGGGGAAAUAUUUAAAUAAAUGGACUUAAUUAGAGUGGGUUUAAAAAAUUACCAAAAGCCCAAAGUUAUGGGCUUGAAUUUUGGGCCUCCCUUUUCUUUUUUUUCUUUCUCUUUCUUUCCUGGGCGUUGGGCUGCCGGACUGGGCCGAGUCUGCUGGCCCGCUGGUUGUUGAAACAGGCCUGCUACCGCUGCUGGAUCGAGUACAGGCCUUCGUGCGGGUCGGGUCUGCCUCCUGGACUGGGUCGUGGCCUGCUGUCACUGCUGGGCUGCUCUGCUGCGCGUGGGCCUGGGCUGCUGCUUAGCUGCUGGAGUGGCCUGCUGUUGGCCUGCCCAAGAUGGCCUAUUGCUUGCUGGGCCGGUCUGCCACUGCUGCUGGUGUGGGUGGCCUGCUGCUGGCUUGUUGCUGGCUGCUGGCUGGGUUGGAUCCGGGUCAUCGGGUCGGGUUGGCCCGGCUGUUAUUUUUUUUCUUCUAUUUUCUUCUUUCUUCUUUCUUUUUUUCUUUUUUUCCUCAUUUCUUUUUCUUUCCUUUUUCUUUUUCUUUCUUUUCUUCUUCCUUUCAAACCCUAGCCACCGUCUUUUGCUUGGUGGCGCGACAGUGCCGGCGCUUCUCCCUUCUCCCUUCUCCCUUCUCCUCCUCUCUCUUCUUUCUCUCUUUUUCUUUUUCUUCUCUUCUUCCUCUCUUCCUUACUUCUUUACUGUUUGGGUUGCUGUUUUUUUUUGUUUUCUCUUUGCUUGUUUGUAUAGGUGCGACGGUGGUGGUGGUGUCACAACGGCGGUGCGACGACGGUGGUUGCGGGAGGAUGGUGGUGGAGGCUUUCGGCUUGCUGCUAUUUUUUUGUUUUUGAAUUUUUUCUGCUCUUUUUCUUUUGGUUGCCGAAAAACCUUUUCUUUUUGUUUCGGUUUCCCUUGGCUUUCUAGGUGGCGGUGCGGUGGUUGCGGUGGCGGGGUAGUGGCGCGACGGUGGCGAUGGCUUUUGGGCUGCUGUUUUUUGGAUUUUUUUGAGUUUUUCUCUGCUCUUUUUCUAUUUUUUUUUGGUUGCUAUCCGACCCCCUUCCUUCUCUUUUGAUUUUCUUUUUAAUCUCUUCAUUUUUUAUCCUCUUUCUUCUUGUUUUCAGAUGGCAUGGAGGUGAGGAGCAUGGCUGAUUGGCGGUGUCAGGCGUAGGGUGUGGUGCACGCCCAAAUGCUGGUUGGGGGGCAGUCUUGUCAUUCCCAGAAGGACUGAAUUGUAGAGUGUGCAAAGUUUUUAGGGCAAAAAUGUGAUUUUAGGAAAAUAUAGGGACAAAAUGUAAUUUCUAGAAAGUUUAGGGGCCUGACUGUAAUUUAUAAAAUAUUAGGGGUCAAGAUGUAAAUUUAGACAAAGUUAGGGGUCAAAAAAUAAUUUUUGAAAAGUUUGAGGGCCAAAAUGUAAUUUUUAUUUUUUGUAUUUUUAUUUUUUUCAAAAUUUUAUUAUGACUAUUUUAUUAAUAUUUAAAACAAAAAUUAAAAACGGACUAAAGUAAUUCCAAAAUUAAAUCCUAAUGGGCUCGAUCAUUGGGCCCAUACGAGACCGACCCGGCCUAAAAUUCAAACCGGGCAAAAUUCAGUGAUUACAGCUGCCCCUCUUUGCUCAUCGCUGUAAAACAGGGAUAGAGCAAAGACUUAAAAGCACUGAAUUUUGCUCGAUUGUCUAAUUUUUUAUAUUUUUUGAAAGCCUGAAAUUGAAAAAAAAAAGCUUGGUGUGCGAUCCGAAGUUCAACUCACUUUUCAGAUUAUAAGUUGACCUUUGAAAAAUAAAAAAUAAAAAUACCUCAGCUUGACUCGAGGCUCAACUCACCUCUAGGAUUAUGAGUUAAUAAUUUUUUUUUUUGAAAACAUAAAUUGAAAAUACCACAGCGUGACCUGAGGCUUAACUCACCUCUCGCAUUAUGAGUUGAUUUUUGAAAAACGAAAAAUUGAAAAAUACCUCGGCAUGUGACCCGAGGCUCAACUCACCUCUCGUAAUAUGAGUUGAUUUUUUUUGAAAAACAGAAAUUUAAAAUACCUUAGCGUGCGACCUGAGGCCCAACUCACCUCUCGCAAUAUGAGUUGAUUUUUGAAAAACAGAAAUUGAAAAUACCUCAGGAUGACCCGAGGCUCAACUCACCUCUCGUAUUGUGAGUUGAUUUUUGAAAAAAAGAAAAUUUAAAAGAAAUACCUCGGCGUGACCCGAGACUCAACUCACCUCUCGCAAUAUGAGUUGAUUUUUUUGAAAAACAGUAACUUAAAAAUACCUCAGCGUGACCCGAGGCUCAACUCACCUCUCGUAUUAUGAGUUGAUUUUUGAAAAACAAAAAUUAAAAAAUAUAAUUCUUGAAAGAAACAGGGUUUCAAAACAUCAGGUGAAACUAAAGCCUUCUUCUUCGUUGAUUCUGUGCAACUUUCUCUCAGUAUUCCCUGCUCUACUAAGAUACCUGUAUAUGUCAUGUAUGAUGUUAUUAUGAUAUGCACGUGUUUGACCUAAAUGCUUUUAUGCCUACAUAAUCAUGCCAUGAGCCCUGGGCUGUUUGUCUCAUGCCUCCUUUUCGUGAGGGACUGCAUUCAUUGCCUCAAUCAUUGACUUCUCUCUUCGGUUUUGUACUCAUCUUCAAGUUUGUCGGGUGACCCACAUGUCCAUAUUUCCCCUUCUUGCCCCUUUUGUUGAACUUUGUUCCUGCUUUGGGGUCCUUGUACUUAUCAAAUUCUCAUCCAGGUAAUGCUCAACAUUCAUUUUGUUUAGAGUAUGUCAUCUUACUAUUUAUCAUUUAAAUGAAUCAAACACAAGAUGCAUAAAUAAAAUGGCAAAGUAGGCAUGAAAGAAAUACCUCACAUCCAUUUCAUUUUCAAAACCAUCAAACAAAGAAAAUUGACAAGGAAAAAGUUCAAAGAAAGCAUCAUAUAGAAAGGAAAGUGAAUUCAAUGGCCACAAAUGCUCUAGAUAUCCAACGUAUGAACUUCUCCACGUUUCUUCAUCCUGGAUCCUUUCGAGCACGGCUUCUUGUGUAGAAGAUUUCGAGCUUCUGAGAAUGCUUCAAAUAUUGCGACUUUGUCAUUCAACUCUCCGUUCAAGUCACUUUGCUCCUUUAAGCUCGAGCCCACUUCAUUAGGACGCCCUUUCAGGUUUCCAUCCUAAUUCUUUUUGUUUAUCAAAACGCCCUUUUCAGGUUUUCAUCUUGAUUUUCUUUUUCUUUUCUUUUUUCUUUUUUUGUUUUUGUUUUUGUUUUUUUUUGUUCUUUUUGUUCUUUUUGUUCUUUUAUUUUUUUAUUUUUUUUUUGUUUUUUUAGGCAUAAUAUUUCUUUACAGCAUCUGAGUUCACUGGAUUAGGUAACUCUUUCCCGUCCAUCUCAGUGAGAAUCAGAGCCCCUCCUGAGAAUGCCCUCUUUACAACGUAUGGUCCUUCCCAAUUUGGUGACCAUUUUCCUCGAAAGUCCUUCUGUAUUGGGAGAAUCUUUCUCAGUACGAGCUCUCCUUCGCGAAAUUCUCUUGGCCGCACCUUUUUAUCAUGGGCCGUAAUCAUUCUCUUCUGGUACAUCUGUCCAUGACAAAUUACCUUCAAGCGUUUCCCUUCAAUAAGGUUUAGCUGAUCAUAUCGAGCUCGAACCCACUCUGAUUCCUCUAACCUUGUCUCCAUCAAGAUGCGCAGGGAUGGGAUCUCUACUUCGAUAGGCAGAACGGCUUCCAUUCCAUAGACUAGAGAAAAAGGAGUUGCCCCCGUAGACGUCCGUACCGAGGUGCGAUAUGCGUACAAAGCGAAUGGUAGCUUAUCGUGCCAGUCUUUAUAUGUCUCAGUCAUCUUCCCAAUAAUCCUCUUAAUGUUCUUAUUAGCGGCUUCUACUGCUCCGUUCAUCUUUGGGCAAUAGGGCGAAGAAUUAUGAUGUUUUAUCUGGAAUUGCUCACAUACUUCUUUCAUCAUCUUAUUGUUCAAAUUUAAAGCAUUAUCUGAAAUGAUUCUUUCAGGCAGACCAUAUCGGCAUAUAAUCUCCUUUUUUAAGAACCUACAGACUGUAGCCUUUGUCACAUUAGCAAACGAAGUGGCUUCUACCCAUUUUGUGAAGUAGUCUAUAACCACAAAGAUGAAUCGAUGCCCAUUGAAAGCUUUCGGGGAAAUUGGCCCUAUAACAUCCAUGCCCCACAUAGAAAAAGGCCACGGAGAAGUCAUGACAUGAAGGGGUGACGGAGCUGCAUGAAUUUUGUCGCCAUAAAUUUGACAUUUGUGGCACUUUCGUGCGUAACCAAUGCAAUCCCUUUCCAUCGUCAGCCAAUAAUAACCAAGUCUCAUAAUCUGCCUGGCCAUGGUGAAACCACUGGCAUGUGUUCCACAAAUUCCUUCAUGAACCUCUUCAAGUAUCUUUCUAGCUUCAACAGCGUCCACGCACCUCAGGAGCACUUGAUCUUUUCCCCUUUUGUAUAGAAUAUCCCCGUCAAGAACAAAUCCAAUCGCCAUUCUCCUGAUUGUUCUUUUGUCAUUCUCGUUUGCUUGCUCGGGGUACCUUUGAUUCUUGAUAUACUCCAAGAUAUCAUGGAACCAUGGUCGUCCAUCUGACUCCUCCUCAAUACUAAAGCAGUGUGCGGGGGUCUCAUAUAUACUCAUUUGGAUGGGCAUUAUCUCAUUUUCUCUGUUUGCCUUGAACAUCGAAGCCAAGGUGGCUAGGGCAUCAGCCAGUUGGUUCUCCUCUCGUGGAAAGUAGUUAAAAGUCACUUUAUAGAACUCCUUGAUCAGCUCUGCAACGAGAUCAUGAUAUUUGACUAAUUUUGGAUCUCUCACUUCCCAAUCUCCACGAAUUUGAUAAAUGACUAAUGCUGAGUCCCCGUGUACCUCUAAAAUUUUGAUUUUUCACUUGAUAGCUGCACGAAGUCCCAUGAUGCAAGCCUCAUAUUCCGCUAUAUUAUUUGUACAGAAGAAAUUCAAUCUGGCAGUAAGCGGGUAAUGGUCCCCUUCAGGUGACACUAAGACUACUCCUAUCCCAUGCCCCAAUACAUUUGAUGCACCAUCAAAGCUCAUCUUCCAUGACUUUCCUUUUGAUGACUCGCCCUCUUUUUCUGAAAUACACAUCAAAUCUUCAUCUGGGAACUCAAAUCUCAAAGGCUCGUAUUCCUCCAUUGUUCGACUUGCCAAGAAGUCAGCUAUUGCGCUUCCUUUUAUCGACUUUUGGCUCACAUAUACAAUGUCAUACUCAGUCAAUAGGAUUUGCCAUCGGGCCUUUCUCCCUGAGAGUGCAGGUGACUUCAUCAUGUACUUUAUUGGGUCCAGUUUUGAAAUUAACCAUGUCGUGUGAUACAGCAUGUAUUUUCUGAGCCUUCGAACUGUCCAAAUCAAUGCACAACAAAACUUCUCAAUUGACAGGUACUUUGCCUCAUAUUCUGUGAACUUCUUGCUGAGGUAGUAAAUUGCCUUCUCUCUUUUCCCUGACUCAUCAUGUUGUCCCAGUACGCAACCCAUUGAGUUCUCAAACACGGUCAGGUACAAUAUUAAGGGUUUUCCAGGGGUCGGCGGUACUAGCACAGGAGAAUUAGAUAGAUACUGUUUUAUCUUGUCGAAGGCCACUUGGCACUCCUCGUUCCAUUCUCCCGGAUUACGUUUUCAAAGGAGUCGAAAAAUUGGGUCACACUGAUUGGUAAGUUGAGCAAUGAAUCGAGCAAUGUAAUUCAACCUUCCUAAAAAACCUCUGACUUCCUUUUGUGUACGCGGGGGAGGCAAUUCUUGUAUAGCUUUUAUCUUAUCUGGAUCAACCUCGAUACCUCUUUCACUAACAAUGAAACCUAGCAGUUUUCCUGAGGUAGCCCCAAAUGUACAUUUGGCCGGGUUAAGCUUCAACUGAAACUUUCUUAAUCUUUCAAACAACUUCCUAAGACUCCCAACAUGCUCUCUUUCUUCCCGAGAUUUGGCAAUCAUAUCAUCGACAUAAACUUCUAUUUCUUUGUGCAUCAUAUCAUGGAAUAACGUCACCAUGGCUCUCUGAUAUGUUGCCCCAGCAUUCUUUAAUCCGAACGGCAUUACCUUGUAGCAGAAGGUUCCCCACAUUGUUAUGAAUGUAGUUUUCUCCAUAUCUUCGGGAGCCAUCUUUAUCUGAUUAUAUCCUGAGAAACCAUCCAUGAAAGAAAACAGAGAAUGCUUUGCCGUAUUAUCCACCAAAGUGUCGAUGUGCGGUAAAGGAAAGUUAUCUUUAGGGCUUGCUUAAUUCAGAUCAUGAUAAUCCACGCACAUUCGCACCUUGCCAUCUUUCUUCGGCACUGGGACUAUAUUAGCUACCCAUUCUGGAUACUUUGAGACUUGUAGGAAGCCAGCGUCAAAUUGUUUCUUGACUUCUUCUUUUAUCUUUAACAGCAUUUCGGGUCUCAUCCUUCUUAAUUUCUGCUGAACGGGCUUGCAUUCUGGUUUCAGUGAGAGCUUGUGGACCACAAUAUCCGUGUUUAAUCCUGGCAUAUCUUGAUAAGACCAGGCAAACACAUCCUUGUAUUCAUGGAGCAAGGCGAUCAAAUCUUGCCUUGUGUUUUUUGAAAUCGAAGUCCCAAUCUUCACUUCUUGUUUCUCUUCUUCAUUCCCCAAGUUCACUACCUCAACAGAUUAUUGAUGGGGUAGGAUUUGUUUCUCUUCUUGUUCCACCAUUCUCAGUAAGUCAGGAGAUGAGACACAAUCUUCAACAUUUUCGUCAGCUUCGAAUUCUCCUAAACAAAUAACCUUCUCAAAAUUGAUUUCAGGAUUCAUAACGGGAUUAUUCAUGCCAUUGAUAUCUGAACACCUGAAAGGUGAAUGGAAAAAGGAUAUAGAAGAGUAUUGAGGUAUUGUAAUCAACACACAAUGAUAUGAGAUGAUAUGAGACAUAUGCCAGAAAAGGAUAUGAACAGAAGGAGUAGUCGCAAAGUUAAUGAAAAGAAUAUGACAAUAUAAAACAAAAUGCAUCUUCAUUAAUGUUCAUUGAAAUGAUAAAGAGCAAACAUAAGCUCUUACAAAAGGAACCCUACUGUUUAAGGACACACAAAAUGAAGGGUUAACAUUGAGCAUUACUCUGAAGGGGACUUAAAAACUACAAGGAGGUCCUCAGCAGUCCAGUUGUUCAAAACAUAUCCUGGAGGACAAUGGCGUAUCAUUGAAGCAUUCUUAAUUUCAUCAUUCUCAUUGUCAAUAGCAUUUAGGCUGAGAUUCUGAAGACCCUUUUCAAUCAAUAAUGUGGCUUGCAAAUUGUUCUGCCCUGGGUACAUCACUCCUGCUGAUGUAAAUGUUCUCGACAAAGGAGGAUACGCCAACGGCCCCCAUUCUAAUUCCUGGCCCGAAGCUCUUGCGAUUCUUCUUUCUCGAUUUUUCUGAAAUUGUUUUUAUCUUUGAUGUACAUCUGGCUUGAACCCCAAACUGUAUCGACCCUUAUGGUGCGUUGGUUUCAAAGCUCUAACCAUCCUUUGUUGAUAUUUUCCCAAACCUUUCCUCGCUCGAGCUCCUUUUCCCACAGUCAGCUUAAGUCCCAUCUUGGUAUUCCUCGACAGUUUGGGAAUGGGGAUCUUAUUCCCUUCAGUAACAAAUGCAGCAUUGAUAAAUUUCAAGAAGCGAAAAGAACAUUCUACAGCAUCUUCGCUUAUUUCGAUGUAGGGUGCAUCAGUAGAGAUAGAUGCGACGAUGUCUUCCUCGCCACCAACAGUAAUCAAACGACUAUCCAUGAUGAACUUUACUUUCUGAUGGAGAGAUGAAGGAACUGCCCCAGCAGAAUGGAUCCAAGGUCUUCCUAACAGGCAAUUGUAUGAAGGUGUGAUGUCCAUGACCUGAAACUCGAUAUCGUAUGCACAUGGCCCCACUUUUAAAGGAAUUUCGAUAUUUCCCAUGACCUCUCGCCGUGUCCCAUCAAAUGCCCUUACUAUAGAAUGACAAGGCCUCAGAUAGGACAUAUCAACCGGCAUCCUAGAAAGCGUGGCCAAAGGCAUAACAUUGAGUGCAGAUCCAUUGUCGAUGAGCACAUUUGGUAAUAUGUAACCUUUGCAAUUGGUUGUGAUGUGCAAUGCUUUUAUGGAGCCCCUUCCAUUUGGCGGUAUUUCGUCGUCACUAAAGGAGAUGAAAUUAUCUGCAUUUAGAUUAUUUGCCCACCUAUCAAGCUUUUCCACAGAUACAUUGUUCGCCACAUAAGCUUGAUUUAACACUUUUAACAAGGCAUUCCGAUGUGGCUCUGAAUUCAACAAUAGAGACAGUACCGAGAUACGGGCUGGCUGCUUGUUUAAUUGUUCUACAAUGCUAUAUUCACUGUGCUUAAUGAACUUUAAGAACUCACAUGCUUCCUCCUCAUUCACAGCCUUUUUAACUUCUUCCUCGGGUGGUAUUUCAACAUCAUCCUCAGCCUCAUACAUUGGUGCUUUUCUUUUUUGGCUCGGACCAGCAACCUUCUUCUUUGGCUCAACCGUCUCGGGAGAAUAACAUCUUUCGCUACGAGUAAAAUGUCCUACUCCGCUAACACCUUCACUCACAACCUUGGACUUUUCACCCUCAGGUACAAUGAUAUUGACAUCAUAAUUCUAAGGCACCGCCUUGUUGUCCUUAUAAGGGAAAGGAGCAGGUACUUCAAUUAUCAAACUUGGUUUAACUUCUCGACUAACUUCUUCCUUCUUUGUCCCGUAAUAAAUCACCAAAGGUCUAUCGACGCUAUAAAGGGAAGCCAUUGAUUGAUUAUUAGAGGCACAUAUUUCUCCUUCUUCGGCCCCCUCCACCCUAUCAAAGACCUUGACCUCUUUGUUAUCCAUCAUGUCUUGAAGUAAUUUCCUAAAUUCCUUACAAGAUUGGAUGUCAUGCCCUUGGACGCCAUGAAAAUCACAGAAACUCUGGUCUUUUGUACUUUCUUCUUUAAGAAUCUUACUAGACGGACAGAGCAAGCCAUUUUCAAUCAUCAUCUCCCAUACCUUCCGUAAAGGUGUCUUUACUUCGGUAACACAACCUUUGGCUUGACAAUUGUCUUCAUUUGUCACCGCAUUUACAUUCCCGUCAGUAUGGUUAGGAAGAGGAUUUCCUGUCACAUUGCUAACAUCGUCGAACCGUAGAACACCGGCAUCAAUAAGACCUUAAACCCUCCUUUUAAAAGCAAGACAGUUUUCUGUAGAAUGUCCCUGAUUCCCAGCGUGAUACAUGCAAUUAGCGUUAGGAUCAUACCACUUCGGGUAUGGAGGCUUCAGGGGUGCCAUGUAAUGUGGGGAUAUUAAUUGUUUUUCCAACAGCUUUGGGUAUAAUUCUCCAUAUGAUACAGGAAUUAGAGUAAACUGAGGUCUUUCAAGAUUGGGUCUUGCCGGUCUUUGUUCAUUUUUGGGUUGGCUUUGUACAGGUAUGGUGUUUGGCGGGAACACGGUGAAUGGUCUUUGGUUAUUCACAGCAUAAACGGGGUAAGAUAGGGGUGCUUGAUAGUAAGGACUUUGAGGAGGAAAGUAGAAGUUUGAAGGUGGGCGGUAAUGAGGUCGUGGUUGGGUGAGGUACGGAUUAGGGGUACAUUGGCUUUCAGUCCCAACCAUAUGGGCCUCUGCCUCCUUUUUCUUUGCGGGUACUGUCCUCUUCGAACUCUCAGGACCUUCCAUUCUCCCACUCUUGACGGCGUUUUCGAUAAGUUCCCCGGAUAUUACAAUAUCUGCAAAGUCCUUUGUGGCACUUCCCACCAACUUAUCGUAAAAUGGCGCUUUUAGAGUGUUGAUGAAGAGGACCGUUAUCUCUGUCUUAGUUAACGGAGGCUCCACUUGAGCCGAGAUAUCCCUCCAUCUUUACGCAUAUUACCGAAAAGUCUCUGUCGGCUUCUUUUCCAUCAUUUGUAAGGUUAGUCGAUCAGGCACCAUAUCUGUUACAUGCCUAUAUUGCUCACAGAAUGCUGAAGCCAAAUCCUUCCAUGAUCGGAUUCUCUCUCUACUGAGUUGAUUAUACCAUCGAAGGGUUGAGCCAAUCAAACUAUCUUGAAAGUAAUGCACCAACAAUUUAUCAUCGUUUACAUAACCAGUCAUCUUUCGGCAAAACAUGAUCAGAUGCGCCUUUGGACAUCUUGUUCCGUCAAAUUUCUCAAAAUCAGGUGCCUUAAAUUUUGGUGGUAGGACCAAAUCAGGUACCAAACUGAGCUCUUUGGCACUCAAAGCAGAGAAAACUUCAGCGCCUUCUACUGCCUUGAUCCUCUAUUCCAGGACUCUAUACUUAUCCUGAGCGUUAUUGUCAUCAAUUCUCAGCCUUGCUACUUCUACAGGAUCAUCUAGGUCUGGAACAAUUGGAUCUGAAGGAUUAGCCCCAGGGUUCGAUACAAACAUUCCUUGUCCUAAAUGAGCAGAUGGAGCAGGAUGUUGUUCCAGGCCUGUAGGUUCCCUUUGGGGGUAUCCUCUUUGCAUUGCGUGGACAUGAGGUGGAGUAAAUCCCGGGGGAUAAAGUGGGUCUUGAUUAGCUCUUGACUGAGGCGGUUCUACGACAUUAGGGCUCUGUAUAGGUCCCUUUCCUUUGACCAAAGCCGUCAUCAUUUCUAUCAUUUUAGCCAUUUGAUCCCUUUGCUCGAGCAAUUCUUCUCGAGAUCUCACCAUCAAAUCUCUUGCCUCUUGCUGCGACUUGGCCAGUUGCUCCUGCAACUCUCUUUGGGUUCUUUCCAUCCUUUCCAUCCUUUCAUUGAGUUCAGCAUCCAUAGCUCUAGCUCUUAAGCGCGUCCUAUAAGAGUGACGUGAUUCCAGACUCGUAGUGUAGUAACUGUGGAUUAGAUGGUUUUACCCUUAGCGAAUGAUUAAGGUGAUAUGAGAAUACAAUGAAUAAAUGAAUGAGUAACUAAUGAAUGUUAAUCAUGCGUAAAUAUGCAAAAAAGGGUGUUGAUUCCAAAAUGGCCCCAUACUUGGGCGUUUCAUUUAUCAAAAGAGUCCGUUACAAAAAGUUUUGCCAUCCUAGUUCAACAAUUACACGAAUUUCCUAGCCACAUCGCCUUGCUUCUUCAUACGUUCCAAGAACUCUGAUAUGCUUGAUCUUUGGCUAGGAGGGUAUUGGCAACUGAGAACUUCCGCUUCAUCUGAUAAUUGUACUAUUUGUGCAGCCGCCUUACGAAUUUCAUUGAUCAACCUACCGAGAUGCAUAUCCUUUUCUUGGAGGGCUCUUUCAUAAGCACGAAUGUCUCUGUCAUGCUGAUCAUUCUUCUCUUCUAAAGCUCUCAAGAGGUCAUCCAGAUGUUGCUGAUGAGCUUGCAGUGUACUCUCUAGACUUCAGAUUUUUCCUUUUAGCCCUUGAUGCUCAGACUGACUAGCCGUUAGUUCUGCAGUCACAGUUUCGUAUUCAACGUUCUUCUUCCUCAACUCUAUCAUAGCACAUGCAGCUCUUUCCUCUUCUUUCUUUGCUUUGGCUUUCCAGAAUUCCAUCCCACCUUUGAUAUUACUUAGUUCCUCUUUCCAUUCUGCUGAUGCUUUGCCCAAUCCACUAUUUCUUAUAGUGCCCCUUAAUUUCUUGUUUUCCAAAUGAAGGUCCCUUAAAUUCUUUCUCGUAACUUGAACUUCUUUUUGGACUUUUUCGGCUCUGGAUUUUUCAAUUUCGACAUCAAUCUUCAGCUGGUAGUUCUCCUCCUGAAGAGAUUAAUAUCUCGCAACAUUUUGGCCUUUUCACGUUCAAAUUCAUGUCUUGCAAUUUCUAGCUCGGAUGGGGUUUUCUCUGAGAACGGAUUCUGGCAAGCUUCAUUAAUUGGUGGGGUUACUUGACUCUUCACUCGUUGUUGCCUCCAUAGGUCAUAGUCUACAGUGAUAGUAUCAGCAUAUAGAGCCAAUUCCAUUAGGUAGAUUCGCCUCCAAGAAUUCGCAGUAUCUCAAACCUUUUUCAUGUAACCCUCACCCAUAAAGGCAAACUCCGAUUGUGCCAAUCCAUCGGUAACUGGUACAAACUGUCGCGAAGCGAACUGUCUUUAAACCAACAAUGGAGCAUAUCCAACUCCUCCCCAUAAUCCUAAUAAAGGUAUCCAGUCUUGGUUUCCACACUUGUAUAACAAGACAGAGGGACGAAUCCAAGGUGCUCUCCAAGUUAUAUCUUCGACACGGAGGUUCUGAAAGACCGAGACCCAGUGUUGUUCAGUGACAUCUUUCGGCCAAUCUUUUCCAAGGUGUGCUUCCAACGGGGCGAAUGUCUUUGAAAACAUGUGGAAAGGCGUACGCUCCACCCUCCAAAAAUGGCUAAAGAUCCAAACAUUCAGUAACUGAGCGCAUUCGAUAAAACGUCCUUCCCCUUUUCUCCUACAAGCAUUUAGAGAUCUAAAAGUCUCAGCCAAGAUGGCUGGGACCGGGUUAACUCUUUGCCUCAACUUUUCGAAGAAAUCCACAACCGCAACUUCAAUAUGCCCAAGAACCUUCGGGAAGACGACCAGUCCGUAAACAGCCAAGGCAAACAAAUCUACUCUUUUUAACACAUCUGGAUGAUUCUGAACUAACUCCCGCAGAGAAAACCACGGGACACAACUGACUUCAUUCUUCUUCUUUAUCUGUUUUUCAGCCCAUGUAUCAGUCAUUCCCGUCAACUUCAUUAGCUUUUUCUUGAAGGUCAUUGGUUUAGGCUCCUUCACAUAUAUCUUGUUGAGUUGCACAUUAUCGAUGCGAAGCAAAGCGGCAUACUCUUCUAUGGUCGGAGUCAUAUCUUCCUGAUUGAAAGUGAAACACUGAUAGGCUGGGUCCCAGAAUCGAACCAUGGCUUGGAUCAACUGCUCGUUCACAUCGAUUGCUAUCAAGUGAGCUAUAUCCCCAUACUUUUCAGUGGAGAUGCUUCUAGUAUCUGAGUCCCACUGCUUCCAAAUCCUAGUCAAGUCUUCGAGAUCAUUUUGACGAGCAUUCAAAGUCACACGCUCGGGAAGAUCAGAGGUGUAUCCUUCCUUCAAACUGUCCCCUUUCACUUUUUGAGUUCUCAAAGACCAAUCUCGGACUACAGCAUUUUUCUCGGUUACUCGUGUAAUUGACUCCUCCAUCAGAAACCCGUUUUUGGCAACCAAUAUUUAACCAACACCUUCCUAAUGAGAUGUCUACGAUGCAUGAUGGAAAAUAAGAUGAAAAACAAAUAACCUUGGUUAGAGAUCACAACAGAUAUAAACAAAAGAAAAAUGAAAAAUAAAGACUAUGGAAAAUUUAACAAAUUAAGCUAUUCAAUCAUGCAAUUUGGUGGAACAGACCCACAUUUUUUUUUGCCCCAACAUGCUUUACAAGAAACCUACCCCACAUACCAUCAGACCAUCUAUCCGACCCAAUUUAUUGAAUAGACUCAAUUUAUCUGCAAAUAAGUGUAAAUGUAAAAGAAAUAAAAGGUAAGAGGCGUUUCUCCCGUGCACUUAUUUUGGUAACUAUCAAACGGACAGAGGUUCUGUAUGGCUCUACUCGGGUGGCCUAUACGGUUCACUAUAUGUAGUUUCGGUUUUAGAAAGGUACUCGAAUUGUCCAUACUAUCACCUACUAAGGUUAGUACAGAGCUUCGGUUAUCGCCCGUCAGGGCUCGCGAGCUCAAUUCGAGGGAUUACAUUUACUUAUGCCUAUGCGGAGGGACAAGUUAACUCACGAAAGCAUAAGUCAUAUGUAACCCGAAAGUAAUUACUAGCCUGUGCGGAGGGACGAGUUAACUCACGAAGGCGUAGCGUUUACUUCCACUUAAACGGACAGAGCCCGGGUAGAGAGCUCAUGUUAUGCAAAAAAUGCAAGUGCACUGUGUGUGGAGAGAAACUCACAAACCUUUUUAUUUUUACUUUUACUAAAAAAAACAAACUAAAACCAUAAAACUUAAAGCUGAAAAAAACACGAAAAUAAAAAAGGUUAGAAAAAUAUUAAUUUCAAAACUGAAUACGGAUGCAUGAUUUUUUUCAAAACAAAAUUCAAGGAUCACGAUUAAAAAUUAAUUUGAACAAGAAAAUUUGAAAAUUUUGACAACACACGUUUAACAUCAGACUCGACUCUCAAAAAAAACUCCCCAGCGGAAUCGCCAGCUGGAGCGACCUAAAAAUUUCUGGGCACGGGCGCUAGUCGAAGUAAUUAUUUAAGGUUUGAAAACAGUGUCUCGAUUUUAUUCGAAAAAGGGAGUCGCCACCGAUCUUUUUUUUUAGGUGUGAUCGGACACCUACAAAAUUCUCUUUUUAGAAGAAAAAUUUAUUUUUAAGCUUUUCUAAAAAGAGGUAAUUUUAGGUCCACGUAAAAAUCAAGAGAAAAUUAGGGUUCUGGAGUCGGUUACGCGCGAGGAAGGUAUUAGCACCCUCGCGACGCCCAAAAUUGGUAUCUCGUUAAAUGCAUGUUGUCUUAACUUUCAAAAAUACGAGUUCCAUUUAAUAUUUAGUCAUGAUCCGAUUGAAACACGAGAAUUUUGAAACACAACAACCCCUUUUUUUUUUUUGAAAACACGAAAUUUUUUUAAAACGCAAGAAUUUUAGAAACACAAAAAUUUUCUUUAAAAAAACACGAAAAUUUUGAAACAUGAGAAUUUUUUCAAAACACAAAUUUUCUUUUUGAAACACGAAAAUUUUGAAAACACAAAAAAUUUGAUAAAUUACGAAACAUGAGAUUUUUUUGAAACACGGAAAUUUAUGAAACACGGUCAAUUUUUGAAAACACAAAAAUUUUUGAAAGACGGGUUUUUUUUUUGAAAACACGAAAAUUUAUAAAACACGGAAAUUUUUUCUGAAAACAAGAAAAUUUUCGAAAAACGAGAAUUUUUGAAAACACAAGAAAUUUUUGAAAACAUGAAAUUUUUUGUUAAACUAGAAUUUUGAAAACACGAAGAUUUUUGAAACAUGAGGAUUUUUGAAAACACGAAGCUUUUUGAAACAUGAGAAUUUUUUGAGAACAUGAAAACAUGAAAAUUUGUCAAACACGGGAAUUUUUUGAAAACACGAUAACAUCAAAGAGUAUUCAAGAGAGUUUUUUGAAACACGGAAUUUUUUUUUGGAAAAAAGAAACACGAAUAUAUUUUUUUGAAACACAGGAAAUUUUUUGAAAAAAAGAAACACGAAUAUAUUUUUUUGAAACACGGGAAAUUUUAUUAUUAUUAUUUUGAAACACGAGAAAUUUUGAAGACAUGAAAAUUUUUGAAACACAAUUUUUUUAAUAAUACCAUAUUUAAUACGAAUCGAUGAUAUUCACCCCGAUAUGGCGAUGAAAUCGUCGUAUUAGUGUCAAAACAAAUCAAAUUAAUAUUUAAUCGGGAUUCUAAUAAAACACGAGGAUUUUUAUUAAAACACGAGGAAUUUUGAAUAUUUUCUAUUUUUAGAAGGGCGUCCCGUAUUUAACACGAGCCAUCAAUAUUCACCCAACAUAGAGAUGAAUUCAACGGCUUGAUGCUAAAUCGGUUCGUUGCCUUAUGCAUUAAAAUAUUUUUCUAUAAAAAAAUGCAAAUAAAAUUACAUAUAAUAAUAUUUCUAAACUAUUAAAAAACUAAUUUAAUUGUAAUGGGGAAAUAUUUAAAUAAAUGGACUUAAUUAGAGUGGGUUUAAAAAAUUACCAAAAGCCCAAAGUUAUGGGCUUGAAUUUUGGGCCUCCCUUUUUCUUUUUUUUUCUCUUUCUUUCCUGGGCUUUGGGCUGCCGGACUGGGCCGAGUCUGCUGGCCCGCUGGUUGCUGGAACAGGCUUGCUACCGCUGCUGGAUCGGGUACAGGCCUUCGUGCGGGUCGGGUCUACCUCCUGGACUGGGUCGUGGCCUGCUGUCACUGUUGGGCUGCUCUGCUGCGCGUGGGCCUGGGCUGCUGCUUAGCUGCUGGAGUGGCCUGCUGUUGGCCUGCCCAAGAUGGCCUAUUGCUUGCUGGGCCGGUCUGCCACUACUGCUGGUGUGGGUGGCCUGCUGCUGGCUUGUUGCUGGCUGCUGGCUGGGUCAGAUCCGGGUCGUCGGGUCGGGUUGGCCCGGCUGUUAUUUUUUUCUUCUAUUUUCUUCUUUCUUCUUUCUUCUUUUCUUUUUUCCUCCUUUUUUUUCUUUCCUUUUUCUUUUUCUUUCUUUUCUUCUUCCUUUCAAACCCUAGCCGCCGUCUUUUGCUUGGUGGCGCGACGGUGCCGGCGCUUCUCCCUUCUCCCUUCUCCUACUCUCUCUUCUUUCUCUCCUUUUCUUUUUCUUCUCUUCUUCCUCUCUUCCUUACUUCUUUACUGUUUGGGUUGCUGUUUUUUUUUGUUUUCUCUUUGCUUGUUUGUAUAGGUGCGACGGUGGUGGUGGUGUCACAACGGCGGUACGACGACGGUGGUUGCGGGAGGAUGGUGGUGGAGGCUUUCAGCUUGCUGCUAUUUUUUUAUUUUUGAAUUUUCUCUGCUCUUUUUCUUUUGGUUGCCGAAAAACCUUUUCUUUUUGUUUCGGUUUCCCUUGGCUUUCUAGGUGGCGGUGCGGUGGUUGCGGUGGCGGGGUAGUGGCACGACGGUGGCGAUGGCUUUUGGGCUGCUGUUGUUUGGAUUUUUUUGAGUUUUUCUCUACUCUUUUUUUAUUUUUUUUUGGUUGCUAUCCGACCCCCUUCCCUCUCUUUUGAUUUUCUUUUUAAUCUCUUCAUUUUUUUGUCCUCUUUCUUCUUGUUUUCAGAUGGCAUGGAGGUGGGGAGCAUGGCUGAUUGGCGGUGUCAGGCGUAGGGUGCGGUGCACGCCCGGAUGCUGGUUGGGGAGCAGUCUUGUCAUGCCCAGAAGGACUGAAUUGUAGAGUGUGCAAAGUUUUUGGGGCAAAAAUGUGAUUUUAGGAAAAUAUAGGGCCAAAAUGUAAUUUCUAGAAAGUUUAGGGGCCAACUAUAAUUUACAAAAUAUUAGGGGUCAAGAUGUAAAUUUAGAAAAAGUUGGGGGUCAAAAAAUAAUUUUUGAAAAGUUUGGAGGCCAAAAUGUAAUUUUUAUUUUUUGUAUUUUUUUUAUUUUUAUUUUUUUUUCAAAAUUUUAUUAUGACUAUUUUAUUAAUAUUUAAAACAAAAAUUAAAAACGGACUAAAGCAAUUCCAAAAUUAAAUCCUAAUGGGCUCGAUCAGUGGGCCCAUACGAGACCGACCCGGCCCAAAAUUCAAACCGGGCAAAAUUCAGUGAUUACAGUUAUUUUAUUAUCUUAAUUAUUUUUCAAAAUUAAUAGAAUUUUAUUAUAAAUUAGGGCAGUUCUCAUUUAAUUAAAAAGUUUAUAUAUAUUAAAAUUAUAAAAAUAUAUUAUUUAGUAAAUUAAAAAAUAAACAAAUACAUAGUUUAAUUAACAGUAAUAUUGUAUUUUCUCCAUUAUGUGGUAUUUUCCCUAUAAAUACAUAGUUUUAGGUUUAUACCUAGAGUUAGCCACCUUAGUAUUAUUUUGCUUUAGUGUUUUCUUUUGUCCAUGAAUUUCUAAAUCAUCUUUUCUAGUCAAAGGGAUUUUGAACUUUGAUUGUAAUAGUUUGUAAGAUCUAAUUGCUCUUCAUCUAUUCUUUGUUCUUUAGCGCUUGCAUGUGUUCUAUUUUAAUUACAAAUAUUCAAGUUUGUUGGAUAUUGGUACCAUAUUCAAUUGCUUAGAACAUAGUGACAAAUAACAUGAUUACAUAUAAACUAUGUAUGCAAUUCAUGUUAUGUGGAUACCCGAUUUAAUCUAAAUGAACCCCGUUGGUGUGUGUUAGUUGGUCAGAAAUAGGUUUCUCUCAUUCUUAAUACUACCUAUAAUUAAGCUAAAUCCUAGGCACGAAGUUAUAGGGCCUCUUGGUUAUCGAAAGGUAAUGAGAGAUUGUUUAUAUGGUUCUUAAUGCUAGGUGCGACAUGGGCAACUAUAACUAAUUUAUUAAAAACACUAAAAUUAUAUUUGCAUCAUUGAUCAAACUCAUGAAUCAAAAUUGAGAUUUUACCUUAGUUAGACUCUCAUUAUAUUGAUUUUGCUAUAUUUUAUUUUGCAAUCUUUUUCUUUUACAAAGUUUUAAUUUUAAUUUUAAAAAUCCUUAUUUUUAUUUUACUUGUUUUUUUAAAGAAUUAGAACAAUCACUAGUCUUUGUGGAUAUGGCUCUACUCACAGUCAUCUACAAAUUUAUUUUUUUAGUAAGAAUUUAUUUUUCUAGGUCACAACAACCAUACAACUUUUGACACCAUUGUUGGGGAUUGGUGUCAAUAAUUUUAUUUCCUUUUAAAUUCAAAUAAGAAUUUUCAAGAAGAGUGAAUGAGGUAAAUAUUUCUUUUUCCUAAUAAUCAUUGAGACCAAACGAUAACAUUAAUGAUGACCUUGAUAUUUGUGGGUGUCGAAAUAUCCCUUAAAAAAAUGUAUUUCAAAUUUUAACUUUCCUGAAAACAUAUAUUAUAAAUAAUAAAAUAUCUAAUAACAUAGUAAAAAAAAUCCAAGUUUUGGUUCCCCUAUAAUCGAUGGCCCAGUUUGCCUUUAACGAGCACUACACCAAAACAGGCUUUUAGCGGCGUUUGAAUAAAAAAUGCCUCUAAAGAUCGAGCAUUAGCGACUCUUUUCGGAAAACGCCGCUAAAUAUCGAACUUUAACAUCGCUUUAUGGAAAACGCCGCUAAAUAUAAGCAUUAGCGGCGUUUUCUAAAAAGCGCCGCAAAAAACCUAUGCUUUCGGGGUUUUAGCGGCGUUUUUAAUGAAGCGCUGCUAAUGCUCAGGGCUUUAGCGGCAUGUUUUGGGAAGCGCCGCUAAUGCUUAGGGCUUUAGCGGCGUUUUUGAGAAAGCGCCGCUAAUACUCUAUUUUUAGCGGCGUUUUCUAAAAUGCGCUGCUAAUGCUCAGGGAUUUAAAAUAAUCUAAAAUAUUUUUUAAAAAUGGAAAAAUUAAAAUACUAUAAGUUCUUUUAAACAGAAUAUAUGGCAUAACCUAUAAUAUGGAAUAAAAGGCGGCAUCACGUGUUAAUUUAAUUUAAUUAUUAUUUAAAAAUUUAUAUAAAUAAAAUAGACAUAAUGAUUUAUUUAUCCUUCUAACUUUACAAAAAAACCAUUACAACCCUUUAUUUAAUUUUUAUCUUUUUAACCCUUAAAUUUAUAUUAUUUAUUAAAUCAGCUCAAAAUAGAUGGGAAAAUUAUUCUUUAUUAACUUUACUAAACAUGGAAGCCAAAGGCCCUGAAAUGAAAACAAUUUUCACCAAAGCGUUUUUAUAACUUAUACACUUUUAAAUUAAUAAUGAUAAAAUUACAUGUUAACCCCCUAAAAAUGAUAAAAAUUUUAUUUAAUCCUUAUAAAAAUAUAAUUAAAAUGGUAAAAUUACAUUUUUAACUAUCCUAAAAUAUACAAUUUAAUUCCAUCUCCUCCAAAAAAUAAAAAUAAAAGAAAAACAUUACCGUUAACCCAGUUCAUAGGAGGCUGAAAGUGAUACCCGGUUCGAUGAAGUUGUUUUACAGUAAAUGCAGUUUUAGAUUAUAAAUGUGGAUGAAUCUUAUGAAAUGCUUCAACGAUGCCAUUCUUACUUAUUAUCUCACAAAAACACCCAAUUAUUAAAUAAACUAACAAAAUAUUUUUUGUAAACUCCAUUGAAAUUUCGAAAGCCGAAUGUUGAAACAGGAUGGUGAUUCAUUUAUAUAGGACUGAAAUUUAACAAUUUCAAAAAAAAAAUAUAUAUUUUAAAAUGUUUAGAUAAAAUAGUUUUUUAUUUGAAUUUACCAGUAAUUUAUAAUAUCAACAUUAAAUCUACAAUUCUUGAUUUUCUUUUUUUAAAAUAAUUAAAAUUUUAUUCUUAUAGUAUUUAAAUAAUUAGGGAUUAUGAAUUGUGGUUUAUGGUUUAAGGGUUGGGGUUUAAGGUUUAGGGGUUAGGGGUUAGGGGUUUAGGGGUUAGUGCUUGCUGAUUUUUUUUAUUGAUCUUCUACCCCUUGUACCUGGAUCCGACCUGACCUGGAUUGUUCCUUGUGUUCUUUUUCUGCUUUCUCAGCAGGGAGAUCCCAUUCUGCAGACAAAGAAGAACACAAAAGAUCAAAGGUAAUUUUAUUUCAAUUUGAUCCAUUUUUCUUGGUUAUCUUUUCCGUGUUUUUUUAUUUGUAAUUUGUUAUGUUUUCUGGGUUUUGCUUAUAAUGUCUGCAUUAAUAUUCAUUUCACAUUUUUUGUUUGUAUUUGCUUUUGUUUCUUUUUCCCAUCACAAUCAAAGUUCUAAACUAAUUUUUUCCCUGUAAUUUCAUUUUUAGAUUCAAAGUUUCUUUUUUUUUUUAAAUUUUUUUAUUAAUAGCAUUGACUUUUAAUAUUUAUUUUGAUAGUUUUUUUGGGGGAAGUGUGGGGGGGGGGGUCAGCAUAUUUGCUUUUGAACAUAAGAUUGAUUCUGCCUGUGUUGUGUAUUUGCCAAAUUCCAGUCCUGGAUUCAAAGUUUGUAUGUGUUUCUUACCAUUUUCUAAGAAAUAAAAAAUAUGUUAUUAAUAUUGUCUUUGUUAAGUCUUUUUCACAUAAUAUUCUUUGAAGUUUGAACAUUGUUUUGCUCCUUUUCAUUAUGGAAAAACAAAUCUUUUUUUUCCAAUUUAGUCUUUGUUUUUAAUUAUUUUAUAUAAUUAAAUUACUCAAAGUUUAUUUCCCUUUUUUUGAUCCAAACUUUUCUUUUGUACAAAAUUACUCUCUUUCUUAACUUUUUAUAUUAUAUAUAUGUUUUAUAAUAUUAGCUUUAGCUCUCAGUUUUCACUUUCACAUUGAGUUAUUUGAGCAUUUUUCAUAUUUCUUGCUAAUGUGGGACAGAUUUCAUUUUCUUAAAAGGAAAAAAAUUAUGUUGUUUUUGUUGCCUCAAUCCUCUUUAUUUGUCUCUUUAACCUCAUUGGAUAUGGAGUCUAUGUUGUCUUUUCUUUUCAGUUUUUCCAUUUUAGAUUUAUAGGUAAACUUCAAAGUGGUUCUUCUUCAAGUUAAAACAGUGGGGUUUUUUACAUUGAUCAUCUUAAGUUUUCAGAAAAUAUUUUUCCUGUUGAUUUGGAUUUUUUAAGGUUAUUUUUGUCUUUCCUUCCUAAAAUACUUUUUUUUGGAUGAUUUAAUGAAUAUGGCAGGAUUAAGCUUUAGAAAUCCAUGAUUAACUGAGGACUCUAUAUUGGGUCCUCAGUUCAGUUGUUUAAAAUCUAUAUAUUUUUUUAUAAUAUGCUAUGUUAUUCGGACUUGGAUAUGUCCUUGGAGGAUCAUAUCCCGGUACUUUUGUUUGCAUAUGUGCUGGACACAGAUGCUUUAAAUAAAAUGAAGAGUGCUUGCUGUCAACUAGGAGUUUUGAUGAUUAUGAUCAUGAUUGUUUCAUAUAUAUAUAUAUAUAUGCUCUAUUUUUCACCUAUAGUAACAUUAAUUUUGUAAAGAUAUUUUCUUCAAUUCUGAAACUGCUUUAAUAUCUCUUAUCUUAAAAGUUUUGUUUAUCUUGGUAAACUUAAUUUUGCAGCUGCUACUGGAUUUUUUGAGCUUCUCUGCUUCUAGCUUUUCAUCUAUGGCCAGAUACUCAGUUGUGACUGAUAAGGUCUCAAUAGAGGUUGUUGAAGAAUUCAUUCUAGUACAGUUGAAUCUGACAAAAGGCACAAUAUCUGAAAUUAAGGUACCUAAUUCUUUUUUUUCCUUCUUAGCCAUUAAUCAUUAUUGAGUGUUGACAUGGGGGAUCUAUGCUACUAUAUCUAUGUUACUCUAACUCAUCAUUUUUUCUGAAGUGCUCAUGUUUGACACUUGUGUUUGAUGCAUAUUUGGACAUGGAUACAUGAACAUGAUCCUCCAAAUAUAUGAAAAUCCUUAAAAAAGUUGAGCAUACCUAUGUGGGAUAUAUACCUUAUCUGAAAAUAAAGGUUAUGCCUUUUUAAAAACCUGUUUAAUACAUUAUAUAAAUUUCUUCUUAAAAGUUUGUUAGGGCUGAAGCAUGCAUUAGUCUACUAUAAUUUGCUGCAUAAAUGGAAAUUAGCUAGGUGUCCACUGCACAACCUUCAAUUAGACUUUACAUAAAAAAAUUCAUUAUUCAAGGCAAACUGCCUGGCUUGCUGAAAAAUGAUAGUUACAAACUGCCUUCAUUUCUCCCAUAAAGAUCUGCCGAAAUAUGUUUCAUCUAACAAGAUUUUGAUUGACAGCACAUUCAUUUGACAGGAUAAUUUGGAAACCCUGUUGCAAGAGGACAUUCAGGCUGAUCUAGUCUGCUGCUUGCAGCAUUUGCAGGUAUUUUGUGUAGUUUAAGUUGUGAACAUUGGGUUUUGAUUUGUCAUGUGAACAAAUAUGAUGAAUCUGAAGUGCAUUUCUAUUCUUCUAUUUGCAGUUAAGAUUUGAAAUUGAAGACAAAGCAAGGAGACCUCUAAGUAAUGUGUCAUUUUUGUUGAAACCAGGGGGUUAUUUUUUCGGUAUUACUCCUGAAAAAGUGAUUGCCAAAAACUGUUGUUUCUGGAUUUAUGUAUUUUCCUUUUUUUUUCUUGUGAUUACUGCUGCACCUGUUUCUGGGAGGUGAUUGUGUAAACAUUUUAGUGUGCUUUAAUUAUUGUAAGAAUAUUAAAUUUUAACAUUGUUAAUUUUAAUAUUAUUGUAAGAAUAUUUUGAAUUAUAAUUCAGUUAUCAAUUAAUAUCAUAUAUCUUUCAUUGAAUUUGAAGUAUCAUUUAAAUUUACUGUUUUUGGUUGGAUUUUAUGUUACAAGAAGAUUUGUAUAUGGAUGAAAAUCGGCAAAUUUGUCAAAAUUAGUGGCGUUUUCCCAUAAACGCCGCUAAAGUACGUACUUUUAGUAGCGUUUGUGAUGAAAGCGCCGUUAAAGAUAAUGUUCUCUAGCGGCGUUUGUGGGUCAAGCGUCGCUAAAGGUCAUGUUCUUUAGCGGCGUUUGUGUGUAAAGCGCCGCUAAAGCUCAUGUUCUUUAGCAGCGUUUGUGGGUAAAGCGCCAUUAAAGGACAUGUUCUUUAGCGGCGUUUGUAGCUAAAGCGCCGCUAAAGGUUAUGUUCUUUAGUGCGUUUGUGGCUAAAGCGCCGCUAAAGAUUAAGUUCUUUAGCGGUGUUUUUUUCACAUAAACGCCGCAAAAGUUAGCGACGUUCUCAAUAGCGGCAUUUUUUGCGGCGCUUUUGUGUAGUGGAGGAUGAUGAGGAAAGUCUUGACGAUGUUGUGGAUAGCUCGGUUCAAGUUUAGGGUGCUUCUAAUAGUGCUAAUGUUUCUUCUAUUGUUCCAUCGACUGGGAAUCCUUCUUCUAUUAGUGUAGCUGCUGAUACAGUUACCUCUACUUCAAUAAGAGAUGAGACAAUACAGAUUGCCUGGGUCAUGUUUAGUCUUUUUGUAAAACUUUGGUAUUUAAUGCAAACUUUAUCCCUUAUUUGGAUUCCGUGUUUAUGUUAUGCAUCCUUGCAUUUCUUUAUCAACUUAUUGUAUUGAUCUUGUGUAGCUUUAUCAAGCUUUUAUUUUUACUACUUGGAAGAUGUAGGGAAUUUUAUUCUUUCCUUAUUUGUUGUAUUGUGCUUUUAGAUUAACUUAGUGAGAAGUACCCUUGGCUAAGUCUUUCAGAAGGCUAGUAGUUUUAUUUGCUAUUAAUUUAACGGGCAGUAUCCUUGGAGGGUCUGUGCUAAAUUAAUGGGCAGUAUCCUUUUUUAGUUGCAAUGUGACACCUCACACUCGAUUCGGACGACGAAUUUAUAUAUAAAACAUCACAUUCAUUAUCGAAACAACUCAAACAAACAAGAAACUGACGUCAAAGCCAAAUCAAGAAGCAUAGCACAUAAUUCAUAAUUUCCAAAACGCUAAUAAUUAAUUUGUAACUUUUUUUAAUAUAGUUAAUUUAAUGACUAAUGCCGUAAUUAGUCUCACUUAAAAAGAGCCCACCAUUUGACUUGACGCAGAGGUCAAGAGAUAUCUCUAAAAAUGGGAAGCAAUAUAUGAUGUUUAUGGUUGAUAUUGUUCUAUGUGAGGUGUUCAAAUGGUUGAUUGAUCAGUUAACUAAAUCGAACUAGUAUUAAUUGAAUUAAUCUAACUUUUUAAUCUUUAACUGUUAAUUAAAUCGAUUUUUUUUCAAAAAGAUUAACCGAACAAAAAAUAUUUCAAUUAAUUCAAUUGGUUAACCAAAAUUUAUAUAUAUUUUUUGUUUAAAAUGAAUAUAAAACAUAUAAAAAAAUUGAUAAUGUUCAUUUGACUGAAUUAACCUAAUUAAUCAAAUUAGUAAUAGCCUAAUACAUAUGACAUAUAAUAUUAUUUAUUAAGUUCAGUUAAUUCGGUUAAUUACUCGAUUUCGAACUGAAUUAACCAUUAACUGAAAUUCCAAAAAUCAUUUAAUCGAUUUUUAACCAAAUUAAAUCAGUUAACUGAUCAAUUAACCGAAUUAAAUCAAUUUAAUCAAUUAAUUUAAUUUUAACCGAAACUUAAACACCUUUUUUAACUCUAUGAAUGCCAAAAUCCAUAUAUAGACUUAUUUCGGAUGUUAGAAUUUUCCACCAAAAACCAAGUCUUUGUGGAAUUAAAGUUUUGUUGCUAAGACCCACUGGAUUUUUCAUAACCACUAUAAUUAGAUUAGAACUAUCUCUCCGCGUAUGCUCGAGUUUAAAAUUUUUUAAUUAAAUUUUAUUAAUCUAUUUUUUAAUUAUUAUAAUAUUAACAUAGAAAUUAAAAUUGUGAUUAUUGUUUAUAAUAGAAUAUAAAGUCUUAAAUUAUAAUGAUAAAAUCAUGGAGAAGAUAUUUUAAUUUAAAAAAUGUAUAAAAUUUAUAUAUUAUCUCUUCAAUAAUUUAAAUUAUAAUGAUAAUUUUUAUAUAUUAAAAUUAAUAUAUUAUCUCUUUUACAAUUACAUAAAAAAUUAUAUUAAUAUAUAAAAAUGAUAAAUUAAAAGAAAUUCUCUUUUAAUUGUUUGCCAUUAGAUAUCUAGUGAACUGAUGCCACUAAUUUAACUCUCAAAAAAUGGAAGUUUGAGAAAGCUAAAGGUUGUUAAAUUAGACAAAAAGAAACAAGAAGCCAUGCCAAUAAUUCCGUUAACAAUUUAACCGGACCAAAGUAGAACUAAAUGAUAACAUUAAUGAUGAAAUUAAAAGUUUUUUGUAGUUCAAUGACAAAACAAAAAUACGCUAAUAAUUGAGCCAUUCAUUGUGCAAUUUAGACUUAAUUUAUUUUUGGAAGAAAUUGUAUUUAUGUGAUAAUAAUAAAUUUUAAAAAAAUAUUUAUUUUGUCAAAAAUUUGUAAUUAUAAUCAUUUAAAUAUAUAUAAAAAAGUAUCCAACAAAUAUAUCAAAUUAUUGCAAUAAAAGGAUGAAGAAAUCAUAAUAUAACAAGACACCAAUUAGAAAUAACUUCAUUUCAAAUAUAAAUGAAAUUUAAUAAUGAAACAAAUUUUAUUAAAGGCAAGGACUAAAUUAAAAAAAUUAAAAUCAAUUAUAGACUAAGGGUGAGUUUGGAUGGGCGGUGUGUUUACCUGUGGUUAGAGUAAAAACAGCGGUGGUGGUGAGAUUAGAUACUGUAGCGAUACUGUAGCGUGAGACAAAAAAUAAGUUAAACGCACCGCACCGCACCCAAUCGCCCAUCCAAACUCACUCUAAGAUAUGAAUAUAUAAAUAGUGAAAAGCGUAAUCAUAAACUUUUAAAAUAAAAAUAUUCUAGAAAGCAAUUAUUUCUAAAAAGUAAAAAUCAUCCACCCUCUUUUGUUUAUUAUACUUUUAUAUUGAAUAUACUAUGUCUUUUUACUUGCUGAAAAGGUUACAAAGUUAUCAUAAAUUUCCUAAAAUCUUAUAGCACUUUUCCAAAGAUCCAAUACAGCAUGAUACAAUAGCUGAAUUAUACCAUUAAUUAUUAAAUUAUAGAUAAUCAAACAAGAUUAUAAUUUAGUCAUUAAUAUUUUCAAAAUUAUUUUUAUGGUCACCUGAUUAAGUGGCACUUUUUUUUGUUAGUAUGAUAAUAAUUUUAUUCUUUGAUUUUUCUAUUAAUUUGACUCUGAUUCUAAAUAAAAAUUAUAAAUAAAUAAAUAAAAAGACAAUUUCAAAAAUAGUGGUAAUCAAAUUGUAACGUUUUUAGUUUAAUGUCAAAAACAAAAAUUUAUCUAUAAUUAAUUUAACGCAUAUAUACCCUUUAUUUUUUGAAAGGAAAUCUUACUUAAAAAUAUCCCACCACUUGACUUACACACAAGUCAAGUAAGGAAAGCAAUAUUUGAUGUUUACUGUUGAUAUUAUUUUAUGAAUGCCAAAAUCCAUAUAUAGACUUAUUUCGAGUGUUUGAAUUUUCCACCAAAAACGAAGUCGCUGUUGAAUUAAAAUUUUGGUGCUAAGACCCACUGGAUUUUUCACAACCACUUUUAUUAGACGAUAAUUAUCUCUUCACGUAUGCUGGGGUUUAAAAAUUUUUAAUUAAUAAAUAAACAGAGAUAAUAAAGAACAAAGAAUAUGAGAGUUAACAAAAGAGAGUGUGUGUUUUAUUGAUCAAUCAGAAUAUUUACAAAACUUUUUCAAAAUCUUUAUUUAUAGGUAUAAAAAGUAUAAAUGAAGUAGAGAUCUCCGGAUGACUAUUAAAAUUUAAAGUACAUCAAAACUUUUCUCGGUUUUAAUGGAUAUCCGUUUAAUAAUAUAUCCAAAACAUUUAUUUAUUUUUAAAAAAUAUUAUAAUAUUAACAUAGAAAUUAUAUUUGUGAUUAUUGUUUAUAAUAUAAUAUAAUAUAAAUGAUAACAUCAUGGAUAAAAAUAUUUUAAUUUAAAAAUUGUAUAAAAUUUAUAUAUUAUCUCUUCAAUAAUUUAAAUUAUAAUGAUAAUUUUUAUAUAUUAAAUUUAAUAUAUUUAAUCUUCCUUUAAACGAAACAAAUUACUUGUUGAGUUAUUGUAUUUAUUCUAUGAAUUAAUUUUAAAUUUUAUUUGUUAAUCUUCACAAAAUUAUUAGACACUUUGAGCAGUUUAGAAAAUCAUUUAAAAGUAGAGAAAUUCUAUUGAAGAAUGAUAUUUUUGAUUAUUGAAAAUAUUUGCUUAUUGAAGAAUGAUAUUUUUGAUUAUUGAAAAUAUCUGCUUAUUAUCAGACGGAUGAUAUUUUAAAAACUCAAACUAAUAAAACAAUAAUUUGAAACAGUGAAGAAACUUAUAGAAAGGGUGUAGCAAGAGAGCUAGAGGGUUGACACCAGAAGUCAAGAGAUAUCUCCAUAAUGGUCACUUGUGUUGAGUGGUCUGGGGUGAUUGAAUUUUGUACAUUGAAAACGAAGGUAGAGGACAAUUGCUUUCUUGUCACUAUUGCUACAAAUGCCAUUGAAUUUCCACAAGAAAUUUAUCCCAUAUUUAGUUAAGGGAACCUCACUUGACUUGACACGUGACACAAGUCAAGAUAUAUCUCUGAAUGUAAGUAUUAUAGAUUUUUAUUUUUUUUCUAUUAUAUCAAGUAAAUUUUUUAUAUUUAUGUCAUGUAAUUAUAUUAUGCAGUAAAACGUACAAGUCUAAUUCAUAAUGACUUUCGAUAUUGCCUCACGUAUCAUCAUGCCUAUGCUAUUUUUGUAUUAUCCUUGUUUUGAAGGCUAUAUAUAUUUAUAUAAAUUUUGUUUUAGGUAGAUUUUAACAUGUUUUUUCUUCAUCUCAAGUACAUUUUUUUUUAUUUUUUUUUUCAUAUUUUAGUUAUUGAAUGUUGGGCUUAAAAUAUUAUAAACAUUCCUAAUUAUAUAUUAAUUUUACAUUAAGUUUUAACAGAUAAAUUUAGCAUUAUUAUAUUAUACUAUAAUAAAUUUCUUAGGUCAAAAUUAUCUUUGAUUUUUUAUCCAAUUAGAUAUUCCUACACCUUUUUUUUUAUUUCUAAUAACAAAUUCAAAAUUAUCUAUAUCUAUCUAUAGUACAAACUGGCUCUUAAGAGAGUUUUAAGAGUAAAUGGGUUGAUAAUAGUGUUUUUCAAUUUUAUACAUAUUCACAAUUUUUAUCUUUAAAGGUGUCAAGGUUCGUUCAUUUAUUUUCAUAUAAUUAUGUUCAUUUAUCUUCAUACCAGGCUUUCUUGCAGGCUUACAAUCUACUCUAGCUUAUUAUUACUUUAAUGCAAGCUGCAGGACAGGAUUAUGAGUGUAACACCCUAAAUUCGGCCUAGACGUUAUAGUCGUAUCUGGUAAUGUCACACGAUAGUGUUUUUGAAACUUCAUUGUUACGAUGAAAACAUUCCAUAUUUUUUAUUUUAUUUUUUAUUUUAGUAAACCUUUGUUAGAACUUAGGAAGUCGUCUUUACUCAUUUAAAACAUUUUUUUUGAAACAUCCCUCGUUAUAAAUUCAUAAAGUAAAAUAAAUAAAUAAAAACCCAAAUUUAAAACCAAAGUCCCAGAGGGUCCUUAAAUUACAACCCAAAUAAUCAAUAAUAAUCAAAUCGUAAAUCGUAAAUUGAAAACCAUGAAGUCCAAAAAUUACUAUGGUCACCGCUGAGUCCUCCAUCACACCUAUUCAUCUAGGUCUGGGGAUUACCUGUGCACAGUAAACAAAAAGGCGAGUUUAUGUAAACUUAGUGUGUAAUCCCAUAGAAACAAACAAACAAUCAAUAUUCACAGUGCACAGUUGAAUAGUCUUGGGCCUAAGCCCUUUUCAGUAUCAGUGACAGUUUGGGCCUUAGCCUAUCUCAAUACAAUGUCAAAAAUGCAAUAGGACCUUAGCCCAUUACAGUAUUAGUAGCAGUAACAGUUAUGCAGUAGUAAAAUCCUACCUAACCAGCCUCUACACACCAUCUCCGUCCAACCCUACACUCCAUAUAGGGAUAUAAUCAACUCACUCAUCUCUACACUCUAAGUAGUACCGAAUGAGGCACAAAACAGUAGUUUGCAACUGAGCUGCCAGUAAAUUUGGCUAAAAGCCUUUCAGUACACUUCUUCCGAAUAACAACCCCCAAUCCAAUGCAAUGCAACAUACAAUGGAUGACAUGCUAUUAUGCAAUUUCAGUACAUAUAUUCAAUUCAAAUAUUUUCAUACUCAGUACAGAUAUCAUUCAGUCAAUUUCACACAUUUAGGGAUCUAAGUAGCGUUUACCGACCCUACAAUAGGUUCACAGUCGACUUGGGUGACCCGUGCAACCUUAGAAACAUUUCGAUGAAAAUGGGCUCACAUACCUAUGUGAUCUGCCCCUGUGGGCCCACAGGCCUGUGUAGCCCACUCGGCCCAAAUUGGCCUUGGUCGUGUGAUCUAUUUUUAAUGUAACCCAUGCUAGCUAAAUAUUCAUAUAUGUUUUCACUAUUUACUUAUAUGUUCAUUCAAAGUUGUCUACUUGAGUCAUUGUCACUAAAUUAUUUAUAUCUUGAGUUACGAAAAUCCAAAUUAAGACCCGCUUGAUGUUUUUGAAACUAGACUCAAAUACCUUUCUACCAUAAAAUUUUCAGAAUUUAUAGUUUAUCAAAUAAGUACAUUAAAAUCUUCAAAUUUAUCCCAAUUCUGCUAUUUGACAGCUUCAACUUUUUCUUACUUAAAAUUAUUUAUCUCUUAGUACGGAAUUUGGAUGAUGUUUCUAUUUGUUUCUCUUGAAAAUAGACUCAUUAACGAUUUAAACAUAUAAAUUUAAGCCCUUAUUUAUUGUUUUUCAAUUUUUGAUGAUUUUCCAAAGUCAAAACAGGGGAACCCGAAAUUAUUCUAACAUUGUCUCACAAAAUUUAUUAUAUCUCAUAAUUUACAAUUCAAUUGCUUACAUUGUUUCUUCCAUGAAAAACUUAAUAAAAUUUAAUUUCUAAUUUUAUUCAACCUCUAACUCAAUUUCCACUUAUCUUGAUGAUUUUUCAAAGUUAGACUACUACUGUUGUUCAAAACUAUUUUAGUGCAAAAUGUUGAUUUCCAAGUUUAUAACACCCUUAUUUCCUUUCUCUAUAAGUUUUCACAUUAUUUUCCCUUAUUUCUCUUAUUUCUCGAUAGCAAGCAAUUUCGACUUUUCGCCGAAUCCUAUUUUCUGCGUUUCGGGUACACACCUGGUAUCGUUUUGCUGCAAAUACGCUCUCAGGCACUCCAAGACUUAAAAAUCGAUAAUUAGAGCCCAAUUUAGAUCACUAACGAAAACUCAAAACUAAAAAUCAUCUACAUCAAAAUCAAUAGCAAACCUAAACACUUACCGACAACGAACUAAAAUUUCUAACGCUCAAUUUGCUUGUGAAGCCGCAACUGAUUUCUGAUUUUCGCCUAAACCAAGAGAGCCAAAACAAUCCUUUUUAGGAACUAGCUAAGAAACGAUAAAAUAGAGACAAUUAGAUACUUACAGAACCAGUGUAUACAAUUGCUAGUUGGAAAAUAGGCUAGUAAAAAAAUCAAAUAGAGAGGGUGGGCUAGGGAACAAAAAUUUGGCAAAGCAAAGAAGAAGAGGACGGUAGAAAAAUUGGGGAAAAAAAGAGAAUGCCGAAAUUUAGGAAAAAUAAAAACCAAAUAGAAACUUAGAUGAUAUUAAUAACUACCCUACAUCCCUAAAUUUUCUCCCACCAAUCCUACUAACCUACAACCACUCCAGAAUUCCACUCUGCCGAAAUACUUGUCCAUCAUUGCGUAAAAAUAACGCCUAUGCUCCAGCAUAGAUUCGAACUCAGGACCUCAUAUAAUUAAACACUCUACUUAACCACUAGACCAGCAGACCCAUUUUGUUAUUUAAUUACCAACUAUUAAACUUAAGCUUUUUAGGCCAGGUUAAGGCUUUAUUUAUAAAAAUACUAAUAUUUGCCCAAGUCAUGGCUUGAACUUGGGACCUCCCACACACUUCCAAAACACUUACCCAUUGAAGCAGACAAGUACUUAUAUCACAAAAACAAGAAUUAAAAAUUUUGGUGCAUUAUAAUUCUACCCCCAAGAGAAAAUUUCAUCCUCGAAAUUUACCUGAUCAGAACGAAUGAGGAUGCUGCUGACACAUCGCAUCCUCAAGCUCCCACGUUGCCUCCUUAGUAUUAUGGUUACACCACAGAAUCUUCACCAGAGGGAUAGACUUCCUCCUCAAAACCUUUACGUCUCAAUCCAUAAUCUGAACCGGCUCCUCCUCAAAGGUUAAAUCUGGCCUAACCUCAAUCUACUCUAUUGGAACAAUAUGUGUAGGAUUAGAGAGGUAGCACCUCAACAUAGAAACGUGAAACACGUCAUGAAUUUGAUCCAACUCUAGAGACAGCUCCAAUUGAUAAGCGAUCGGUCCCACUCGUUUCAAAAACCUAGAGCUCAACUUGCUCUUACGACCAAACCUCAGACUCUUCUUCAUUGCAAAACCUUGAGGAACAUGAAGUCCCCCACGGAAUACUCAAUCUCUUGACGCUUUAGAUCCGCAUAGGAUUUUUAUCUGUCUGAUGGCAUUUUCAGACGAUCCCGAAUCAGUCUAACCUUAUCUUUAGUCUCCAAUACUAACUCAGGAUCCAGAACACGUCGUUUGCCCAACUCAGUCUAACAUAAAGGAGUGCGACACUUAUGACCAUACAAUGCCUCGUAAGGUGUCAUCUAGAUGCUAGACUGAAAACUGUUAUAAUAGGUGAACUCCGCCAGUGGCAGAUAAUCUUUCAAACUACCUUAAAAAUCAAUAGCACAGCUCUUGAAUUUGAGCCUUAAGCUCCACAAGCUCCUUCCGUGCCUUUCGAUAGGGAGCGAUGGACACCAGAGCUGUACCUGGAAGUAGCUCAAUCCCAAAUUCCAACUCGUGAUUCGGAGGUAACCCAAGUAGCUCUUAAAAAAAGACGUCUAAAAAAUAUUUUACCGUUUCAAUAUCCUUAAUUGUAGAAUCCUUAGAAUCCAAAACACUUACGGAAGCUAAGAAUGCCUCACAUCCCUUAUGAACUAUUUUCUCUGCCACCAGUAUAGAGAUCACAUUAGAUAAGUAAUUCUGGCAUUCUCCAAUCAUGACUACCUCUUUAUCCUUCUUAGUCCUUAGUACGACCCUCUUAGUCGCACAGUCUAAGCUAACACGAUGCUUGACCAAUCAGUCCAUCCCUAGAAUUAGGUCAAACUCCCCAAAUAGAAGCUCCAUCAAAUCAGCCAAGAAGAUUGCCCCUUGUACCUCUAAAGGAAUGUCCUUAUACAGUUUACUAACUCUAACAGAUUGCCUUAAUGGGAUCAGUACCGUAACUUCACUCGUAGUGCUCUCAACUGGAAUUGUUGACACCAUUUUUGGAUUAAAAACGGGGUCGACUUGGGUUUUGAAAAUGAAAAUGAAUAGAGGAGUCGCCACCAAUCCUUUUUGAUGAGGUGCGAUCGGGUCACCUCGAAUUAAUCAUUUUAAUAAAAGUUAAGAUUUACUAAAACGAUAAUUUUUUUUGGUCUACGAAAAUCAGAAAAUGAGUUCGGGAGUCGGUUACGCACGAGGAAGGAUUAGCACCCUCGAUACGCCCAAAAAUUGGUACCUAGUUGAUUAAUUAGUGUCUUAGUUUCGAAAAUUGAAAACUUAAAAUACUUUGAAAUACGAUCCAUCUCUUUGUAAAAAAAACUCAAAUAUUAAAGACCUUCUCAUCUCUAAGUGAUAAAAUAUCACAUCCAGUAAGUUAGGACACGACAUCUCGAGCUUUUGAGAGUGAGUUUGUCUUUAUUUAAAAUUCAUGCAUUUUAACUUUUUUUUAAAAAGGAUGUUCGGUUAUUUAGGGUAAACGAAGAAAGUCGAAACCCAGUAAGUUAGGGUACGUUUUCUCGAAUUUCCUAAAAACGAAAUAUUGCCUUAUUUUGAAUUUUUUUUUGAAUAAUAGCAAAUGCAACAUUUAGAUAGUGUGCAUUAUUUGUUUGGAUUAAAAUAAAACAAUUUAUUGGAUAAAUGCAACGAGACUUGAUUCAUGAAGCGAUGAUAUAAAAUAAAAAUAUAGUAAUAAGCCUAGAACAAUGAUACAUGAACACAACAUUAUAUGGAUGAAUCACAAUAAUGCAAAAAUACGAAAUAAACAAAUUAAAAUACACAAAGACAAUAAUCAUACAACAUUUAAAUAAUAACAUCGAUAGAUAAAAGACCAAUGAAUUAAAUAAUAAUUUUUUAAGAAAAUAAAUGGCAUAAAAUAAAUUAAAAUAAAUAAUAUAAAACAUUUUAAAAUGACAAUAAUAAGUUUGAAAUAAAUAAUGUGAAAAAGGAAAUUUAAAAAUCAAUAACACACUAAACGAUAAAAAAUAUGUUUAUACAAAAAAUUAAGAUAAACAGUAUGUAUAUAUAUGUAUAAAAGUAUGAAGUGAAUGAUAUAAAAAGAGCAAAUAAUAGCAGUAAAACAUUUCGGAAUAAAUAAAUAGGAUUCAAAAUAAGAUACGUAUAACAAUUUAAAAUAAGCAAUAUAUAAAUAAAUAGAGUUUAAAAUAAAUGAUGUAAAAAAAAAAAUUUAUUUAAAAAAAAGGAACAAUAAUAUACGAAAAAGAAAAAAAGAUAUAUGAAGAAUAGAAAAUAUUUAUAUAAUAUGUGCAAAGAAACCAAAAUAAAUAAUGUAUGUAGAGUAGUUUAGAAUAAACAAUAUAUGCAAAACAACUUACAACUUUGAGUAAUUGAUACAUAAAAUUGGUUAAAAUUAAUAAUAUAUGAAAAUGAACCGUAUAUAGAAUAUUUUAAACACAUACAAUAACAGUUCCUUUUUUAAGAAAAAGAAUUAAACAGGUGAAGGAUUAAUUCGAAAACAAUACAAAAUUCUAGGUAAAAAAUAAAAAGAUACUGCCAGGAUUAAAAUGAAGUGCACCUAAAAUCAUAAGGACCAAAUGGGAUAAAAACCAUAGCCCUAACAUGCGCAUGAGGCCCGACAGAUCAAAAGACUGAUUUAAAAAACAAGCAAAAUCUAACAACUAAAUUAAGAGAAAAAGCAAAGAUAAAAUAGGGCCUGAUCAAAGGACGCUAAAGAUGGAGGGACCUCGUGUGCAAAUAUCCUAAUAAUUGAGGAUACAUGAAUCCCCAUCCCCACCAACGGCACCGUUUUGUUUGGUGUUUAAAACACCCAUUCUCUUUAUUAUUUCAGCCCUAAUUUCAUAGAAGAAAAGAAAAAAAGAACAAAAAAAAUAGAAUGUUAAAGCUUCUCUCCCUCUCCUCUCUUACUGAAUCGUGAGCCCGUCGCCGUUGCAUCACCGCGCCCCCACCGUAUCGGUGGCUGGCGAUGCUCAAGGGUGGGUUUUUAGCCCCCGAUUCAACCAGGUAUGAAGGCUAAGAUUUUUUAACCAAGAAAACCCGAAAAUGAAGGGAUCUCCACCCGUUUUGGGUUCGGCUCCGACGACUGAGGGAACCGCCGACGGUGUGACCCAGGGGUUCGGGUAAGUUUUCUCCCCGUCUUCUUUUUAUUUCUUGUUCUUGAAGCUUAAAAGCAAAAUCAAAAAUGAAAAAAGAAAAAAAGAAAUCAGAAAUUGAAAAAACGUAACCUUUUUCUUUUGUUUUUGCUCUUUUAUUUCUGAAAUAUGCGUGUGUACAAGAAUGGGGAUCCCUUUUUUACAAUUGCUUUCGGCUUCUGUUUUUAGCCGAAUGAGAUAGAAUCCAAAAUCUCCCCCUUUUACAUUGAAAAUGAAUGGCUCUUUAUAGCCGAUUAUACAAAGUCCUAUUGUUGUUUUGUUACUGUUUGCUGCGUUUCUGUUUCUGUUGCUGCUUCCGUCAUGUUUGCAGGUGUUCAAGGAGGUGAUGGGAGCAGGUGGAGGAGAGAUGGCGAUGGGACGUGCGGCUGACAGAGAGCAGCGGCAAGUGGGAUACUAGGGUUUCAGUUUCUGAAACCCUAGUCUGAUGUGGGCUUGGCUGUUGGGCCAGGGUGCUGGGCCUUUUAUUUCUUUCUUGGGCCCGGGCAAAUGGGCCUGCAACAGCUGCCCCUCUUUGCUCGUUGUCGUGUAACGAUAACAGAGAAAAGACUAAGAAAGGCCCAUUUUGCCCGGUCUCGCCGAGUCUUGACUUGUUCUGGUACUUCUCCAUUUCAAGUAGUUUCAUUCCAGUCCACUAGGUCUUGUUGCUUCGAUCCAUUCCACUGCAUUUUAGAGAGAUGCGUCCUGUAGCCUUUAUCUUCUUCGUAGCAACUUCAGGGGGACGAGGUUUGUGGUUUUCAAUCUAUUCCACUGCAUCUUCAGGGAAAUAAGACUUGAUGCGACCUACUCUGCUGUAACCUCAGAGAGAUAAGAUCCUUUAUUUUAACCCACUCCACUGUAACUUCAGGGAGAUAGGAUAGUGUCUUCGAUCUGCUCCGCUGUAAUCUCGGGGAGAUAAGAUCUCUGGCUUCAAUCUGCUCCACUGUAACUUCAGGGGGACAAGAUCUGUAAUUUCCAAUCUAUUCCACUACAGGUCAGGGAUAUAGGACUUGUGGUUUGAAUCCGCUUCCUUACACUUGAAGAUAAGAUUUGCUGUCUUUGAUCUGCUCCGCUACGGCUUAGGGAGACAAAAUCUGUAACCUUUAACCAGCUCCAAUGCAACCAAUGGAGGCAAGGCUUUGUUUUUGAUCUGCUUUACUGUUAAUGCAGGAAGGCAAGAUCUGCUUCUUUAACUAGCUCCACUGCAAUCGAUGGAUGCAAGGCUUUGUUUUCGAUCUGCUUCGCUGUUAAUGUAGGACGGCAAGAUCUGCUUCUUUAACCAGCUCCACUACAACCGAGAGAGGCAAGGUUUGUGUCUUCGACCUGCUUCAAUGUCAAUGCAGGAAGGCAAGAUCUUUUGUCUUCAACCAGCUCUAUCACAACCGAAAGAGGCAAGGUUUGUGUCUUCGAUCUGCUUCGCUGUCAAUGCAGAAAGGCAAGAUCUUUUGUCUUCAACCAGCUCCAUCACAACCAAAGAGGCAAGGUUUGUGUCUUCGAUCUGCUUCGCUGUCAAUGCAGAAAGGCAAGAUCUUUUGUCUUCAACCAGCUCCAUCACAACCGAAAGAGGCAAGGUUUGUGACUUCAUUGAUCUGUCCCUUGGGGAACAUGACCUGUAUGUUCUAUUUUAUGAACCUAAUUGUGCCUAGUGAUUAGGAUGACAUAAUCAGAAUGAAUCAAAUGCUCCUAACUAGAUAUGUAUGAAUGACAUUUGAAUGAAUGCAAAAUGUCAUGAAGAUGAUUCCUUAAUGCUUAGGUUAACAUCACGUAAAAACUUAUUAAGGUUUUAUCACUGACGUACUACAACGCCUUUUUGCUCGUCUGGUAUAUCCAAAGAAACACUUAAUCUGGUUGCCCCCCACUGUAAACCUUAAAGUUUAAUCUAUUAGGGCACAAAAUUUGUACCAUCAUUCUCCCACUACAAUCCAAGGGUAGAAAUAUGGUUUUUCCUCAAUCCUCUUUUAUCACAAUUCAAGGAUAUAGGAUCUUAAUCUUUCUGGUCCCCCUUUACACCAUUUCCAGGGUGUCGUUUCAAAGACUCAUGCACAAAUGAAGGCUCUCUUCUCCGAGGUAACCUCUUCCUAUUGCCUAGUGAUCAUUGCUUGCUUGUUUAUUUAAGCUUUUUCAUUGACACGACAUCUUGUCAUUUUGUUCAAUCAAUGCAUUUGUCAACAAAAUCCAAAGAGAAAGUCUAAACUUAGACUCUUCCUUCUCAAAUUUCCAACCUUCAAAUUUGGCAUGUUCUAAACAAUAGUCCUGUUUUAGGUUCCUGUAUUAUUUAGAAACUUUUCAGAGUAAUAUGCAAAACUUCCUUUGUGAAAGUUUUAUUAGUCCAUUAAUCAUUAUUCCAAUGCUUGCAAAAAGGUCAUAACAAUGGAUAAGAAUAAAGUUGGUUCUGAGCAUAGCUCGAAAGAACAAAUUAUCGAAAAUAGUGAAGAAGGACAACAAAAGAAUUAAUUGGGAAUGUAUAUCUUGGAAAGAAAGAAAAAGUAUUCCAAGAACAACAAAUAACAUGAGAAUUGGGUGCCCCAGAUAUCACAGCUUGAACUUCUCUAUACAAACUUUCUGAAGACCCUUUUGAGUUGGACAUGUGUUUAGGAGAUCUACAAUGCUCUGUCGAUGCCCCCAAGAUGUCGCCUAUCCUUUCCUGUUGAUUCAGGCAUGGCAAGAUCAACACAUGCCUCAAUAUGAACAAAACUUGAGCAGCUUAUAUCACCCCAUGCCCCAUUUUGAUCAGUAUUUGAGCCGCCCUUUUCGGGUUUUCAGCUCAGAUCCCCUUUGGCCUAAGGCGCCCUUUGCGGGUUUUCCCCUUAGCCUCUCCAUUUUACUCUUUUCAUUUUCCAUUUUCAUUCUUCAUCUUUUUAUUUUUUUUGAACUUCAUUGUCUUACAAUACAGUGACAAACUGUGAUGUCUGAUUUUGAACCGAUUACAGCCCUCAACUAUCAUGUUGUCAUUCUAGUUCAAUACAUUUUCCCAUACCAUCGUCUCUAGAAUUCUAUAUUGGCAUAUGAUGACAUUGACGCAUGCUGUAGCCUUUAUCCAUUUGAUGAAGUAAUUAAUGAUCUCAAUAGUGAAGCAAUGCCCAUUAGAAGUCUUCGAUAAUGGUGAUGUCCAUGCCCCAUUUUGCUCAAAAUUUGAGUCACCCUUUUUGGGUUUUCCACUCAAAACCACUUUUGGUCACAAAGCGCCUUUUUGGUUUUUCGCCUUGGCCUCUCCUUUUCUUUUCUUUGCUUUUCGUAUUUUUAUUUUGACUUUGAUUGAUUUCUCUUUGUUUUUAUUUUUUAUUUUGAUUUUGAUUUUGAUUUUGUUUUUUUUUUUCAUUUUUCCUUGUUUUUUGAAUCGGAUCUAAACUCUUGGGAUUAGGCAAGUCUUUGUUAUCCCCUUCAAAGGAUCUUCUCUGAUAUCGAAUUUCCUUUAUAGAGCCUUUUAGGGCAAAACUACAACUGGAAACUUUUGAUCUUCUUCUUCCAUCGGGAUAAAAUCUAGCAACAUCUUGAAGGAAUAGAAACUCGACUUCAAACGGGCAAAGCUAUGCUGAAUUGACGAGAACGGUAUUGCCCCGGCAAAGAAUUGUAUCAUUCAUACGAGUUUGGACAUCGUGUUGUUGUGCAGAUUUCAUUAUCAGUGCUUAACCCAGCAUAUCCUGGUAUGAUCCUACAAAGACAUCUUUGAACAAGGUCUUGCUUCAUUUUUAAGGACAAGUCAAUUCCAAGCUCAGAAUUCCUAGUGAUCUGUCUAUCCUCCUACUCAACCAUCCUCAAUAAGUUUGGGGGUAAGCUACUAUCUAUGUCAUUUCCAAAGUCAUGAGAUCCAUCUAAGCACAUGCCUCACUCAAGUGGAAAAUCUGAGUUUGCAGCAGUUUCAUUCAUGUUAUUGAUAUCUGAGGACUCAUAAUAAGCACCGAGGAAUAUACAAAAGAAUGUAUAAAUUUAUGAAUGAUUAUUUACAAUAUGAUUAUGAAUGAAUGUUGUGGAAGAAAAUCCAACAGAAUGAAAUAAUCAAAAAUAAUUAUUAAAAAGAAUGAAAGAAUAUUGGCUCAAAAAGGAACGCAAAGAUGUAUUUUAUUAGAAUAAUAACGUUCAGACAUUAGCCUAUUUCACAAAGGAAUUUCUAUCGCUUCAGGCUAAAAACAGCAAAAAUGUUCUGAACAUUACUCUAAAUAAGCUCUAAAAACUACAGGGAUUUAUUCUACAAGCCCAUUGCUUGGAACACUCCAGGUUUAUAAGGGCAGACAUCUAACAAGAUCCCUUUUCAAUUAUGCCUUCAUAUAUGGUAUUGAUGUGAAAACUUCCCAACACUUUCUCAUAUAUUGCGUUCACCCCAUUGUUAAUCAUGAUUGGGUGGCGAAUUUUCUGCAUUAGAUGAGUCACCAAACUUGACGACACCCAUGUUGAUGAGCUUUUCAACCAGUUUCUUGAAGGCUAUGCAGUUCUCUAUGGAAUGCCCCGUAUUUCCCGCAUGAUAUUCGCAAUGUGCAUUCGCAUCGUGCCAUUUGGGGUACGGUGGCUGUGGAGGUUUUGAGUAGAAAGGAGAAACAAUGCGUGCAUCGAAUAACUUUUGAUACAGCUCAUUAUACGACAUCGGGAUUGGCGUGAACUGGAGGUUCUCAGUACCUUGUUUCACACUAAUUUCUUGUCUAGAUGAACCUUGCUGACUAGCAGUCACCUUUCUUGGCUGUGUAAUCGAUUUGUUGUAAGUGUUGACAUUGCUCACAUCAUUUUCCUUCUUCUUUAAGUCUGACCUUCUAUUAUUCUCCCCAGCAUCAAUCUUUCCACUUCUCACGGCACUUUCAAUCAUUUCACCGCUCAUGACUAUGUCUGAAAAACUCUUCGAAGCACUUCCUAACAUGUGGGUGAUGAACGGGGCCUUCAAUGUGUUGAUGAAGAGCAUCGUCAUUUCUUUCUCUAGGAGUGGCGGCUGAACUUGGAUAGCGACCUCCCUCCACCUUUGUGCGUAUUGCCUAAAACUUUCAUUAGGUUUUUUCUCCAUAUUUUGCAGGGUUAUUCUGUCAGGGACCAUAUAAGCUACAUGACUGUAUUGUUUCAUAAAGGCUUGUGCUAAAUCCCUCCAAGAACUAAUCUGGAUACGCGUCAAUUGAUUGUACCACUUAGACGCUGUCCCUGUGAGGCUAUCUUGAAAGCAGUGUAUGAGCAGUUGGUCGUUGUUGACGUAUCCGGCCAUACGCCUACAGAACAUAGUAAUAUGAGCUUCUGGGCAGCUGGUCCCAUUAUAUUUCUCGAAUUCCGGCAUCUUAAAUUUGUAAGGGAGCACCAAGUCCGGAACCAAGCUCAGAUCCUUUGCAUCUAUUCCAUAGCUUUCGAUGCUUUCUAUUGCCCUAAACUUCUCUUCUAUCCAUUUCCAUUUCUCCUCAAAUUGUUUUGGAAAUUCCUCCUUCGCCUUAUCCUUUUCAACCAUCUCGUCAAGAUCUGGGACAGCAAUAUUAUUCGGGCUAUCACCGGGAUUAAAGCCCGCUCCGGGUUGAAAAUUCAUUGGAAUUGAAGCAUCGCCUUGGAACUGCUGGGGCCUAACCGACACAGAGGGUCUCCGCGGAUGCAGCUCAGUCUGUACUUGCGCAUGCGGAGGCGUGAAACCUGGAGGAUAAAGUGGUUCACCAUUGUUUUCUUCUUCACUAACAAUCACAGGACCUUUACCCUUGUCUACUCCCUUCAAUAAUUGCGUCAUCUUAGCCACCAGAUCAUUUUGGGACUCCUCCAUCUUUUGCACCAUGUCACGCUGAAUCUUUUCUAUUUGCUCUUUCAUUUGCGCCUGCAACUGGUCUUGCAUUUCUUUUUGAAGUCGCUCUAGCUUCUCCAACCUUUGGUCCAUAAUUUUUGUCUUAGCUCGGGUGCCGUAACUUUGUUGGUUUUCCAGGUUAACUGAAAUGAUUUUAUUCGAUUAGGUUUUUAAUGGUCAUUAAUGCAUGUGAUGUGAUGCAAUGCAUGAAAAGAAUGCAAAGAAAAAGAGGCACUGAUUCUAAUUCAACUUCAUUAGAAAACUUUACUAGAUAAAGAGUUUCUUUACAUAAAAUAGACUACAUAUAUGGCUUUGCCCUCACACUCAAAGCCUUAACCUUUCUAAGAAGCCAAGCUAAUUCUCGGCCCCUGUCCGACUCUGACUCAUACUUCAAACUUAAUAGAUCAGCCUGAACCGCUAGAGUUUGCAGAUGAUCAGCUACUUCGCGCACUUGAGUCACCGCCUCUCCCAUAAUAUAAUCUCUUUCUCCAAUCUGCUCUUGAGACCGACGGAAUUGUCUUUGCCACUGCUCAUUACUUUCUUCCAGAAGCUCUAUCCGGAUUUCACUAUUUUGUAAUGCAUUCUCUAGCCCUCAUAUCUGUCUUUUUAAUUCUUCAAUUUUGUCUAAGCUCACCCUUAAUUCAACCGUAGCAUUACGAUUACAGUACUGGUGAAGCGAUCUUUCUAGUUCAGUUAUCCGGACCUUCAACACCGUCUUCUCGUCUUGGCAAACUAGUAGACUCUUUCCCAAGGCGACUUCUCGAGCCCGAGUAUCCUGAAAUUUCUUUUCCCAUUGAUUAGCUUUUGUCUUUUCCUCCUGAAUUUCUUGUCGCCAUUGUUCUGGUGUUUUACCCAAGCCAGCGGCUCUUACCGACUUACGCAACUUCUUGUAAUCUGUCUUCAGGCUGUCCAAAUCUUCUUCUGCCUUGUUCUUUCCUUUUCUCAAUUUGUUGGCCUCUAAUCUUUGAAUGUCCACAUCCAGUCCUAACUGCAUUUUUUCUUCCUCUAGUUGUUCUAUCUUCUUCCCUAAUUCUAAACUUCUUUUUUCGAAUUCUUGUUUGAUGAUUUCUAUUUCAGAAGGCAAAACUUGUAAGUGUUCCUCUAAAGAUCGAGCAGUUUCUGAAUUUGACGCCGGGAUGUUGUCAUUGAUCCUUUGAUCACGCCACUGACCAUACUCGGGGGUAAUUGUCGGACCCACGGCUAAGAUCUUCAUUCGACGAGUCUGGUUCCAGGCACUAGAUAUUUCUCGAACCUUCUUCUUGUAAUUGUCCUUCCUAUAGGAAAAAUCACUAUAAGCCAACCCCUGGGUUGCUGGUAUGAAUUGUCGUGAUCUAUACUGUCUUGAUACGAGUAGAGGAGCAUAUCCGAUAGCUCUCCAUAUCCCGAGCAGCGGAACCCAGUCAAAAUCUCCACAUCGGUACAAUAUCUCAUCAGGAAUUAACCAAGGAGCCCUCCAUUCAAUAUCUUCAUCUUGGAGAUUCUGGAGUAUCUCUAUCCAUUUUUCUUCUGAAAUAUCAUCUCGUCUUGGCGUGGCCACCAAUUCUCCUAGAGGGGAGUAGCUAUCAGAGAAUACCCGAUAAGAGACCUUUUCGACUUUCCAGAAGUGGCUAUGGAACCAUGCCAAUAAGAGCUGCGCGCAUCCAAUAAACCUUCCCUCCCCUACUUUUCGACACGCAUUCAAUGAUCUAAAAGUUUCAGCGAGUAUUGCCGGAACCGGUGUAACCCCUUUACUAAGCCGAUCGAACAAAUCAGAUACAGCCUCGUCUAUGUGUCCUAAAGCUUUGGGGAAAACCACUAGUCCAUAGAUACCUAAAGCGAAAACAUCGACCCUUUUCUUUAAGUCAGGAUGUACAAGCACCAAAUCUCGCAAACUUUUCCAAGGAACACAUUUACUGUCGCCCUUCUGUUGGAUCCGGGCAGCGACCCACUGCUCGCUCAUUCCAGUGAUGUUCAUUAAUUUCUUUAACAACGGAGGGACACAAGCAGCUCUGGAAUAAGCCUUGUCGACUUGAAUCUUUGGGCACCGAAGCAAGGUCGUAUACUCCUCCACAGUAGGCGUCAAAUCUACCUUCCCAAAAGUGAAACAACUGUAGGCAGGAUUCCAAAACUGAGCAAGGGCUCGGAAUAAAUACUUGUCCACUUUGACACUAAGCAGGUAAGGUAGGUCACCGUAGUUACAAUAGAACAGCUGCUUGGCCUCGACAUCCCAUUGAUCCCAGACUUCUUUCAUUUCUCGAAGGUCAUUUUGGAUUACACUGAUACGGGUAAAAUCCCACAAUUCUGACACGUACCCUUCGGUAAGACUAUCGCCUUUCUCCCGUUGUGUCGUUUCAGCCCAUAUUCGCACAGCCGCAUUAUCCUCUACUUUAUCAACAAACCCCUUUUCCAUGAUAAGCUUUCUACCAAGAAACUGAACGUAAAUCGACACCUCUUUUAGAAUGAAGAUGCCAUGCAAUCACAAACAAAGUAAAUUAGCAUUAAACACAGAAUAAGAUUUAAAAUAAGCGACAAAUAAAUACAACAUUCAUUUAGGUAAGCACUAAAAAUUUAGAGUAGCUCUACCUAGGUUGGUUCCUAUGGCUCAUUACAUGUGGUUUGGUUCUAAAGUAGGGUACCUGAACCAGCAAAUUCCUCGAUCCUCACCCAUUAUAGGCUCAUACGGACCAAGUUCGAUUCAGGGGGAUACAUUUCCCUAUGGCCAUGCGGAGAUGAAAAUCUCACGAAGACAUAGGUACGGAUGUAUCCCGAAAGCGAUUCACUAUCCCAUGCGGAGGUGAAAACCUCACGAAGGCGUAGUUUCUCACUCCCACUUAAAAGGGUGUGACCAACGGUCAUGCAAUGCAAUGUGCAGAAAGAUACAAAAACUUAAACUAACACAACAAUUAUAAACCACAACGAUGAAAAUUGUAAUAAAGAGCAAUGAAAUGCGAUGAAAGGAUCGUAUAUUUAAACCAAGUUUUGAUUUUCGACAAAAAGACAAAAAAUAAUCAACUCGUGGCCCGACUCACUUAUUGUGGUUGUCCCCAGUGGAGUCGCCAAGCUGUUGACACCAUUUUUGGAUUAAAAACGGGGUCGACUUGGGUUUUGAAAAUGAAAAUGAAUAGAGGAGUCGCCACCAAUCCUUUUUGAUGAGGUGCGAUCGGGUCACCUCGAAUUAAUCAUUUUAAUAAAAGUUAAGAUUUACUAAAACGAUAAUUUUUUUUGGUCUACGAAAAUCAGAAAAUGAGUUCGGGAGUCGGUUACGCACGAGGAAGGAUUAGCACCCUCGAUACGCCCAAAAAUUGGUACCUAGUUGAUUAAUUAGUGUCUUAGUUUCGAAAAUUGAAAACUUAAAAUACUUUGAAAUACGAUCCAUCUCUUUGUAAAAAAAACUCAAAUAUUAAAGACCUUCUCAUCUCUAAGUGAUAAAAUAUCACAUCCAGUAAGUUAGGACACGACAUCUCGAGCUUUUGAGAGUGAGUUUGUCUUUAUUUAAAAUUCAUGCAUUUUAACUUUUUUUUAAAAAGGAUGUUCGGUUAUUUAGGGUAAACGAAGAAAGUCGAAACCCAGUAAGUUAGGGUACGUUUUCUCGAAUUUCCUAAAAACGAAAUAUUGCCUUAUUUUGAAUUUUUUUUUGAAUAAUAGCAAAUGCAACAUUUAGAUAGUGUGCAUUAUUUGUUUGGAUUAAAAUAAAACAAUUUAUUGGAUAAAUGCAACGAGACUUGAUUCAUGAAGCGAUGAUAUAAAAUAAAAAUAUAGUAAUAAGCCUAGAACAAUGAUACAUGAACACAACAUUAUAUGGAUGAAUCACAAUAAUGCAAAAAUACGAAAUAAACAAAUUAAAAUACACAAAGACAAUAAUCAUACAACAUUUAAAUAAUAACAUCGAUAGAUAAAAGACCAAUGAAUUAAAUAAUAAUUUUUUAAGAAAAUAAAUGGCAUAAAAUAAAUUAAAAUAAAUAAUAUAAAACAUUUUAAAAUGACAAUAAUAAGUUUGAAAUAAAUAAUGUGAAAAAGGAAAUUUAAAAAUCAAUAACACACUAAACGAUAAAAAAUAUGUUUAUACAAAAAAUUAAGAUAAACAGUAUGUAUAUAUAUGUAUAAAAGUAUGAAGUGAAUGAUAUAAAAAGAGCAAAUAAUAGCAGUAAAACAUUUCGAAAUAAAUAAAUAGGAUUCAAAAUAAGAUACGUAUAACAAUUUAAAAUAAGCAAUAUAUAAAUAAAUAGAGUUUAAAAUAAAUGAUGUAAAAAAAAAUUUUAUUUAAAAAAAAGGAACAAUAAUAUACGAAAAAGAAAAAAAGAUAUAUGAAGAAUAGAAAAUAUUUAUAUAAUAUGUGCAAAGAAACCAAAAUAAAUAAUGUAUGUAGAGUAGUUUAGAAUAAACAAUAUAUGCAAAACAACUUACAACUUUGAGUAAUUGAUACAUAAAAUUGGUUAAAAUUAAUAAUAUAUGAAAAUGAACCGUAUAUAGAAUAUUUUAAACACAUACAAUAACAGUUCCUUUUUUAAGAAAAAGAAUUAAACAGGUGAAGGAUUAAUUCGAAAACAAUACAAAAUUCUAGGUAAAAAAUAAAAAGAUACUGCCAGGAUUAAAAUGAAGUGCACCUAAAAUCAUAAGGACCAAAUGGGAUAAAAACCAUAGCCCUAACAUGCGCAUGAGGCCCGACAGAUCAAAAGACUGAUUUAAAAAACAAGCAAAAUCUAACAACUAAAUUAAGAGAAAAAGCAAAGAUAAAAUAGGGCCUGAUCAAAGGACGCUAAAGAUGGAGGGACCUCGUGUGCAAAUAUCCUAAUAAUUGAGGAUACAUGAAUCCCCAUCCCCACCAACGGCACCGUUUUGUUUGGUGUUUAAAACACCCAUUCUCUUUAUUAUUUCAGCCCUAAUUUCAUAGAAGAAAAGAAAAAAAGAACAAAAAAAAUAGAAUGUUAAAGCUUCUCUCCCUCUCCUCUCUUACUGAAUCGUGAGCCCGUCGCCGUUGCAUCACCGCGCCCCCACCGUAUCGGUGGCUGGCGAUGCUCAAGGGUGGGUUUUUAGCCCCCGAUUCAACCAGGUAUGAAGGCUAAGAUUUUUUAACCAAGAAAACCCGAAAAUGAAGGGAUCUCCACCCGUUUUGGGUUCGGCUCCGACGACUGAGGGAACCGCCGACGGUGUGACCCAGGGGUUCGGGUAAGUUUUCUCCCCGUCUUCUUUUUAUUUCUUGUUCUUGAAGCUUAAAAGCAAAAUCAAAAAUGAAAAAAGAAAAAAAGAAAUCAGAAAUUGAAAAAACGUAACCUUUUUCUUUUGUUUUUGCUCUUUUAUUUCUGAAAUAUGCGUGUGUACAAGAAUGGGGAUCCCUUUUUUACAAUUGCUUUCGGCUUCUGUUUUUAGCCGAAUGAGAUAGAAUCCAAAAUCUCCCCCUUUUACAUUGAAAAUGAAUGGCUCUUUAUAGCCGAUUAUACAAAGUCCUAUUGUUGUUUUGUUACUGUUUGCUGCGUUUCUGUUUCUGUUGCUGCUUCCGUCAUGUUUGCAGGUGUUCAAGGAGGUGAUGGGAGCAGGUGGAGGAGAGAUGGCGAUGGGACGUGCGGCUGACAGAGAGCAGCGGCAAGUGGGAUACUAGGGUUUCAGUUUCUGAAACCCUAGUCUGAUGUGGGCUUGGCUGUUGGGCCAGGGUGCUGGGCCUUUUAUUUCUUUCUUGGGCCCGGGCAAAUGGGCCUGCAACAGGAAUCCCCAAGUUUCUAGAUAUGUUGCUAGCUAUGUAUGAGUGAGUAGACCCUAUGUCUAUCAAGGUAAUAUAUAGUACAUCAAGAAUAAAGAACGUACCCGUGAUGACGUUCGGAGCAUCUCUAUUCUCUCGGCGACAAGCAACAUAUACUAGGGCCGACUGCCUUGCCUCAGCCUGUCCAACACCUCUGCUUCGGUGCUCUCUACCUAUGACCCAUACCAUUACCACAUCUGGCCUGUCUAUGGCCCCUCGGUGGUUACUGUACUACCUUUUAUAACUAUACCGUACCAGUACCCGAAGUUUUCAUCUGAUCGGCCCUUAACGAACACUCCUUACAGUACUCUAAUGACUCAUACCGCAAGCACACCUCAGUCUUUCUCUAACACUCGCCCUGAUGGCGUCUACCACAAUCAGUACUUAGCUGCAGUUCAGUAACAGUAACAGAGGGCCCAGCUCUAACCGACCCAUCAACUCUGCCCUUUUUCUUAGGCCUCUGUGCAGAACUCGAAGGCUCUAAAUCCCUCUUAUUCUUACCUCUCUCACAGUAAUAGUUCUGGCGCUCAGCGCGCUUAAUCUCAUCGGUGAUCUUCGCCUUCUCCACUAGUGUAGAAAAAUCACCUCUCUCUACGGAGCUAUCAAGACUCUCAAAUUAUCUCUGAGCCCAUCCUCAAAACGAAUACAUCGCUCAUACUCAGAGGCCACCAUACCUCGCGUAUAGCGGCUCAGUCACAGGAACUCAGCCUCAUACUCGGCCACUGAUCAAUUUUUCUGAGUCAAAUUUAAGAAGUUCCUUUUACGGGUAUCCACGUAGCUCGCCCUCACAUAUUUCCCCUAAAAGGCAGUUUUAAAGAACUCCCAGGUUAGAUGUUCGGGCUGAGUGCCCUCCUUAACAAUGAGUCAUCACUGAUAAGCCUCAUCCCUCACCAGUGAGACUGCACCCUUUAAUUUCUGCUCUAGGGUGCAGUCUAAGUCAUCCAUGAUCCUCUCCGUGGCCUCAAUCCAGUACUCGGCCAUAUUAGGGGCAACUCUAGUGACACCCCUGAAAAGCUCAACUCCAUUGGACUAGAGUCGUUUCGUAUUCGAUCCUCGGACCCCUAAUCUAGUAUUGAUCCGAGCGACCCUCUCCAAAAUCCUUAGCAUAGCUUGGGAUAAUGCGUCGUCCUCAGCCAUGCGAUCUUGAGACCCAGUCUCAGUAGUAGGCGACACUAGCGUCUCACUAGUAUCCAAAUUCGGUAUGCUACCCAAUGAAGAGGACUCAGAUCGAGCUCCUUUGUGACCUCUACCUCAGCCUCUAGUACCCCGUCCACAGAUACAUCGUAUGCUCAUUGUCUAAUCACGUUUAUCUGUAUUAACAGUUUUAUGAAUCAGUUACGGUUUCAGUGUUUAUUAACAAAUGUUUUAUGUAAAAUAGUAUCGGUUAUUCAAAGUUCGUUUUGUAAAUCACAGUCUUACUAUAGUUUUUAGUUUUUUUACAAUUUUUAUUAUACACUAACUAGAGUGUUUUCAGUACAGUUUACUACCUAUAGUAGAUUCAGAAUAUACUAUCCAUAACAGUUUCAGUUUAAAACAAAUCACAGUUCAAAAUACUUACAGAAUCGACACCGGAGACUCGGUGUACCACUUACUUAGUACAAACAUUUCAAAUCAUUUAGAAAUUAAUCAACUUUUCGAAAGCUCAAUUUUUACAAAACCCAUAAUCCACUAUCGAGUUCUGUAACUUGGCUCUGAUACCACUAAAUGUAACACCCCAAACUCGGCCUAGACGUUAUGGUCGUAUCUGUUAAUGUCACAUGAUAGUGUUUUUGAAACCUCGUUGUUACGAUGAAAACAUUUCAUGUUAUUAUCUUUAGUAAACCUUUGUUAGAACUUAGAAAGUUGUCUUUAUUCAUUUAAAACAUUUUUUUUGAAACAUCCCUCAUUGCAGAAGCUUUAAUAAAAUAGUCUAGGUGAUCAUGCGUUUAGAAAAUAUAACUUUAUGAAAACUGAAUUUCCUACGACCAGCAGGUAUAAAUCUAUAAAGUAAAAUAAAUAAAUAAAAACCCAAAUUUAAAACCAAAGUCUCAAAGGGUCCUUAAAUUACAACCCAAAUAAUCAAUAAUAAUCAAAUCAUAUAUCGUAAAUUGAAAACCAUGAACUCAAAAAAUUACUAUAGUCACCGUUGAGUCCUUCGUCGCACCGAUCUGUCUAAGUUUGGGGAUUACCUGUGAACAUUAAACAAAAAGGGUGAGUUUACGUAAACUCAGUGUGUAAUCUCGUAGAAAUAAACAAAUAAUCAGUAUUCACAGUGCACAGUUGAAUAGUCUUGGGCCUAAGCCCUUUUCAGUAUUAGUCAUAGUUUGGGCCUUAGCCCAUCUCAGUAUAGUGUUAGAAAUGCAAUAGGGUCUUAACCCAUCAUAGUAUCAGUAGUAGUAACAAUUAUGCAGCAGCAAAAUCCUACCCAACCAGCCUCUACACACCAUUUUCGUCUAACCCUACACUCCAUGUGGGGAUAUAAUCAACCCACCCAUCCCUACACUCUAAGUAGUACUAAAUGCGACACAAAACAGUAGUUUGCAACUGAGCUGCUAGUAAAUUAGGCUAAAAGCCUUUCAGAACAUUUCCUCCGAAUAACAACCCCUAACCUAAUGCAAUGCAACAUACAAUAGAUGACAUGCUAUUAUGCAAUUUCAGUACAUAUAUUCAGUUCAAAUAUUAACAUGCUCAGUACAUAUAUCAUUCAAUCAAUUUCACACAUUUAGGUGUCUAAGUAGCGCUUAUCAACCCUACAGUGGGUUCACAGUCGACUUGGGCGACCCGUGCAAUCUUACAAACAUUUCGGUGAAAAUAGGCUCACACGCCCAUGUAAUCUACCCGUGUGGCCCACUUGGCCCAAAUUGGCCUUGGCCGUGUGAUCCAUUUUUAAUGUAACCCGUGCUAGCUAAAUAUUCAUACAUGUUUUCACUAUUUACUUAUAUGUUCAUUCAAAAUUGUCUACUUGAGUCAUUGUCACUAAAUUAUUUAUAUCUUGAGCUACAGAAUUCCAAAUUAAGAUUCGCUUGAUGUUUUUGAAACUAGACUCAAAUACCUUUCUACCAUAAAAAUUUUAGAAUUUAUAGUUUAUCAAAUAAGUACAGUAAAAUCUUUAAAUUUAUCCCACUUCUGUUGUUUGACAGCUUCAACCUUUCCUUACUAAAAAUUAUUUAUCUCUUAGUACGAAUUUGGAUGAUGUUUCUAUUUGUUUCUCUUGAAAAUAGACUCAUUAAAGAUUUAAACAUAAAAAUUUAAGCCCAUAAAUAUUUUUUAAAAAUUUUUGGUGAUUUUCCAAAGUCAAAAUAAGGGAACCCAAAAUUAUUCUGACAUUGUCUCACAAAAUUUAUUAUAUCUCAUAAUUUAAAAUUCCAUUGAUUACACUGUUCCUUACAUAAAAGACUAGACUCAAUAAACUUCAAUUUCAUAUUUGAUUCAACCUCUAACUCAAUUUCUACUAUUUUUGAUGAUUUUUCAAAGUUAGACUACUGCUGCUGUCCAAAACUAUUUUAGUGCAAAAUGUUGAUUUCCAAGUUUAUAACACCCUUAUUUCCUUUUUCUAUAAUUUUUUGCAUCAUUUUCUCUUAUUUCUCUUAUGUCUCGACAGCAAACAAUUUUAGCUUUUCACUGAAUCUCAUUUUUUGCAUUUCGAGUACAUAACUGGUAUCGUUUCGCUGUAAAUACGCUCCCAAACACUCUAAGACCUAAAAAUCGGUAAUUAGAGCCCAAUUUAGAUCACUAACUAAAACUCAAAACUGAAAAUCGUCUACAUUGAAAUCGAUAGCGAACCUAAACACUUACCUGCAACGAACCAAAAUUUCUAAUGCUCAAUUUUCUUGUGAAGCCGCAUCUGAUUUCUGAUUUUCGCCUAAACCAAGAGAGCCAAAACAAUCUUUUUUAUAAACUAGCUAAAAAGCGAUAAAAUAGAGAAAGUCAGAUACUUACAGAAUGAGUGUAUACAAUUUCUGGCUGGAAAGUAGGCUAGUAGAAAAAUCAAACAAUGAGGGUGGACUAGGGAGCAAAAAUUUGGCAAAGCAAAGAAGAAGAAGACGACAGAAAAAUUGGGGAAAAGAGGAGAAUGCCGAAAUUUGGGAAAAUAAAAACCAAAUAGAAACUUAGAUGAUAUCGUUAGCUACCCCACAUCCCUAAAUUUUUUCCCACUAAUCCUACUAACCUACAACCACUCCAGAAUCCCACUCUGCCGAAAUACUUGUCCAUCACUGCGCAAAAAUAACACCUAUGCUCGAACAUGGAUUCAAACUCAGGACCUCAUGCAAUCAAACACUCCAUUUAACCACUAAACCAGCAAGCCCAUUUUGUUAUUUAAUUACCAACUAUUAAACUUAAGCCCUUUAGGCUAGGUUAAGGCUUUAUUUAUAAAAGUACUAAAAUUUACCCAAGUCAUGGCUUGAACUUGGGACCUCCCACACACACCCAAAACACUUAAGCAUUGAAGCAGACAAAUACUUAAUAUCACAUAUACACAAAAACAAGAAUUAAAAAUUUUGGGGCGUUACAAUGAGAAGGAAAAACUUAACGAAAGAAAUUGAAGUUUCUUGGGGCUACCUUUGUAGAAAUAAGAGAUCAAUAGAGUUUCUUGGAAUUGAAGUUACAGUUUCAAAUUGUAUUAGCUUUUAUGUAGUACAACAUCAAUAUCAAUGUCCAUCAUCUUAUGUACUUUUUUAUUUGUUUACUUUUGUACAUUGAGUUGAAUGUUAGUGGUAUAUGUUAGUGGUAUACAUUUUAGCUAAAUGUUAGUGUAUUUUAAUUGUUGGAUCGAUUUUUGUAGUGAAUAUUAAAUCUUUAUUUUAAUUUUAAUUUUAUAUUUUUUUGUUGUAUUUAUAGCACAAUUCCUAUCAUUAUUCACUGUAAAUAUUUAUAAAAAUAUAUUAAUAUUGAAAUAAUAAAAAAUAGAAAAAAUUACAUUAUACGUGUCUAUUCCAAUCUUUUUAAGAUUACCUUAGACGGGUUUAUCCCAACCUUUUUUUAAAGGUUGCCUUAGACAAGAUUUAUCCCAACCUUUUUAAGGUUGCUCUAAACGGGUCUAUCCCAACCUUUUUUAAAAGUUGCCUUAGACAAGGUCUAUCCCAACCUUUUUAAAGUUGCCUUAGACGGGUCUAUCCCAACCUUUUUUAAAGGUUGCCUUAGACAUGGUCUAUUCCAACCUGUUUAAGGUUGCCUUAGAUAGGUCUAUCCCAACCUUUUUUAUAGGUUGUCUUAGACAAAGUCUAUCCCAACCUUUUUAAGGUUGUCUUAGACGGCUCUAUCCAAACUAUUUUUAAAAGUUGCCUCAGACAAGAACUAUAUCAACCUUUUUAAGGUUGUCUUAGAUAGGUCUAUCUCAACCUUUUUCAAAGGUUGGCUGUAACUAGGUCUAUCCCAACCCUUUUUAAUGGUUGGCCUUGACUAGGUCUUUCCCAACCCUUCAAUAAGGGUCGGCUUAUGUUGACUUAUGCUGACGUUUUUUCAAAAGUGUUGUGGAGCCUACGCCAACUGUAUUAUAGACAACCUUUUCGAAAGCAUCAGGAGAACCGUCGCGAAACUUAUGCCAACCUUUUUUACGUUGUCUUAGGUCAAAAAAAAGUGUCACGAUAGGCUUAUUUUAUUGUAGUGAUAGUAAUAUUUUUAGCUCUUAAAAAUCUAAAUUAUAUAUAAUAUGUAUUUACAACUCUAAAUAUUAAAGCUUGAUUAGAUAUAGGUUAUUUGAACUUUUCAUCUUAAAUAAAUUUGAGGAAAUUAAAUAUGGAAAUUUUAAUUAAAUUAUUUUAAUAUAUAUACACACCAUUAUUUUCAUUCAUUAAUAAUUUUAAACUAACAUUUUUUCUUCAGUAAAUUUCACUUUAAUCCCUUUCUUUACUUUUCUAAUGUUAUUUUUAUUUUUUUGUCCUUUAUUUUUCUUCUAUUUUAUAAAUUCUUUGAUCUUAUAUGUUUCAAGUAUCAAAGUGUAAAUAAAUAUAAAUAUUAAAAAAUGCCAAAUGUAACUCUAUGUGAUAUUAUUUAAUUGCUACUCAUUUCUUUUUGUUUCAAAAAACAAUGGAAAACUUAAGAAUUUUAAAGUUUUUGGUAUCAAAUAUAUAUAUCUAUACAUUUACAUUUUAAACUCCAAACUUAAAUAAAUAGAGAAAAUCUAAAAAUUUAAAAUAAAAAUAAAUAAAAAAUGAAUAUUUAACUUUUUUAGUACACAUGUAUCAUUCAGACAAUUUUAAUAUAACAAAUAAUCAAGUAAUUGGGAUUUAAUAUUUAAUUAAAAAUAUUCUUCUAAAAAUUGUAAAUCGCAUAACAUUGAAAGUCUUUAAAUAAUAUACUAAAGGGGUGAGCAUUCAAUCAAAUCGAAUGAAAAAAUUUUGAGUUAAUCGAGUUGACGAAUAAUAUUUUAUUAUCCUAACUAGAUUUAAAUUUUUCUCGAAUAGAGUCUAGUGAGAUGGAACUCGAAUCGAAUCGAAUAUAUUUGUUCGAGUUAAAUUAAGGUCCUUGUAAUCAUUGUCACCCACCGCAAUCAGAUUUGUUAUUAACUUUCACUCCCUCAUAAUUUAUUUAUUAAUCUUUUAUAUAGGGUUAGAUUCUUUGCUUGCUUAGUUGCUUCAAUUAUCUUCUGAUUUUGUCACUAUGUAUUCUGAAAUUUAAAAAUAUAUUAAAUGUAAAAAAUGUGAUUUUUUUAAUAAAAAAAUAUCUUAAAGGUAAAAUAUAAAAUUGAUACCAACAUAAAAUUUUAGCACGAAUAUUUUAUGCCAUCAUCAAUAAUUUAAUUUUAACAAAAAAAAUUAUAAAGAUUCAAUAUGAUAAAAUAAUUCAAUAAUAUUGAUAAGCUAUAAAAGUAACAUAUUUUAAUCUCAAUCUUAAUGUGUUUUUAGAUGAUUAAUUAUGCAAAUUAGUGAAUUUAAUGCUCCUAAUCCAUUAAAAUAAUGCAUGGUACUUUUGAUAUUGUAUAGUUCUUUUGAUGUCAAAAUAAUGCAUUAAAAUUUAUUCAACUGUCAAUUUAAGUGGAAAAAGUUGGAGAUGAAAUUUGUAAUUAAACCUUCUUUAAUUUACGUCUUUUUCCCUAAAAAUAUAUUUUUUAAAAAUAUUAAAUGUUAUAAAACUUGGGACAAAUAUUAAAUGUUGGAAAGUGGUUAAGAAAAUCAUUAUCAUUAUAAUUCAUCCUCAUUAUUGAUCAGUGUCACUGAAGCAAUGAAUUUCAAUGGGUUUGGUAAUGGAUGAGAGUUUGCUAAAAAUCUUCCUUUUGGUUUGUAACCAUUUUCACUUACAUAGUCUAGGAUAAGAAUGUUAAAAACCUAUGUUAUAUCCAUAGAAAUUGAGGGCUAUAUUUCUUAUCAUCACAACAAGCGCAAGCAUUGUUGGGGUAUAUCCACUUGUCUUAAACCACUAGAAUGUACAAGUAGCAAAAGAUAAUAAUGAUUAAAAGCUUGGGUAAUUAAUUUUGUAGUAUAUAGUCGGUCCAACACUGACUUAUAUCUAAGCAAAGUGCAUGCAUCAACUACAACAUUUUUUCUCUGAUUACCUUCUCCUUUCUUCUAUCAUUCUAGAGUGUAAACAAUUCACUCAAAGGCAAACAAUUUAUAGAAUUGUCUAACCAUGUGUAUUGCUGCUUUCAUUUGGCAAGCUCAUCCACUCUACCCUCUACUGCUUUUACAAAACAGAGAUGAAUACCACAACAGGUAUGUUUCCAUUUCACUUCAAUCAUUCUUCUCUUGAAAAUAUAUUUAUCUUAUUAAUAUAUAUGGGUGGAAUUGAAGGCCUACGAAGGCACUUGCAUGGUGGGAUGUUGAUGGUUGUGAGAUAUUAGGAGGAAGAGAUGAAGUAGCAGGAGGGACAUGGUUGGCUUGUUCAAGACAAGGCAGAGUUGCUUUUCUCACCAAUGUGUUGGAGCUUCAUCCCCGUCCCGACGCCAAGACCCGCGGUGAUCCCCGUCCCGACGCCAAGACCCGCGGUGAUCUUCCACUUCUUUUCCUGGAGGUAAAUAAAUCUAUAUGCCUUUUUUUUCUUCUUUUUAUUUGGUCGAAGCCAGCUCACCUAUCAAAAACGGUGGUCAUUCAUUAAAAGUAAACACACUGUUGUUGAUACAGAGCACAAAGAGCCCCAUGGAAUUUGCGGAGCAACUGGCCACCGAUGCUCAUCAGUACAAUGGAUUUAACCUCAUAGUGGCUGAUAUUCCUUCCAAAUCAAUGGUUUACAUCUCGAACAGGCCAAAGGGGGAACCCAUUAACAUUCAACAGGUUUCUCCGGGGCUUCAUGUUCUUUCAAAUGCCAAGCUUGACUCUCCCUGGCAUAAGGUACAUUAACUUGUUUCAUGUGUUAUAUUCCUAUAAAGUUAUGCCCAAAGGCAGAUGGACGCUGGAGAAUUGAUUCAUCCACUCCCAUUGUGCAGGCUUGGCGGUUAGGUAAAGGCUUCAAACAGAUGCUCAAUAGAUACGGUAAAAAUGAAGUAAACGUGAAAGAAAUGGUUGAGAAACUUAUGAAAGAUAAAGUGAAAGCUGAUAAAAGUAAGUUACCUGGCAUAUGUGAUCUCGACAUGGAGUUCAACCUUAGCUCCAUAUUUGUUGAAAUGGACACCCCACUGGUAAAAUUCCAAGUUCUAAACCAUCCUCCUACUAAAAUUUAUGUAGAACAAUGUUGAAGCCAAUAAAAAUUGUGGUUGUUUCAACUUACAUAUCCAUCUAUUUUCCGGAAUACAGGGGCUUUAUGGAACAAGGAGUACUGCAGCAAUAACCGUAGGUGCUGGUGGGGAAAUUAGCUUUUAUGACGAGUAUCUAGAAAAGGGUGUGUGGUUUGAGAGAACAGUCAAUUAUCAUAUCCAGAAGCUCAAGUAGAUUGAAUCCAUGUCAAAGCAAGGGAUUUUACUACUCAAGUUAUUUAUUGAUUUGCGAAUGUUAUAAGCAUUUUAAGUUUAUACUAAUUGUAACAUAGGAGUGAUGUAUGAUGUAUCUCAUUCUUAAUACUUUACAUUUUCACUUUAAACUCCAAACUUAAAUAAAUAGAGAUAAUCUAAAAAUUUAAAAUAAAAAUAAAUAAAAAAUGAAUAUUUAACUUUUGUAGUACACAUGUAUCAUUCAGACAAUUUUAAUAUAACAAAUAAUCAAGUAAUUGGGAUUUAAUAUUUAACUAAAAAUAUUCAUCUAAAAAUUGUAAACCGCAUAACAUUAAAAGUCUUUAAAUAAUGUCACAUACAUGAUUUUUUUUUUGUAAAUAUACAUGGUCUGUUUUUAUUUAUAAAACUUCCUUUUACCUCAUUUUUCUUCAUUAAUGUCUACAAAUUUGAAGGGAGUCAUGUACCGAUUAAAUUUGAAUCCUAUCAAGAAUGAGCUUUUGAUUGUUAUAUUUGAUGUUUUCCUAUUAGUUUAAGAUCCCCAAUAAUUAAGCAUGCUUUCUUAAUAAUUGGAAAAUAUUUAUUUAAAAUAUUACUGUAACAGCUUAAUUUUAGGCCUAGUCGGAACAGUAGUUUCGGGACCACGAAUCUGACGAGGAAAAUUUUAUUUUUUAUUAUAUUUUUAUAGUCUACAAUUUCACAGAAUGAUUUCGUGAAAAUUUUGUUCAAAAAUUUCGACGUUUGUGCACUCAAUUUAGCCAAAAGGACUAAAUUGUAAAAAGUGCAAAAGUUGAGUUCUACAUGUUAGAAGUGUCCAAUUGUUAUGAAAUUUUAAAUUGGAGGUCCUUAAAUGGUAAUUAGACCAUUGGUUAACUUUUUGGACAAAAAUGGACAAGAGAUAAGUGAAAUAAGAUAUUUUUAAGUUUGGGGCAUUUUGGUCAUUUAGUAAUUAAAAGAAUUAAAAAGGCCAAAAUAGCCAAAAAUUUGUCCAUCUUCUCCAUGGUGAACGAAAUCAGCAAGGGGAAGCCAUGGUUAGGGUUUUCAAGCUUCCAAGCUCCAUAGCAAGUGAUUCCAAGCCCCAUUUUUAAUGUUCUUUACAUUUUUGGAGUCUCAGUAACUUGAUUUAGCUUAUUCUAACAAUAAUUUAACCUAGGGUUCAUAUUUGGAAAAAUACCCAUAGGUGAAAUGUGUUUAUUUUGAUGUUUUAUGGUAGUGUAUGAAGCUUGAAAUUAUGUUAAAUAACUUUUGCUAGCCGAUUUUAAGUGAAAACGAGUAAAUUGACAUAAUCGAUAAAAAUACCUAAUGUUCAUAAGUAAGUGUUAGAGUGAGAAUUUGAUGUUGCCAUAGAAGGGAAAAAUGUUCAGCAUGUCAUAAAACAUAAGAAAAAGGAAUAACGUUUAAUCUCCGAGCCUAGGGGCAAAAUUAUAAUUUUGUAAAACUUUAGGGGCAAAAAUGUAAUUUUGCCAAAAUGUGAUUUUUGGACUGGAUUGAAUAAUGUGAGUGUUAAAUAAGUUAAAUAUGUUAUUAUAAGUCAAUAAAGACAAGGAAAUGACUUUGAUUAGUGAAAAAGAAAAAAAAAAGAAGAAAAACUGAGAAAUUUCCCGAUUGAACAUUCGGAAUAAAAAGGGAUAUGAAUGAAGUGACAGAAAUGAUCACAUGCGUGGCAUGGACUGUGUGUAGGCCACUAUGUGAAAGUGAAAGUGAUGGUCACGUGUGUAGUACUAUGUGCAGGCUACUACGUGUACCAGAAUGAUAGGUCGCAGGUGUAGUACUAUGUGCAGGUUACUAUGCGUACCGGAUAGCUUCGAUCACGUGUGUAGUACUAUGUGCAGGCUACUACGUGUAUCGGAUAGUGAUGGUCACGUGUGUAGUACUAUGUGCAGGCUACUAUGUGAACCGGUAUCAUUAAUUAUAAGGUGGUUGCUAUGUGUUAAUCCCACAAGAUAUCAUUGAUUACAAAGGGUAGUUGCUGUGUGCUGAAUCCAUCGUAUAUAUGUUAUUAUUCUAAACUGUUCAUCAGGAAAUUGACUAAGUGAAAAUACAUGAGAUCAUGUAAUGAUUAAGUGUGAUUGAAUGAUGAAUACAUGUGUGGAAUUGAAUUGAAUAAUGAUUGAAAGUGAAAAGUGAAAUUAUGAAAAAGUAAAACUAGCAACAAAUAGUUUUAGACAGUAACAAUAGUGUGACUUUGAAAAAUCACCAAAAAUGGUGGAAAUUGAAUUAAAGAGUGAAUAAGAUAUGAAAUGAAAGCUUAAUGAGUCUAUUUCUACAUAAAAGAAACAGAGCAAGCAAAAGAGUUAUAUAUUUUGAGAUAUUUGAAUUUUAGUGAGGCAGGGUUGGAUUGAUUUUGGAAUCCCCUAUUCUGAAUUUGGAAAAUAAUUAAAAAUUGUAAAAAUAAUAAUUAUGAGUUAUAAUUUAUAUUCUUAGAAUCCUUAAUGAGUCUAUUUUCAAAGGAAAUAAACAUAAAUAUCAUCUGAAUUCUGUAAAAUGAGAUAAUUUAUUUUUAGUGAAGAGAUGUCAGAGAUGCUAAGCAGUGAAAUAGGGGUGAGUUUAAAGAAUAAACUGUACUAAUUGGCUAAGAAAAAAAUUCUGAAAAUUUUAUGGUAAGAAUAUAUGUGAGUUUAGUUUUGGGUAAAAUUAACGGAACUUAAUUUGGAGCUUUGUAGCUCAGGAUAAAAAUAAUUUAGUGACUGUAACUCGACUAGAUAGCUUUUGAAUUUAAAUAUAAGUGAAUAGUGAAAUUAUGUAUAAUGCUAUUUAAGCAUGUUAUAUACAUAAAGGAUGUGGGAUGGAGAGGAGGAGGAGGACAAUAAAGCAUAUGCGUGUGGUAGAUUAGCAUGAAAUGAUGUCGUGAGUGGCUCAUGAAUUAACUCAUGUUGGUAAGUUGAUGCAUAAUUAUAGUAUUCAAAUAUAUUACAUAUUUGUAAUAUUUUGCUAUGUGAUUCGGAAAAAGGGGAAUAAAUAGCAUAAUGAAAAUUCGGCCAUGGUGCUAGUUUAUGUUAAAGGAGUGUUUUAUGGCAUAUCUUAAGUAAUGGAAUGUUAUGAAUUUUGAGAUUAAUUUGCUAGUCAAAUAAAUGACAAAUGAAUUGAUUGCGUAUUCGUAAUUUUGACAUAUGCUUGGUAUAUGAAACGUAAUAAUAUAUGCUUGAACAAACUUUAAGUAUUCGAAUGACAUGGAUUUGAUGGUGAUAAGAUUCGAACAUUGAAUUCAUGAAGCACAAGUGAUGUAUUAUUGUUGUGUGAUAGCUUGGUUUGAGAAAUUGGUUAGGUAAAUGGUAAGUUAAAGCAUUUAUGGAUAUAGAAGAAAAUUUGGAGUGAAUAUGAAAUUUAGCUCAAUUAAAUGAUUUCAUCAAUUAAACAUUGUGUAUACCAGAAUGUGUUAGUGAAUUACAUAUUCAUAAAUUGACAUUCGAAGUUCAGUUAGUGAUAUAUGAAAAUAACAUGAAAAGAUUUAUGAUUGUGAUUAAUAUUGAUUCUAACUUAAAGUGGAUUCUUCAAUAUUGGAUUGAUUUAACGGAUAUAUUGAGCAUAUGAAUGGGUAUGUAUUGGGCCUCGUAAACCUUAAUUAGCGACUCAAAGAUAAUAAUUUGAAAGUUUUUAAUUUGAAUGAAAUUUUAUAACUCAGUUUAAUAUGUUUAUAAGUGUAUUUAUUCUAAUAAUGCCUCGUACCCUAUUCCAGCGUAGAAUACGAGUAAGGGGUGUUACAAUGUGACAUCACUAGAUUCGGCCCUAAUGUUUAGGCCGGGUUUGGGGUGUUACAAUUACUUUUGAAAGUAUUUCUAUGAAGCGUGUCUCGUAUUUUCGGUCAAGCUAAAUGGCAAAGCAAAGGCAACAUUGAGACAUGGAGCAUAGGAUGUCACAAUGACGUGACGACAUUCGAAACUAAAUCGAAGCAGGGCCGACGUCACGAUGAGGGGACCUACGAUGUCGUGACGAUGCAACGAGGCAGCCACGUCUCUUGACAACUUAAUGGAUUUUCCUUCUCCCAGUUGAACUUUGAUUUUCGGUUCUCUUUUCUCAAUUUAACUCUAACUAUUCUAGGGAUAUUUUUGUAAUACCCUAUAUGUAGCACCUUUAACCCGUAUCCAUUGUCAGAUUAGAGUUACGAAAUAUUACCGAGUAAAACAAAACAUUUAACUUCACAACAGAAACAAUUAUAUUAAUUAAAUGUAAUCAUGGUAAAAAUAUAAUUACGGGUCUUAACUCGAGUUUACAGGGCCUUAAAAACAGUUUUGGAACAUUCAGGGAUCAAUUCGAACAAAUCAGAAAAUUUAAAAAAACAGGAAAAUUUUGAAAACAGGAAUCACACUAUCGUAUGACAUAGUUCAGAUCUUGUGGACAUUCGAAGUCUAGACACACAGCUUAUCCCAAGCCGUGUGAGUAUUCGGAAUAAGGCUACACGGACAUGUCAUAUGUCGUGUGCCAAAUCAUGUGUACUGUAAUAACCAAUUUUACCCGAGCUUAUUAAAAUUAAAUUAAAAUAAUAUAAAAAUCAAAUAAUAAUAAAAUGUCCAAUAACAGUCCAAUAAAAUAAACCCAUAAACCGAAUACACCCCAGCCCAAUAACCAAUUACAGGCCCAAUUCAAACCUAAUACCCAAAUUGCAACCCACAAGCCCAAAAGCAAGAAAAAUAGAAAACCCUAGACAGUAGCAGCUUCCAGCGCCGUUCUCCCUAUGUAGCCUCCGCGCGUGCUACGCCACCACCACGCGCGUUCCUCACAUGUGAACUAGGCCUCCACUCCAGCUUGCACCUGUAACAGACGUAACAAACUAGUAGAGAAAGCAAAGGAAAAAUGACAGCAAGGAAAAGGCAACACAGCAAAUAGGAAAGCAGUAAAUAAAAAAUGUAAAAAAUAUAUUUCGAUUGAUUUUAUUUUUAUUUUUAUUUUUAAGGAUUUCGGUUAUAAAAAGGCCAUUUGAGCACUAUAAAUGUGGACGCAUACAGAGAUUGAAUACAAAAAACAAAAAAAAAAUUCAAAGAAAAAGGUAAAUAGAGUUUUGUAAGAAAAAAAUGACAUUCUGCAUUCAUGCAAACAUCAUUCAUACAUUUGAAUUAUACAAGUCAUGUUCCCCCAGAGAACAAACCGGUGAAACUAUAAAGCCUGAGCAGCAGUGGAAUAGGUUGAAAAUAGCAGAUCUUGUUUUUCUGUACUGGCAGCGAAGCAGAUCGAAGAUAACAAGUCUUAUCUCCCUGACUUGCAGCGGAGCAGACUGAAGAUAGCAGAUCUUGUCUUCCUGUACUGACAGUGAAGUAGAUCGAAGACACCAGUCUUAUCGCCUUGAUGUUGCAAUGGAACAGAUUAAAGCUAAAGAUAGCGAAUCUUGUGUCCCUGCCGUUGCAACGGAGUAGAUUAAAGCUGAGGGCAGCAAAUCUUAUCUCCUUAGCGUUAAGACUUGGAUUAGCUGAAGUGGAGCAGAUUAAAGCUGUAGGCAGCGAAUCCUAUCUAUUUGGCAUUACAGUGGAAUAGAUUGAAGCUACAACAGCGAAUCUUACUUCCCUGGUGGUGUAGUGGAACAAAUUGAAGCUACGAUGGCGAAUCUAGUUUCCCCGACACUGCAGUUAAAUAGAUUGAAGCCAUAACGGUGAAUUUUACUUCCCUGGCGGUGUAGUGGAACAUAUUAAAGCUACGACGCCAAAUCUUGUUUCCCCGACAUUGCAGUUAAAUAGAUUGAAGCUACAACAGCAAAUCUUACUUCCCUGGCGGUGCAGUGGAACAGAUUGAAGCUACAACGGCGAAUCUUGUUUCCCCGACAUUACAGUUAAACAGAUUGAAGAUGGCGAAUCUUAUCUCUCUAAGGUUACAGUGGAGCAGAUUAAAGCCAAUAAUCCUAUCUCUCUGAGGUUGCAGUAGAGCGGAUUGAAGUGAUGAUCUUAUCUCUCUGAAGUUACAGUAGAGCAGAUCGCAUCCAAUUUUAUCUCCCUAAAGUUGUAGUGGAGCAGACAGAAGAAACCAAUCCUAUCUCCCUGAAAUUGCAGGGGAGCGGAUUAAAACUACAGAUCUUAUCUCUCUGAAGUUGCAAUAGAGCAUAUCACAACAGACUUAUCUUUUUAAAGUUGCAGCAGGACAAGUUGAAGCUACAAGUCUUAUCUCCCUGAAGUUGCAAUGGAGCAGACUGAAGAUAGUAAAUUUUUUUCUUUUGAAAAGACUACAAGUUACAAAUUGCAUCUCCCUAAUGUUACAGUGGAGUAUAUUGAAGCACCAAUUCCUAUACUUCUAAAGAUGCAGUAUGAUGGAAUGAGGCUACUUGAAGAAGAAGAGCACCAAGGUCCAGCAUGACCAGGCAAAAUUGGUCAUUUUUAAAGUCUUUGCUUUGUUCCCGUUACACGACAACAAGCAAAGAAGGGCAGCUGUAAUAACCAAUUUUACCCGGGCUUAUUAAAAUUAAAUUAAAAUAAUAUAAAAAUCAAAUAAUAAUAAAAUGUCCAAUAACAGUCCACUAAAAUAAACCCAUAAACCGAAUACACCCUAGCCUAAUAACCAAUUACAGACCCAAUUCAAACCUAAUACCCAAAUUGCAACCCACAAGCCCAAAAGCAAGAAAAAUAGAAAACCCUAGACAGCAGUAGCUUCCAGCGCCGUUCUCCCCAUGUAGCCUCUGCGCGUGCUACGCCACCACCACGCGCGUUCCUCGCAUGCAAACCAGGCCUCCACUCUAGCUUGCACCUGCAACAGACGUAACAAACUAGCAGAGAAAGCAAAGGAAAAAUGACAGCAAGGAAAAGGCAACACAGCAAAUAGGAGAGCAGUAAAUGAAAAAUGUAAAAAAUAUAUUUCGAUUCAUUUUAUUUUUAUUUUUAAGGAUUUCAGUUAUAAAAAGGUCAUUUGAGCACUGUAAAUGUGGACGCAUAUAGAGAUUGAAUACAAAAAACAAAAAAAAAAUAUUCAAAGAAAAAGGUAAACAGAGUUUUGUAAGAUUUUUUUAAAUUUUUCUUCACUUUUCUUUGUUUUUUUUUACUGCUUUGUUCAUUAAUAAUAUGUGUAAGGCCCAAUUUUUGUCCGGCCUGUUACAGAAAUAAAAAACCAAACAAAACCAAAAUGUUUCAGUCCAAUUUUGCUAAGCCCAAUAACCCAAUAGCACAGCCCAAAUCAAUUUAUCCUAAAACUAACCCAGCUACAAUCACCGAAACCCUAAAAUCCCUUAGCCACCGCCUCCAGCAAGUGUCCAAUCAGCGCACGUUUCGGAACCAGCCCUCUUCUCCGCGUCGUGCUCUCCACGUCUACCUGCGAAAACGGACUAAAAGAGUCCCAAUAUUGUAAAAUAAAAAUACAAAGUAUUUUCUUAGGCUAUAAAAAGCCUAACUUGUACACUGAUAAAAAUAAAAGAAUAGAGAACAGAAUAAAUAUUUUUACAAAGGUGAUUUUUUUUUGUUUUAUUCCGCAGUGACCAUUUUUUAUUUACAUAUGUUUUAUUUUCUUUUAUUUUCAUUUAUUUCGUAUAAAAUAACAAAGAAAAAAGAAAAGGAAAACAUACCUUUUGUCGGACUUGCCGGAUUGUUGCCAUCUCCAGCGCUAGGAGUUAGGGCUGAAAACCCUAGCAGAGGGCAUUUAGUUUUUUUUUUCCUUUCAUUCUGCUGCAAAUGUUUUUUAGAGAAAAAAAUUGUUUUAAAUAACAGAGCAAAACGGCGCCGUUUUACCCAGGCAUGACCCGCGCGGUGACCCGACCCGGAGGGAGGAUUCGCGCGUUUUGGUCGAAGGGAAAAUUUGCGCAAUUGGUCCCUCCCUUUUGCAAUGCGCUUCAAUUAAACCUGUUUUGUUUUUUUUAAUUUGGCCGCAUAUUUUAUUUUUGUUUCAAUUUGGUCCCUUGCUGCGCAGCAUUUUGGAGGGUAGGAUUAAUUUCCCUUCUAGUCCCCCAUUGUUGUUCGCGCGUUCAAGUUGGUCCUUUUUUUAUUUAUUUUUGAAUCUACCCCAUCUUUUCGUUUUUAAGUUCAAUUUAGUCCAUUUUUUAGCUUUUUCUUUUUUAUGUUUGUCAUUGUACCAUUAUUAUUAUUAUUAUUAUAUUAUUUGCUAUCAUUAUUGUUAUUGUAUUUUCUAUACAUAUAAAUACGCAUAUUUUUUAUAUAUAAUAUAUAAGCAUAUUUUUAAUAUAUAUAUUUAUAAGUACGCAUCUAUUUUAUACAUACAUACUUUUUUUUUUAUUUCCUAACCUUUAUGUACACGUAUAUAUACUUCUAUAUUUUGGUUUCAAAAUUUUUUAUACAUAUGCAUGUUCGUUUUUUCUUAUAUAUAUUAUUUUUCAUUUUUUUUACAAAACGUAUAUAUAUGUGUAUACAUACACAUUUUAAAAUACACACAUGUUUCCCAUAUUUUACAAUUCAAAAUACACAUUUUUUAUAUUAUAUAUAUACAUUCUUUAUAUUUUUGAGUUAUUAUAGACAUUUUUAUUAUUCUAUAUAUACUCCGUUAUUUAUGUACAUAUCAUACAUAUAUAUAAAUUUUUUAAUAUAUGUAUACAUAUUUUCAUGUUUUACCAAUACAUAUAUACUUAUACAUUUUUUUUCUGUAAAUAUAUACACAUAUACAUACUUUUAUAGUUUUAUUUUAUUUUCACGGUUUUCAAAUGCACAUACGUGCAUUUUUUAUGAGUUUUUGAUUGAUAUAUUCCAUUCCAUUUUUUUAUAUGUAUCCUUGUAUAUGUGUGUAAAAUAUAUGCGUACACAUAUUUUCAAAUUUUCUUGUAUAUUGUACUUGUAUGUAUAUAUUUUGUAAAUACAUAUUCAUAUAUGUUUUAAAUUAACGUUUUGUUUCAUAUUGUACGUUAACUUUUAACAUACCUUUUGGGAAAUAUAUUUUGGUUUUGUCAGUAUAUCAAAAUCAUUUUCUCUUGAUUCAAAGUUUUUUUGAAUAAAAGCAAUAUUCAAGUUUGAGAUUUUUGAGGAAAAUUGAGCCCUAACGUAUUGGGUUCUGAUUUUCUUUGUUAAUCUUAAAUAACCGAGGAUAUUCUUUAUUCAAAAUGCAUGAGUAUAAAGAUCAUUUUUGGGAACUUAACUUGUUGUGUCCUAAUGUAUUGGGCGUGACAUAUUACUUUCUCAAAAUGAAGAUUUUCACAUAAAAUAAAAGUGAUAUUCAAAGUUCGGGGAUUUUGAGAAAUUGUACCCUAACGUAUUGGGACUCGAUUUCUUUACAUGACUUGAACAAUUGAUUAUCCUUUUCAAAUUUCAUCAUUUAAGUUGUUUUAAAAAAAAUUAGCCCUCGACAUUAAGACAUUAAAUAAUUAAUUUGGUACAGAUUUUGGGUGUCACGAGGGUGCUAACCCUUCCUCGUGCGUAACUGACUCCCGAACCCAUUUUCUCAAAUUUCGUAGACCAAAAUACGUUUUAAGGUGAACUGAUCACACCUCAAUAAAAGAUCGGUGGUGACUCCAAUUUUGUUUUUUUAAAAAGUCGACAACUACAUUUUUGAUUUAGAAAUGGUUUCGACAGCUUGGCGACUCCACUGGGGACACUAGAGAGUCGAGCCAUAAAUUGAUUAUUUUUGUCUUGUGAUUGAAAAAUCAAAUUUGUUUUAAAAUCAUGAUUUCCCUUUACAUUCAUUGAUUUUCAUCAUGAUAUAUUUGCAUGAUGGGUCCGAGUCGAUUAAUUUGUAUUUGCAUUAUGCAUUGCAUUGGUUGGUCAGUGUUACCUCUUUAAGUGGGAGCGAGAAACUAGUCCUUCGUGAGGUUUUGACCUCCGUGCAGGGUAGUAGACCGCUUUCGGGAUACAUCCGUACCUAUGUCUUCGUGAGAUUUUCAUCUCCGUGCAGCCAUAGGGAAAUGUAUUCCCUUGAACUGAACUCAGUCCAUAUGAGCCUAUAAUGGGUGAGGAUCGAGGAAUCUGCUGGUUCGGGUACCUUUGCUCUAGAAACUAAACCUCAUAUACUGAGAUUUAGGGACUUGCCCUAGGUAGAGCUAUACCAAACCCUAGAGGAGUCCUGAAUAGGUUUUAUUAUUUCCUAUGUACGUUGAAUUAUGAUUUUAUGCAUGAUACUAACUUGUGUGUUUUGUUUUGGCGGUAUGGCAUUUUGACUGCAUGGCAUUUCAUUAUAGAAAAAAAAUGUUGAUUCAUGUUUGGUUGUUAAAUAGAGAGCUUGCUACGGAAAAUAGAUUUCUUGAUAAGGUGAAAGAUAAUACGGUUGUCUGAGUAUAGUCUAAGAAAACGUGACGCGAAAGGUAAUAGCGUAACAAGAGGAGUAUACGACUUUGCUGCGUUGCCCAAGGAUUCAAAUUGUCAAAGAUUAUUCAAGAGUCAUCAAACGUCCUAACCUCUUAAAGAAGCUCAUGGGCAUGAGUGAGCAAAGAGAUACGACCUAGAUCAAACAAAAUGGAGCUAAGAUUCGCAAAAUGCAUCUUAAUGUUCGAAUGGUCGAUGCCUUCACUUGGAGUACGAGCACAAAGCCGUAUAUAUAUAUCCGCUUUGUGUAAAGAGAUUUGUUUUCUAGUGAAGUUUUUCUAAUAAAGAAUUGAACUAGAAUCAACGUCUCUUUUUGCAUUUAUUUCAUGCAUUUGCAUUACAUUACAUCACAUGCAUUAAACACCGUAAAAGGAUCCUAAUUAACUAAAUCAUUGCUCAGUUAACCUGGAAACCAACCAACCAACCAAACACCAUUAUGACACUUGAGCAAAGAUUAAAGAUAUGGAUCAGAGAUUGGAAAAGCUCGAAUAGUACCAGAAGAAGAUGCAAGACCGACUUCAGCUGCAAGUGCAAGAACGGUUGGACAAGAUGCAAUAGGAUAUGUCAGAGAAGAUACAGGAAUCCCAAAAGGAUAUGAUGGCGAAGCUGACCCAACUAUUGACUGGAGGAAGUGAUAAGGGAAAAGGGACCUGUAGCUAAUGUCGAAGAAGGCAACGAGGAUGAACCUCUCUAUCCUCCAGGCUUUACUCCUCCACAUGUACGAACUCAAGCUGAGGUAUACCCGCACAAAUCUAUUGUCACAAUCAGGCCUCAGCAGUUCCAGGCCGGUACUUCAAAUUUCCAAGCUGGAUCGGGCUCUAACCCCGGGAACUACCCUAUUAACUCUGCCAUUCCUGACUUCGAUGAAAUGGCUGAAAAGGAAAAAAUAAAUGAAGAGUUACCAAGGCAGUUAGAAGAGAGGUGUAAAUGGCUCGAAGAGAAGUUCAAGGCGAUGGAGAUCACUGAAAACUAUCGUGGGAUCAACGCUAAAGAACUGAGUCUAGUCCUAAAUUUGGUACUCCCUCAUAAGUUUAAGAUGCCGAAAUUUGAAAAAUAUAAUGGGACAAGUUGCCCAGAAGCACAUAUCACCAUGUUCUGCAGGAGAAUGGCUGGAUAUGUUAACAAUGACCAGCUACUGAUUCAUUGUUUCCAGGAUAGCCUUACAGGGGCAGCAUCUAAAUAGUACAAUCAACUGAGCCAUACCAUGAUAGGUUCAUGGAGGGACUUAGCACAAGCGUUCAUGAAACAGUACAGUCAUGUAACAGACAUGGUUCCUGACAGAAUCACCCUUCAGAAUAUGAAAAAGAAGCCAAACGAGAGCUUUAGGUAAUAUGCACAAAGGUGGAGGGAGGUGGCUGUUCAAGUUCAGCCACUGCUCUUGGAAAGAGAAAUGUCAAUGCUCUUUAGAAAUAUAUUGAAAGCCCCGUUCAUUACGCAUAUGUUAGGAAGUGCUACAAAAAGCAUUUCUGACAUAGUUAUGAAUGGUGAAAUGAUCGAAAAUGCUAUAAGGAGUGGGAAAAUCAAUGCAGAGGAGAGUAACAAGAGGCCAGUCUCAAGAAGAAGAGAAAAUGAGGUGAACAACACGGGUUACUCUAAAUCAGUUACUAUGAGUCAGCCAAGAAAGUUGGUUGCUAACCAACAAGGUUCAUCAAGACAAGAAGAUGGUACAAGACAAAACACUAAGAGGCCCCAAUUCACGCCAAUUCCGGUGUCGUAUAGGGAGUUAUAUCAAAGAUUUUUUGAUGCACAUGUUGUUUCCCCUUUUCAUGUAAAGCCUCUACAACCUCCGUACCCCGAAUGGUAUGAUGUGAACGCACAAUGUGAAUACCAUGCGGGAAUUACGGGACACUCAAUAGAGAAUUACACUGCCUUCAAGAAGCAAGUUGAAAGACUCAUCAACACGGGUAUUGUCAAGUUUGGUGACUCAUCUAGUGCAGAAAAUCCGCUACCCAAUCAUAUUGAUAAUAGAGGUGAGAUUUUCACAUCGACGCCGUAUGUGCAGACACAACCAAAAGGGUUAUUGUUAGAUAUUCACCUGGAAGGUGCUAUAAAUAAUGGGACUGCAGAGGAAACCCCUAUAGUAUUUAGAGUCUGUUAGGGUAAUGUUCAGAACACACUUGUUGCUUUUAGCCUAGAAGCAAUAAGAACUUCUUUGUGAAAUAGGCUCAUGUCUGAACAUUGUUAUUUUAAUGAAAUACAUUAUUGCAAUCAUCUUUGAGCAAAUGUUCUUUCAUUCUUUACGAUUCUUUCAUUCUUUUGGAUUUUUUUUGCCAAACCAUUUUUUUCAUUCAUUCAUAUUAUUUAUAAAUUCAUACAUUAUUUUGUAUAUUCUUUGGUACCUACUAGGGGUCCCCAGAUAUCAAUGACAUGAGUGACGCUGCUAUAGACUCAGAACUUCCUUUUGAGUGAGACAUGUGUUUAGAGGGAUCUCAUGACUUUGAUGAUGACAUAGAUUGCAGCUUAUCUCCAGAUUUGACGAAGGUGAUAGAAUAAGAGGAUAAGAUAGAUCAUACCUCAUAAGAAAUUAUUAGAAAUUGUAAGCUUGGUGAAGAUUAAAAUUGACAUGACCACAAAGACGAAGUGGGACCUUAUGAAUUACCCUAAGAAUUCAAUGAUGUCUUCACAUGGUCAUACCCAGAUAUGCUCGGGUUAAGCACUGACUUUAUAAUCUGAAUAACAACAUGAUGUCAGAAAUUUGCAGUAGGUUCAGCAUUAAUGUUAUGAACGAUGCAGUGAAAUUUCUUUAUUGGGGAAAUGUCCUUCUCUUUGGCUUAUCAUAGCUUUGCUCAUUGAAGUUGAAUUGCCAUUUCUCUGUAUUUUUAUCCUAAGAGGAAGAUCUGAAGGUUCGUCCUAGAGAAUUUCACAAGGGGGAGCUAGUGUUGAAAAUGAUCAUUCCUAUACAAAAGGGAUUUUAGAGGAAGAUAGAUGCCAAAUUAGGAGGGUCCAUAUGUUGUAAAGAAAGUCUUUUCUAGGAAAACUUUGAUCCUGAGUGAGAUGGAUGGUAAAGAUUGUCCAAGCCCUGUAAACUCAGAUUCAGUUAAGAAGUACUUUUCCUAAAAAAGGGGACCAAGGUGAAAGCCUACAAAGGGCGCCUUGAGUAAAAAAAAAUAGAGAGGCCAAGGUGAAAACCCGCGAAGGGAGGCUUGAGACCAAAAGGAUUUUAGUUGAAAACCCAAAAAGGGCGGCUCAAAUGUUGAUCAAAAUGGCAUUUGAAAUUAUCAGAGCAGCUCAAAUACUGAUCAGAAUGGGGCAUGCAGUGGUCUUGCUAUACCUGAAUCAACAGGAAAGGGGUAGGCAACAUCUUGGGGCAUCGACAAAGCACUGUUGAUUUCCUAAACACAUGUUAAAAUCAGAAUGGUCUUCAGAAAGUUUGCACAGAGAAGUUCAGGCUGCGAUACCUGGGGCACCGAAUCCUUAUACUAUUUUUGUUAUACUUGGAACACUUCAUUCAUUUCCAAGACACGCAUUCUUAAAUUAAUUUCUUUAUUAUCUUUGACAAUUUAUUCAUUUCGAGCUAUGUUCAGAACCAACUCUAUUCUUAUCCAUGAUCUUUUUGCAAGCAUGUUGCAUUAGAAUAAUGAUUAAUGGACUAAUAAAACUUUCACAAAGGAAGUUUUGCAUAUUACUCUAGAAAUUUCUAAAUAAUAUAGGAACCUGAAACAGGACUAUUGUUUAGAACACACCAAGUUUAAAGGUUGGAAAUCUGAUAAGGAGGAGUCUAAAUUAAGACUAUCCUUUUAAAUUUUGUUGUCUAAAACAUUGUUUGAACAAAAUGAUAAGAUGUCAUAUUGGUGACAAAGCUUAGAUGAAAGAAAGUAAUGAUCACCGAAUAAUAAGAAGAAGUUGUUCUUGGAGAAUAAAAUUUUUCAUUUGUGCAUUGGCAUUUGGUAUGACACCCAUAGAAUGGUAAAAGACCAAAGAGCUUCACAUUCUACAUCCUUGAAUUGUGAUAGGAGAGGAUUGAGAAAAUGCCAGAUUUUUCUUGGGUUACAGCGGGAGAAAGAUGGUACAAAUGUUACAUCCUAGUGGAUUGAGCUUUGAAGUUCACAGUGGGGGCAAUCUGGUCAAGUGUUUCUUUGGAGACGUUAGCCAAGCAAAAGGUGCUAUAGCACAUUAGCGAUAAAAUUUUAAUAAACUUUGAGUAAUGAUAACCUAAGUGAUAAGGAGGAAUCAUUCUCGAAAAAUGACAUUCUGUAUUCAUUCAAAUGUCAUUCAUACAUGCCUAGUUAGGAGCAUUUGAUUCAUUCUGUUCAUGACAUCCUAAUCAUUAGGUAUAAUUAGGUUCAUAAAGUGAAUUAUACAGGUCAUGCUCCCUAGAGGACAGAUCAGAGAAAUCAUAAAGCCUUAUCUCCCUGAGCAACGGUGGAGCAGGUUGAAAAGCAGCAGAUCUUGUCUUCCCGUACUGGUGACGAAGUAGAUCGAAGAAAGCAGAUCUUGUCUUCAUGUAUUGGCGUGAAGUAGAUCGAAGAAAGAAGAUCUUGUCUUCCCAUACUGGUGGUGAAGUAGAUCGAAGAAAGCAGAUCUUGUCUUCAUGUAUUAGCGUGAAGCAGAUCGAAGAAAGCAGAUCCUGUCUUCCUAUAUUGGUAGCGAAGUGGAUCGAAGAUAGCAGAUCUUGUCUUCAUGUAUUGACGUGAAAUAGAUCAAAGAAAACAGAUCUUGUCUUCAUGUAUUGGCGUGAAAUAGAUCGAAGAAAGCAGAUCAUGUAUUGGCGUGAAAUAGAUCGAAGAAAGCAGAUCUUGUCUUCAUGUAUUGGCAUGAAGUAGAUCAAAGAUAGCAGAUCUUGUCUUUCCAUACUGGUGGCGAAGUAGAUCGAGGAAAGCAGAUCUUGUCUUCAUGUAUUGGCAUGAAGUAGAUCAAAGAGAGCAGAUCUUGUCUUCCCAUACUGGUGGCGAAGUAGAUCGAAGAUGACAGAUCUUGUCUUCAUGUAUUGGCAUGAAGUAGAUCAAAGGAUAGCAGAUCUUGUCUUCAUGUAUCAGCAGUGAAGUAGAUCGAAAAUACAAGUCUUAUCUCCCUGAAGUAGCAGUGGAGCUGACAGAAGUAACCAAUCCUAUCUCCUUGAAGUUGCAAUGGAGUGGAUUAAACCUGCAGAUCUCAUCUCUCUGAAGUUGCAGUAGAGCAGAUCGCAUCAGAUUUAUUUUUAAGUUGUAGCAGAACAAGUUGAAGCUAUAAGUCUUAUCUCCCUGAAGUUGUAGUGGAGCAGAUUAAAGAUAGCAAUUUUUGUUCUUUUAAAAAGCUACAGUGUACGAACCCUAUCUCCUUGACAUUGCAGUGGGGUAGAUUGAAACACUAGUUCCUAUACUUCAGAAGAUGUAGUAGGAAAGAAUGAGGUUACUUGAAGGAAAAAGAACUGAAUAAGUCGAGGCUCAGUAAGACCGGGCACAAUUGGGCUUUUAGUAUUUGCUCUGUUCCCGUUACAUGACAACGAGCAAAGAGGGGCAGCUAUAGGGCCCAAUUUUUUCCUGGCCCGUUACAGAAAUAAAAAACCAAACAAAAACCAAAAUGUUUCAGUCCAAUUUUGCUAAGCCCAAUAACCCAAUAGCACAACCCAAAUCAAUUUAUUUUAAAACUAACCUAGCUACAAUCACCGAAACCCUAAAAUCCCUUAGCUACUGCCUCCGGCAAGUGUCCAAUCGGCACACGUUUCGAAACCAGCCCUAUUCUCCGCGUCAUGCUCUCCACAACUACCUGCGAAAACGGACUAAAAGAGUCCCAAUAUUGUAAAAUAAAAAUACAAAGUAUUUUCUUAGGCUAUAAAAAGCCUAAGUUGUACACUGAUAAAAAAAAAGAACAGAGAACAAAAUAAAUAUUUUUACAAAAGUGAUUUUUUUUUGUUUUAUUUCGCAGUGACCAUUUUUUAUAUACAUACGUUUUAUUUUCUUUUAUUUUCAUUUAUUUCGUAUAAAAUAACAAAGAAAAAAGAAAAGGAAAACAUACCUUUUGUCGGAGUCGCCGGAUUGUUGCCAUCUCCAUCGCGGUCGGAGCGUCGGCAUGGGCGAACGGCGGCGCUAGGAGCUAGGGCUGAAAACCCUAGCAGAGGGCAUUUGGUUUUUUUUUCCUUUCAUUCUGUUGCAAAUUUUUUUUAGAGAAAAAAAAACUGUUUUAAAUAACAGAGCAAAACGACGCCGUUUUACCCAAGCAUGACCCGCGCGGUGACCCGACCCGGAGGGGAGGAUCCGCGCGUUCUGGCCGAAGGGAAAAUUUGCGCAAUUGGUCCCUCCCUUUUGCAAUGCGCUUCAAUUAAACCUGUUUUGUUUUUUUUAAUUUGGCCGCAUAUUUUAUUUUUGUUUCAAUUUGGUCCCUUAUUGCGCAGCGUUUUGGAGGGUGGGAUUAAUUUCCCUUCUAGUCCCCCAUUGUUGUUCGCGCGUUCAAGUUGGUCCUUUUUUAUUUAUUUUCGAAUCUACCCCAUCUUUUCAUUUUUAAGUUCAAUUUAGCCCAUUUUUUAGCUUUUUUUUUAAAUUCUUUUUUAUGUUUGUCAUUAUACCAUUAUUAUUAUUAUAUUAUUUGCUAUCAUUAUUGUUAUUGUAUUUUCUAUACAUAUAAAUACGCAUAUUUUUUAUAUUUAAUAUAUAAGCAUAUUUUUAAUAUAUAUAUUUAUAAGUACGCAUCUAUUUUAUACAUACAUACAUACUUUUUUUUAUUUUAUUUCCUAACCUUUAUGUACACGUAUAUAUACUUCUAUAUUUUUGUUUCAAAAUUUUUUAUACAUAUGCAUGUUCGUUUUUUUUAUAUAUAUUAUUUUUCAUAUUUUUUUACAAAACGUAUAUAUAUGUGUAUACAUACACAUUUUAAAAUACACACAUGUUUCCCAUAUUUUACAAUUCAAAAUACACAUUUUUUUUAUAUUAUAUAUAUACAUUCUUUAUAUUUUUGAGUUAUUAUAGACAUUUUUAUUAUUCUAUAUAUACUCCGUUAUUUAUGUACAUAUCAUACAUAUAUAUAAAUUUUUUAAUAUAUGUAUACAUAUUUUCAUGUUUUACCAAUACAUAUAUACUUAUACAUUUUUUAUUUCUGUAAAUAUAUACACAUAUACAUACUUUUAUAGUUUUAUUUUAUUUUCACGGUUUUCAAAUACACAUACGUGCAUUUUUUAUUAGUUUUUGAUUGAUAUAUUCCAUUCCAUUUUUUAUAUGUAUCCUUGUAUAUGUGUGUAAAAUAUAUGCGUGCACAUAUUUUCAAAUUUACUUGUAUAUUGUACUUGUAUGUAUAUAUUUUGUAAAUACAUAUUCAUAUAUGUUUUAAAUUAAUGUUUUGUUUCAUAUUGUACGUUAACUUUUAACAUACCUUUUGGGAAAUAUAUUUUGGUUUUGUCAGUAUAUCAAAAUCAUUUUCUCUUGAUUCAAAGUUUUUUGAAUAAAAGCAAUAUUCAAAGUUUGGAAUUUUUGAGGAAAAUUGAGCCCUAACGUAUUGGGUUCUGAUUUUCUUUGUUAAUCUUAAAUAACCAAGGAUAUUCUUUAUUCAAAAUGCAUGAGUAUAAAGAUCAUUUUCGGGAACUUAACUUGUUGUGUCCUAAUGUAUUGGGCGUGACAUAUUAUUUUCUCAAAAUGAAGAUUUUCGCAUAAAAUAAAAGUAAUAUUUAAAGUUCGGGGAUUUUGAGAAAUUGUACCCUAAUGUAUUGGGACUCGAUUUCUUUACAUGACUUGAACAAUUGAUUAUCCUUUUCAGAUUUCAUCAUUUGAGUUGUUUUAAAAAAAAUUUUUUAGCCCUCGACAUUAAGACAUUAAAUAAUCAAUUUUGUACCGAUUUUGGACGUCACAAGGGUGCUACCCUUCCUCGUGCGUAAUUGACUCCCGAACUCGUUUUCUCAAAUUUCGUAAACCAAAAUACGUUUUAAGGUGAACUGAUCACACCUCAAUAAAGGAUCGGUGGCGACUCCAAUUUUGUUUUUUUAAAAAGUCGACAACUAUAUUUUUUAUUUAAAAAUGGUUUCGACAAUAUGAAAUAAAAGAAAAAUAGAGAGUAGGGAGAGAAAUUUACCUAAAAGCUGAGACGUCGUUCGUCUGUCGUAAUCGAAGUCGGACGAGGAAUCGGGGCCUCCAAACGCUGGUUUGUUGAGCGGCGCACGGAGGAAAAGUUGCUUAGGGUUUGUAGAUCUAUUAAAAUGGCUUAAUGCCUUGGUUUUUUUAGGUUUCAUGCGUGCAACGAAAUGGCACCGUUUGAACCCCGUUCUAAUGGCUCCAAAGCGAUGUCGUAUUGAGGCUCGACCCGAUUCGAACUAGGUUCCAGAUCUGCGUGUUUUACCUCAUAGGGGAGAAUUUCGCGAAUAGUCCUCCGCUUUUAUAGAACCUUCAAAUUGAUCCUUUUAUUUCUUUUAAAUUUGGCUGCUCAUUUUGUGCUUCAUUUCAAUUAGGUCCGUGCAAGGAUGCUGCGUUUUGAGGGAAGGGAUAUUUUCCCAUUCAGUCCCCAAGUUAUUCGCGCGUUCCUUUGUGGCCCUUAAUGUUAUUUUAUUUUUAUUUUCUCUUUUAAUUUUGAAUUAAAUGCAGUUUAGCUUGUUUUUGUUUAAUUUAAUGUAUUCAAUUUUUAUUUUAUUUUUAAUAUUCAUCAUUCUUUUUUAAAAAAUAUUUAAUUUUACAUCUAGAUUAUUUUAUGUUUAAAUUUAGUAUAUUUUAAAUUUAUUAACAAUAUUAUUUUAAUAUUAUAACAUAUUAUUAUUCUAAAUGUAACAUUAACAUUAUUUUAAAUUUAUCAUGUACAAUCUUAUGCAUUCUUGUUGUAGUUUCAAUAUAAUUUAUAGAUUUUUUUACAUUUUUAUUUUAUAAUACAUUUUUUAACUUCACUUAUAUAGUUCUUUGCUUUAAGAUUUGUACAUUAAUAUUCUUACAUAAUAUUUUUCUAUACAUAUAUAUAAUUUGUGUUAAAUUAUUUUUUAUUAUAUAUAUAAUAUAUUACCGAUUUCAUAUUAUUACAUAUCUUUUUACAUAUUUUUAUAUAUACAUAAUUUAUUUCUUUUAAAACCCUACUUUAUUAUGUACUUUGUUUAUUUCAACUUUUUAUAAUAUUAUAUAUAUUAUUAUUAAACUUUUCAUUUCAUAUAUAUAUUACUUAUUUAGAUUAAUGUAUGUAUAUUAUUUGGUAUAUUACAUAUAUAUAUAUUGUAGCAACGUAAAAAUUUUAGCUUAGCUUGGUCGCUAAUUGUGGCGAUUUAUUGAAAUUUUUUUUGAAAUUUGACGUUUGAUUUUUGAAAUAAAUAGGGAGUUGCCACCGAUCCUUUUUCCUAGGUGUGAUCGGACACCUAUUAGAUCUUUUAUUAAAACAAAUAAAAGGCUAAGUUUAGGUCUACGUUAAAAUCCAGAAAAAAUUUAGGGUUCGGGAGUCGGUUAUGCACGAGGAAGGUAUUGGCACCCUCGCGACGCCCAAAAUUGGUAUCUUAUUAAACACAUGUUGUCUUGAUUUUCAAAAAUACGAAUUCAAUUUGACAUUUAAGUGUGAUCCGAUUGAAGGAAAUGAGAAGUUGCAAGUUUUUUUGUUUUUUAGAAGGACGUCCCGUUUUUAACACGAGCCGAUUAAUUUCACCCAACAUAGGAUGAAAUCAAUGACUUAAUGUUAAAAUCGGUACAUUGCCUUAUUCUUAAAAUUAAAAUGUAAAAAGUUUUUAAAAUGAUAGUAAAAAAAAAUCCAAGAAUAUUAUUGUCAAAAAAAUGCGAAUAAUGAUGUGAAUAAUAAAAUAUAUAAAAUAUAAAAUAUCAAAAUAUCAAAAUAUUAGAAUAAUAAUAAUUAAUAUUGAAAAAUAAAAAAUAAAAUAGAAAUAAAAAAAAUGUACAUAAUAUAUAUUAGAAAUAAUAAUGAUGUUUAAAAAUCAAUACUAUUAAUAAUACUACAUUAAUAUGUACAUAUAUAAAAAAAAUACGUGAUAAUAUUAAAAAUAUGUACAUAAUAUAGUGUUAAAAAUACAUACAUAAUAUAGUUAAGAUAUAUACAUAAGAUAACAUGUAAAAAAAAUAUAUAAAUAAUAUAAUAUUAAAGAUAUAUACAUAAAAUAGUAUAAAAUAUAUAUACGUAAUAUAGAAUUUAAAAUAUACCUAAUAUAUUAAAAGAAUAUAUAUAAUAUAAUAUUAAGAAAUAUAAUAAUAACAAAAAAGGAGAGAGAGGGAGAGGGUGGAUGAUUUUCGGCCACAAGGUCGGCCAUCGUCCGGUCACUGGACCGCCGCCGGCGCCACCGUACACGGCAGCCGGACCUCAAAAAAAACUUUUUCGGUAAAAAUGGGUAAGCUUCCUCCUUUUAUUUUUUUUCACUUUCGUAUAAAAGAAACAAAAUAAGAUUGAAAGGAAAACAAUAAGUAAACAAAGAACUUAAAAUGAGAAUAGACAAAGAAACCUCUUUUGCUUUGAUCUUUAAUUAAUCUUCAAAAAAACUAGCUUCUCCAAAAACUAGCCUUCACAAUAACUCUUCUCCUUAAUUACUUUAAAAAGAAACCUCUCCAAAAAUCCUUUACAAUAACUUUCUCUCCCAAAAACUUUCCAAAAAAAAAUCCCCCCCCUUUUACAAAAUAUGAUAAGGCUUAUAUAGCUAUUUACAAAAUAUUUUUUUAUUGUUUAUGUCUUCAUUUGUAGGUACAAGUGGUGGUGGAGCAAGUGUGGUUAGUGGAGUAGGUAAUGGAGCAAGUGUGGCUAGUGGAUUUGGUGGUGGAGAAGGUGUGGCUAGUGGAGUUGGUGGUGGAAAAGGAGUGGCUAGUGGAGUUGGUGGUGGAAAAGGUGUGGCUAGUGGAGUUGGUGGUGGAAAAGGUGUGGCUAGUUGAGAAAAGUUUAAGUUGUGGGCUAGGUUUUUUUAUUUUGAUUUGGGCUUAGGGUUUGGGCCAUUGGGGUUUUGAUGUAAAUUGGGCUUUGGGUAGUUAAGAUUUUGGGUUUUGGGUUUAAUUUUGGUGGGUUAGGUAAGGCUAAAUUGGGUUUUGAUGUAAAUGGGCUAAAAUUGGCCUACAACAGCUGCCCCUCUUUGCUUAUUAUCGUGUAACGAGAAUAGAGCAAAGAUAUAAAGAAAGGCCAAUUUUGCCCGGUCUUGCUAAGUAUGGACUUCUUUGGUGCUCUUCUCAUCCAGGUAGUCUCUUUCCAGUCCAUCGCAUCUUGUAGCUUUGGUUCAAUCCACUGCAAAUUCGGAGAUAUGCCUUAUAGCUUCAAUCUGUUCCAAUGUAAUUCAAUAUGCUCUUCUAUCGCUUCAGUGAGAUAAGGUUUUGGGUCUUCUCUUCUGCCACUUUAGAAAGGCAAGAUCUGAUAUCCUCGAUCAACUCCACUGCAACUUCAGGGAGACAAAAUCUGGUGUCUUCAAUCAGGUCUAAUAUUGAUUCUUUACUCGGCAUGUGAUCCUGAGCUCAACUCAUUUCUCGCAAUAUGAAUUGACUCUGUAAAACUAGACAUUAAAAACAGAAAUUGAAAAUAGCUCAGCACGUGAGCCAAGGCUCAACUCACCUCUCGCAAAAGUAGAUUUUGAAAAUACCUCGACAUGUAAACCCAAGGCUCAACUCACAUCUCGCAAUAUGAGUUGAUUUUUGAAAAGCAGAAAUUGAAAACGCCUCAGCGUGUGACCCGAGGCUCAACUCACCUAUCGCAAUAUGAGUUGAUUUUUUUGAAAAGCAGAAAUUGAAAAUAGCUCAGCACGUGAGCAAAGGCUCAACUCACCUCUCACAAUAUGAGUUGAUUCUUUUGAAAAGCAGAAAUUGAAAAUAGCUCAGCACGUGAGCAAAGGCUCAACUCACUUCUCGCAAAAGUAGAUUUUGAAAAUACCUCGACAUGUGAACCCAAGGCUCAACUCACAUCUCGCAAUAUGAGUUGAUUUUUGAAAAAUAUAAAUUGAAAAAAAUAGAAAUUGAAAAGCAGAAAUUAAAAAGACCUCAGCAUGUGAGCCGAGACUCAACUCACCUCUCGCAAUAUGAGUUAAUUUUUGACAAACAGAAAUUGAAAUUACCUCAGCGUGUCCUGAGGCUCAACUCACCUCUAGCAAUAUGAGUUGAUUUUGAAAAACAAAAAUUAAAAGUACCUCAACGUGUCUUGAGGCUCAACUCAUCUCUCGCAAUAUGAGUUGACUUUCCUUGAAAAGCAUGAAUUAAAAACAUCAAAAUACCCAAAACCUAUCCUUUGGUAGAACUCGGGUGUCUUUUCCUUUGAUUCAGUGCGACUCUCAUUCAAGAUUUCUUGCUCUACUGGAGUACCUGUAUAUGCUAUGUAUGAUGUUAUCAUGAUAUGCACAUGUUUGUCUUAAAUGCUUUUAUGCCUACAUGAUUAUGCAGUGCUCCUUAAGCAUGUUUGUCGUAUGUCCAUUUAGCCACGAUUGUUGAGGGUCUGUGUUCAUUGCUUUGAUUCUCGACUUUCUCCUCAGGCCUUAUACCUACCUUCAAGCUUCACGAGUAAUCGACGUUCCUCAGAUAUCACUCUUCUGCCCCCGAUUGAACUUUGUUCUUACUUUGAGACUCUUGUGCUUAUCAAAUUUUCAUCCAGGUAAUGCUUAACAUUUCUCUUGUUUAGAGUAUGUCAUUUCUCCAUUUAUCAUGUAAAUAAACACAUAAUGAGAUGCAUGAAAAAGGUCAGGUAGGGAAAAAUGAUAUUUCAUAUUCAUCUAUUUCAAAUGUGGCAAACAAAGCAAGUUAACCAAUUAGAGUAAAAAAUGUCAAAAAGAAAGAAAGGAUCGUAUUCAACGGAUGCAAAUACUUUAGAUAUUCGACACAUGAACUCUUCCACGUUCCUCAAUCAAGAAUCUUUUCGAGUCUGGCUCUUUGCGUAGAAGAUUUCGAGCUUUCAGAAAUGCUUCAAAUACUGUAGUCUCACUGUUUGACCCGCUGUUAAAACGCCACGCUCUUUAAGCCAGGUUUACCUCAUUAGGACGCCCUCUCGGGUUUUCAUCCUAAUCUUUUGUGCUAAUCAAGACGCCCUUUGCGGGUUUUCGCCUUGAUCCCUCUUUUUUUUUGGAUGCCCUUUUCAGGUUUUCAUCUCAAGCAUAAUAUUUCUUCACAGCAUCUGAGUUCACUGGAUUCGGUAACUUCUUUCCAUCCAUCUUGGUAAGGAUCAAAGCUCCUCCUGAAAAUGCCUUCUUUACGACGUAUGGUCCUUCCCAAUUUGGUGCCCAUUUUCCUCGCAGGUCCUUUUGUAUUGGGAGAAUCUUCCUCAGUACGAGUUCUCCUUCGUGGAAUUCUCUUGGCCAUACUUUCUUGUCAUGGGCCGCGAUCAUUCUCUUCUGGUACAUCUGCCCGUGACAAAUUGCUCUUAGACGUUUUUCUUCGAUGAGGUUCAACUGAUCAUAUCGAUCUCAAACCCAUUCUGCUUCUUCUAACUUUAAUUCCAUUAAGACUCGCAGGGAGGGGAUCUCAACCUCAAUAGGUAGCACAGCUUCCAUUCCGUAAGCCAGAGAGAAAGGAGUUGCUCCCGUAGAUGUUCGCACAGAUGUGCGAUAUGCAAACAAAGCAACUGGAAGCUUCUCGUGCCAAUCUUUAUAUGUUUCAGUCAUUUUCCCAAUGAUCUUCUUAAUAUUUUUAUUGGCUGCUUCAACAGCCCCGUUCAUCUUUGGGCGAUAGGGCGAGGAGUUAUGAUGCUUUAUUUGGAACUGCUCGCACACUUCUUUCAUCAUCUUAUUGUUCAGAUUCGUGGCAUUAUCUGAAAUGAUUCUUUCAGGCAAACCAUACCGGCAAAUGAUUUCCUUUUUCAAAAACCUGCAAACUGCAGUCCUCGUCACAUUGGCAAACGAAGCGGCUUCUAUCCAUUUUGUGAAGUAAUCGAUGACCACAAAAACGAAUCGAUGUCCAUUUGAUGCUUUUGGAGAAAUUGGCCCUAUGACAUCCAUGCCCCACAUAGAAAAAGGCCACGGAGAAGUCAUGACAUGAAGGGGUGAAGGGGCUACAUGAAUUUUAUCGCUGUAGAUUUGACAUUUGUGGCAUUUUCUGGCAAAAUUGAUGCAGUCAUUUUCCAUUGUCAGCCAAUAAUAACCGAGUCUCAUGAUCUUUCUGGCCAUAUUGAAACCAUUGGCAUGCAUUCCGUAAAUUCCCUCAUAGACCUCUUCAAGUAUUUUUCUGGCUUCAACAUCAUCCACACAUCUCAAAAGCAUCUGAUCCUUUCCUCUUUUAUAUAGGAUAUCCCCAUCAAUAACAAAUCCCGCUGCCAUUCUUCUAAUUGUUCUUUUAUCGUUCUCAUUCGCUUGUUCGGGAUACCUUUGAUUCUUGAUAUAUUCUAAGAUAUCAUGGAACCAAGGUCGUCCGUCUACUUCUUUCUCAAUGCUACAACUGUGUGCAGGGACCUCGUAUAUGCUCAUUUUGAGGGGCAUUAUUUCUACUUCUCUACUUGCUUUGAACAAUGAAGCCAAAGUGGCCAGGGUAUCAACCAGUUGGUUCUCUUCUCGUGGGAAGUAAUGAAAAGUUAUUUCUUUGAAUUCCUUGAUCAAUCCAGCUACUAAAUCGCUGUACUUAAUCAAUUUUGAGUCCCUCACUUCCCACUCUCCACGGAUUUGGUAAAUCACUAGGGCUGAGUCCCUGUACACCUCUAAGAUCUUGAUGUUUCGUUCGAUAGCUGCACGAAGCCCCAUGAUACAGGCCUCAUAUUCUGUGAUAUUAUUGGUACAGAAGAAGUUCAGUCUUGCGGUGAACGGAUAAUGAUUCCCGUCUGGUGAUACCAGGAUUGCUCCUAUUCCUUGUCCUAAAGCAUUUGACGCACCAUCAAAGCACAUCUUCCAUGACUUCUCUUUUGAUGACUCGGAUUCUAUUUCUGUGAUGCACAUUAAGUCUUCAUCUGGGAAAUCGAAUCUUAAAGGCUCAUAUUCCUCUGUCGUUCGAGUUGCUAAGAAGUCAGCUAUUGCGCUCCCUUUUAUCGACUUCUGACUUACAUAGGUAAUGUCAUAUUCCGAAAGGAGGAUCUGCCAUCGUGCCAUUCUUCCUGAUAGUACCGGUGAUUCCAUCAUGUAUUUUAUUAGGUCCAGUUUUGAAAUUAGCCAUGUCGUGUGAUACAACAUAUAUUGUCUGAGUCUCCGAGCUACCCAAACCAGAGCGCAACAAUAUUUCUCAAUGGACGAAUAUUUUACCUCAUAUUCAGAGAACUUUUUGCUGGGGUAGUAGAUCACUUUUUCUUUCUUUCCUGACUCGUCGUGUUGCCCUAGUACGCAACCCAUUGAACUUUCAAACACAUUCAAAUACAAUAUCAAUGGUCUUCCAGGAGUUGGCGGUACUAGCACUGGAGGACUGGACAAAUAUUGUUUUAUCUUAUCAAAGGCCACUUGGCAUUCCUCGUUCCAUUCUCCCGGGUUAUGUUUUCGAAGAAGCUGAAAGAUUGGGUCGCAUUGGUUGGUAAGUUGAGCGAUAAAUCGGGCGAUGUAGUUUAAUCUCCCUAAAAAUCCUCUAACUUCCUUUUGCGUGCGCGCAUGUGGUAAUUCUUGGAUGGCUUUUAUUUUAUCUGGAUCAACUUCGAUACCUCUUUCACUGACAAUGAAGCCUAGCAACUUUCCCGAGGUAGCCCCAAAUGUACAUUUGGCUGGAUUAAGCUUUAGCUAAAACUUUCUCAGCCUUUCGAACAACUUCUUGAGGUUCACUACAUGCUCUUCUUCCCCUCGCAAUUUAGCAAUCAUGUCGUCGACGUAGACCUCUAUUUCUUUAUGCAUCAUGUCAUGGAAUAACGUUACCAUAGCCCUCUGAUAUAUUGCCCCAGCAUUCUUUAACCCGAAUGGCAUCACCUUGUAGCAGAACGUUCCCCACAUCGUUAUGAAGGUAGUUUUCUCCAUAUCCUCAAGGGCCAUCUUGAUCUAAUUAUACCCCGAGAAUCCAUCUAUGAAAGAAAACAAUGAAUGUUUUGCUGUGUUGUCCACAAACGUGUCAAUAUGUGGCAAGGGAAAAUUAUCUUUUGGGCUUGCUCGAUUCAGGUCACGGUAAUCCACGGACAUUCGUACUUUGCCAUAUUUCUUUGGUACUGGGACUAUGUUAGCCACCCAUUCUAGAUAUUUGGAGGCUUGUAGGAAGCCAGCAUCAAAUUGCUUCUUGAUUUCUUCUUUUAUUUUCAACAGCAUUUUGGGUCUCAUCCGUCUUAAUUUUUGCUGGAUGGGCUUGCAUUCUGGCUUUAAUGGGAGCUUAUGGACCACUAAAUCUUCAUCUAGCCCUGGCAUGUCCUGGUAUGACCAUGCGAAAACAUCUUUGUAUUCGCGGAGUAAAAUGAUCAAACUAUGUCUAGUACUCUCUGAAAUAGAAGUCCCAAUCUUCACUUCUUGUUUCCUCUCUUCAAUGCCCAAAUUUAUUAUUUCCACAGAUUCUUCAUGAGGCAAAAUCUGUUUAUCCUCUUGUUCCACCAUUCUUAACAAUUCAGGAGACGAGACAUAAUCUUCAGCAUUUUCUUCGGCUUCAAAUUCUCCUAAGCAAACAGCCUUCUCAAAAUCAAUUUCAAGAUUCGUAACGGGCUUAUUCAUAUCGUCAAUAUCUGAGCACCUGAAAGUUGAAUGGAAAAGGAAGCUAUAGAGGGGCAUCCAAGUAUUGGAAUCAACAAAGAAAUGUCAUGUCAUGGCAAUGAGGCAAAUGUGAGUAUAGGCUAUGAAAUGAGAAAAUGAUUAUGAAAUUAGUGAUAAUGCGAAAAAUCGUGACAAAAUGCAUCUUCAUUGAUAUUCACUUAAAUGAUAAAGAGCGAAUGCAAGCUCCUACAAAAGAAUUCUAUUAUAUCUAAGGACACAAUAGAAUGUUAAUGUUUGAGCAUUACUCUGAAGACUUAUAAACUACAAGAAGGUCCUCGGCAGUCCAAUUGUUCAACAUGAAACCAGGGGGACAAAGGCGUAUCCUUGAGACAUCUUUACUUGUGUCAGCUCCUUUGUCAAUGACAUUUAUACUGAUGUUCUGAAAACCCUUUUCGAUCAUUAACAUUGUGCCUUGUGCAUUGUCCUGCCUCGGGUAUAUCAUUCCCACAGACGUAAAUGUUCUUGACAAAGGAGGGAAUUCCAUAGGCUCCCAUUCUGGUUCUCGGCCUAAGGUUCUCGCAAUCCUUCUUUCUUGAUCUUUCUUCCACUGUCUUCUUCUUUGACGCAUGUCUGGCUGGAACCCCAAACCGUAUCGGGCCUUAUGAUGCACUGGUUUUAGAGCCCUGACUAUUCCUUGUAGAUAUCUCCCUAAACCUCUUCUCACUCGAGCUCCCCUUCCUACAGUCAACUUGACACCCAUUCUAGUAUUUCUCGACAAUUUAGGCACGGGAAUUUUGUUUCCCUCAGUGAAGAAUGUGGCAUUGACGAAUUCAAGGGAUCGGAAGGAGCAUUCCACUACGUCCUUGCUCACUUCAAGGUAUGGCGCAUCAGCAGAGAUAGAUGCGACAAUGUCUUCUUCUCCCUCGACAGUGACCAAACAGCCAUCCAUGAUAAAUUUCACCUUUUGAUGGAGGGAUGAUGGGACCGCUCUAGCAGAAUGGAUCCAGGGUCUUCCCAAAAGGCAGUUAUAUGAGGAUGUAAUGUCCAUGACUUGGAACUCGACAUCAUAUAUGUAGGGACCCACUUCCAGAGGGAUCUCAAUUUUUUCCAUGACUUCAUGCCUUGUCCUGUCGAAUGCCCUUACCGUAGAAUGACAGGGCCUUAAAUGGGACAGAUCCAUCGAAAUUCUGGAAAGUGUGGCCAAAGGCAUAACGUUGAGUGCCGAACCAUUAUCGAUGAGCACGUUCGGUAUUAUGUAGCCCUUGCAACGGGUUGUGAUAUGCAAUGCUUUCACUGAGCCUCUACCAUUGGGCGGUAUUUCAUCAUCACUAAAAGAAAUGAAAUUAUCCGCAUUCAAGUUGUUCAUCCACCUAUCCAGUUUUUCAAUGGAUACAUUGUUUGCCACAUAAGCUUGAUUUAACACUUUCAGCAGAGCGUUUCGGUGUGGUUCUGAAUUCAACAGCAGAGAUAAUACCGAGAUUCGCGCUGGCUGCUUACUCAAUUGUUCUACCACGUUGUACUCACUGUGUUUGAUAAAUUUUAAGAAUUCCUGUGCUUCCUCCUCGUCCACAGGAUUUUUAGCUUCUUGUUCAGGCGCAGUUUCAUGCUCAUCAUCGGUCACAUGCAUCGGUGCUUUUCCUUUCCGUUUCAAGUCACUGUUCUUCUUUAUCUCCUUCGAAUAACAUCUUCCACUAUGAGUGAAAUGACCUAAUUCCCCGAUUCUUCCAGUCAUGGCUUUGGGUUUUUCAUCUUCAGGUGUGACGAUAUUAAUGUCAUAUUUCCAUGGUACUGCUUUAUUGUCCUUGUAAGGGAAAGAAGAUGGUACUUCAAUUAUCAUUUUUGGUUUCACCGGCUCUUUCAUCGCAUCGUAAUAAAUUACUAACGGUUGAUCAGCGCUAUAAGGGGGACCUGAUGACUGGCUAUCAGAGGCGCAUACUUCUCUUUCAUUGGUCUCUUCCCUUUUGUUAAGGAUCUUAAUCUCCUUAUUAUCCAUCCGGUCUUGAAGCAACCUUUUAAAUUCCUCACACGACUGAAUGUCGUGUCCCACAAUUCCAUGGAAAUUGCAAAAACUUUGACCUUCUUCUCCGAGAAUUCUAUCGGGGUGACAAAGCAAUCAUUUCUUAACCAGUACCUCCCAGAUUUUCUGCAAAGGCGUCCUUAUUUCCAAAACACAUCUUCUGACUUUCCAUUCGUCCACUUUCCCCACUAUACUCACAUCCCUUUCGAUAUGGUUAGGGAAUGGGUUCCCAGUUGCAUUACUGGCACUAUCGAAUCGUAGGAUACCUGCAUCAAUGAGUCCUUGAACUCUUCUCUUAAAGGCUAGGCAGUUUUUCGUGGAAUGUCCCUGGUUUCCCGUAUGGUAUGCACAACUAGCGAAUUGUAUGUUUUAACCUCAGCGAACGAGUAUGGAAUAUGCAAUGAAUGAAUGAAUGCAUGAAUGUCAAAUGACUGUUAGUCAUGAAAGAAAUGCAAGAAAUUGGUGUUAAUUUCAAGAUAGCCCCUAUUUAGGCAUUUCCUUAAUCAAAAGAGUCUAUUACACAACGUUUCGGUCACUCGUGUAAUUGACUCCUCUAUCAGAAACCCCUUUUUGGCAACCAAUCUCUAAUCAACCCUUUCCUAACAAGAUGUAUAUGAUGCAUGAUGAAAAAUAGAAAUACAGACAAACAACAUUGGUUAGCAAAACACAUAUGAUCAGAGAAAAAUUGUGGAAAAUCUAACAAAUUAAGCUACUUGGUCCAAUGGACUCGAUUCCCUUGCAUAGAAAGUGAAAGUGCAAAAGGUAAGAGGCGUUCCUCCCGUGCACUUAUUUUGGUGACUACUAAACGGACGGAGGUUCAGCAUGGCUCUAGUUAGGUGGCUCGUAUGGUUCAUUAUAUGCGGUUUUGGUUCUAGAUAGGUACUCGAAUUGCCCGUACUAUCAUCUACUAAGAUUAACACGGAGCCUCGGUCAUAGCCUAUCACAGGCUCACGAGUUCAAUUCGAGGGGUUACAUUUACUUAUGCCUAUGCGGAGGGACAAGUUAACUCACGAAAGCAUAAAUCAUAUGUAACCCGAAAGUAUUCACUAGCCUGUGCGGAGGGACGAGUUAACUCACGAAGGCGUAGUGUUUACUUUCACUUAAACGGACGGAGCCCGGGUAGAGAGCUCAUGUUAUGCGAAAAUGCAAGUGCACGGUGUGUGGGGAACAACUCAUAAACCUUUACGUUUCACUUAAAGAAACUAAACCAAAAUUAAAACCAUAAAAAUUAAAAACUGAAAAACAACCAAAUAAGCAAGUUAGAAGAAAUAUUUACAGCACGAUACAAAUGCAUGAAUUUUGAAAAUGAGAUUUUCGGAUCACGACCAAAUAUUUACUUUGAACAAGGAAAUUUGAAAAUUUUGACAAAACGUGUUUAAUUCCAGACACGACUCUCAAAAAGGCUUUCCCCAGCGGAGUCGCCAGCUGUAGCGACGUAAAAAUUUUAGCUUAGCUUGGUCGCUAAUUGUGGCGAUUUAUUGAAUUUUUUUUUGAAAUUUGACGUUUGAUUUUUGAAAUAAAUAGGGAGUCGCCACCGAUCCUUUUUCCUAGGUGUGAUCGGACACCUAUUAGAUCUUUUAUUAAAACAAAUAAAAGGCUAAGUUUAGGUCUACGUUAAAAUCCAGAAAAAAUUUAGGGUUCGGGAGUCGGUUACGCACGAGGAAGUUAUUGGCACCCUCGCGACGCCCAAAAUUGGUAUCUUAUUAAACACAUGUUGUCUUGAUUUUCAAAAAUACGAAUUCAAUUUGACAUUUAAGUGUGAUCCGAUUGAAGGAAAUGAGAAGUUGCAAGUUUUUUUGUUUUUUAGAAGGACGUCCCGUUUUUAACACGAGCCGAUUAAUUUCACCCAACAUAGCGAUGAAAUCAAUGACUUAAUGUUAAAAUUGGUACAUUGCCUUAUUCUUAAAAUUAAAAUGUAAAAAGUUUUUAAAAUGAUAGUAAAAAAAAUCCAAGAAUAUUAUUGUCAAAAAAUGCGAAUAAUGAUGUGAAUAAUAAAAUAUAUAAAAUAUAAAAUAUCAAAAUAUCAAAAUAUUAGAAUAAUAAUAAUUAAUAUUGACAAAUAAAAAAUAAAAUAGAAAUAAAAAAAAUGUACAUAAUAUAUAUAUUAGAAAUAAUAAUGAUGUUUAAAAAUCAAUACUAUUAAUAAUACUACAUCAAUAUGUACAUAUAUAAAAAAAAUACGUGAUAAUAUUAAAAAUAUGUACAUAAUAUAGUGUUAAAAAUACAUACAUAAUAUAGUUAAGAUAUAUGCAUAAGAUAACAUGUAAAAUAUAUAUAUAAAUAAUAUAAUAUUAAAGAUAUAUACAUAAAAUAGUAUAAAAUAUAUAUAUACGUAAUAUAGAAUUUAAAAUAUACCUAAUAUAUUAAAAGAAUAUAUAUAAUAUAAUAUUAAGAAAUAUAAUAAUAACAAAAAAGGAGAGAGAGGGAGAGGGUGGAUGAUUUUCGGCCACAAGGUCGGCCAUCGUCCGGUCACCGGACCGCCGCCGGCGCCACCGUACACGGCAGCCGGACCUCAAAAAAAACUUUUUCGGUAAAAAUGGGUAAGCUUCCUCCUUUUAUUUUUUUUUACUUUCGUAUAAAAGAAACAAAAUAAGAUUGAAAGGAAAACAAUAAGUAAACAAAGAACUUAAAAUGAGAAUAGACAAAGAAACCUCUUUUGCUUUGAUCUUUGAUUAAUCUUCAAAAAAACUAGCUUCUCCAAAAACUAGCCUUCACAAUAACUCUUCUCAUUAAUUACUUUAAAAAGAAACCUCUCCAAAAAUCCUUUACAAUAACUUUCUCUCCCAAAAACUCUCAAAAAAAAAAUCCCCCCCUUUUACAAAAUAUGGGAAGGCUUAUAUAGCUAUUUACAAAAUAUUUUUUUAUUGUUUAUGUCUUCAUUUGUAGGUACAAGUGGUGGUAGAGCAAGUGUGGUUAGUGGAGUAGGUAAUGGAGCAAGUGUGGCUAGUGGAUUUGGUGGUGGAGAAGGUGUGGCUAGUGGAGUUGGUGGUGGAAAAGGUGUGGCUAGUGGAGUUGGUGGUGGAAAAGGUGUGGCUAGUUGAGAAAAGUUUAAGUUGUGGGCUAGGUUUUUUUAUUUUGAUUUGGGCUUAGGGUUUGGGCCAUUGGGGUUUUGAUGUAAAUUGGGCUUUGGGUAGUAAGAUUUUGGGUUUUGGGUUUAAUUUUGGUGGGUUAGGUAAGGCUAAAUUGGGUUUUGAUGUAAAUGGGCUAAAAUUGGCCUACAACAUAUAUAUAUAUUUUAUUUACUUUAAAAUUCAUUGUGAUACUAUAAUUUCACAUAGUAAUUCUUUUUAUCUUCCUUUAAAUCUAUUUCAAACUCGUAUAUAUAUUGUUUAUGAUAAAUUUUAUGCAUGUAAUUUAUUUUAUAUUAAUAAUUUUCAAUUUCCUCCCUUGCAUGUUAUUCUUUUUUUUGUUUUCAUUUUUUAAGCUUGUUCGUGUUAAUUUACUUGAUAUUCCUUUUAAUUCUUUAGCUUUUAAUAUUAAUAUUUACCCAACAUAUAAUAUGAGAUUCUUACUAUUGUUAUAUUGUAUUGUUUAUUUAUAUUUAUUGAUUGUUUGACAUUCAUUAGUAUACGCUUUAUUUUAUGAAUCAUCAUCUCGCAUUGUAUAUUAUUAUUCAAUCGUUUUUAUUCGUUCAAAAGAUUACGUUUAAUAUCAUUUAAGUAUCGAAAUUGAUUUAUUCAAAAACUUUCAAGAUAGCGUAAUAUUCGGUAUUUGGGUUCUUUGAUAGAAUUGAGCCCUAACGUAUUGGGUUCCAAUUUUCCUUGUUGAAUCUAAAUAAUCGAGAAUAUUCUUCAAUCAAAAAUACAUAAAUAAAAAGCUCAUUCUCGGGAAUUCAAUACGUUGUGUCCUAACGCAUUGGAUAUGACACGUUGUUUUCUUGAGAUGAUGAUUUUUCUAAAUAAAAAUAAAGGCAAUAUUUGGUAUUUAGGAAUUUUGUGAAAUUGAACCCUAAUUUACUGGGUUUUGAUUUUUCAUUUGACCAAAUAAUCAGAUAUCCUUCUCAAAAUGCAUAGGUUUUAAAAAAAAUCAAAAGAUAAACUUAAUUUUGAAGAUAAAAAAUGUAGCGCCCUAACUUACUGGGUGUGACAUUUUAUUUCUUUAAAAUAAGAGUGUCUUAUUAUUUAAUUCAAUUUAUUCAAAGUUAAAAGGAUCGUAUUUUAAAACCUUUUCAAAUUUUUGACACUAAGACAUUAAACAAUCAAUUCGGUAACAAUUUUGGGCGUUACGAGGGUGCUAACCCUUCCUCGUGUGUAACUGACUCCCGAACCUGUUUUCUCAAAUUUUGCAGACCAAAAUCGUUUUUAAGGUGAGCCGAUCACACCCCAAUAAAUGAUCGGUAGCGACUCUCAUCUUUGUUUUUAAGUCGACUACUAAUUUUUGUUUUUAAAAAGUGGUUUCGACAUGUACAUUCAAUGUAGAGUCACAUACAGCCUGCGACAAAAAUAAUAAUUAUACACCGCUGUGUGGGGUGACCGAAAAUUCAUAUAUAGACUUAUUUCGAACGUUCUAAUUUUCCAUUCCGAAUGUUCUAAUUUUCCACCAAAAACAAAGUCGCUUUGGAAUUAAAAUUUUGGUCCUAAGGCCCGCUGGAUUUUUCACAACCACUAUCAUUAGACUAAAAUUAUCUCUCCACGUAUGAUCGGGUUUAAAAAAAUUUAUUAAAAUUAUUUAUUUAAUUUGUUAUUAUUGUUUAUAAUAGAAUAUAAAGUCUUAAAAUAUAAUGAUAUCAUCAUGGAGAAAAAUAUUUUAAUUUAAAAAUGUAUAAAUUUUAUAUAUUAUCUUUUAAAUAAUUUAAAUUAGGGAUAAAUCUCGAAAUCAUACAUGGAUUUGAUUUAAUGUGUAAUUGUAUACAUGAACUUUAAUUUGAUUUAAUAAUUUACAAGAAUUUGGUCAAAAAUAAAAUUUCAUGUAUAAAAUUCUACAAAAUCAAAGUUCAUAUAUAUAAUUGCACAUUAAACCAUAGUUCAUAUAUAGUUUUGAGAUUUAUCCUUUUAAAUUAUAAUGAUAAUUUUUAUAUAUUAAAAUUAAUAUAUUUAACCUUCCUUUAAAUGAAAGAAGCUACUUGUUGAGUUAUUAUAUUUAUUAUAUGUGAUUUAAUUUUAAAUUUUAUUUAUCAAUCUUCACAUAAUUAUUAGAUGCUUUGAGUAAUUUAAAAGAGAUAGACACGAACUGGAAUGAGGUGAAGGAAUUUAUGGCCAUAAAGAGUAAAGGUAUAUGUAUCAACUAAAAAAUAAAAAAUCAUUUAAAAAUAUAAAACUCUCACGGAAGGACAAUAUCUUUAGUUAUUGAAGGGAUCUGUUGAUUAUCAAAUGAAAGAUAUUUUAAAAACUUCUCUUAAAAAAGUCUGAUAAUCAACAAUGCUGAUAGACCAAUAAUUUGAAGCAGUCAAUGAACUUGUAGAAAGGGUAUAGCAAGAGGGAUGGAAGCUUGACGCCAAAAGUUAAGAGAUAUCUCCAUAAUGGUCACUUGUGUUGAGUGGUCUUGGGUGAUUGAAUUUUCUACAAAUGCCAUUAAAUUUCCCACAAGAAUUUUUCUACAAAUGCUUUUCAAUUUUGAAUCAAGUUGGUUUAUGAUUGGAAUUACUUGCUGUAAUAAGUUAGUUAUUUCAUUUUUUUUAUUUAAUACCAAAAUUAAAUAAAUUUUUAUUAUUAUUCUCAUUAAAAACCCAUUAAAGUUUCAGUUUUUCUAUUUAAUAUUGUAACUUUAAUUCUAUUGAAUGUUUAGGUUACUCUUUGUUUUUCAUUAAUACUUUUGGUUUUUUUUUACUAUAAAAAGCUAUUAUAUAUUAGAUAUUACUUAUUAAGAUAUCAACAUUGUUAGAGCAAAAAAAAAAUCUGUGUGAUGGUACAUAUGUUUUUUUUUUGGUGAAGUAAAAUAACAAGAUAAAAUCCGAACAAUUAACGCGACUCGAAUCCAGGUCACACUUGAGGUGUAAUUAGGUGAGAAAGACAUUUUAUAUAAUAAAAUACAUGUGAAAAAAAAUAUUGUUUCAUUAAUUAUUAAUAAAACAAAAAUAUGAUUCAUUUGCAUUUGGUAAAAUUAAAUUAAACAAUAAAAUGUUUUUUUUUUAAUUCUCGUAGAAGUAUAUUUCAUUGAAUAAUUCAAUUGCUUUUAUUGAAAUUAUCGUGGUAUAUACGAAUGUUGCUUAGAAGUUUUUUUGUAACAAAUAUUUUUCAUUGUCAUAUAUUGCAUAUGAUAUAAAGGCAAUAUUUGAAUGGAGCAUUGGUUAGUUUUUCACGGUGAAUCCUCCACAAUAUUCCUUUGUUUGAAGUUGCGGAAAUAUAUAUGUCUCAUGUUUUUAUAAGAUGCAUGUAUUUAAGUUGCGGAAAUUGAAAAGUCUUGACCUGAGUAGCAAUGGAAUUGUAGGUGUUGUGAAUAACCAAGGUUUGUUGCUUUUCAUCUCUGCAAUGAUUAAUCUCUGAAAUUUAAUUUAAGUUUUUAUAAUUAAUUCGUUUAUUUUACUUUUCUAUAUUAGAACAGUAACUUUCUCUUGCAUGCAGUCUCUUUAUCAUCUGCUUUCAACAACUUAGAAAUCCUUGACUUAUCCCACAAUAACUUCGAUGCCAGUAUCUUAUCAAGUAAGCUUCAUCUCUCAAUUUCUAUCUAUGUCUAGUAACUAAUUGUAAGUUUAUGCAAAAAUAAUAUAAAAAUACCUACAUAAUUAACGGGAGAUUUGAAAUGCAUUUUACUAGUUUUUUUUUUUUAAAUAGUUAAAGUUGAUAUUUAUGUAUAUGGGAUAAACCCAAAUUUACGACCAACAAGAAAGAAUAGAGAAGAUUAGGCAUAUAAAUUUAUGUGGGAAAACUCUUUCAAUCAACAGGAUAAAAAAGGAGACUUCAAUAAUGAGCAAACAAACGAAGAGAAUAAGAUGGAGAUAUUCAAAAACAAACCCUAACCCUAAAAACAAAGUUCUUUGGCUAAAAUACAAAAUUCCCUCAAAGCUCUCUCGAAUUUUUCUCUUAAUCUUCUCUCAAUCUUGAUGUUAUGUGUAGAGCCCAAUUCUUGCCCGGGCCUUAACACAAAAAAUAAACAAAAUAAACCAAAAAAAAAAGUCCGUUACAGCAGUGGCCCAAACCCACAAAAUUAACCCUAGCCCGAAGCCCAGUAGAGAAGCAAACCCUAAUUUCCCUAAGGGCGCGCCACACGCUCUGUCAGGCUCCCUCGCGCACGCCACCGCCACCGUCGUCGCUUCCCAUCGCCACCUUCCCAUGCGCGUCAGAACACCUACAAGAAAACUGUAACACCCCUUAACCUCAAACCGUCGCUGAAACUGGGUUACGAGGCACUACCAGACAUAUCAAACAAUUUACAAUUAAUUCCUAGAUAAAUAACUAACAUAUUAAAAUAAAACAUAAAUUCUUAUAAAUUUUAACAGUUGACUUCAUUCAUUUUUUUUUAUAAAUUUCGGCAGCAUUUCUGCUUAUUUUUACAUAAAACCCCUGCAAAUUUCAAGAUUAUAACCUGACCAAUUCCAAUGUUUCAACCAACAUUUAUAUCCUCAAGCAUAAUUAAAAUCAUACUUAACAUUUUAACUACUAUCAUAUAGAUUGCAUAAAAAGAUUAAUCAAAUAACAUAUAUUACAUCUAGACUAAAUACUUUGUAACAUAAUACAUCAAAAUUAAGUCUUCCAUACAUGCCAUAAUUUUCGAGUGAUGAUUACAAAAUACCAAAAGUUGUGGAUAGUGUAGAUGAGUUCCCGACGAUUUCCCGAAUUCCAAGCUGAACUGGUAACACUAUAAAACUGGGAAAAACAAAGAGAAAUAAGCAUAUAGCUUAGUAAGUAGACAUAUGACAAAUAAACAAAUUUUUAACAUGAUUCCAUAGAAACAUAAUUUUAUUCACACAUAAAUUUCCUUGCUUGUUCAAUUUCCAGCAAGCUGUUUUUCUGUGUCACGGUCACUAAUUUAUUUUUAUCUGGAGCUGCUGGGCUCCAAAUUAAGUUCCGUAAAUUUUCCUUGAAACUAUACUUACAUACCUUUCUAUCAUAAAAUUUUUAGAAUUUUCGGUUUAGCCAAUUAGUACAUUUUAUUCUUUAAACUUUCCCUGUUUCACUGCUCAAUAGCUCUGACCUCUCUUUACUUAAAUUUACUUAACUCUUUGUACAGAAUUCAAACAAUGUUCUUGUUUGUUUCUCUUGAAAAUAGACUCAUUGAUAAAUUCAAGCAUGUAAAUUACAAGCCAUAAUUAUUUUUGUACAAUUUUUUGUAAUUUUCCAAAUUUGGAACAGGGGAUUUCGAAAUCAAUUCAACCCUGUCUCACUAAAAUUCAAAUAUUUCAAAAUAUAUAAAAUCUUUUGCUUGCUCUGUUUCUUUCAUGUGAAAAUAGAAUCAUUUAGCUUCAAUUUCAUAUAUUAUUCAUUCUCUAAUUAAACUUCCACCAUUUAUGGUGAAUUUUCAAAGUCGCUCAACUGCUGUUGUUCAAAACUGUUUUAUUUCAAAAUUUACUCUUUUGUAGUUUUGAUAUCUCAUACCAUCUUAUACAUGGGUCGAUUAAGUAUCAAACUCACUAUUCCUCACAUUAUCUUGUCCAUUUCAUAUAUACAUUCACUUUUCCAAUUUCCCUGUUGAACACUCGGAAUAUUAUCCGUUACUCGGUGGAUUAAGCACUUAGCAACCACCUUAAAUUCAGUGAUACGUGGAAUCAGCACAUAGCAACCCCUUUCACAGUCAAGGAUACGGUGGAAUCAGCACUUAGCAACCACCUCUAUAUUCAGUGAUACGGGGAAUCAGCAUAUAGUAACCCCUUUCACAAUCAAAGAUACGGUGGAAUCAGCACUUAGCAACCACCUCUAUAUUCAGUGAUACGGGGAAUCAGCACAUAGCAACCCCUUUCACAAUCAAAGAUACGGUAGAAUCAGCACUUAGCAACCACCUUUGAAGUCAAUAAUUCAGGGAAUCAACACUUAGCAACCCCUUGGGAAAUCUGCACUUAGCGACCCCUUUUUAUUCAAUGUUUUCCGAUCUAUUCCGAGUGUUCAAUCGGAAACCUUGUUUUUCAACACUUUAUCACCUUUCUCAAACUUAACCACAUUUUUCUGAUCUACAUCAAAUAUUUAUUCUAUAUUCAAUCAAAUCUCAACAAUAUAUUGAAUAACAUUAAAAUAACGCAUUAAUUCACAUGCAUACUUACCUUGGUGUAAAAUAUUGUAAUUUUGCAAUUUACUUCACGAUCUUUUCUUUUCCCUGAUUGAGGUUGUCUUUUCGUCUUUCUUGAUCUAUAAUAGAAAUUUUAGUUUAUUUAAUAUUCACAUUUAUUACAACAGUCCUCGACUCAACUUUUUGCAAAAUUAUGAUUUUGUCCCUAAACUUAUCAUAUUUACAUUUUUCCCAAAGCUCGAAAAUUAAAUUUCACUCCUUAUUCUUAUGUUUUACAACAUGCUGAACACUUUUUCCUUCUAUGGAAACAUCAAAUUCUCACUCUAACACGUACUUAUGAACAUUAAAUAUUUUUACCGAUUAUGACAAUUUACCCGUUUUCACUUAAAAUCGCUUAGCAAAAGUUGUUUAACAUAAUUUCUAGCUUCAUAUUCUACCAUAAAACAGAAAAAUAAACACAUUUCACCUAUGGGUAUUUUUCCAAAUAUAAACCCUAGGUUAAAAUAACAGUAGAAAUAGGUAAACCGAGCUACGAGAAUCUUAAAAAUGCGAAGAACAUUAAAAACGGGCUAGGAUGCACUUACUAUGAGCUUGAGAAAGUGAAGAAACCCUAGCUAUGGCUUCCUUCAAAUUUCGGCAGCAACUAAUGAGGAUGAACACCAUUUUUUCAUCUUUUUCCCAUUUUAAUUCUAUUUAUUUACUAAAUGACUAAAAUGCCCUUACUUAAAAAAAUCUAUUUCACCCAUUUCUUAUGUCUAUUUUUUUCCAUCAAUUAGCUAAUGGUCUAAUUACCACAUAAGGACCCCCAAUUUAUAAUUUCAUAACCAAUUAACACCUUUAACACAUAAAAUUCAACUUUUGUAUUAUUUACAAUUUAGUCCUUUUGACCAAACUGAGUGCCCAAACGUCAAAAUUUUUGAAUGAAAUUUUUACGAAAUCUUUCCGUGAAAUUGUAGACCAUAAAAAUAUAAUAACAAUAAUACUUUCCCUCGUCGAAUUUGUGGUCCCGAAACCACUGUUCCAACUAGGCCCAAAAUCGGGCUGUUACAAAAACAACAAAACAGAAACGACAAACGUACAAUCCAAAGCACAAAAAGACAAAAGAAGAGAGAUGUAGUUUUUUUCCGGUUAUAAAAGGCCGAAUGGGGCGAUUGUAUUUCUUCUUCUGUCAUUUUUGUUACAGAUUAGAAAUAAAAAGGAAAACAAAGGUUGCCUUCUGGUUUCUCUGAUUUAUUCAUUUAUUUCUUUUAUUUAUUUUUAAUGAAUCAGUUUUUUUAAAAAAGAAAAAGAACUCUUAAAAAGUAAAAAAUGAAGAGGAAUACCUGGGGUUGCCUGCGAAAUCCAUCGUCGGAGCCAUUUCGUUUGCCGAAAUCGGACGAAAAGGGGGGCAUGGGGGCCUUUCCUUCUCUCGGUCUUAAGGCCCAAAAGGCUAAGCCUUUGGGCGUUUGAAAAAUGGGCCAAAAAUGCGAUCUCCGUGUCGCUCCGACCACCGCUUACGGUAGGGUCACGGCGGCACAAGCGACGGCCCUAUUGGCCGGAUUUGAGGGCUGCGUGGGAGAGAAUGUUUGAGCUUUCUAUUUUUUUUAAAUAAGGGUCAAACUAUUUUUUUUUAUUUUUAACAUUUAUAUUGGGAAUAAAACGACGCCGUUUUGGGUUUAGGCAACAAUGGCCAAAACGACGUCGUUUCACGCUUGACCCGAAUACUCAACCCGUUUAGCAGAGGAUCCGCGCGUUUUCAAGGCCGAAUGGGCUAUUUGCGCUAUGGGUCCCUCCGCUUUGAUGCUUGGCUUCAAUUCGGUUAUUUUGUCCCUUUUUAGCAUUUUUAAUCUGACCCCGUAGAUUUUGUACCAGUUUUGAUUUGGUCUAACGCGAAACGACGCACUUUAAGGGUUAGGGAUUAAUUUCCCAAUUGGCCCCUGCAUCUUUGUGCUUGCUCCAAUCGACUCCAAAUUAUUUUUUUAUAUUUCAAAUCUAACCCACUGAUUUUAUUUAAAUUCCAAUUCAAUCCUUAGUCAAUAAAAAUUCAAAUUUCACCCUUUUUUAAUAAAAAACGAAAAUGGUCAUUAAAUAUUUUAUUUAACAUCCGUUUAAUUAUUUAUUUUUAAUUGCUAACCAAACUUAUAUAUCUUUCAUUUCAUUUAUUAUUCAUUUUUAUGUGUAUUGAUUUGUAUGUAUUAUUUGUGCCUUUAUUUUCACUAUUUAUUUAUUCGUUAUUUUCAAAUAUUUUCAAAAUUUAGAUUCAUUAGUAUUAUGUUUAUUGUGAUUGUAUUAUUGUUAUUGUUACAUUAUUACUUGCAUUAUUAUUAUUCAUGUAUAUUAGCAUUAAGAUUUAUUAGUAUUAAUGUUAUAUGUGUAUUUUAUGAUGUAUAUUAUGUCAUAAUUAUUUCGAAUGUAUGUUGUAUUAUCGUUAUUAGUCGUGCACGACCCUUUUUCUGUUUUAAACAAUUUCUCCUUCAACACAAUCAAAAUUACACGAAUAUUAUCUUUAUAUAUUUUAUUAGUUCUUACUCAAAUUCAAAAAAAGGAAAAUUUUUAUAAAUAAGGCAAUAUUUUACGUUUGGAAAUUCGAGAAAACGUACUCUAACGUGCUAGGUUUCGAUUUCUCGUUUGACCAAAUAGCCAAGUAUCCUCUUAAAAUUUCAAAGUAUGGGUUUUGGAAACCAUAAGGUAAUUUUGGUUUCUAGGGUUUAAAGUAUCGUAUCCUAACGUGCUAGAUGUGAUAUUCUUUCGGAACAAGAGAAUCUUAAAUUCCAACCCAUAUUAUUUGAAAUUUUUUUUAGGAUUGUAAUUUUUAAAACUCUUCAAAGUUUUCAAUAUUCGACAUUAAGACACUAAUUAAUCAAUUAGGUAUCAAUUUUGGGCGUUACGAGGGUGCUAAUCCUUCCUUGUACAUAACCGACUCCCGAACCUGUUUUUCUGAAUUUCGUAGACCAAAAGCAUUGUUUUAAUAAAUCCAAACCAUUUAUUAAAAACAAUCGUUUUAUGAGGUGACCUGAUCACACCUCAUUAAAAAAGAUUGGUGGCGACUCCAAUGUUCGUUUUUACUUUCAAAUACCAAGUCGACCCCCUUUUAUAAAAAAAUGGUUUCGACAUUAUGAAUAUAUUUAUUCUAGGGUUACUAGUGCCCUUUUUAUAGGCUAAGAUUAGAGUUCUAAUAUUACUAAAAUAUCUAUAGAAUAAUCACAGUUUAACUAGGAAAAGUAACCCUCUUGAAAGUCUAAUAACACAGCUACUCUAAGUUAGAAUUUGUCGCGUUAUCACGACGUACCAAGCUCCCCGUUGUGACAUCGCCUCAGCUUUGCUCUUUUUCAAACAUUGUCGUGUCGUUGCGACAUCGCAUGAUUCCUCGUCGCAAUAUCACCCUUACUUUGACUCUGAUCCGACCCGAAAAUGUGAGACACAUUCCACAAUAUCUAAAUAUAUAUUGAAUUUAAAAAUAAUUGUACAAAGGAUAUGUAAUCCUUGAAGAUUAGAUACAAGUAAUUACCAUUUUAUAUUAAAAGUUAGAAAUAUAAAUUAAAUAUUCUAAACUUUUUUUUAUGUGAAUAAGUCAUGUGUUGAUAUAUUUUAUUGCUCUUGAAUAGAAUUGAAGAGUUUGAAAAACUUGAAGACGUUAGAUUUAAGCUUCAAUGGAAUCAGAAGCCUCCGGCACUUUCAAGGUAUAUCUAACUUUGAUAUUUUAUAUACAAUCAACUAAGUCCUAUAAAAAUAUAUUUAUGAACAAGUUAAAAUGAAUGCUUGAAACAAAUAAUUAUUAUUUGAUAUUAUACAAACAAAUUCUCCUUGAAAUUGUAUUACAUAAGUAUUUUACAGAUGAGAAAUUGCAACCCAUGAUGAGUUUGGAAGUGCUUGAUUUGGAUGGUAAUUUCUUGAAGAACAAUGAUUAUCAAGUUUAAAGUCUUUGAUUAUUAGCCAUAACGAAUUGGAAAUUUUCAUAAAAUAAAAAUAACAAGCUAUAUGUAAAUUACAAUUUCAUCAACCUUUUUUAACUGUUAAAAGAAUUAUAUCCAAAUAUAUUCGUUCUUUUGGUAUUUAGCUUUUUAGGUUGUAAACUAAAGUCAUAAUGAUUUUUUGUCCUCCAAUUUUAAAAACAAAAAAUCAUUUUACCUCUCAAUUUAAUUUUUCAUCUCUUCUAGUCAUUAAACUUCAAUUUUUUUUUGUCAAAUCACCCCAAAAUGAAAAGAAAAGUUAAUAUUUGUUAAUUUUGCUAAUGUGACAUAUAUGUGAAUUGUCAUAUAGAUGACAUAUCAACAUUUAAUUAAUUUUUAAAAUUUAAGUAUUUUUUAAAUAUUUUUUAUUUUUUGAAAUUUAUUUAAAAAAUUAAAUAUUGAUGGAUCAUCCACGUGACAAUCCACAUGUAUGCAAUAUCAACAAAAUUAAAAAAAAUUGUUAAAUUUUCUAUUCAUUUUAGGAUGACUUGAUGAACAUAAGUUUAAGAGAUUAAAAAUCAAAAAAUUAAAUGAAAACCUUUUUUAAGUUAAAAAGAGUUAAAUAAAUUAUUAAUAACUAAAAUAAAAUGUUUUUAAUAAUUUUUUUAUGGAGAAAAGUAGUUGAAUUGCAUGAACCAAAAUUACUGAUUUUUUGUGAUAUAACUUUGUUUGACUGACAAAAAGGGUAUUUGAUUUAUUUGAAUAGCAUUCAAUAAUCUCACAAAAUUGAAGAAGUUGGAUAUGAGUCGCAAUUAUGUUGAGAGACUUGGUAAGUGUCCAUAUAUUUUACUUUAUCAAAUUGCUACAUUUAUUAUACUAAUAUCUAAAUGCUUUGUAGAUGAGGAAAGGUAUAAUUUGACGAAUUUAGAAGUGCUUAAUUUGAAUUACAACUCUUUCGGAAAAAGCUCAUUGGCACAGCUUAGUGGGUUUUCCAAUCUAAAGGAAUUGAGUAUGCAACAAAACCAGGUGCAAUUAUUUAAUAUAUUUAAUUUUCCUUUAAACAAAAUUAACUAUUUAUUAAGUUAUAUUUAUUCUCUAUGAUUUACUUUUAAAUUUUAUUUGUCGACUUUUAGAGAUUGAACAAUUUAGAGAAGCUAAACAUUAGAUAUCUAAUGAACUGAUGUCAACCACUAAUUUGACUCUCAAAAAUGGAAGUUUAGAAAAGCAUUUUAGUAGUUCUUUUAAGAAAAAAAUUAUGUCUAAAUAUAUAAUGAGUUUAAAAAUAAUUGUAUUAAAAUCUGUAAUCGUUGAGGAUUAGAUACAAGUAAUUGCGACUUUAAUAUUAAAAGUUGGAAAUAUGUUGUUAUUUUAAAAUUAAAUGUCCUAUAUUAAUUAUUUUUAUAUGAAUAAGCCUUGUGUUGAUAUUUGAUAUAUUUCAUUGCUCUUGAAUAGAAUUGAAGAGUUUGACAAAGUUGAAGACGUUAGAUUUAAGUGGCAAUAGAAUUGAAAGCCUCAAGCACUUUCAAGGUAUACUUAAAUUUGAUUUUCUUUAUACAAUCAACUAAGUCUUUAAGGCGUUGACCUUAUAUAUUUAUAAACAAGUCAAAGAUGCAACUUUGAGAUAAAUAAUUAUUCAUUGAUAUUAUACAAAUAAUUUUUUUCUCGAAAUUGUAUCACAUAAAUCUUUUACAUUUAUUAAAAGAGAGAACCGAAACAAACUACUUGUUCAGUUAUUAUAUUUAUUUUAUGUGAUUUAAUUAUAAAUUUUAUUUUUCGAUAUUCACAUAAUUAUCAUAUGCUUUGAGUAAAUUAGAGUCAUUGAGAAAAAUAUUUUAAAUUUAAAAAAAAUGUAUAAAAUUUAUAUUUUAUCUCUUAAAUAAUUUAAAUAAUAAUAAUUUUUAUAGAUUAAAAUUAAUAUACUAUCUCUUUUGAAAUAAUAUAAAAAUUAUAUUAAUAUAUAAAAAAUAAAUUAUAAAUUGAAAACUUAUCUCUUAAAUAUAUAAAGUAAAAUAUAUGUACCAAAAUAAUAGGAUUUCAAUUUUAAUUUUUUUUCUAUGUGUUAUCAAUUCUUUAAAACAUUUGACUAUUAAGUUCAAAAAAUUUUAUUUUAAUUAAUACUUGUGCAUUUCACGGAAAAAAAACUAGUUAAUAUAUAUAACCAGCUUUGUAGAUGUGGAAUUACUUAUUUUACAUUCUAUAAAUAUAGCAGCACCUAUAUAAAGUAUACAGUACGCCUUUUAUUAAAUUAGUUCUUUAUAAUAAUUUGUUGUCUUAAAUUUUAGCCUAAUAAAUUCUAUUUCUAAGUGAAAUAAAAUUAAUAAAUUUUAAUUAAGAUAUUAUUUCAAUAAAAUAUUUAAAUUUCAUAUAAAAUAUAUUAAUUAUAUUUUAUUAAAUAAAAAUAGUUUUUAAUAAAUGAAGUUACAUUAGUAAAUUUUAUUAAAGAUACAAUUUAAAUCUCAUUAAUUAAUUUUUAUUAAUAUAUUUUAGUUUUUUUAAUUUAAAAAUUAAAAUAUGAUCUAAAUAUUAAAUGUUGUUAUAAGUGUAUAAUAAUUACUUAUCUAUAACAUCCAAUAGUGGCAAUAUAAAAGUUGAAUAUAAGUGAAUUUUUGUGACUAACAAAAAAUGUAUUGAAUUUAUUUGGAUAGUAUUGAAUAAUUUGACAAAGCUAAAGCAGUUGGAUUUGAGUGGCAAUAAAAUUGAGAGCCUCCAAUCUUCUCAUGGUAUGUGUUGAGAUGUUUUACUUUAUCAUAUUCUUACAUAUACAUACCACUAUCUUAUUUAAUAUUCCAUUAGUAAUAAAUUUGUUUAUCUCAAUGCUUUGUAGAUGGUGAGAGGCCACUUAAUUUAACCAAUUUAGAAGAGCUUAAUUUGGAUUUCAACUCCUUCACAAACAGCUUAUUGGCACAACUUAGUGGGUUUUCCAAUCUAAAGUCACUGAAUAUAAGGAAUAACCAGCUUAAAGGAUCAAUAAAUAUUAAAGGUGGAAUUACUUAAUAUAUUUAAUCUUCCUUUAAAUGAAAUAAACUACUUGUUGAGUUAUUGCAUUUAUUCUAUGUGAUUUAAUUUUAAAUUUUGUUUGUCAAUUUUUACAGAAUUAUUAGAUGCUUUAAGCAACUUAGAGGAGCUAGACAUGAGCGAGAAUGAGGUGAAGGAAAUUGUGCCCAUAAAGAAUAAAGGUUUAUGUAUCAACUAAAGGAAAUCUUACUAAUUGUUUUCCAUUAGAUAUCUAGUGAACUGAUGCCAACCACUAAUUUGACUCUUAGACAAUGGAAGUUUGAGAAAGCUAAAGGUUGCUUCAUUAAACCGUGUGUUCACCGAUGGAACUGCUUCUCUAAUACAGCUUCUAGAGACAUUCUCAUCUGUUAAUACAUUAUAUUUGAGUGGCAAUUACUUCAAAGACACAUUUUCUACUCAAGUUAUAAUAUAUAUGUAUGUGAAUAUAUAGUUUUAUAGUUUGGUCCCAUUUAAAAAUAUUAUUUACUUAACGUAAAUCAUCUAAAUAACGCUUAUAAAUUUGUAAAGAUCAACUGCAUGUAUCGAGCAAAAUAGAGGAAUUGGUGCUGGAUUAUUCAUCUCUCAGCAACAACAUUCUUCAAAGCUUUGGUGGACUGGCUUCUCUCAAAGCCUUGUAUUUAGGUUCCUGUGGGUUGUCUGGGACAUUACAUACCCAAGGUAUAUUAAUAAUUAUGACAUAAUUAUUUAGGCAGUCUCUUGAUUAAUUAUUUUUUUAUCCUCUUAGAAAAUUGGAGUAACUUGCACAAAUUUAUUUUAUAGGAUGGUGUGAUUUACGGAAGCUUGAGACGUUGGAUCUUAGUGAAAAUUCUCUUGGGGGAGCACUCCCUUCAUGUUUGGAAAACUUGUCAUCUCUUCGUUAUUUGGAUAUUUCCGGUAAUCAAUUCAUCGGAAAAGGUGCCUCCACCGCUCUAGCCAAUCUCACAUCGCUUAGAUUCAUGUUUCUUUCACGAAAUCUAUUCGAAGUUCCAUCAAUUUUCAUGUCAUUUGCCAACCACUUACACCUCAAAGUCCUCUUUAGCGAUCAAAACAAGUUAGUCAGAGAGCCUACCAUUCAAACAUGGGUCCCAAAGUUCCAACUAAAAGCCUUCCUUUUCUCGAAUUGCACAACAAAGGAACUCCACAUUGAAAUUCCAAAAUUCCUCUACUACCAAAAUGAUCUGAGUAUGGUUGAUCUUUCAUACAAUAAUUUUUUAGGGAAGUUUCCUUUUUGGUUGUUAGAGAACAAUACAAGAAUGGGAGCAUUUUUAAUGAAGGGUAACUCUUUUAUGGGCCAUCUCAAUCUUCCAUCUCAUCCGAAACCAAAAAUGUCCCUUGUUGAUAUAUCUGACAACAAACUAGAAGGUCCAAUUCUAGCAAGCAUUUGUUCAAUCUUUCCACAACUAAAUGGGUUAAACCUAUCAGACAAUUUCUUUCAAGGAAAUAUUCCUCCUUGUUUAGGUAGUUUGAACACUACAUAUUUAAUAUUAGAUCUGUCACAUAAUCAUCUAUCUGGCGGAAUACCAGAAAUGUUAGCUCAAAGUGACUCGUUGGAGCUUCUUAGGUUAUCAAAUAAUGAUCUAAGUGGGAAGAUAGCCCCAACGAUCUUUUGCUCAUCUUCAUUACAAUUUUUAUAUUUAGAUGGCAAUAAGUUUGAUGGAAAUAUACCUGACAUUGAUAUCUCAACUUGUCAUCCGUAUCCUCUUAGUGAUAUGGAUUUAAGUAACAACAAUUUGUCUGGAGAGCUCCCAAGAUGGAUAUGGAAUAUGUCAUCUUUAAAUGCAUUAUUAGUAUCCAACAAUCAGCUCAAGGGUCUUAUUCCGAAGGAAUUGUGCCAUUAUUCCCUUCAAAUUUUGGACCUUUCAAAAAACAAUUUUUUUGGCCCAAUACCAUCUUGCUUCAAUGUACACAGUAUCAAACAUCUCCAUUUGAGCAAAAAUAGGUUAAGUGGUACCUUGACAAAUGCAUUCUUUAAUAGCUCUUCCUUGGUGACUUUAGAUCUUAGUGAAAACCAGUUGACUGGUGAAAUUCCAUACUGGAUUGGAAAUCUUUCAACUUUGAGUGUUCUCCUUCUAAAAGCCAAUUAUUUUAUUGGAGAAAUUCCCAUUAAGAUAUGUAAAUUGUAUUCAUUAAGCAUCAUUGAUCUUUCUCAAAACAAGUUUUCUGGUCUGAUACCUUCGUGUUUGAGUCGUUUAACUCUUGAGCCAAAUGAUAAAAAUCUUCGACAAUAACCUAUGGGUUGGAUUUUGAUGGAAUCUUGGAGGGAGCUAAUUAUAUUGGAAUGACCAGAUUGGAUUUGUCCGAUUUUGGAUUCAAUCUACAUUUCUUUAUUGAGAAUCUAGAAGAAAAGGUGGAUUAUACAACAAAGGGAGCAUCUCGCACAUACAAAGGAAACAUUCUUGAGUACAUGUCUGGAAUUGAUUUAUCAUGUAAUAGAUUAACAGGUGAAAUUCCCAGAGAGAUUGGAAAUUUGAGUGAAAUCCGAUCACUAAACUUGUCGCACAACAAUUUGACUGGAUAUAUACCGUCAACGUUCUCAAAGCUCAAGCAAAUUGAGAGUUUGGACCUGUCUCACAACAACUUAAUUGGAAGAAUACCUGUUCAAUUGACGGAGUUGUACGCCUUAGCAAUCUUCAAUGUGUCAUACAACAACUUGUCAGGGAGUAUUCCGUCUCCGAAAUUUCAAUUUGGAACCUUCGACGAAAGCAGUUACGUGGCGAAUCCUUUCCUCUGCGGGUCUCCCCUGCAUAAAAAUUGUAGCAACCUUGAUUCACUCCCGACAGCAGCACCAAAGAGCUCAAACGAGGAAGAAGAAAGUGGUUUGAUGGACAAGUAUGUUUUCUGGGUGACCUUUUUUGUUUCUUACGUAAUUGUGUUACUGGUUAUUGUUCUCAUCCUGUACAUAAAUCCUUAUUGGCGACAAGCAUGGUUCUCUUUUGUUGAACACUGCAUCAAGACCUGCCAGUAUUUUAUUGAGGACAAUCUUCUAUGAUUUUCCAUCUUCAAAAGAAGCGGGUAGCCUUGUGCUUUGGUGGUUUACAUCUGUAUGUAAAUUUUUUCAUGUGUUUCUAUUUUUCAAAGUUUGAUUGGGUUAUCUGCUUUUAAGUUUUUAGAGGUAGAAUACAAUAGCUCUGUGAUGUAAUAAUUGCCAGUUUAGUAUAAGAAAACAAUAUAUAAAACUAUGCAUUUUCAGUUAAAACAUUUAAUAUUGCUUUAUAAAUUUUAGUGUUGUGAUAGUAUAAUGUUAAAUUCAAUAUAUGUUUCCUUUUCCAUGAUUACGUAAAAGCGAAAUAUACAAAUCAUAUUAUAUUAAUAUAAUCCACAUUCUUUAAAUCAUAUGCUCAAUUGAAACUUAUAUAUAUAUAUUAUCAAACAUGAAUGAUAUAAACAGUCUUCGAAAAAAGUAUGAUUUUCAUGUUUAGUUAUUAUUAUUUAAUAUUUAAUUGUUUUACUAUUAUUUGAUAUCAAUAAUAUUUAUAUGUUUGUGAAUGUUGUUUGUUAUUGUCUCGUGAAAUAUUAUGUUAAAGAUAAAAGAAGUACUAAGUAAUAGUUCUUUUUAGGUGAAAUUUUGACUCAAGUUUGAAUGGUGAGUUAUUUUAUCUAAUUACUUACGUUUGGAUAGCAUAAAGUAAUUAAAUGGCACUUUUGUAAUUACAAAGAUUGUACUUGAUAGAUGAAAGAACUAGGUAAAGGAAGAAAAUAACUAUCCAAACAGAAAGAAGCAGAGAGUGAAAUAAUAGAAUAAACUUCUUGUUGUUUAUUCAAAUUUGCCUACCUCUUAAUUCUUAAUGUACAGUAUAUAAAGACUUUCUGAAUUAAGUAACAACCUCACUAACUGACUAACUACUUCUAUUCUCUAAUAUUCAUCCAUAUUCUCUAUAGGCAAGACCCGUAGAAAACUCCAAAAACGAGUAAAACUCGAUGACGAAAUUGGCUUAGUGAGAACAUCAGCGACCUGAUCACACGCUGGAACUUCUCCAACAGCAACCGUGCCAUCAGCAACCUUUUCACGAACAAAAAAUAAAUCUAACUCAACAUGCUUAAACUUUGAAUGAAGAACAGGAUUUGCAGCAACUGCAACCGCCCCAGGACUGUCACACCAAAUUUGAGGAACACUAUUAGACUGAACAUGUAAUUCUUUAAGUAGCAACAAAAGCCACGUAACCUCACUAGUAACUGCAGCAAGACUUCGGUAUUCUGCCUCAGCAGUAGACCGAGCAACAACCUGUUGUUUCUUCGUACACCAUGACACAGGUGUAUGUCCGAAAUAAACACAGUAUCCAGUAGUAGACCUCCGGUCAUCAAAAUCUAAUCCCCAGUUGCAUCAGCAUAUCCAACUAAGGACAAACUAGUGGAUGGACGAAACACAAUUCCAAAAUCAAUCGUACCACCUAAAUACCUCAAAAUGCGCUUCAGGGCAGUCAUAUGAAUGGAAGUAGGACAAUGCAUAAAUUGACAUAUUCGAUUAACAGCAUAGGCAACAUCAGGCCGCGUAAGAGUGACAUACUGUAAUGCUCCUGCAAGACUCCUGUAUUCAGUCGGAUCCUGUAGCCGCUCACCACCAUCGCGAGUCAUAACAGAGGAACUAACCAUCGGUGUAUGAACACUCUUCGUAUUCUCCAUCGAACAACGUAUAAGAAUAUCACGUAUAUACUUCUUCUGACAAAGAUGAAGGCAACCUGACGAAGAACGAUUAACCUCUAUCCCAAGAAAAUAAUGAAGAUCACCCAUGUCCUUAAGCGAGAACUCACUAUUCAGCAAAUUAACAAACCACUCUAUGACAGAAGGCAUAUCUCCAGUAAUAAUAAUAUUAUCAACGUACACAAGCACAUAUAAUGUUGACGCUGGUACAACUCGAACAAACAAGGAAGCAUCAGACUUUGAAACUACAAACCCCACGGAGACUAGAAAUCCUUUUAGCCUUUCAAACCAGGCACGAGGAGCCUGACGAAGACCAUACAACGCUUUCUUCAAGCGACACACCAAAGGUCUGCCAUCUGAGCCAUAUUGAACAUAACCGGGAGGUUGAUGCAUAAAAACUUCAGUGUCAAGGUCACCAUUUAGAAACGCAUUAUUCACAUCCACUUGUCGAAGCGACCACCCCCUAGACACAGCAAUAGACAAAAUAACUCUGAUAGUAGCCGGUUUGACCACUGGACUAAACAUUUCCUUAAAAUCACAACCCGGAACUUGAGAGCAACCUUUUGUAACUAAUCGAGCCUUAUAUCGAGCAAUAGUGCCAUCAGAAUUCUUCUUGAUUCGGAACAACCAUUUGCACCCAAUGACCUUACGAUUAUAUGGAGCAGGAACGAGCUCCCAUGUGGAAUUACGCAUAAGAGCAUUAUACUCAUCUUGCGUAGCAGUGCGCCACUCAACAGUAGCCAGAGCUUCUUCAAUUGUAGUCGGUUCAACAGCUUCAACACUUAAAACCUUAGGCUUGUAAACCCCUGCUUUAGCGUGAGUAACCAUUGGGUGAGUAUUGCCCACAGCUGUCCUAUUAAUCUGACUAGACAGUCCCAUAUUAGACGAAGAGAGAGCAUUGGUAUCACUGGAGAAUCCUGAGCCAUGCUCUGAUGGAAGAUCACUCAACUCAGUUCCAUCAUUAGCUGAAUAAUCAUGAGCUGGAAGACUACCCAACCCAGUCCUAACAUCAGUUGAAGGAUCAUGAAACUGGGGCUGCUCCACACUAACAUCUAAUACAGGAUCAGUAGGCUGAGACGACACCCCUUGUACCGACGGUGUCAUCAUGCAUGGCUCAAGAGUCGAGGAUGAAGGUGGCCACACAAGAGGAACAACUGUCGAACUAGUCUGACCGGUUGUUGAUACAGACUUGUCUGAACUAGUCUCGGUAAACAAAAACCUCUGCUCAUCAAAGACCACAUGCCUUGAAAUUAUAACCUUACCAUCUGGUAAAAGACAUUGAUACCCCUUGUGACGAGGACUGUAGCCCAAAAAAGUUGACGGCUGAGACCGAAAUUCCAACUUACGACCUACAAACGGACGUAAGUAAGGAUAACAACAGCAACCAAACACUCGAAGAUGAUCAUAGGUCGGAUCACUUCCAUACAGUUCUUUAAACGGAGAACUAUCCUGAAGUACAACCGUGGGAAGUCGAUUUAUGAGAUGAACCGCACAACAAAACGCAUACCCCCAGUAUUCCAUAGGCAAAUUUGCAUGAGCCAACAACGUAAUCCCCAUUUCAACAAUGUGACGAUGUUUUCGCUCGGCUACUCCAUUUUGUUCUGAAGUAUACGGACAGGUCAGUCGAUGAAUGAUCCCCUGAGAUUCUAAGACAGACGUAAACCCACGAUAUUCACCUCCCCAAUCGCUCUGAAACUGCUUAAUAGACUUGCCAAACUGUGUCUUAAUCAACUGUUGAAACUGAGUAAAACAUUCAAGUGCUUGAGCUUUUUGACGUAAAAGAUAAACCCAAGUAAACCUGGUACACAUAUCAAUAAACGAAACAUAAUAUCUCUUAUCACCACAUGCAACAGGUGCAGGACCCCAAAGAUCAGACACAACCAAUUCAAAAGGACGAUAGCUAGUAGUCGAAUGGGAGAAAGGCAACUUAUGUGACCUGCCUUUUUGACACGCAGUACAUAUACCAUCCAGACCAAUUUUAUUUGAAACAACAUUACAUUUAUUUAGAAUAUUUUUGACCACAGAAGUCGACGGGUGGCCUAAACGAUUAUGCCAUAAAGUAAAUACAGAAGUAGUUGAAACUGUAUGUGGAACUUGAGAAUGAGCAACAAACGGAGUAGUCGUAGGCAACGUAGAAACCGCUGGGACAGAAAACUGAUAUAGACCAUCAUGAAUGCGGCCCGUCAGCAAUAUCUCCUGAGUCAUCGUAUCCUUAAUAACACAAUAGGUAGGGUGAAACUCAAAAAACACAUCAUUAUCACGAGCAAACUAUGAGACAGAUAAGAGAUUUUUCCGUAUACGUGGCACACAUAAAACAUUUGAUAACCGUAACGAUUUAUCUUGAGUAGGUAAAAUGGCCGUACCAAUUGAUGAAAUUAUCGUAGGAGUACCAUCACCCAUUAAAAGAGAUGACUUACCUGAGUAUGGCGUGACAUUACGUAAAGCUGACAUAUCACGACAGACAUGAUGACUCGCUCCCGAGUCAGGAUACCAAGACGUGGUGCCACUGCACACUGGAAUGUACGAAUCAUCAUUACCAGUACUAGAUGCAAGCUGAGCCGUAUUAACAUGAGAAUCUGAUACUGAAGGAUCAGAAUAAUUAGACGCAUGUAAAUCCCCUAGCCGUGGAAGCCCAAUACAUGGAUUAGAUUCGGUAUAGACCCGAGCACGCGGUUUAGUAAAUUUCAGAACCGGACCACCAACACCUAGUCCAUCACCAAUCGGUUCAGGCGAGCCGGGAUCAUCUUGAUCAAGUUGAACAAAAUUAGAGGAUGGUACAAUAUUCGGCCCAGCAUUAAACUGAACAUUCAGUCCAUGAGAAGAGUGUUGAACAUUCGGUCCAUCAUUAAACUGGACAUUUUGUCCAUGGGAUUUGUUUCCACUAGAACCGCGCCACUGUCCAUUUCCAGUAGUGAACCCGUGUAAAGUGUCUCCACUAUACCCUUGCCCAGCAUCAUGACCGAAUUUAGACAAGCUGGGCUUGUAGGCAUCAUUUUGUGCAUUGGACACAUGUGGCCCACGUGGUAAUGGCCUAUUUUGCAUGCCAGCACACACAUUUUGACUAACAUAUCUAUUUUGACCAGCAUGACUCCCUUGACCAUAAAAAAUUCUUUGACUAUUCUGAUGAGGAGCAACCAUCUGUUCAUCACCAUUUUGCACAAAAGUUCCAGAAUCACAACCUUCAACACCAGACAUUUCAUUUGAGUCUCGGUGAUACCGAUAAUAGCACUUUUGAGCCACAUGACCAAACCGACUACAGAUCUGGCAUUGAACACAAGAUCUGAUAAACCGGCCACGACCACGAACAGACGCACGACCUCCACGACCGGCCCCUUCUACCGAUGGCUCAUUUUCAACAAGAUUCGCGUUCAAACUGACCUCCUGCAACACUCGAUCUUGACGACUCUCACAAUCGACUAGCGCAUCCACCAGACGUUGCAACGGUAGAACUACAGGCGACAAACGAGUAGAGGAGAUAACCGCCUCAAACUCCGACGGCAAACCCGCAAGCACCACUUCGAUCUUUUCUUCAUCGGAGAUACGAGAGCCAGAAGCAUCUAGCAUACCACAUAAAUCUUUAAUCCGAGCAACAUAAGCCUUAAUCGAAAGAUUACCUUUCUUCAACGAGUGAAGUUCAUGCCGAAUCCUCGACUGCUUGGCGCCCGUAUCAACUGCAAAAAGAUUACCGACCAUGCUCCAUAUGUCGCACGCCGUGCAAGCAUCAUCAAAGGAGGAUUGAUGAGAGGAAGUUACAGUAGACAGAAGCCAGGACAUUAGCAGUUGAUCUUGCUGCGUAAAGACUUGAGCCGCCGGAUUUGGAGCACGAGAUCCACCGGGUAGAGCGAUGAAUCGCAACGGCGGAGCAACAGUGCCAUCUAAAAAACCUGCGAGUCCAUAGCCAUUAACAAUCAGCUUUACCUGUUUACGCCAUUGAAGGUAAGUACCUUCAUCGAGUUUGACCACUUCAUGUCGAGGAAAAACUGUUGUGACUCGAUCGGCAGCAAAUACACCGGAGCUAGGUUCACCAGACGCUGAAUCAGCGGAAGCCAUGAGAAGCAAUGACCAGAAUCACUUGGCGAAUGAUACCAUGAAAGAACUAGGUAAAGGAAGAAAAUAACUAUCCAAACAGAAAGAAGCAGAAAGUGAAAUAAUAGAAUAAACUUCUUGUUGUUUAUUCAAAUUUGCCUACCUCUUAAUUCUUAAUGUACAGUAUAUAAAGACUAUCUGAAUUGAGUAACAACCUCACUAACUGACUAACUACUUCUAUUCUCUAAUAAUAGACGUGUUUGAGUGACACAAUUCCCUAUGUCAUGUUUGUUAAUAUAAAUUGUAAUUACAUAGUUACAUUAUAAAAUUUUUGGUGUUAAAUUUCGCAAAAUUCUGAUAAAAUAGUGAGGUUAACUGAGAAGCGAAUUUAUUAUUUUUGGAGCUUGUUAUUAUUUUUGAAAUUUUUAGUUAUUAAUGGGUAAUGAUGUCGACUAAGAAUCGAAUUGGCCCAAGGGACUAAAUUGAAAGAGGAGUGAAAAGGGAAAGUUUUUAAGUACUAAUAAGCCCAAGGGCUUAAUGGCCAAUUGGCCAUAGUCUUUUAAAGCACUAAAAAUCACGUCCUUUCUAGCCCUUAUUUUCAACUUCUCUCUUUGGCCGUCUGUCUACACUUGCACCGUUGAAAUCCCUUCAAAUCCUCGCCACUUUGUGUCUAAAUACCAUCAUCGAUUGCCACCACUGAUAUCAGCUGCAAUUGCUCUAAUUCACUGCGGACAAUUGCCUUAAUUUGUAGAUGCUCAUUAUUCACAUUAAAGUUUAUUUCUCUAAUGGAAUUGAUGCUAUGGUUAGUCUUAUUUUCAAAGAUGAUUAAGUUUCAUUUGAUUAGAAUUAGUUGGAAUAUGUGCGGUUAACUUCUAAUUAAAAUUAUUUAGUUUAAGAUUCAUUAAUAAAUUAUUUUUACCGUGGUUUCUUUGAUUUAUUGCUGUAAUUUUUUGUUUACUUUUAUUUGUUGUCAAAGGGUAAAUUAUCUGAUACUUUUACAAUGAACUUAGAAUUAUUUUUGAUGAAUUCGAAGCGAAAAACUAGAUAAUUCGAUGAAAGUGAAGCUGGUUGUGAAUUAAUUGCUCCUAAGCUACAAACACUAAGAAAUUCAGUUUGUUACCUUUACGUUUUAAAAUAUCUUAAUGUUGUUAAAUUAUUAGCUUUGUUGUGAUUCUUGCAUGUAAAAUUUUACUUGUGUAGUUGUUUAUUAAAUUGUUUUUAAUGAUGGCUCCUAUUGUUAAAUUGAUAUUCUUUAUUAAUUGAUUAUUUUCCGAAAAUUAUUGUUAAAAGUACGAAUUUAAUAAUUGACUAAAUACUUGAUAAAGUUAGUUGGAAAUUCUUCGGAUAUAAUUAGCAUGUUGUAGAGUGUAGAGGUCUCCAUCAUUGUUUGUUGUUCAUUGUGUGGAUUGCCUUAAGCAUAUGGGAGUAUUGUCAUUGUUGCCUCUUUGCGCAUAUAGUGUGAUGGUAGGUCAUUGAUUAAGUUGCAUUUAUUACGCAAUGCAGUACUGUCAUUGUUGACGCUUGUGCCAUUUUCAUUGACCGUUUGGUGUUUGGUUGGACACUCUUUUGUCCGAAUGUCUUUCCUUCUUGUGUUACUUAGGCAAAAUAAUUAAAUGAACUUAAACAUUAAAUUGAAACACUAUCAUUAUUUAUUGAAUGUAUUGCUAAUGUUUCAUUGUUAUUUUAAAUUGCUACCUUGUGACUGACUUGUGAUUGUAUUGUGUCUUUGAAAAUUAUUUUAAUUAUACACUUUGGUAGUUUAAAAUGUAUUGGAUUACUACUAAGCUGUAAAAAGGCAUAGCACUUGGGUUUUUAAUUUCUUGUGCAAGUAAUAUUUGGAUCGCAUAGUUUGUGAUAUCGUGAUCGAGCAACAUCACCAAAGAGUUUAGCAUGUACUUAGGUGUUGUUAAAUUGGUCAACUUGUUUACUUUAGUUUUAUUUUAGAGCUUAUUGAUUGAUUGAGCAUUGUUAAAUUAUUUUAUUAUUUGACUUUACACUAAUGUUUAAAUUUUAUGAUUUUAUGUGAAAAUGAUUGAAUGAUUGAUUAUUUGGGUCGCUCAGGUGACCGUUGUGACACUUUCGAUCCAAUUGAACUUUUGAGUCGGGUUUGAGGUGUUACAAACAUAAUUUAUAUUUUUUAAAAAAUAUUAAUUAGUAUAAAAAUUAUUAGUAUGAUCAAAAAUAAUUUCUAAACAAAUUGUCAAAACCAUUUUUUUGUAAAACGGGGGUCGACUUUUAUUUUGAAAACGAAAACGAACACAGGAGUCGCCACCAAUCCUUUUUGAUGAGGUGUGAUCGGGUCACCUCGAAAAGUUUUUAAUAAACGAUUUGCUUUUAUUAAAAUAACGAUUUUUGGUCCACGAAAUAAAAAAAAAACGGGUUCGGGAGUCGGUUACGUACGAGGAAGGAUUAACACCCUCGUAAUGCCCAUAAUUGGUACCUAGUUGAUUAAUUAGUGUCUUAGUGUCGAAGAUUGAAAACUUUGAAGAGUUUUUAAAAAUACGAUCCUUAAAAAAAUCGAAUAACAUGGGUUGGAAUUUAGGAUUCUCUUGUUCCGAAGGAAUAUCACAUCCAGCACGUUAGGAUACAACACUUUAAACCCUCGAAACCAAGAUUACCUUAUGGUGUCCAAAACCCAUACUUUGAAAUUUUAAGAGGAUAUUUGACUAUUUGGUCGAACGAGAAAUCGAAAUCCAGCACGUUAGGGCACGUUUUCUCGAAUUUCCAAACGCAAAAUAUUGCCUUAUUUUUAAAAUUUUCUUUUUUACAAAUUUGGGUAAAAUUAAUGUAAUAGUUAAUAAGAUGUACUUUUAAUAUAUGCGAACAUGGUGUGAAGGUGAAAAAUUUUUUUUACGCAAUAUAUAGUACAAUAAUAAUGAAAUAACAUAAAAUAACCAUAUUAGUAGAAUAUUUAAAAAGUAAAUAAUAAAUAAUGGAAUACAAUAAUAAUGACGUAAUUAUAAUAAUAACACCAAAUAAUAAUAACAAUAAUCAUAUUAGUUACUAUUCUAAUACUAAAAAAAUAUAAAAAUGAAAUAAACACUAAUAAUGAUGAUGAUAAUAAUAAUAGUGAUAAUGAUAAUGAAAUGUAUAAAUAAAGGAAUAAAUAACAAUAUAAAUACUAAAUCAAGAAUAGUAAGGAAAUGGAUAAAUGAAUAUGUAUAAAUAAAUAAAACUGAACGAAAAAGAAUAAAUAAAUAAAUAAAAGCUUGAAAUUAAGCGAAUAAAGGAAUAAAUUGAGGUUAAAAUAAAAUUUUAAGUCUAGAUUAUAAUAAAAUGGAUGGAUAAACGUAAAAGGGACUGGAUCAAAUUUUGAAUGGAAUUUAAAGGUAUAAAUCGGAAUAAAAAAAUGACGUAAAGGACCACAUUGAAAAGCGCGAAUAACAUAGAGGGGCCAAAUGGGAAAAUAUUCCCGCCCUUCAAAACGCAUCACUUUACACGGGGCUAAAAUGCAAUAAAAGCAAAAUUCUAGGGCAAGAUCAAAAAAAGAACACAAAAAAAUUCAAAUUGAAGCGGGCCGAGGAAGCGGAAAGACUGAACAAGUAAAUAUCCCUUCCACUUAAAAAAACACGCGGAUCCUUAUCCUGGAGCGGGUUGGGUCAACCCAUUUCGCAUCAAAACGACGCCGUUUUGAUAAGUUAUAUAAACCAAAUUUUUACCAAAAGUUUUAUUUUGCCCAUUAUUUUAAAAAAAACUUUAAAAAUCUUUCAAAAUUUCUCUCAAGCCUUCCCGCGUCUGGCCAUAACUCCGACCAGUCGUCACCGUACCGUAACCUUAUCCUUUCGACCCUCCUAAAUCCAAAUCUGGGUUCAAAAUUCCCAAAAUAUUAACAAAAAUACCUCAAAAGCUCAAGAAACCUUUCGAUUUUCGGUCACCUAUCCUCAGAGGUGACUUCCUCAGCCAUCCACGGUGUUGAAAAACUCGAAUACAGGUUAGUUUGUUACUCCCUUUUCAUUUUGUUUUACUUUCGUAUGUGUAAAUAUGAUAAAAAUAAAAUAACAGUAGACCAAAAAUGAAACGAAGAUUUAGAAAAUAGCAGUAGAUGUAAACCUUUCGGGAUUUUUCUAAUUAUUUUGAGUUUUUCGAGUAUUCGAUCCCUUUUUUUAUUACAUUGAUUGAUGGGGCCUUUUAUAGCCGAUUUACAUGCUAUUUUUUGUUUGCUUUCGCUUUUGUUCUUGUUGAUUCUGUGUCUGUCUCUUUUUUGUUCUGUUUGCAGGUCUUGGCAAGGUCAACAGAUGUUGAAGGGAUAACCCCUGCCAUUUUCGUACAAGGCUGUAGACGCCUGUCAGGCUUCGGGCGACGAGUGCGCUAUAGGGGCACGAAGAGGGAGUGCGGCACACAUGGAGCACUAGGGUUUCUGUUUUCCUCUGAAAGCAGUUAGGUUGUGGGCUGAAUUGGGUUAGGUUUUCUUUUUUAUUUUGGGCCAUACCAGGCCUGGCAUGUAAUUAGGGUUUGGGUUUGUUAUUUGAGUUUUGGGCCCGGUCAAAAAUGGCCUAUUACAGCUGCCUAUCUUUGCUUAUUGUCGUGUAACGGGAAUGAAACAAAGACUUUAAAAGGGCCAAUUUUGCCCGGUCUUGCCGAGUCUUGACUCCUUUUAGUGUUUCUCUUUUCAAGUAGCUUCACUCUAUUCCACUGUGUCUUGUUGCUUCAAUACACUCCACUGUAACUUCAAAAAGAGAUACGACUUGUAGCUUCAAUCUACUCUGCCAUAAUUUCAGAAGGAUGAGAUUUAUGGUUUUAGUCUGCUCCACUAUAACGUCAGGGAGAUAAGACUUGUUGCUUCAACCUACUCUACUGCGACUUCAAGGAGAUAAGGUCUGUUAUGGUAGACUUAAUCUGACCUACUGCAACUUCAGAGGUAUAUGAUUCAUCGUUUUAAUCCGCUCCACUUCAACUUCAGGGAGAUAGGAUUAAUAGCUUCAAUCUACUCCACUACAACUUCAGAGAGAUAAGAUUUGUGGCUUUAAUCUGCUCCACUGCUCUACUGCAACUUCAGGGAGAUAAGGUUUGAUGUGAUCUGCUCUACUGCAACUUCAGGUUUCAAUCUGUUCCACUGCAGCUUUAAGGAAAUGAGAUUUAUAGUUUGUCUUCAAUCUACUCCACUACAACUUCAGGGAGAUAAGAUUGGUUUAUUUUUUAACCUGCUCCACUGCAACUUCAAGGAGAUAAGGUUUGAUGUGAUCUGCUCUACUGCAACUGCUCCACUACAACUUCAGGGAGAUAAGGUUUGAUGUGAUCUACUCUACUGCAACUUCAAAGAGAUAAGAUCUGUAAUUUAUAGCUUAAAUCUGUUCCACUACAACUUCAGGGAAAUGAGAUUUAUAGCCUGUCUUCAAUUUUCUCCUCUACAACUUUAGGGAGAUAAGAUUGGUUUAUUUUUUAACCUACUCCACUGCAACUUCAGAGAGAUAAGGUUUGUCAAGAUCUUCAAUCCAUCCCACUGCAACUUCAGAGGCAUAAAAUUUGCCGCUUCACUAAUCUAUUAUGCGGUGAACUUGACCUGUGGAAUCCAUUUCAUAGACCUAUUUAUGCCUAGUGAUUAGGAUGUCAUAAAUCAGAAUGAAUCAAAUGCUCCUAACUAGGUGUGUAUGAAUGAUAUUUGCAUGAAUGCAGAACAUCAUUUUUUGAGAAUAAUCCCUCUUUAAUGUUUGGGUUAUCAUUGCUCAUUGUUCAUCAAGGUUUUAUCGUUAAUGCAUUACCCUACCUUCUUGUUCAACUGGUGUCUUUAACAGAAAAUCCAAAGAAAUAGUCACAAUUUAGACUAUUCUUUUUCAAAUGUUUCCAACCCUCAGGUUUGGUUAGUUCUAAACAAUAAUCCUGUUUCGAGUCCUCGUAUCAUUUAGAAGCUUUCAGAGUAAUAUGCAGAACUUCUUUUGCUUGAAUAUUAUUGAUCCAUUAAUUAUUAUUUCAAUGAAAAAUGCUUGGAAAGAAUUAUCACAAUGGACAAGAUGGAAUUUCAUUAGGAGCAAAGCUCGAACUGAAUGAAUUAAUCAAGAUAACAAGUUUUUUCCAAAAUUACAAAAUGAGAAUCAAGACAACGUAUUUUGCCAAAAUAAAAAAUGAAUGAAAUGGAAUAGGUGCCUUAGAUAUCGUAGUAUGAACUUCUCUGCACAAAGCCUUUGGAGGACCACUUUAAACUUGAUAGAUGUCCAGGAGGUCCGCAGUAUUUCGUUGAUGUCCCAAGACGCAUAAUCUCUCUUUCUUGUUAAUUCAAGCAUAGUAAAAAUUGUCGCAUGCCCCACCUUUGAUCACAAUUUGAAUUGCCCUUUUUCCCCAGGUUUUCAAUUCAAAACCCCUUUGGUCUCAAAGUGCCCUUCAUGGGUUUUCGCCUUGGCCUCUCCUCUUUUGUUUUAGGCGAGGUACUUUUUCAUUGAAUUCGAAUUCACAGGAUUAGGCAGGAUUUUUCCAUCCAUCUCAGUCAAAAUUAACGCUCCUCCAGAAAAGGCCUUCUUUACUACAUAAAGUCCCUCACAGUUUGGCAUCCACUUUCCUCUAAAGUCUUUUUGUAUGGGAAGGAUCUUCUUCAGUACCAAAUCCCCUUCAUGAAAUUCCCUAGGACGAACCUUCUUAUUGUAAGCUCGUAUCAUUUGCUUCUGGUACAUUUGACCAUGACGGAUAGCUCUCAACCUCUUUUCUUCGAUCAAGUUUAGCUGAUCAUAUCAAGAUUGGAUCCAUUAUGCUUCGUCUAACAUUAGUUCUGAAAAAACUCGGAGAGAGGGAAUUUCAACCUCAAUUGGCAGUACUGCCUCCAUUCCAUAAACCAAAGAGAAAGGCGUUGUCUCGGUAGAGGUCCUGACAGAUGUUCGAUAAGCAUAGAGGGCAAAUGGUAACUUCUCAUGCCAAUCUCUAUAAGUCUCAGUCAUUUUUCCCACAAUCUUCUUGAUGUUUUUAUUGGCUGCCUCCACUGCGCCAUUCAUUUUCAAGCGAUAUGGCGAUGAAUUGUGGUGCUUGAUCUUGAAUUGACUACAGACCUCCGCUAUCGUGUUGUUGUUCAAAUUCAAAGCGUUGUCAGAUUUAAUCCUUUCGGGUAUCCCAUACCGACAUAUGAUCUCCUUUUUUAGAAAUUUACUGACGGUCGAUUUUGUGAUGUUGGCGUAAGAAGUAGCUUCUACCCACUUAGUAAAGUAGUCAAUUACUACGAAGAUGAAUCGAUGCAUGUUUGAAGCUUUUGGUGAUAUUGGUCCAAUGACGUCCAUGCCCCACAUGGAAAAAGGCCAUGGAGAAGUCAUGACAUGAAGAGGUGAAUGAGGCACAUGAAUUUUGUCCCCAUAAAUCUGGCAUUUAUGGCAUUUCUUAGCAUACUUGAUGCAGUCCCUUUUCAUGGUGGACCAAUAAUAUUCGAAUCUCAUGAUUUGCCUGGUCAUUGUAAAACCAUUAACGUGUGUUCCAUAGACACCAUCAUGAACCUCUUCUAAGAUUUGCUUAGCCUCAAUAGCGUCCACGCAUCUUAGCAACACUUGAUCAUUUCCUCUUUUAUAUAGGAUCUCUCCAUCCAAGACGUAGUCAUUAACCUGCCUUCUUAACGUCCCCUUGUCAUCCUCGCUUUCUUGGUUUGGGUAUUCCUGACUCUUCAUGUAUUGUAAUAUAUCGCGAUACCAAGGGUGAUCACCCUUUUCCUCUUCUUUGUCGACAUUGCAACAGUGGGCUGGUGCUUCAUAAAUGCUCAUUCUGAUGGGCCUCACAUCCUUUGUUUAUUUACUUUGAUCAUAGAAACCAAAGUAGCCAAAGCGUCGGCCAUCUGGUUUUCUUCUAGCGAAAGGUAAGAGAAGGUGAUGUCAUCAAACUCGUCAAUUAGCCCUAUAACCAGCUUUCGGUAAUUGACUAAUUUGCGAUAUCUUAUCUCCCACUCCCCUUUGAGCUGAAAAACCACCAGUACAGAGUCCCCAUAUACCUCUAACACUUUAAUCUUAUGUUCCAUGGCUGUACGAAUCCCCAUAAUACAUGCUUCGUACUCGGCCAUAUUAUUUGUGCAAUCAAAACCCAAUUUACAGGUGAAUGGAUAAUGAUCUCCGCUUAGGGAUACCAAAACUGCCCUAAUUCCGUUGCCUACAGCAUUUGAAGCCCCGUCGAAGUUUAAUUUCCAAGCACCGCUUUCUUGAGUGUAUUUUUCAACAGUUCCCACAUACAUCAGAUCCUUAUUUAGGAGAUCAAAGUUCAAAGGCUCAUAGUCUUCUAGAGCUCGACUAGCUAGAAAAUCUACUAUCGCGCUUCCUUUUAUAGCUUUUUGAUUCACAUAGACUAUGUCAAAUUCAGACAGUAGAAUUUGCCAUCUGGUCAUCCUUCCAUUUAGAGCGGUUUACUCCAUCAUGUAUUUCAGAGGGUCUAGUUUCAAGAUUAACCAAGUCGUAUGGUACAACAUGUAUUGUCGCAACCUCCGAGUAGUCCAGAUUAAGGCGCAACAUAAUUUUUUGAUUGGGGAGUAUCUUGUCUCACAUUCGGUGAACUUCUUACUGAGAUAGUAUAUUGCUUUUUCUUUUCUUCCCAACUCAUCAUGUUGGCCGAGCACGAAUCCGAUGGAGUUUUCAAAUACUGUUAAAUAUAGUAUCAGGGGCUUGUCUGGGCAAGGCGGUGUUAGUACUGGAGCGUUGGACAAGUAAUACUUGAUCUUGUCAAAGGUUUUCUGGCACUCCUCGUCCCAUAUGCCCGGAUUAUGUUUCUUAAAGAGACGGAAGAUAGGGUCACAUUUUUCAGUUAACUGUGAAAUAAACCGAGCAAUGUAGUUUAGUCUUCUUAGAAAACCCCGGACUUCUUUCUGAGUGCGUGGUGAAGGCAAUUCUUGUAUGGCCUUGACUUUGUCUGGGUCAAUCUCAAUUCCCCUUUCACUGACUAAAAGUCCUAGCAACUUUCCUGAUCUAGCCCCGAAAGUGCAUUUGGCUGGGUUAAGUUUUAGCUGGAACUUCAUUAACCUUAGGAACAGUUUUCUCAAUACUUGCACAUGUUCUCCUUCUGUCCUAAACUUUACAAUCAUGUCAUCAACACAGACUUCUAUCUCUUUAUGCAUUAUAUCAUAGAACAAAGUUACCAUGGCUCUUUGGUACGUUGCCCCUGCAUUCUUUAAUCCGAAUGGCAUCACCUUAUAGCAAAAUGUUCUCCACAUAGUUACAAAUGUGGUCUUAUCCAUGUCUUCAGGAUGCAUUUUUAUCUGAUUAUACCCCGAGAAGCCAUCCAUGAAGGAGAAAAGUGAGUAACCUGCUAUGUUGUCCACCAGAGUGUCGAUAUGGGGUAACGGAAUAUUGUCUUUUGGACUAGCUUUGUUCAAAUCUCUAUAAUCUACGCACAUCCGUACCUUCCCAUCUUUCUUAGGGACAGAGACUAUGUUGGCUACCCAAUCCGAGUACUUGACCACUUGUAAGAACCCCGAGUCGAACUGCUUCUUGACCUCUUCUUUUAUUUUUAACAAAACAUCAGGCCUUAUUCUUCGUAGCUUCUGUUGCACCAGUUUACAUUCUUCUUUUAUGGGCUGUCGGUGUACUACAAUAUCAGUACUUAGGCCAGGAAUGUCUUGAUAGGUCCAUGCAAAGACAUCUUUAAACUCUUGAAGUAAUCCAACGAGGUCUCGUUUUGUUUCCUCAGUAACGCAAGCGCCAAACUUUACUUCUUUCUCUUCUUCUAAACCCACUACUUCCACGGAUUCCUUAUAAGGUAAGAUUUGUUUCUCUUCUUGCUCCACCAUUCUUAACAAAUCAGGAGAUAAUACGCUGUCUUGGUCAUCUUCAAAACCCUGACGAUCAUCCGUACUCAUGUCUUGUUCAAAUAGGGACUUUGAGUCAGUAACAGCGUCGCUCACAUCAUUGAUAUCUGAAGACCUGUUAUUGGGAGAAAGGAAGGUCCAAAGAAAGAAGAAUCUAAGCAUAAUUGUUUACACAGUAUGAUUAUAAAUUGAAUGAAAAGAAUAGAAGAAUAUUUGCUCAAAAUGAGACUGAAUGAUGUGUUUUCAUUGAAAUAAGAUUUUGGACAUGUGUCUUUUACAAAAUAUUCUUAUUGCCCCCAGGCUUAGGGCAACAAGUGUUCUAGAUAUUACUCUGAAUUAGUUCUAAAUGUUAUAGGGAUCUCUUCUGCAGUCUAGUUGUCUAGAACACUUCCAGGUUCGUAAGGGCGGAUGCCUGAUACACUUCCUUCUUCGAGUUCUUUUUUGAAUAUGGCAUUGAUGUUCAGGUUUUCUAACAUUUCCUCCGUAGUAUCCCUUCUUGGUGUCCUUCGUUCAGGAUAAAUAGUUCCCCCUGAUAUAAAGGUCCUAGAUAUGUGGGGGAAGGUCAUAGGUUCCCAAUCGACUUCUUUUCCACUCAAACGCGCCUUCCUCUUCUCUUGUCUUUUUUCUAACUCUUUCCUUCUUUACUUCGCAUUUGGCUUAGAUCCUAAACCAAAGCGGUCUCGUUUAUCUUUUAUCAUUGGUACCUCUAUCCUUCAUUGAAGACAUCUUCCGAAUCCUCUCCCAGACACUGCUCCUUUUCCAAUCGUCAUUUGCAGUCCCAUCCUCGUAGUUUUGGAUAUGCUAGGCAUCGUGAUCUUAUUCCCCUCAACAACAAAAGUUGCGUUCACGAAUUCUAAGGAUCAAAAGGAACAUUCAAUCGCCUCAUCAUUCGUUUCUAAAUAUGGUGUGUCGCUGGUUACCGAUGCAAUAAUGUCUUCUUUAGCGCUUAUAGUAACUAGUCGGCCUUCUAUUACCAAUUUCAACUUCUGGUGCGAUGAUGAAGGCACUGCUCUAGCUGAAUGAAUCCAAGCUCUUCCCAACAAGUAAUUAUACGAAGGUUUGAUAUCCGUCACUAGGAAAUCUACCUUGUAUGUAUUCGGGCCAAUCAAGAGAGGUAUUUCUAUUCUUCUCGUUACUUUUCUUUCAGUGCCAUCAAAUGCUCUCACUAUAUUCUGGCAUGAUUUCAUGUGAGAGUUAUGCAUCGGUAACCUGUUUAAGGUGGAUAAGGGUAAGACAUUCAAGGCCGAUCCAUUAUCAAUUAACACCACCGGAAACGUGUAUCCCUUGCAGCGAGUGGUGAUAUUUAGGGCUUUGGUGGCUCCUCUCCCCCCCCCCCGAUGAUAUUUCAUUAUCAUUAAAGAAGAUGAAGUUGUCGGCACUUAUAUUGUUAACCAAGCAGUCUAACUUGUUCACCGAGAUAUCGUUAGCGACAUAAGUUUCAUUUAGUACUUUUAUCAACGCAUUACGAUGUGUCUCUGAACUUAGAAGCAACUUAAGCACCAAGAUGCAAGCUGGUUGCUUAUGUAGUUGUUCCACCACGCUAUACUCACUGUGCUUUAAGAAUUUUAGAAAUUCUCUAGCCUCAUUUUUAGUUACCGGCUUGUUAACAUGCGAUUCAAUUCUAAUCGUUUUUGCUUCCCCUCGCUCAACCGCUAAGGUUUUUCCUUUUGUGGUUUCCACUCUUGCAUUUGUCGAAUCGUAGCAUUUUUCGCUUCGUGUAUAGAAGCCUAUAUCAUCACCCUUUUUUGAAGUAUUUAUUGGGUUCUCUUCUCCCGGGAUCGUCACGUUGCACUCGUAAUUCCAAGAAACCCAUUUGCUAUUCUUAUAAAGAAAUUAUAUGGGUUUUUAGAUUAUGACCCUUGGCGCUAUUUCUAUUCCAGAUUCUGUGCUCCUUGGCCUUGAAAUAAUCACCACUGAGUGAUUAACCCUUUGGGCUUCCCCGUAGAUUCUUCCUCCGAGGUGUAAAUUUCCCCUUCUUCUAAUCCUUCAACCUUUUCAUAAAACUUCAACUCUUUGUUAUCCAUUAAGUUUUGCAUCAUGGUUCUGAACUCGGUGCAUUUUUAAGUGUCAUGGCCCUCUUCAGCAUGGAACUCGCAAUACUUCAUCGUCCCUUUGGGCCUCUCCGUUGAAUCUUGCUUGAUAAAACCUCCCUCUAUCAUUCGUUUCCAAACCCAUUUCAACGGGGUUUUUAUCUCUGCUACGUCAGCUUUAACUCUCCUUCCCCACUCUCGAUUAUUGCGUUUACCUCUUUAUCAGAAUGAUUGGUUAACGGAUUCCCUGCUACAUUUGGUUCUGGUGGGUCGUCAAACUUUACAAUCCCCAUCUUAAUGAAUCUUUCCACCAUCUUCUUAAACGCAGUGCAGUUCUCAAUCGAGUGUCCCGUUAUCCCUGCUUAGUAUUCACAUUGGGUAUUCACGUCGUACCAUUUAGGGUAUGAAGGUUGCAUGGGUUUCAGAUAAAAUGGAGACACGACGUGUGCAUCGAAUAGAUUCUAAUACAGUUCUCUAUACGUCAUUGAGAUACGUGUGAAUUGGGGUCUUUCUACAUUCGACCUUGGAUGGGAUUCCUGCCUUAAAAAGCCUUGAUGGCUAGUGGUUAUUGCUCUUGCUUGUCCCACCGUGAUUGGUUUAGAAUAGCCUUUGUUAAACAUACUUGCAUUGUUUAUCUCGUGCUCUUUCUUUCUUGGGGCUGACCUCUUGGCACUUUCCCCCGCUUCUAUCUUGCCGCAUAUUAUUGUAUUCUCUAUCAUUUCUCCAGACAUCACUAUGUCUGAAAAGCUUUUAGUGGCGCUGUCUAACAUGUGAUUGAUGAACAGAGCCUUCAAAGUAUUGAUGAAAAGCAUGGUUGUCUCUUUCUCCAGAAGUGGUGGUUAGACUUGCAUUGCUAUUUCUCUCCAUCUUUGGGCGUACUGUCUGAAGCUCUCACUAGGCUUCUUUUCCAUGUUCUGUAAUGUAAUUCGACCGGGUGCUAUAUCCUUCACAUGACUGUACUGCUUCAUAAAAGUCUGUGCCAAGUCCUUCCAUAAAUUGACUUUAGUCUGGCUCAAUUGGUUGUACCAUUUAGCCGCCGACCCGAUCAAGCUGUCUUGGAAAUAGUGCAUCAAUGUUGAUCAUUAUUGAUGUAUCCUGUUAUCCUUCGACAGAACAUAGUGAUAUGAGCUUCAGGACAGCUAGUCCCGUUAUACUUUUUAAACUUUGGCAUUUUGAACUUAGGUGGAAGCACCAGAUCAGGAACCAAACUCAAGCCUUUGGCGUCAAUUCCACAAUGGUAGUCGGCGUUCUCCAUGGCUCUAAAUUUCUCCUCUAUCCAUCUACACGAUCCUCAAGUUGUUUUGGCAAGUCCAUUCUUACCUUUUCUAUUUCUGCCACGUCAUCGAGAUCAGGGACCACGGGAUUGGUAGGGUUAUCCCCGGGAUUAGAACCCGAGCUUAUUGGAAAGUUCAUUGACACUAGGGCCCCAACCUGAUAUUGGGAUCUGAUAGUGACAGGUACCCUUCAUGGGUACACGUCCGGUUGCGCUUAGAUGUUAGUUAGGGUAAAACCUGGAGGAUAGGCAGGGUCUUCAUGAUCAUCCCCAGAAUUGACCACAGGGCUCUUCCCUUUAUCAUUUUCUCCAGCCAUUAACUGUGUUAACUAGCUCAAUAAAUUUCUUUGGGAUUCUUACAUGUCUUGUUGCAUUUUAGCUAGUUUUUCCUGCAUCUGAACUUGCAUCUCUUUUCACAAUUGUUCCAAUCUUUCUAAUAUCUGAUCCAUUACUUUUGUCUUGCGGCGGGUACCGUAGUGAUAUAUAGUUGGCUGAUUUUUGUUGGUUUCCAAGGUAACUGUCAUAAUUUUAAUUAAUUAGGGCUCUUUUUUGAAACUUUAAUGCAUAUGAUGAGAUGUAAUGCAAAUGAAUCAAAGCAAAAAGAGGCAUUGAUUCUAAUUCAAUUUCAUUAGAAAAACUCGAUUAGAAAACAAAUUUCUUUACAUAAAAUGGAUUACAUAUAUGGCUUCGCCUUUAUACUCAAAGCCUUAACCCUCUUAAGGAGCCAAGCUAACUCUCAACCUCGGCUUGAUUCUGAUUCAUAUUUUAAACUCAAUACAUCAGCCUGAACUGCUAAGGUUUGCAGAUGAUCAGCUACUUCCUGCACUUAAGUUACAACUUCACCCAUAAUGUAAUCUUUAUCUCUAAUCUGACUUUGGGAAUGAUGGAGCUGUUCUUGCCACUGUUCGUUACGCCUCUCAAGAAGUUCCACUCGUAAUUCAGAGUUUUGCAAUGCGUCUUCGAGCUUUUCUAUUUUCCCCUUCAAUUUUUCGAUCUUUCCUAAACUUGCUCUUAACUUGAUCAUUGAGUUGCGACUACGGUACAGGUGAAGCGACUUUUCUAACUAUACUACCCGAGCUUUUAAUCUCGCUUCUUCAUUUCAACAUUCUAACAAGUUUUUCUCUAAAGCUCUCUCUCGAGCUUGGGCGUCUUAAAAUUUCUUUUCCCACUGAUCAGCCAUGGUCUUUUCUUCCUUGAUCUCCUGUCGCCAUUACUCCGACGUUUUACCUAAACCGACAGUUCUUAUUGACAAACGCAGCUUCUUAUAAUCUAUUUUUAGACUAUCUAAAUCCUCUUCAGCCUUGUUCUUCCCUUUCCUUAAUUUUUCGAUUUUUAACUUGUGGAUAUCGACAUCUAGUCCCAAACGCAUCUUUUCCUCUUCUAGCUGCUCUAUCUUCUUUCCUAACUCUGAACUUCUUUUUUCAAAGUCCUGUUUGAUGAUCUCUAAUUCUGAUGGAACUUCUUGUAGAUGGUCCUCUAUAGAUCGAAUGCAUUCUUUUCUCGACCCGGAGAUGUUGUUAUUGACCCUCUUACUCCAACACCCAUAAUAUUCGAAAGUUGUCAUUGCUCUUACGGUAAAUCUUUUCAUCCGGUGAACUUGUUUCCAAGCGCUAAACAUUUCUCGAAUCUUUCUCUUGUAGUUAUCACCCUUAUAAGAAAACUCACACUGAGUCAGCCCUUAUGUUGUCGGUAUGAACUAUCUUGAUUUAUAUUGUCUUAAUACGAGCAAAGGGGUAUAUUCGACAGCUCUCCAAAUUCUAAGUAAAAGGACCAAGUCGAAGUUUUCACAUCGAUAUAGGAUAUCGUCGGGCACCAUCCAAUGAGCUUUCCAUUCAACAUCUUUCUCUUGAAGAGUUUGGAGAAUCACCAUCCAUUUCUCUUCUGUGAUGUCGUUUCAUCUUGGUGUAGCCACUAGUUCCUUUAAUGGGGAGUAGUUUUCUAAGAAUACCCAAUAGGAGACCUUUUUCCACUUUCCAAAAGUGUCUAUGGAACCACACCAAUAAUAGUUGCGCGCAUCCGAUGAACCUUCCUUCACCCGCUCUUCGACACGCAUUUAGAGAUCUAAAAGUUUCAGCCAAUAUUGCUGAGACCGGUGUGACCCCCUUGUCAAGCCUAUCAAACAGAUCUGAAACUGCUUCAUCCACAUGCCCUAAUGCCUUGGGGAAAAUAACUAAACCAUAAAUGCUCAAGACAAAGAUAUCAACUCACUUGGUGCAAAAAUCAUGAAAAACCAGCUUGAAUAAACCCUUAGGACGUUUUUGGCUGAUGAGAAUGCAGAAAAAUAAAGAGAAAUCUAGAUAAUUCCACUUUAGUCCUAACUUUUAAAGUAAAUUUUUGCAAUAUUCUAAUUUUACCCUUAAUUCUCCAAUUCUCCUUAUUUUUCUCAGCUUGUGCCGCCCAAAAUAUCUUCUUUUGGGCUUAUUUACAAUUUAUGUCCCUCCUUAUUUAACAAUGGAGCUAUUUAAUCCUUCUAGUAACUUUUACACCUUUUUUAAUUUAGUCCUUUUCACUUAAUUGACUGCCCAAACAUUAAAAUUUUCUAACGAAAUUUUAAUACCAUAUUACUAACAUUUCAUAAAUAUUUAUAAAAAUAUUUUUGACUUGGUUUUAUGAGAUCGAUGUCUCGAUACCUUGUUUUUACCCAAUUUCUUCAAUAAUUUCUUUUUCUAACUAACCACUAAAUCGGUAAAAUUUUUCUAUCGAUAUUUUCAUACGAUUUUCUAUCAUAUCAAUAUUCAUGCAAAAAUAUUAAAAUAAAUUUCUUUUAAAAUCGGAUUUUUGGUUAUGAAACCACUGUUUCGAUAACCUUGAAUUUAGGCCAUUACAACUCUCCCCCCUUAGGGAUUUUCGUCCUCAAAAAUCUUACCAGUAAAGAGGUUCGGGUAUUGUUUCCUCAUUGCCUCCUCUGAUUCCCAUGUCGCUUCCUUAAUCCCGUGCUUUUUCCAUAAUACUUUCACCAAAUUUAUCUUUUUAUUUCUAAGCUCAUUUAUUUCCCGUGCUAAUAUCUUAACCGGUUCUUCACUAUAAGUCAUAUCCGGCUGAAUCUCCACUUCUGUCAGAGAAAUAACAUGUGAAGGAUCUGAUCGAUACCGUCGUAGCAUAGACACAUGAAAAACAUUAUGAAUUCUAUCGAGUUCCGGUGGUAAUGCCAAUCGAUAAGCGACCGCGAGUUCCGGUGGUAAUGCCAAUCGAUAAGCGACCGGUCUAAUUCUUUCUAUAAUUUCAUAUGGCCCAAUAAAUCUUGGACUCAACUUACCCUUUUGACCGAAUUGGAGAACUUUUUUCCAAGGAGACACUUUUUUGGAAUACCUUAUCACCCACCUAAAAUUCAAUCUCUUUUCGUUUAAGAUCAGCAUAUGGCUUUUGACGAUCGAAAGCUGCUUUUAGACUAUCUCGAAUCAUCUUGACUUUUUCUUCUAUUUCCCGGAUCAAAUCAACCCCAUGUAUCUUCUUUUCACUAAGCUCUGUCCAAUAUAAUGGUGUUCUACAUUUUCUACCAUACAAAGCUUCAUACGGAGCCAUUUUAAUACUGGACUAAUAACUGUUAUUAUAAGCAAAUUCAAUCAAAGGUAGAUACCUCUCCCAAUUACCUUCUAACUCUAAUAUACAACAUCGGAGCAUAUCUUCCAAUACCUGAAUUACACGCUCAGAUUGGCCAUCUGUCUGAGGAUGAAAUGCAGUGCUGAAAUACAAUUGAGUACCCAAGGCUUCUUGCAAUUUGUCCCAGAAACGAGAUGUAAAUCGGGGAUCUAUAUCUGAUAUAAUAGAUAUUGGCACUCCAUGUAGCUUGACAAUCUCAGAUAUAUACAGUUCAGCCAAUUUAUCUAAAAAAUAAUCCAUAAGUACUGGGAUAAAAUGUGCUGAUUUUGUUAAUCGAUCAACGAUCACCCAAAUGGCAUCUUUCUUAUUCGGUGACAAUGGUAACCCAAAUACAAAAUUCAUAGUAAUUCUUUCCCACUUUUAUUCCGGUAUAGUGAUUGGCUGAAGUAACCCCGAAGGUACCUGAUGUUCAACUUUAACCUGCUGACAUAUUAGGCACUUUGAUACAAACUCAGAAAUAUCACGUUUCAUACCUGGCCACCAGUACAUCUUCUUCAAAUCAUUAUACAUUUUAUUACCUCCCAGAUGUACGGACAUAAUACCACUGUGUGCCUCGUGUAAAAUCUUCUGUACAAGCUCUGAAUUCUUCGGUACACAUACUCUGCCUCUGAAUAAUAAACAACCAUCAGUCCCAAUUUGAAAUUCUGAAUCAUUACCUGACUCACAUUGUACCCAUUUAGCCUGUAGCUUUUCAUCAUUUUUCCGAGCUUCAUAUAUUUGUUGUAGAAAUGUCGUUUAACUCUCAACUCAGCUAUGACUGAACCAUUAUCAACCAAAGACAAUCGGGUAUUCAUAGCUCGCAAAGCAAACAAAGAUUUUUGACUCAGAGCAUCAGCUACAACAUUAGCCUUACCCAGAUGGUAAUCAAUAACCAAAUCAUAGUCUUUUAUCAGUUCAAGCCACCUGCGCUGUCUCAAAUUCAAAUCUUUCUGUGUCAUCAAAUAUUUCAGGCUUUUAUGAUCAGUAUAAAUAUGACAUUUUUCACCAUACAAAUAAUACCGCCAUAUUUUCAAUGCAAAUACAAUAGCAGCAACUUAGAGAUCAUGUACCGGGUAAUUUCUUUCAUGUGGCUUAAGUUGUCUUGAAGCAUAGGCUAUUACUUUACCUUCUUGCAUCAAGACACAGCCUAAACCAUUUAAUGAUGCAUCACUAUAAAUAAUAAAUUCUUUACUCGGUUCAGGUUGUACCAACACAGGUGUUUUCGUCAACAAAUCUUUCAAUCGGUCAAAACUCUGCUGGCAUUUAUCAGUCCACUCAAAUUUAACAUCUUUCUGUAAUAAACGAGUUAUCGAAGAAGCUAUCAUAGAGAACCCCUGUACAAAUCUCCGAUAAUAACUGGCUAAACCCAAGAAACUUCUAACUUCAGAUACAUUCUUCGGUGGACUCCAAUUGACAAUAGCUGAGAUUUUACUCAAAUCUACCUUGAUGCCUUCUGCGGAUACAAUAUGUCCAAGAAAACCCACUUCUCGAAGCCAAAAUUCACAUUUACUGAAUUUAGCAUAUAGCUACUUCUCUCGCAGAAUUUGCAACACAAUUCUCAAAUGUUCUGCAUGCUCAUUUUCAUCUUGGGAAUAGACCAAGAUAUCAUCAAUAAAAACUACCACAAACCUGUCUAAGUACGGUCUAAAUAUCCGAUUCAUCAGGUCCAUAAAUACUGCAGGUGCAUUAGUCAGCCCAAACGGCAUAACAAGAAACUCAUAAUGCCCGUACCUGAUUCUAAAAGUUGUUUUCGAUACAUCUAACUCCUUUACCCGUAACUGAUAGUAGCCCAAUCGGAGAUCAAUCUUUAAAAAUACAGUGGCACCCUUCAACUGGUCAAACAGAUCGUCAAUCCGAGGCAAUGGGUACUUAUUCUUUAUAGUGACUUUAUUAAGUUGUCAGUAAUCAAUACAUAAUCUUAAGGACAUGUCCUUCUUUUUCAUAAAUAAAACUGGAGCACCCUAAAGUGAAUGACUUGGUCAGACAAAACCCCUGUCAACAAGUUCUUGCAACUGUGUCUUUAACUCCUUUAAUUCUGUAAGAGCCAUACGAUACGGAGCUAUAGAGAUUGGAGUAGUUCCCGGAAUCAGAUCUAUAGAAAAUUCCACUUCUCUUUCUGGUGGCAACCCUAGUAAUUCCUCUAGAAACACAUCAAAAAAUUCACAUACAAUUGGCACUGCCUGUAUAUUUAAUUGGCACUGCCUGUAUCUUUAACUCAGAUACCUUAGUGUUUAACACAUAUGCCAAAUAAGCAUCAUACCCUUUUCUGACACACCUCUGAGCUGUCAUAACCGAAAUCACAUUAGAUAAUUCUUCUGUCUGAUCAAAUUUAACCCGAAGUAAUUCUCUAUUCUAACACUUCAGCAUAAUAUAUUUCUGUCUACAAUUUACUACUGCAUCAUGCUGAGUUAGCCAAUCCAUACCCAAUAUCACAUUGAACUCAUCAAAAGGCAAUAACAUCAAGUCAACAGGAAAACAAAUACCUUUUACCAUCAGUGGACAAUUUUUACAAACUUUAUCCACCAUCAUAAACUGGCCCAGUAGGUUCGAGACUUUAACCACAAAUUCAGUAAGUUCAACAGAUAAAUUUUUAACAAAUACUAAUUUUGUGCAUAUGUAUGAAUGUGUAGAGCCAGGAUCAAUUAAUACAGUAAUAUCAGUAUCAAGUAAAGAAAAUGUACCAGUAAUAACAUCGGGUGCUGAGGCAUCUUCUCUAGCACGGAUGGCAUAUGUCCUAACAGGUGCUCGUGCCUCAGACCUGCCUGCAGUCUCUUUCGUAACUCCUCAGCUACCACUAACAUUACCAGAUGGUCGAGGUGGUCUACCCCUCGAAACUGGAUUACUCGGCUUCGAUGUAUGUUUAGCUUCUUUUUCACCCCUUUCUAGACAAUCUCUGAGGAAAUGAUCGGAAGAACCACAUCGAUAACAAGCCCCACUCUUUAAUCGACAUUCACCAAAAUGAGUUUUAUUACAGUACUGACAUCUCGGCUUAGGGGUACCAACACUACCAGCACUGGUCACUGAUGGAGUGGAAGGUCUUGGAUUAGUGCGUUGAAAACCUCGCUCUCUAAUCGAAUACCCACUGGCUGAGGUUGAACGAUCCUGGUAUUUCUUCAAUUUCUUUAAAGUAAAAAACUGGGAUUUUUCCAUAGAUGUUUUACUGAAAACCCGAGCUUCUCUUUCAGCUUGUUUCUUUUCUUUGCUCAAUUUUUUUGCUUUAUAAGCUCACUCUGCAAGGGUAGUAAACUCUCGAAUUUCAAGAAUUCCGAUCAAUAGCUUAAUUUUUUCAUCCAACCCUUCUUCAAAUCUUUUGCAUAUUCCAGCUUCUGAUUGUACCCAUUCCCAAGCAUAUUUACUCAAUCGGACAAAUUCUCUUUCAUACUCAGAUACUGAUCUGUUAUCCUGUUUCAGCUAAAAAAAUUCUUUUCUCUUCCGAUCGAGGAACCUCUGACUGAUAUAUUUCUUUCUGAACUCGGUCUAAAAGAAUUCUCAUUUAAUUUCUUCUUUUGGAACCACCGAAGCUUUAGUGUUUCACCAAUGAUAAGCUGUGUCUUUUAACAAUGAUACUGCACAUUUCAGACACUCUUCUGGCGUGCAAGAUAAUUCCUCCAAAACCCGAGUAGUAUUCUCUAACCAAAACUCAGCCCGUUUGGGAUCAUCAUCAACUGCAGCUCUGAAUUCUUCUGCCACAUAUUUUCUGAUUUUAUCAACCGGAGCUUUCCCUUUUUUGCUAGGUUCAAUACCUGUACCCUGUGAAAUCUCGGGAAUCGGUGGAGGAGGAGGAGGAGGAGGAGGAGCUUGAGCUUGCUGCACUAUAGGGUUAGUUUUUAUAUAUUGAGUAAAUCAUUCAUUCAUCAUUUGAUAGAAGGCAAUUUUAGCCUCUUCACUUUGGUCCCUUAUCUCGGACCUUCUACUACUAGUAGCUUCAACUUCUCUUUGUUCUGAAGCCGGAGCAUGACUCUCGGCUUCCUUGGGUUGAACUUGGUCGGCAGACAUUUACUAUAAGAAAAUCACAUUUCAAAUGGUCAGGAGAUAUCACACUAUCAAUAAGAAUUUAAAUCCCAUGUAUAGCUAAUCCAGUAUUUUCUACAUCGGUCCGAGAACUGACUAAAUCGUAGCUCUGAUACCAACAAAAUGUAACACCCCUUAACCAUAUCCGUCGUUGAAAUAGGGUACGAAGCAUUAUCAGAUUUUAUCGAAUUAAUUUUCUAUUAUUACGAGUUAAAUACUAUUCAUUUAUCGAAACAUGUCAUGACGUCCCUUGAAUGGGCCUCCGAAGCCCAAAACAUACAUCGAGACCAAACCGGGAUUAAAUCGAAACCAUAAGAAAUUUUUCGCAAAAUCCCAAAGUUUUUUUUUUAAAACUCAAUACAACCCCUUUAUAAAUAUCUAAUCUUCCCUGCAAUUUUAAACCAAGACCAAUCCAACACAACCAAUCCAUUUCAACAUACUUUCAAAAUAGAUUUAACAUAUUCAUAAGAUAACCUCAUCACAUACCAAAACCAAAAUUUGUUAGCCAUACCAAUGGCUAACCAUUCAUUCAUUUCACAUUAACAUUUACUUUACUAGCUUAUACAUGCCAUUGAUUUCUAAAAUAAAGUUUCUUUAUAUACCGAGAUCUUGAGGUUGAUAGUGUGAUGCGUCUCCGACCAAAUCCGACCUCCGAGCUCUUAACACUACAAAACAGGGGAAAAGGAAACAGGGUAAGCACUUUGUGCUUAGUAAGCUCAUGUAAUAAGAAUUAUACUUACCUAAUAUUUUCAAUACAAUACAAUACAAUACAAUAAACAUUCAUACAUCCAUUCAAUGCAUUAUUCCCCUAACAUGCACGAACUCAACAUUCAAGUUAGUUCAGUAAUUUCCAUGUAUCAAUAAUAUAUAUAUCACGAUUGAUAAGCUCAUCAAUUCCAUGAUUUCCAUUCCCUUGUUAUUUUUCCAUAUUUAUCCCGUUGAACUACUUGGAAUUUCGAUGGAUUUUCAGGGGUACACCUAAGUGUACAAAUCUGGGUUCGUCAAUUCAUAUUCAUGUGCGCACAUUUUCAUUUCAGAGAGCACACUCCCGUGAACCUCAUCCUUACAGCGGGAUUACCAGUCCAGGCUAAAUCCCCUGUAAUAUAAACUCAUAGAAUAUUGUCGGGAUUACCAGUCCAGGCUAAAUCCCCUGCAACGACAAUUACUCUAAUGAGCUUGGAUUUGAAUUACCAGUCCAAGCUAAAUUUAGACCCUAAUUUGGAAUACCCGUCCGGGCUAAAUUCAUUUUCCACAUAUUCUUUGAGAGGGCUGUAUCAGAAUAGGAUCACCCAUCCGGGCUAGAUCCUUUUUACCGUCAAUUCCUUUUCAGAGAUCCAUCGAAUUUUCCUUUCAUUCAACCGGGAUUUAUUUUCUCUUUUCAUCAAGAAUAUCAAUACUUCUUCAAUUAUCAUACAAUAAACAUCCAAAUCAUAUUCACAUCAAGAAAAAUAUAUUUCAAGCAUUUAAGAAUAUAAUUCAAGUUACACGAACUUACCUCGAUACUUGUUCGUAAAUAAAAAUCUACUAAUUCCAAACUUUUUCUUUUCCUCGAUCUAGCUUUGUAUUUGAAUUUUCUAGAUCUAAAUAAAUAAAUUUAAUCAUUAAUCUAAUACAUUUCAUGUUCAUAUGUAACAUUCUCUAUAAUUCCAUUAUUAUUUAUAGUUCAUUCAAAGCUGUCUCAUUGAGUCAUAGUCGCUAAAUUAUUUAUAUCUUGAGCUACGGAAUUCCAAAUUAAGAUCUGCUAAUUUUUCCCAAAACUAGACUCACAUAUCUUCUUACCAUAAAAUUUUCAGAAUUUUUAGUUCAGCCAAUAAGUACAGUUUAUUCUUUAAAGUUUCCCUUGUUUCACAGUUCAACAGUUUCGCCCCCUCUUCACUAAAAAUUAAUUAUCUCAUUGUACAGAAUUUGGAUGAUGUUUCCAUUUAUUUAUUCUAAAAAUAGACUCAUUAAGGAUUCUAAGCAUAUAAAUUAUAACUCAUAAUAAUUUUUUUACAAUUUUUAAUGAUUUUCCAAAGUCAGAACAGGGGAACCCGAAUUCAUUCUGACCUUGUCUCACAAAACCUAUUAUAUCUCAUUAUUUACAAUUCCAUUGACUACACUAUUUCUUCUAUAAGAAACUAGACUCAAUAAGCUUUAAUUCUAUAUUUUUUUCAUCCUCUAAUUCAAUUUACAAAAUUUAUGGUGAUUUUUCAAAGUUAACCUACGCAGCUGUCCAAACUGUUUUAAUGCAUGAUAUUAAUUACCAUUUUCCCCUAAGCUUUCAAUAAAUGAUAAUUUCAUCCUUACUCAAUUAACCUCUCAAUUGAGCUGAUUUUUCUCAAUUAACACAUUAUUCCAUCACUUUAAAGUACUUUAUAACCUUUGGAAAUCAGAAUUUUAGCACUAGACUUUAAUUCCAAACUUUUUCACAAUUAGGUCCUACAAAUCAAUUUUUAUUGAAAUUACCUAAUAAAAUCAUCUCAUAAACAAAUUAAAGCUUUAAUUUCAUGCUAUAUCAUCAUAUAUUUCCAGCACAUAUUCAUAGCAACUUUCAAUUUAGUAAUAGGACCUAGUUGUAAAAGUCUUAGGAACAUAAAAAUUACAAGAAAAAAAGCAAGGAUUAACUCACUUGGUGAAAAAAUCAUGAAAAACCAGCUUGAAUAAACCCUUAGGACAUUUUUGGCUGAUGAGAAUGCAGAAAAAUAAAGAGAAAUCUAGAUAAUUCCACUUUAGUCCUAACUUUUAAAGUGAAUUUUUGCAAUAUUCCAAUUUUACCCUUAAUUCUCCAAUUCUCCUGAUUUUUCUCAGCUUGUGCCGCCCAAAAUAUCUUCUUUUGGGCUUAUUUCAAUUUAUGUCCCUCCUCAUUUAACAAUUGAGCUAUUUAAUCCUUCUAGUAACUUUUACACCUUUUUCAAUUUAGUCCUUUUCACUUAAUUGACUGCCCAAACAUUAAAAUUUUCUAACAAAAUUUUAAUAUCAUAUUAAUAACAUUUCAUAAAUAUUUAUAAAAAUAUUUUUGACUCAGUUUUACGAGAUUGAGGUCUCGAUACCUUAUUUUUACCCAAUUUCUUCAAUAAUUUCUUUUUCUAACUAACCACUAAAUCGGUAAAAUUUUUCUAUCGAUAUUUUCAUACGAUUUUUCUAUCAUAUCAAUAUUCAUGCAAAAAUAUUAAAAUAAAUUUCUCUUUAAAUCAGAUUUGUGGUUACGAAACCACUGUUCCGAUAACCUUGAAUUUAGGCCAUUACAACUCCGACCAGUCGUCACCGCGCCGGCCGCCGGUCACCAAUGACGGCGCCGCCGUAUUCGGUGGCUGAAAAAAGGUAAAACCUCCAACCCUAUCCUUUCGACCCUCCUAAAUCCAAAUCUGGGUUCAAAAUUCCCAAAAUAUUAACAAAAACGCCCCAAAAGCUCAAGAAACCUUUCAGUUUUCGGCCACCUAUCCUCGAAGGUGACUUCCUCAGCCGUCCACGGCGUUGAAAAACCCAAAUACAGGUUAGUUUGUUACUCCAUUUUUCCUUUUGUUUUACUUUCGUAUGUGUAAAUAUGAUAAAAAUAAAAUAACAGUAGACCAAAAAUGAAACGAAGAUUUAGAAAAUAGCAGUAGAUGUAAACCUUUCGAGAUUUUUCUAUUGAUUUUGAGUUCUCUGAGUAUUCAAUCCCUUUUUUUAUUACAUUUAUUGAUGGGGCCUUUUAUAGCCGAUUUACAUGUUUUUUUUUCUUUCGCUUCUGUUCUUGUUGCUUCUGUGUUUGUCUAUUUUCUGUCCUGUUUGCAGGUCUUGGCAAGGUCAACAGACAUUGAAGGGAUAACCCCUGCCAUUUUGGUGCAAGGCCGUAGACGCCUGUCAGGCUUUGGGCGAUGAGUGCGCUGCAGGGGCACGAAGAGGGAGUGCGGCGCACAUGGAGCACUAGGGUUUCAGUUUUCCCCUGAAAGCAGUUUGGUUGUGGGCUGAAUUGGGUUAGGUUUUUUUAUUUUGGGCCAUACCAGGCUUGGCAUGUAAUUGGGGUUUGGGUUUGUUAUUGAGUUUUGGGCCCGGGCAAAAAUGGCCUAUUACACAAAUAAUAAAAAUUAAAAUCAAAUCAUCAUAUUUAUUAUAUUAGUCUAAAAAGCAACUGAUAAUAUAAUUGCUAAUAAAAGCUAAAAGAAAAAUCAACAUUGUAUGCAAUUUUAUCUAAUUAUUCUAGUGCAUAUUUGUUGCUUUAUUCCCUCUUCAAAAUUUAACAUAUGCUCCUUAUUAUCGUCUGUUGGUUUUUGAUCAAAUUCGUCAUCACCAAAAUUUGAAUUUGUAUCAUUAAGAUUAUCAAGAUUUCCUUCUUUCAUGUACUCUUUGAAGUAUGGAUCAUCUUGAUUCUACUUAUAAUUCAAGUUAUGAAAUAUGCAAUAUGCUAGUGUCAUGGGGUUAGACCUUUCAUCUCGCAAAUUGUGUGGCCUUAGACAAUUUCUUCGCUUCAAAUGUGUCUAAGUCAGCCUAACUUUCGCAAAGUGAGAAUUCUCGCAGAAUUCCUCUCUAAGGCAUUGAAAAUAUAGUGGAAGCAAUCUCAAAGACAAAAGAAAGCUAAAAAAAAACAUAAUAGCCACAAAAAAAGUAAAAGUACACCAAGUUAAAUGUUCUCAAUUAGUAUUUACUAAUAAAAAAAUGAAAUACAAUGGAUGAUUACAAAUUAGGGGAGGCUCUCUAUUUAUAGUUGAGUUCUCCCAAAACGGAAGAUAUAGAUUGAGUUACAUCGACGGAUGAGAUCGAAGCAUAUCUACAAUUAAGAGAUAAUCCCCAAGAUUACAAAAUUAAAUCUUAUCAUAUUACAAAUCUUCUAAGAUUUAUUUCCCUAUUUACCAAGGUAACCCUAAUUUUCCAUAAGUGCUUUGUUAGGCCACCAAGGCUUUAAGUAGAUGGGUUUCGUCACUUGUUCUUCAAAUUGGACCAAUUCAAGUGGGUUAAAUGAGGCCUAUUUUAUAUGUAGACCUCAAUAGGAUGCUCUUUGUGCCUUGGUCACGAGCUUUGAACCGUGGCCUGUGACACUAGUAUGAUCCAAUCUUUUUUUUUUAAAUGUUAUAUAAAUAUGAAAAAUAUUUUUUUUAGAAUAACAAAUGUCUUCUCAACUAAAAUUUGAAGUAGUGGUGGAUCCUAGGACAAAGUUUUGGGGUCAAAAAGAUCUUAGGAGUUUAAUAAGGAUUUUUUUUAAAAAAAUUUGGGAACUAAUUAAAUUUUUUUGAGAUUGAUGAGAAUUUUCAAAAUUUUGAGGGGGUGUGAUUAAAAUUUUCUAACAAUUUCAAGAGAGAAAUGAACAAAAAAAAAAAAUUUCUUCCUUUUCUUCUAUGUUGCAUCCAUUGAAAUGAGCAAAAAGGAAUAAAUCAAUUUUGAUUUUAGGGUUCCAAAUCUUAAAUGAAAGUAAGAGUUUGAAAACACAAAAUAUUAAUUUCCUUACUACAGGUUGAAAUUACGUGGAAUUAUUAUAAUUAGGUACCAAAAUGAAAAAGAAACCAUACCAAUAUUUCGUUAACAAAUUAAUAAAGAGUGGUUAAAAGAUAACCAAAUGAUAAUAUUAAUGAUGAAAGUGAAAGUUUUUUCGUAGUUCGAUGAUCAAAAUAAGAAAUGCUAAUAAUUAAGUUUGGAAGUAAUAAUAUUUAUAUGAUAAUAAUAAAUUUCAAAAGAAAAUUAUUUUUAAAAAAAUUGUAAUUAUAACAAUUUAAAUAUAUAUAAAAAAAGCAUCCAACAAAUAUAUCGAAAUAUUGCAAUAAAAGGAUGAAGAAAUCAUAAUAUAACCAUACAUGAAUUAGAAAUCAUUUUAUUUCAAAUAUAAAUGAAAUUUGAUAAUGAAAUAAAUUAAAUUAAACAAAUUAUAAAGUAAGAUAUGAAUAUAUAUAUAUAUAAGUUGUGAAAAAUUUUAAAAUAAAAUAAAAAAUUGUUCUAGAAAUCAUUGACUCUCACGUUCCACCCUCUUUUAUUUAUUAAUUAAUUAUAUUUUUUACUCUUCCACGGUCCUUUAUUUUUUGAAAGGAAAUCUCAUUUGGCUUGACACAAAAGUCAUACAUAAUAUUUGUUGUAUAUAGACUUAUUUCAAAUGUUUGAAUUUUCCAAAAACACACACACACAAAGUCGAUGUGGAAUUAAAAUUUUGGUGCCAAGGUCCACUACAUUUUCCACAACCACUAUAAUUAGACUAGAAUUAUCUCUCCGCGUACACUUGGGUUUAAAAUUUUUAAUUAAAAUUUAUUAUAAUCUUAACAUAGAAAUUAAAUUUGUGAUUAUUUUUAUAAUAGAAUAUAAAGUCUUAAAUUAUAAUGACAACAUAGUUGAGAAAAAUAUUUUAAUUUUAAAAAUGUAUAAAAACUGUUAAUUUUUUUAUUUAUUUUGGGACUAUUUGACAAAAAAACGUAAAUUUAAGGGCUAAAAAAGGUAAAAUAAAUAAAAAUAUAUGGAGACCUAAAAUGAUUUUUUUUAAAAAUAAAACUUUCAUAUUGUUAGUUUAAUGACUAAUGUUAUAAUUUAACCUUUAUUUUUGAAAGGGAAUCUCACUUAAAACGAUCCCACCACUUAGACUACAGUGGCGAAACUAGGACUGGUAAGGGCCCCUUAAAAUGAAAAUUUUUUCAUAUAGUCCCUUUAAAAUUUUUAAAAUUUUAAAUUAGUAAAGGUAAAAUUGUACUUUGGUCUCAUUUAAAAAUAUAAAAAUUUGAUUAAUAAACCUUUAUAUUAAUAUGUACAAAUAAUUUAUAAAUUAAAAAAUUAUCUUUUUAAAUAUAUAAAGUAAAUUUAUAAAUUAAAAAAUUUAUAAAAGAUGGAAUUACUUAAUAUAUUUAAUUUUCCUUUAAAUGAAACAAAUUAUUUGUUGACUUAUUACAUUUAUUCCGUAUGAUUUAAUUUUAAAUUUUAUUUUUUAAUCUUCACAGAAUUAUUAGAUACUUUAAGCAACUUAGAGAAGCUUGACACGAAUCGUAAUGAGGUGAAGGAAUUUGUGCCCAUAAAGAAUAAAAAUAUAUGCAUCAACUAAAUAAUAUAAAUUAUUUAAAAAUAAAACACUUUUCAUUAUUUGAUAGAUUCAUUGAUUACCAAAUAUACGAUAUUUCAAAAAAAAAACAAUUAAAGAAAUCCAGCACUUGAAAGUGCUGAUAGAGCAAUAAUUUGAAGCAGUUAAGAAACUUGUAGGAAGGGUAUAGAAAGAAGGUUGGAGGCUUGACGCCAAAAGUCACCAUAGUGGUCUGCUUAGAUCGUUUGGGGCGACUGAAUUUUCCACAUUGAAAACGAAGCCACUAUUGCUACGAAGACCCUUGAAUUUUCCACAAAGAAUUUAUCCCAUAAAUAGAAUUUAUCAUUACAUUAUAUCAAAUUAUGAAUAAUUCAGAGAUUUGCACAUGUACCUUUUUAUUUUAUUUUAUUUUUUCUUUUUUAUUAUUAAAUUCUUUUGAAGCAAAUAAAGAUAAAUUUAUUAUUUUAAAAUUAAUUAAUUAAAAUACUCAUAUUUUUAAAAUGUUAUCAUGGAAGGAGACUCUUUCAUUGUCAAAAUCCAAACAAAAGGAGGAAGAUUUCAUAGAUGGACAACUAGAACUAAACCUGUUUAAUUAUAAGUCGGAUCAGGCCUGCUCAAAAAGUGAGAGGGUUUGAGUAAAAUUAUAACCUUAAAAAAUGGGUUUAGACAAAAAAAUAAUGUCUGUUUAAAAACGGAUCAGACUUCAGGUAAGGCAUUUUUCACCCGAGUCCAAUCCGAAUUCACAAAAUGACAAAAAAAUCUACUAUUUUUUGUUAUUUUAAUUCUAUUUUCUUGUUAUUUUCUUCUUAUUUUGUUACCAUUUCACUAUUAUGUUAUUACUAUUUUGUUGUUAUUGUUUGGAUAUUAUAUAACACUUGUUUUAUUGUUAAUUUUGUUAUUCUUUUAGAGGCAUUUGUUUGUUAAGUUGCAUCUAUCUUAGUGUUAUUUAAGUAUACGUAUUUUUUAAAAUUUAUUUUUACUUUGUUGGAAAAUAUUUAAUUUAAUGUUUUUAGUAUUUUUGAUGUAUUAUAUAUAUUUAAAAAUUAUAUAAAAAUAAUAUAAAAAAUUAAUAUGGGCAGGUUGGGCCCGGGCCUAAAUUUUUGUUUGGGCCCAGUCGAACCCAACCCAUGAGCAUCUCUAUGGAGAAGCAAGAAAUGAAACUUUAUUGAUAAGUGUCAAAAGUAACAUAUUUUAGUCUCAUCCUUAAUAUUUUUUUUAGGUGAUUAUGUGACAUUAAUUGUGAAAUAUAUAUUUCUAAUCUUUUAUAUUCAUGUUUUGAUACUUAAUAAGGCGCUUGAAAAUAAUAUGAGUGAUAAAUAGUGGAAAUUAGAACUUUGAAGUAUUCCAGACGCUACGCACAUGCAUCAAAUUUUCACACAAACAAUUUAUGAUUUUUAAGUUUUUUUAGCAUUCUAACAACAUAUAAAUAAGGAAAUAAGAAGGGAGGAAGACAACCACGAAAUUACCUUCAGAACAUUAUUAAAGCCUAUUAAAUUAAAUUUUCUAACUCCUUUUGAAUUUGUAUUAGCAAAUUCAAAUAUAUUUACUCCAAAAUUAAAUUCGUCGUUUUUCUCUUCUAUUUUAUUUUAAUUUCUAACAUCUUAUUAAGUCUUUACAAUCUUGUUAUUAUUUUUCAAUCCAUAAUUUGUUAUUGAUGGGUGUCGAUUCCACCAAUAUAAACCUACGCCUAAUUUGCAAAUUUAAGCAGUAUAGGAAGUAGAGUUGAUCCCUUAGAGACUGGGUUUACUGCAAAUUAUUGCUCUCUUGACCAGAUUUAUAUCGGGGCAGUUGUCGUGCUCAAGAAGUUCGGGGGGAUAAAAUUUGAAACCUGAAAUAAAUAAAUAAAAUGCGUAAAAAGUAAAAGUUGAAAAUAAAAUAAUAAAAAGCAGUUAAAUAAAUCUGAAGAAAAAUGAAUUAAACUAAGCUCAGCUUUAGGCACGGGUUUUUCUCGUCUUUGAACUGAUCCUCGAAAUUAGAUGAACUCCUCUUUUCCAAUAAACUAGUUAUAGCUACCAAGGACGCCUCGGACACCAACUCUUCCUUGUGUAAAUUAGUUAAGAAACGUCCAAUAACUAACCCUUACCGAUCGAACAACCAACGAAAUGUUCAUGAUUUAGAACUCCGGCAGCUUUGCGUUCUAGAAGAUUCUAGCUCGAACCAAUGCCCUCAACCGCGUGGGACAUUUAAAUCUGGUUACUACUUCCCUUAACGGAACCAAACAGCAAUCCCCACUUGGCACGCCAAUGUGUUCACAGAAAACCGAUUAGACAAUCGAUCCUUUCGAAAUUCCAACUGUACGUCUAACCACACUAACUCAAACGACGUCUUUUUUGACUUAGUGUUGAUUUGACUUUGUGAGUUGACGAAGUCAUACUCUUAAUCCGGAGAAAUAAUAAGUACUGGAAUUUAGGAGUCAAAUUGCUCGGGUUCGUAACUCACGGAUCUUAACGAAGUUAACACCGGCCUAAAGCUGAAAUGGAUACUUAAUAAAAAAAUUGGUAAUUAAAAACUUGAUUAAUGACUUGAUUCAAGACUUGAUUCCUAAAUGAACAAUGUAGCCCCCUAUUUAUACUAGUGGCUUUGCUAAAUUAAGAGCCACUAGCCAUAGAGAAUCAAGGAAAUAAAAUAUUCCAUCAUAUAAAAAUCCCUACAUAAUCUCCCACUAAUUAAGUCAACAAAAAUUUCAGCUAAUUAUAUCUUGGAAAAUUUUUGCUUUGGCCCGCCUUCUUUGCUCUUUUCUUCAAUCUAGCCCAAUUGCUUCUCCUUUUUCUCUUUUGACCCCAAAUUGUACACCUGUGUAAAAUUUAAGUUAAACAUGGAAAAAUUAGUGGUGCACUCUCGUAAAUUAACCAAUUUAAUUACAUAAAAUAUGUAAUUUUAGCAUUUAAUCAAAUCCCUCUACUUAUUUAAUGCUAGUCCUCGAGCAUUAUGCAUGUAUCUACAAAAGGAAAAAUUUCUUCUAAAAUAGGACUUGACUCCCAUGGUUUGCACAAUUCAACAAUUUAAUCCUAGCACAUUAACAUCUCAAAUAACCUAGCCUAAGAAGGAAGUAAAUAUAUUUCAGAAUUUAUUAGAGCUUGAUAGACUUACCUUUCAUUUUAUUAUUUUUGUACUUGGGACAUUUUCGAAUUUUUUGACGCGAGACAUGAUGACAACCCAAGCACCAUGUUCCGGUUACUUGAUUCGGAUGUCUCUAAGCGGGAUAUUUCACCCUACUCGUGAUAGCUUGUUAGCGGAGUGAGUGCAAAGAAAUUGGACAGCCACAUGAACCUUUUUACGUGAGAUGUGAUGACAACCCAAGCACCACGUUCCGGUUACUUAGCCCGAUGUACAACCCCAAUUUUUCACUCUUAACAUUCGUAUCAGAGGAGUAUUAUUAUUCAUUUUUUCUUUUUUUUUUCCUUUUUUUUAAGACAAGAAGACAGAAAAUUGACAUGUGAUAUAAGGUAGGCAGUCAAGCAAACUCAUAAUUCGUAAAAAUUUCUUACCCACUAAGUCUAGGUUAUUGAAAAGUUUAUGUGUAAAGAACUAAAUGGCUAAAUAGGUCAAACCAUAAGUGUUCCAUCCCAAUUUAUCAAAAGAAAAAAUUUUACCUUUCACGGAAAACAUGCAAAAACAGCGACAAUGGAUAAGCAAAAUAGAACCAAUAUAUGUUCCUUUCCCCCUACUUGUUUUACAUUGUCCCUAAUGUAAUUUGAAUUGAAUUAAAUGAUAAAAAGUAAAGGUAAGUAGGGAAAGGAAAAAGAAACUCCCCAUGUAUUUCAACGUCAUGGAGGGUUGCCUCGUAGGUGUGUCCACGGUGUUAAAUAGUGGGUAGGUGGAUUGGGCCUUGGCUGAAAUUAAAAGAAUUUUAUGGGCUGACAUGGGAGAUUUAAUUUUGUCUUGGAAUGUCUCCCAAGUCUUCCCUUAGACAGAACUGAUCCUCGACAUGCAUUUUCAUUUUCCGUUUACCAAAAAUUUUAUUUGCAUAAAGGGAAAAAUUUGGGUUGCCUCCCAACAGCGCUUUGUUUAACGUCGUUAGCUCGCCGAUCUGUUAUUCAAAUUCUGGGCUCCCCAAGAACAAUUGUAAGUGUUGCCAGUCCCCAGCAACAGCGCCAAAACUGAUGGGUGUCGAUUCCACCAAUAUAAUCCUACGCGUAAUUUGCAAAUUUAAGCAGUAUAGGGACUAGGGUCGAUCCCUCAGAGACUGAGUUUACUGCAAAUUGUUGCUCUCUUGACCAGAUUUAUGUCAGGGCAGUUGUCGUGCCCAAGAAGUUCGGGGGGAUAAAAUUUGAAACCUGAAAUAAAUAAAUAAAAUGCGUAAAAAGUAAAAGCUGAAAAUAAAAUAAUAAAAAGCUGUAACACCCCUUACCCGAGACUGUUGCUGGAGUCGAGCACGAGGCAUUACCUGACUUACUUACUAAUUCGGAGCAUAAAAUUUGCUUUUAAAAUUAAUUCAUUCACAAUCAAUCCAUAUGUCCCUAAAAGAACUCUCGAGACCCCAAAAUCAUGUAAUAAAAAUGGUUCGGGUCCAAACCGGGAACAUUUAUAAUUUUCCGAAUACUUAAUCAAAUUAAAACAAUUUAUUUCACUAUUCACAAUAAAACUGUCCACCUGCGCAGCAGUCACUUAUUUAAUUAUAACUCGAGUUACGAAACUCAAAAUUUAGAUUCGUAAAUUUUCCCUGAAACUAGAAUCAUAUAUCUUUUUCACUGUCCAGCCAAUUAGUACAGUUUAUUCUUUAAAUUCUCCCCUGUUUCACUGCUCGACAGCUCUGACCCCUCUUCACUAAAAAUUAAUUAUCUUAUUGUACAGAAUUCAGAUAAUAUUAUCGUUUGUUUCUAUUGAAAAUAAAAUCACUAAGGAAUCUAGGCAUAUAAAUUAUAACUCAUAAUUCCUUCUAUACAAUUUUUAAUGAAUUUUUAAAGUCAGAACAGGGGACUUCAGAAACCAUUCUGACCCUGUCUCACUAAAAUUCAAAUAUCUCAUAAUAUAUAACACUUUUUCUACUCUAUUUCUUUCAUGUGAAAAUAGACUCAUUCAGAUUUAAUUUCCUAUCUCACUCAGGUUCUAAUUCAAUUUAUUCUAUUUUUGGUGAUUUUUCAAAAUCACGUCACUGCUGCUGUCUAAAAACUGUUUCAUUGCAAAUUUUUACUCUCUUUUUUGGUGAUUUUUCAAAAUCUGAAGAAAAAUGAAUUAAACUAAGCUCAGCUUUAGGCACGGGUUUUUCUCGUCUUUGAACCGAUCCUCGAAAUUAGAUGAACUCCUCUUUUCCAAUAAGCUAGUUAUAGCUACCAAGGACUCCUCGGACACCAACUCUUCCUUGUGUAAAUUAGUUAUGGAACGUCCAAUAACUAACACUUACCGGUCGAACAACCAACGAAACGUUCGUGAUUUAGAACUCCGGCAGCUUUGCAUUCUAGAAGAGUCUAGCUCGAACCAAUGCCCUCAACCGCGUGGGACAUUUAAAUCCGGUUACUACUUCCCUUGACGGAACCAAACAGCAAUCCCCACUUGGCACACCAAUGUGUUCACAGAAAACCGAUUAGACAAUCGAUCCUUUCAAAAUUCCAACUAUACGUGUAACCACACUAACUCAAACGACGUUUUUUUUUACUUAGUGUUGAUUUGACUUUGUGAGUUGACGAAGUCAUACUCUUAAUCUGGAGAAAUAAUAAGUACUGGAAUUUAGGAGUCAAAUUGCUCGGGUUCGUAACUCACGGAUCUUGACGAAGUUAACACCGGCCUAAAGCUGAAAUGGAUACUUAAUAAAAAAGAUUGGUAAUUAAAAACUUGAUUAAUGACUUGAUUCAAGACUUGAUUCCUAAAUGAACAAUGUAGCCCCCUAUUUAUACUAGUGGCUUUGCUAAAUUAAGAGCCACUAGCCAUAGAGAAUCAAGGAAAUAAAAUAUCCGAUCAUAUAAAAAUCCCUACAUAAUCUCCCACUAAUUAAGUCAACAAAAAUUUUAGCUAAUUAUAUCUUGGAAAAUUCUGCUUUGGCCUGCCUUCUUUGCUCCUUUCUUUCUUCAAUCUAACCCAAUUGCUUCUCCUUUUUCUCUUUUGACCCCAAAUUGUACACCUGUGUAAAAUUUAAGUUAAACAUGGAAAAAUCAGUGGUGCACUCUCGUAAAUUAACCAAUUUAAUUACAUAAAAUAUGUAAUUUUAGCAUUUAAUUAGUUAUUUAUUAGUUUAGAUUUUUUUCUAUGUUGAAUAUAUUUUAGUAAAUAAUAUUUCAUAUUUAACUCUAAAUUUGUUUUUUUAAUAAUAUACACUAGUUAUUCAAUAUAAAUUAAUGUAUCUAAUAAAAUAUAUUUUAAAAUCUAUAUUUUAAAUAUUUUAAGAUUAGAAACCUAAUUUAAAUUUAUUCAAAAGGACAUUUUAAUUAUUAAGUAAUUUAAUUUUAUAAAUAAUUAUAUAUAUCUAUUUGAACAACAAAUACAUAGUAUAUUUAAAAUAUAAUUAAUUAAUUAAAAAUAUUAUUUUCUAUCAUUGUUUUUAUGUAUCUACUUAAAUUUAAAACUAAAAGGAUGUAUGAUAAUGAAUAAGAAAAAUAAUCAAUUAUUUUAUUGAAAAUAAUUCAACUCUAAUUUAAGAUUAAAUAAAGACAGAUGAAGGCUAUUAUAUUAGAAUUAACUUUUUUUUAGUUUUUAUAUAAUUGGAAUUUACUAAUAUGAAGUAAAAAAAAUGCAUUUUAAUAUUGUAACAUUCAUUUACUUUAUAUCAACAAAAUGUUCAACCUUGAAAACAUUAGUUAUGAUUUUUUUUUUGAUAUAUUUACUCAAAUGAUAAAAAUAUUAAUUGAUGUAAAUAAAUAAAAAAUGAUGCAUUUGCAUUUGGUAAGAUUUAAUUAAACAAUAAAAUGUUUUUUUUAUUCUCAUUGAAUAAUUUACUUAUAAAAAUAAUUGUUUCAAAACAUGAAUAUCAGAUCAUAUCUAAUUACCUACAAUAUGAAAUGAGAAAAUUCAUAAAUUUAUUUACUUCAAUUGAAUAAAUUCAAAAAAAAAAUAAACUAAAUAUUCUUAUAUAAAACAUUUACUUUAUAAUUUUUUAAUAAAUUUCAUAUAAUUAUUUGUAAUUAAAUCUAAUAUAAAUAAAAAGACAAACCCGCAGAGCGGGGUUAUAUCCCUAGUAUAGUAAUAAAAUCAAUGCAAUGGGACCCAACUUUUGGAAGAAGAGAGGAUUUCAAGUUGUCUAUAUAGGCUUUGGUUGAUUGAAAUGCAGGAAGGUAUCAAGUGAGUGGUUUGUUGAUUUAGAGAAGAUGGAGGCUAAAUCGUUGUGGGUACUACUCGCUACACUUGUGUUUAUCAUACAAGGGUGGCCACAGACUGAGGGGUGCUUGGAGCUGGAGAGAAUUGCUCUCUUCCAACUCAAAUCUAAUUUCUUCAAUCACCCUUCAUAUUUGAAGGACUGGGUAGAUGUGAAGGGUUCGAAUUGUUGUCAGUGGGAAAGAAUUGAGUGCAACAUCACCAGUAACCGAGUAAUUGGUCUCUAUCUUUAUUCUGUACGUCAAAGUGAUACAUAUGGGUAUCUCAAUAUCUCUUUAUUUCUUCCAUUUGAAGAAUUAAAGAAUCUUUAUUUGAGUGACAAUAAAAUUACAGGUCUUGUGAAUAACCAAGGUUUAUUGCUUUUCUUCUCUCCAAUGACUGAUUCAUCUUUAAAAUUUGAUUUAAUGUUUUCUAAUUAAUUCGUUUAUUUUACAGAUGAGAAAGUGCAAUCGAUGAUGAAUCUGGAAGUGCUUGAUUUGUCUCGUAAUCUCUUGAAGAACAAUGAUGUGGCAUUUCUUAAGGGGUUAGCUAGUUUAAAGUCCUUGAAUAUGGGAGGAAACCAAUUGGAAGGGUCAAUAGGUAUUACAGGUAUGUAAAAUUUCGUAAAAUAAAAAUAACAAGCUAUACGUAAAUUACAAUUUCAUGAAUCUUUUUAACUAUUAAAAAAUUAUAUCCAAAUAUAUUUCCUUCAUAUAGGUAGUAAAAUAAAGGCAUAAUGAUUUUUUUGACCUUCCAACUUUAUAAAAAAAAAUCAUUUUUAGUCCUUAAUUAAAUUUUUUGUCUAUUUUAGUCUUUACACAUGUUUUUUUUUUCAAAUCACGCCAAAAUAGAUGGUUGGUAAUGUGGCAAACAUGUGGAUUUCCAUGUAACUGACAGAUCAUUUAAUUAAAUUUUUUUAAAAUUUAAGUUUUUUUAAAUUUCUAUUUUUUAAUAGUUUUAAUGAUGUUUAAUUUUUAAAAAUACUUUUUAUAUUUUUUUGAAUUUUUCAGUUUAAAAAAAAAUUAAAUGCUGACGUGUUAUCCACAUGACAAUCCAUGUGUAUGUAAUGUCAACAAAGUUUUAAAAUGUUAAUUUUUUUAUUCACUUUAAGAUAAUUUGACAAAAAAAUACAAGUUUAAGGAUUAAAAACAUGAAAAAUUAAAUGGAAGCAUAAAAUAAUUUUUUUUUAUAAAGUUGAAAGGUUAAAUAAGUUAUUAUGCUUAAAAUAGAAUGUAUUUGAUGACUUUUUUUUAUCAAGGAAAGUAGUUGGAUUUCAUGAACCAAAAUUACUUAAUCUUUGUCAUAUGACUUUGUUUGAGUGACAAAAAAGAUAUUUGAUUGAUUUGAAUAGUAUUGAAUAACUUGACAAAGCUAAAGGAGUUGGAUUUGAGUGGCAAUAAAAUUGAGAGCCUGAAAUCUCCUCACGGUAUGUGUUGAUUUACUUUACUUUCUCAUAUUCUCGCAUAUACAUUCCAAUAUCUCAUUUAAAAUUCUAUUAGUAAUAAAUUUGCUUAUCUAAAUGCUUUGUAGAGGGGCUAGUUAAUUUGACUAAUUUAGAAGAACUUAAUAUGGAUUACAACUACUUCAAAAACAACUCAUUGGCAUAGCUUAGUGGGUUUUCCAAUCUAAAGUUAUUGAGUAUAAGCGAAAACCAGCUUAAAGGAUCAAUAAAUAUUAAAUGUGGAAUUACUUAAUAUAUUUAAUCUUCCUUUAAACAAAGCAAACUAUUUGUUGAAUUAUUGUCUUUAUUAUGUGUGAUUUAAUUUUAAAUUUAAUUUGUCUAUUUUUAUAGAAUUAUUAGAUGCUCUGAGCAAUUUAGAGUCACUGAGAAAAAUAUUUUAAUUUUAAAAAAUGUAUAAAAUUUAUAUAUUAUCUCUUGAAUAAUUUAAAUUAUAAUGAUAUUUUUAAUAUAUUAAAAUUAAUAUAUUAUCACUUUUACUAUUAUAUAAAAAAUUAUAUUAACAUAUAAAAAUCAUUUAUAAAUUAAAAAUUUAUCUCUCUAAUAUAUUAAGUAAUUUAUAAAUUAAAAAAUUUAUAAAAAUUUUGAUGUUGAGAGACUUGGUAAGUGUCCAUAUAUUUUACUUUAUCAAAUUGCUACAUUUAUUAUACUAAUAUCUAAAUGCUUUGUAGAUACAAUUUAAAUCUCAUUAAUUAAUUUUUUAUUAAUAUAUUAUAGUUUUUUAAUUUAAAAAUUCAAUCUAAAUAUUAAAUGUUGUUAUAAGUGUAUAACAAUCACUUAUCUAUAACAUCCAAUAGUGGUUAUACAAAAGUUGACUAUAAGUGAAUUUUUGUGACUAACAAAAAAUGUAUUGAAUUUAUUUGGAUAGUAUUGAAUAAUCUGACAAAGCUAAAGCAGUUGGAUUUGAGUGACAAUAAAAUUUGAGAGCCUCCAAUCAUCUCAUGGUAUGUGUUGAUAUAUUUUACUUUAUCAUAUUCUUACAUAUACAUACCAAUAUCUUAUUUAAUAUUCCAUUAGUAAUAAAUUUGUUUAUCUCAAUGCUUUGUAGAUGGUGAGAGGCCACUUAAUGUAACCAAUUUAGAAGAGCUUAAUUUGGAUUCCAACUCCUUCACAAACAGCUUAUUGGCACAGCUUAGUGGGUUUUCCAAUUUAAAGUCACUAGAUAUAGGGUAUAACCAGCUUAAAGGAUCAAUAAAUAUUAAAGGUGGAAUUACUUAAUAUAUUUAAUCUUCCUUUAAAUGAAAUAAACUACUUGUUGAGUUAUUGCAUUUAUUCUAUGUGAUUUAAUUUUAAAUUUUGUUUGUCAAUUUUUACAGAAUUAUUAGAUGCUUUAGGAAACUUAGAGGAGUUAGACAUGAGCGGGAAUGAGGUGAAGGAAAUUGUGCCCAUAAAGAAUAAAGGUAUAUGUAUCAACUAAAGGAAAUCUUACUAAUUGUUUUCCAUUAGAUAUCAAGUGAACUGAUUCCAACCACUAAUUUGACUCUUAGACAAUGGAAGUUUGGGAAAGCUAAAGGUUGCUACAUUAAACCGUGUGUUCACCGAUGGAACUGCUUCUCUAAUACAACUUCUAGAGACAUUCUCAUCUGUUAAUACAUUAUAUUUGAGUGACAAUUACUUCAACGACACCUUUUCUACUCAAGGUAUAAUAUAUAUGUAUGUGAAUAUAUAGUUUUAUAGUUUGGUUCCAUUUAAAAAUAUUAUUUACUUAACGUCAAUCAUCUAAAUAACUCUUAUAAAUUUGUAAAGAUAAAUUGCAUGUGUCGAGCAAAAUUGAGGAAUUAGUACUAGAUCAAUCAUCUCUCAACAACAACAUUCUUCAAAGUAUUGGUGCAUUGGCUUCUCUUAAAAUUGUCUUUGAGUGGUUGUGGGCUGUCUGGGACAUUACCUACCCAAGGUAAAUUAAUAAUUAUGACAUAAUUAUUUAGACAAGCUCUUGAUUAAUUAUUUUUUAUCCUCCUAGAAUAUUUAAAUAAUUUGUACAAAUUUAUUUUACAGGAUGGUGUGAUUUACGGAAAUUUGAGGUGUUGGAUCUUAGUGAAAAUGCUCUUAAAGGAACCCUCCCUUCAUGUUUGGCUAACUUGUCAUCACUUCAUUAUUUGGAUAUUUCCGGUAAUCAAUUCGUCGGGAAAGGUGCCUCCACUGCCUUAGCCAAUCUCAAUUUGCUUAAAUUCAUUUCUCUUUCACGAAACCUUUUCGAAGUUCCUUCCAUUUUCAUAUCUUUUGCCAACCAUUCACACCUCAAAGUACUCUCCAGCAAUCAAAACAAGUUAGUCGAAGAGCCUACCAUUCCAACAUGGGUCCCAAAGUUCCAACUAAAAGCCUUCCGUUUGUCAAAUUGCACAACAAAGGAACUCCACAUUGAACUUUCGAAAUUCCUCUAUUACCAAAAUAACCUGAGUAUUAUUGAUCUUUCAUAUAAUAAUUUUGAAGGAAAGGUUCCUUUUUGGUUGUUAGAGAACAAUACAAGAAUGGAAGCAUUUUUAAUGACGGGUAACUCUUUUAUGAGUCAUCUCAAUCUUCCAUCUCAUCCGAAUCCAAACAUAUCCUUUGUUGAUAUAUCUGACAACAAAAUACAAGGUCCAAUUCCAACAAACAUUUGUUCAAUCUUUCCACAACUAAAUGGGUUAAACCUAUCAGGCAAUUCCCUUCAAGGUAAUAUUCCUCCUUGUCUGGGUAGUUUGACCACUUGGAAUUUAUUAUUAGAUCUGUCACAUAAUCAGCUAUCUGGAGGAAUACCAGAAAUGUUAGCUCAAAGUGACUCGUUGAGGUUUCUUAGGCUAUCAAAUAAUCAUCUAAGUGGAAAGAUAACCCCAACGAUCUUUUGCUCAACUUCAUUACGAUUGCUAUAUUUAGAUGGCAAUAACUUUGAUGGAAAUAUACCUAGCAUUGUUAUCUCAACUUUCCUUUCAUAUUCCCUUGUUGAUAUGGAUUUAAGUAACCACAAUUUGUCCGGAGAGCUCCCAAGAUGGAUAUGGAAAGUGUCAAAUUUAAAUGCAUUGUCAGUAUCCAACAAUCAGCUCAAGGGUCUCAUUCCGAUGGAAUUGUGCUAUUUGGAUUCCCUUAAAAUUUUAGACCUUUCAGAAAAUAAAUUUUCUGGCCUAAUACCAUCUUGCUUCGAUGCACAAUCUAUCAUGCAUCUCCAUUUGAGCAAAAAUAGAUUAAGUGGCACCUUGACAAAUGCAUUCUUUAAUAGCUCUUCCUUGGUGACUUUAGAUCUUAGUGAAAAUCAGCUGAGUGGAGAAAUUCCAUACCAGAUUGGAACUCUUUCUGCUUUGAGUGUUCUACUUCUAAAAGCCAAUUAUUUUAUUGGAGAAAUUCCCAUUGAGAUAUGUAAAUUGUAUUCUUUAAGUAUCAUUGAUCUUUCUCAAAACAAGCUUUUUGGUCUGAUACCUUCUUGUUUGAGUCGUUUAACUCUUGAUCCAAAUGAUGAAAAAUCUUCAACAAAGACCUAUGUGGAGGGCUCUGGAGGAAUCUUUGAGCCGGGUAAUUACUUUGGAGUGACUGAAUUUGAAUUUUUCACUUUAAGAGGAUACUGAUGAAGUUGGUUCAGCAUGCAGCAAACUCAACAGCAUGCAGGCCAUGAAGACCAAGUCGUGCAGGAGCUGCUGGAACGAGCUGAACUAUUCCUAUUUUGUUCAUCUAGUAAUCUUAAGUUAAUGUAUUGUACUUUAGUUCAUUUAGAACUAUGUUAGGUUUAUGAUUGAUGUAAUUUUGAUGACAAUUGAGCUGUUAAGUCAGCUUUGUUUAAGUGUGUAAGCUUAGUUUUUCAAGUUUCAAUGUAUUAGUGGUAGUAUGUGAUGAUUAGGUAUCAUUAUGCAGAUUUUGACAAGCAAAUUGCUUGGUUUAUGUAUUGGCAUUAUGCCAUUGUUCAAUAUAUGGAUGAAAUCAGCUUUGUUCAUCAAUAUUCUCUCAAAUUUCCUCAGCUUAUUUUCUUCUUUCUUCAACUCGAAAUUGUUUGUUUGCUCAGCAAGAUUCGAGGCUUGCUCGACAAGAUACUUGCUGAGUCUGUUUGAUUCUGCUGUUGCACCAACAAUUGGUAUCUAGAGCUUAUUUCUUAAGGGACCUGUUAUACAAAUCCAUGGCUUCAUCAAGCUUUUCACCAGCUGCACCUCAAGUCUUCAAUGGGGAAGGCUAUCACAUAUGGGUGGUCAAAAUGAAGACCUACCUGCAGGCUUUCGAUCUGUGGGAGGUGGUCAACUCUGAUGUUGAACCAGAGCCACUUAGAGCUAAUCCAACGGUGGCUCAGAUCAGGCAGCAUGCUGAUGAAAGGACCAAGAGGCACAAGGCUAUGUCUUGCAUCCAAAACUCAGUGUCUGAUGUGAUUUUCACAAGGAUUAUGGCCUGUGAAUCACCAAAACAGGCCUGGGACAAGUUGCAGGAAGAGUUUCAAGGGACUGAGAGGACAAGGCAACAACAGUUGUUAAACUUGAGGAGAGAUUUCGAGAAUUUGAAGAUGAAGGAAGAAGAAACUGUCAAGCAAUAUUCUGACAGGAUUAUGGCUGUGGUUAACAGCAUCAGGCUCCUUGGAGAGCAGUUCAAUGAAGCUAGGAUAGUGGAGAAGGUUAUAGCAACUCUGCCUGAGAGGUAUGAGGCAAAAAUCUCAUCUCUCGAGGACUCAAGGGACCUGUCCACCAUCUCCCUGACAGAGUUGAUCAAUGCUCUAUAUGCUCAAGAGCAGAGGAGAGCAAGCAGACUGGAGGAGCACCAAGAAGGUGCCUUUCAGGCAAGAACAAAUACUACCUACAAAGGCAAGAAGGCCUGGAGAGACAAGCCAAAGGAUAAUGCUGCAAGAAGAGAAGGUCAGACUUGCAAGCACUGCAGAAAGGCUAGUCAUUCAGAAGAAAAAUGCUGGUUUAAUCCAGAUGCUGUGUGUCAGCAUUGUAAGAAAAAGGGUCAUGUUGAGAGAGUCUGUAAGAGCAAGGCCAAAUCAAGGCGCAAUCAGUCUCAACAGAUGAAAGCUGAGGCUCGAGUAGCUAAAGAGGACAGUGACCAAGAGGAGCAAGUCUUUACUGUGUCAUGCUCAGCUGCUCAGGAAAGGUCCUCAUCUGGUUGGCUCCUAGACAGUGGAUGCACCAACCACAUGACACCUGAUGCUGCAAUCUUUAAGUCUUUAGACAGAAGCUGCAGAACUAAAGUCAAGAUAGGAAAUGGUCAUUUUAUUCAAGCUGAAGGCAAGGGUGAUGUUCUGAUAUGCACCCUUACAGGUACCAAAGUGAUUUCAAAUAUGCUGUUGGUGCCUGAAAUUGACAGAAACCUGCUCAGCAUAGCUCAGUUGCUGGAAAAAGGUUACUCAGUUGUGUUUAAAGACCACCAAUGCCAAAUCAGUGAUCCAAGUGGAUCCAAACUGAUGGCAGUCCCUAUGGCUGAUAAGAGCUUUGUGGUUGACUGGACAAAAAAGUCAGACAUUGCCUACACAGCCACUUCAGAUGAAUCCAAGCUGUGGCAUCAAAGACUGGGACAUGCCAACUUCAGAUCGAUGGCCCGAAUGAUCAGAGAAGACCUGGCUGAAAACUUCAUCAACUCAGUAGACCAUGAUGAUGUAUGUGAAGUAUGUCAGCUAGGAAAGCAGGCCAGACUCCCAUUUCCCUCGAAUCAAGCCUGAAGAGCCUCUGAAAAACUCCAACUGGUGCAUACUGAUGUGUGUGGACCUAUGAAGACUGAGUCAUUGAGUGGAAACAGGUAUUUCAUACUGUUCAUUGAUGAUUUCUCGAGAUAUUGCUGGAUUUACUUCUUAAAACAGAAAUCAGAGGUGGCCACUGUGUUUUGGAAGUUCAAAACUGCUGCUGAGACUAAAACAGGCUGCAGGGUGAAGACCAUAAGGUCUGAUAAUGGGACUGAGUACACCUCAGCUCAGUUCCAAGCCUUCUGUGAUAAGGCAGGCAUCAAACAUCAACUUACCAACACAUAUACACCUCAGCAGAAUGGGGUAAGUGAAAGGAAGAAUAGGAGUUUGAUGGAUAUGGCCAGGUGCUUGAUGAUUCAGAAGAAUCUGCCUAAAGCACUAUGGGCAGAAGCAGUUAACACUGCAACAUACAUUCAAAAUAGACUUCCAACCAGGGCUUUGGAUCAAAAGACCCCAUUCGAGGCCUGGUUUAGCUUCAAGCCAUCACUGGCUCAUCUGAAGGUCUUUGGAUGCAUCUGUUAUGCACAUGUACCUGCUGUUAAAAGGGACAAAUUGUCUGAAAGGGCUCGACCUGGUGUUUUGGUGGGCUAUAGCACUGUUAAGAAGGGCUAUAGGAUUUUAGAUCCUUCAACAAACAAAGUGUCAGUAAGCAGGGAUGUGGUAUUUGAUGAGAGGUCAUGUUGGAACUGGGAAAGACAUGAACCUGAAGAAGUUUUUGAAGAACUUGCAACAGACCAAGCUGAGCCAGACCAAGAUGUCCCUGAAAUGGAUAUUGAUGAUGAACCAGUCAGAGGAACAAGGCCAUUGGCUGAAAUUUAUGAAAGGGCUCAUGUAGCCAUAGCUGAACCAAGCAACUUUGAAGAGGCUGAGGCUCAGAAAGGGUGGAAGCAGGCAAUGGCUGAGGAGAUCAGCAUGAUUGAGAAGAACCACACCUGGAAAUUGGUUGAAAGGCCAGUCAAAAGGAAAGUGAUUGGGGUGAAAUGGGUGUACAAAGCCAAGCAGAAUGCUGAUGGUACCUUGAACAAGCUGAAAGCAAGGCUAGUUGUCAAGGGGUUCAGUCAGAGGUAUGGCUUGGACUACCUGGAGACCUUUGCACCAGUGGCCAGGCUCGACACCAUCAGACUGCUGAUUGCCUUAGCAGCACAGCUUGAAUGGAAGAUCCAUCAACUUGAUGUGAAAUCAGCUUUUCUGAAUGGUUUCUUAGAUGAAGACAUCUAUGUUGAACAACCACAAGGGUUUGAAAUAGCUGGCAGAGAGCAUAUGGUCUACAAACUGAAGAAGGCCCUAUAUGGAUUAAAGCAGGCUCCAAGGGCCUGGUAUAGCAGAAUUGAUGGCUACUUGACUGAUCUAGGAUUCGAUCGAAGCAAGAGUGAGCCAACACUGUAUGUCAAGAAACAAGGGACACAAAUACAACUCAUUGUGUCCCUGUAUGUUGAUGAUCUUCUGGUGACAGGAGGAGAUCGAGUAGUGCUGGCUGAUUUUAAGACCAAGAUGCAGGAAGUGUUUGAAAUGUCUGAUCUUGGGGAGAUGUCAUACUUUCUUGGAAUGGAGGUGUCUCAAGUACAGAAUGAGAUAUUUCUAAGCCAGAGAAGCUUUGCCACAAAGAUUCUGACCAAGUUCUCCAUGCAAAACAGCAAGGCAACUAAAACACCUGUUGCUGUUGGAGAAAAACUAUCGAGCCAAGGUGAUUUUAAGAAAGUUUCUGAAACAACCUACAGGAGUCUAGUUGGUUGCUUGCUAUACUUGACUGCCACUAGACCAGACAUUAUGUAUGCUGUAGGAUUGCUCUCAAGGUUCUUGCAUUGCUGCAAUGAGAAGCAUUUCCAAGCUGCAAAGAGAGUGCUGAGAUAUGUCAAAGGCACUUUAAACUAUGGUUUGAAGUACAGCAAAGAAGGAAAUCUGAAGCUGGUUGGCUACACUGAUAGUGACUGGGCUGGCUCAAUAGAUGACAUGAAAAGCACCUCAGGGUAUGCUUUUAACCUUGGUUCAGCCAUGUUUUGUUGGAGCUCAAAGAAGCAAAGUCUAGUAGCUCAAUCUACUGCUGAAGCAGAGUAUGUGGCAACAGCAAGUGCUGUCAACCAAGCCAUAUGGCUAAGAAAAAUAUUGGCUGACUUGAAUGUGCAUCAAGAGGAAGCUACUGAGAUCUUCUGUGACAACCAAUCUGCAGUAGCAAUUGCUAAAAAUCCAGUGUUCCAUGGAAGAACAAAACAUUUCAGCAUCAAGUUGCAUGUUGUUCGAGAAAUGGAGCAAGCUCAGGAAGUAAAGCUGAUCUACUGUAAUUCAGAAGAUCAACUUGCUGACAUUUUAACCAAAGCUCUUAGUGUCACAAGGUUUGAAUAUCUAAGAAAGAAGCUAGGUGUUUGCUCCAUGCAAACCAAGGAGGAGUGAUGAAGUUGGUUCAGCAUGCAGCAAACUCAACAGCAUGCAGGCCAUGAAGACCAAGUCGUGCAAGAGCUGCUGGAACGAGCUGAACUAUUCCUAUUUUGCUCAUCUAGUAAUCUUAAGUUAAUGUAUUGUACUUUAGUUCAUUUAGAACUAUGUUAGGUUUAUGAUUGAUGUAAUUUUGAUGACAAUUGAGCUGUUAAGUCAGCUUUGUUUAAGUGUGUAAGCUUAGUUUUUCAAGUUUCAAUGUAUUAGUGGUAGUAGGUGAUGAUUAGGUAUCAUUAUGCAGAUUUUGACAAGCAAAUUGCUUGGUUUAUGUAUUGGCAUUAUGCCAUUGUUCAAUAUAUGAAUGAAAUCAGCUUUGUUCAUCAAUAUUCUCUCAAAUUUCCUCAGCUUAUUUUCUUCUUUCUUCAACUCGAAAUUGUUUGUUUGCUCAGCAAGAUUCGAGGCUUGCUCGACAAGAUACUUGCUGAGUCUGUUUGAUUCUGCUGUUGCACCAACAGAUACGAGUCAUUAGAUGUAGAUUUCGAAAUUGAGAAUCAAAUGGAAGAAAAGGUGGAUUAUACAACAAAAAGAGCAUCUUACACAUACAAGGGAAACAUUCUUAAAUACAUAUCGGGAAUUGAUUUAUCAUGUAAUAGAUUAACAGGUGAAAUUCCCAGAGAGAUUGGAAAUUUGAGUGAAAUCCGAUCACUAAACUUGUCGCACAACAAUUUGACUGGACAUAUACCGUCAACGUUCUCAAAGCUCAAGCAAAUUGAGAGUUUGGACCUGUCUCACAACAACUUAAUUGGAAGAAUCCCUGUUCAAUUGACGAAGUUGUACGCCUUAGCAAUCUUCAAUGUGUCAUACAACAACUUGUCAGGGAGUAUUCCGUCUCCAAAAGCUCAAUUUGGAACCUUCGACGAAAGCAGUUACGUGGCGAAUCCUUUCCUCUGCGGGUCUCCCCUGCAUAAAAAUUGUAGCGACCUUGAUUCACCCCCGACAGCAGCACCAAAGAGCUCAAACGAGGAAGAAGAAAGUGGUUUGAUGGACAAGUAUGUUUUCUGGGUGACCUUUUUUGUUUCUUACGUGAUUGUGUUACUGGUUAUUGUUCUCAUCCUGUAUAUAAAUCCUCAUUGGCGACAAGCAUGGUUUUCUUUUGUUGAACACUGCAUCAAGACCUGCCAAUAUUUUAUUGAGGACAAUCUUUUGUGAUUUUCCAUCUUCAAAAGGAGUGGGUAGCCUUGUACUCUGGUGGUUUACAUUUGUAUGUAAUUUUCAUCACUCUUUUUUUUUUUCAAAGUUUGAUUGGAUUAUCUGCUAGCUUCUAAGUUUUUAGAGCUAGAAUGCAAUAUAUCUGUUAUGUAAAGCAAUAUAUAAUGUAAUACCCAAUUUUAGACUGGGCUCACAAAAAAAAUAAUAAACCUAAAAUAAUAAAAUAAAGUCUAAGUCCAGUACAAAAUUAUAUCAUUUGGCCCGAUCGGAAUUGCCCAUUACUUGAAAAGGUUGAAAGUCCAUCUAUAAGCUUAUGGAAACAUAUUCUUCAAAGAUAUGCAAUCUUAGAUAUGAUAUGCAAUCUUAGAAGAUAUAAUUUUGUAAUAUUAGAGAUUUAAUUUGUAGAUACCCUUUAAUCUUAGCCGUUGAUGUAAUUGAUCUGUACCGUUGGAUUUGGGGAGGCUCAACUAUAAAUAGAGGCCUCUCCCUUCAUUAUAAAAAAAAGGGGGUAAUAAUAAUUCUUAAGAGUAUUCACUCAAAUUUCUCUCUCUCUUGCAUUCUUAUUUUCUUUGGCUUGUUCUUAUUUUGUUGAUUUGUGUAUAAUUUAUUUAUUGAUUUGUAUAUUGUUGAUUUCAAAUCUCUUUUUCCCUUAUUAUUCAUUUUCAAAUUCAUUAUUUUCAAAAUUGUUUACAUUUUAUUUUACCUUAUAUUUUUUAUUUUAUACUCUUUGUUUUAAAUUCAUUGGUCUUUGAUUAUUGAUGUUAUUUGAUCAUCUAUUUGUUAUUUUAGUUUUUUUAUUAUUAAAUUAAUUAUUUUAAUAUUAUUAAACUAUUAUGUGGCAUCAUUAAUCUUGUAUCAUAUAUAGUAUACAUAUACUUGUAUAUAUUUUAUACAUAGGUUUUUUAUUUUUAUUUCCUAACUUUUAUAUACAUAUAUAUAUACUUUUAUGUUUUAGUUUCAAUUUUUUUUUACUUUGAUAAAUAUGUAUAUACGUAUGUUUUCUUAUAUUAUUCUUCAUAAUUUUUUUAUUUUUUUGAUUAAUUAAUUUCAAUAUAUGUAAUUAUUUUUUUUAAAUUAUCCUUUUUUAUAAUCUAUAUAUAUGUAUAUAAUUAUUAUAUAUAUAUAUAUGUACAUGUAUAUAUUUAUUUUUUAAUGAAUAUUUUCAUAUUUAUAUGUAUAUAUUUGUGUUUUUUUUAAAUGAUUAAAUGCUUACUUAUUUUUUAAAACACGCCUAUUUUUUAUUAUUUUAUAUAUAUACGUAUAAUUAUAUAUAUUUUUUAUUUUCAUAAAUACAUUAUAUAUUUUGUUAUAUAAAUUCUAUAACUCUAGAUUUCAUAUGUAAAUCCAUGUGCAUAUUUUUUUAUUCUUCAUAGGUUCAAUGUAUAUAUUAUGCAUUUUCUUUUCUUUAUAUGUUUUUUGCUUAUUUCAUUCAUUUGUUUAUCAAUUUAUCUUUUUAUAUUUUUUAUUUUGCUCAUUUAUUUGAUAUUUUGCAUGUCAUUAUUUAUUUAUUUAUUUAUUUAUUCAUAUUAUUUCUAUAUAAUUGUUGUAUUUACUAUUGAUAUUUGUUAAAGAGGCAUUUAUUCAUACAUUCAAUAUAACAUUACAUCAUCCUUUUACUCAAAUUUAAAAAUGGAACUUUUCAAAAUAGAGAUAAUACUCGUAUUUAGGAUUUUCAAGAAAAUUGAGCCCUAACGUAUUGGGUUCCGAUUUUCUUCGUUAAAUCUAACAAUCGAGAUUUACUCUUUGAUCAAAAAUAAAAUGGCUUGUUGUUGGGAAUUUAAUGUGUUGUAUCCUAACGCAUUGGAUGUGACGUAUUGAUUUCUCGAGACAAAGAUUUUUAAAAAAUAUAUAUAUAUAUUAAUAAAGGAAAUAUUCAAUGUUUGGGAUGUUGAGAAAUUGUGCCCUAACGUAUUGGGCUGCGGUUUCGUCAUAAAUCUUAAACAAUUGAAUAUUCUUUUAAAUUUUAUCACACAAAUCUUUGGACAAACUCAUUUUGAAAAAAUAAAAUAUCGUGCCCUAAUGUAUUGGGUGUGAUAUUUUCUGUUUCAAAAUGAGGGCGUCUUAAUAAAUAAUUUAAUUUAAUUAAGGAUCGUAUUUUUCAACUCUCGACAUUAAGACAUUAAUUAAUCAACUUGGUACCAAUUUUUGGGCGUUACGGGGGUGCUAAUCCUUCCUCGUACGUAACUGACUUCCAAACCCGUUUUUCUAAAACUCGUAGACCAAAGUCGUUUUAGGUGGUCCAAUCACACCUUAAUAAAAGAUUGGUGGCGACUCCAAUUUUCAUCGACAACUAAUUUUUAUUUUUUUUUAAAUAAAAAAGGUUUCGACAGAUAAAGUUAUGCAUUUUUAAUUAAAACAUUUAAUAAUGUUUUAUAAUUUUUAGUGUACUGAUAAUAUGAUGUUAAAUUCAACAUAUUGUAGCAUAUAUAUAUUAAUAUAACCUAUAUUCAUCUAUACAAAUUUUUUAGUCAACCAAACCAUUGAUGUGGUGGCAAAAACUUCACAUUGUUUUCAAGUCUUCAUUGACAUUAGGUUGAGGUUUCAAACCCUAGCGUAAAAGAGGGGGGAGAGGGGUUGUCUGAACCAAAACUUCAUUUCAACAGAUAUCCUUUACCCACUAAAUCAUAUGCUCAACUGAAACUUUUAUAUAUAUAUAUAUAUCAAACAUGAAUGAUAUAAAUAGUCUUUAAAUUUUUAAAUGAUAUAAAUAUAUAUAUAUUUUUAAAAUGAACAAAAUUAUAAUAAUUAAUAUGUAGUUUCACUAUUUUAUUUAAACUCAAAAUAAUAAUAUUUAAAAAUUGAGUUUACGUGAUAUUUAUUUACUUUAAAAUUAAUAAAAUGUAAAUAUAAACUUUAUUUUAUUUUAUUUAUAUUCAAAUUUAAUAAAUGUUUAUCUAAUUUAUUUAAAUUUAAAUAAAUUAAAUAAAUGAGCACACAAUUAUUUUAGAGAAAGUGACUCUUUUUUAAUGAUGAGAUGUUAGAAGAUUUACCAUAUGUGUAAUGUGGAGACAAUAACCCUAAUAUGUAACUUUUGCACAAUAACCUUAAUUUAUAAUUAGUGAAUCAUCAAUUAAAAAUUAAUUACUUGAGUAUAUACACUUGUCCAACCAUAUUUUAUUUAAUAAGUGUCAUGGAUCAUGGGUCAAACAAGUGUCACAAUAAUCAGAGUAAUACCUGCAAAAAUUGAAUCCAAAUAAACAUAUCCAUAAAUUGUUAAUGAAACUUUGUUCGCAGCGAGAACGUUAGUUAAGGUUGGACGAAUUUAUAUGUUUUUUGUCUUUUUGUUAAAAUAAGUAUAAAACAUAUAAAAAAAUACAUUAUGAAUGUUCAUUUUUUUAAUAGUUCAAAAAAAUAUAUUAUAUAUAAUAUAUAUUACUGUUUUGCCUUGCUCCUCAAAGAAAAUGGAAACAAUCGUAAGCUUAUGGCAUCAUUAGAAACACCAUUAAUCUUGAUGUGUCGCAAAUCUCUAGAAAGUUAGCCAAAUGAGCAUUCAGAUCUUUAUCUUGCAACCUAUCAAACUGAAUAUAUUGUUGUACCAUCUGAAUUGUGUUCGACUUUAGCUCAAAAUUGUUUAUAGCAAUAGUCAAUCUGACAAUACUCGAUUCAACCCCAAUCAGAAUAGACUUAGCAUAAUCAUACAUAGUCUGAAGAGUAGGAGCUGCAGGAAGCUAUUGAUUAUUUUUAUGAUCAUCCAUCUCCACAGUAAUAUCCUUUUCCUCUCGAUCAUUUACUAAAAUCUAUUUAUCUUGCCUUUUUCUUUUCUAACCUCUCUAAGAUUUCUGCGAGCAGUCUUUUCAACUUCACUAUAAAAAAUUAAUGGUUCUGACGAGUUUCCUCUAGUCCUAAACCAACAUAACCUAUCAUAAUCAAACAAACGAAAAAUUAGAAUGUAAAAAUUACAUUAAAAACAAAAAUAUCAAAAUAAAAAUAAAAAUAAAAAUAGCUAAAUUAAUAGAAAUAAACUUUUCCUAAUAUUUUAGUCCCCCGGCAAUGGCGCUAAAAACAUGAUGCAGUCCUAAACCAACUAAAAAUCUGACUAAGGCAAGUGUACCUAUCAAUUAAUUGUAUAGUUACGAUGAACAAAUAAACCGUUCCCACGAAGAGUAAAAGUACUAGUAAUUACUGUCUUUCUAUUAUUUAAUCGAUAAAUUCGAGUAAUUGAUUAAAACUAAAAUUAUUUAAAUUAAUUAACUAUGAAUGUGACAAAUAAUAAAUCAGGAAAAUAACUGAAUAAUAACCAAGAAGCAAAACAAUACCUAGGAAAGAAUUCACCUAGAUUUGAUCUGUCAUUAUCAAUCUAAAUUCCACAAUUUCUUUACUUAGGAUCUUGAUUCAUAGAAAUCCCUAAAUCAUGCUAAUAUCUCUCUUCAAGAAUAAGAGCAACUAACUUUAGGUUGAUUAAUUGAAAUUUCUUUCUAAUUAAAACCCCUAUUAUCGUAUUAAAUCGCUUUAUGGAUUCCCCCAUUACAUUUGACUCUAAUCCGAUAGAUUUAUGUCAUCCUAUUUCUAAGAUUGCAUGCAACUCCACUCAAUUACGCUAGAUCUAUUCUUAAACAAGGUCUAUUUCUCCUCUGAUUUAAGCACAACAAACAUGGAUCAACAAUCUAGAAAUAUUAAACCAAGAGUAAAACACACAUAAUUGAGAGCAAGAUCUAAGUAUUUAUUGUGUAAAAAUAGAAAUCAAAUAAUAUAAUUCAUCCUAAGGUUCAUCUCUCUAGGUAUUUGGAAAAUUAGUUCAUGCUUGCAAAUAAAAACAUCCCAAAGACAAUAUUACCGAAAGAAAUAAAGAAGCUCAUGAUAAUCUCCUAAGAAAUCAACUGCUUGUCUUCAAUCUUGACUAAAAUUUGCUUCAGAAUCGGCUUCAAUGGUGUUUUUCGAGUUGUUUUAUUGAGUAUUCUAUGACGGCUCUCUCCCCUCUUCUUAUAUUUGUCAUAUAUAGGUCUUAGAAUACCCGAAAAACCUAAACAAAAGUGUUUUUCUGUAGGUUUGGAAUGUGACUCGUGAUUUCCACGCAGUCUCCCACAUGACCGUGUAGAAGCCCAUGUGGCCACACGGUCGUGUGUCCAGCCCGUGUGGCUCCUGAAACUUAUUCCAAUUUUCGCUUAUUUUUCGCUCCUUUUGCUCUCAAAUGCUACUAAGUAUAGAAACAUGAAUUUAAAGGAUUAGGAGCAUAAAAUUCAUCAUUUUAAAUCGAAUAAUAAUCCAAAAAUACAUUAAGAAUGAGGCUAAAACAUGUUACUUUUGGCAUUUAUUAAUUUUGCCAACACCCAAAAUAGUUGCUUAAAGGUACAAAUUUAAACAACCCAAAAAAAGGGUCAGUGUAAUCCAAAAACCGUUGUGUUGGGCUUUUCAUAUGACAACACUUUUAUAUAGUUGGGAAAUGUAUAACAAAAGUUGGCAUAGUGUUGGAUAAAACUGAUUCUUAUUUAAACGUUGCUUUAGGCAUGCAUGUCCCAACCUUUAUACAAAGAGUUGGCCAAAGCGUAUGUCGACCAGACUAUCCUAACACUUAGGAAAGUGUCAGCUUAGUGUUGGACAAACUCGAAUCUUAUUUAAGUGUUGCCUUAGGAAUGCAUAUCUCAAACCUUAUACAAAGAUUUGGCCAAAGCGUAUGCCGGCAAGUCUAUUUAUUAGCUCAAUAGAUCAAAUAGAAAUUGCUAAGAGGGGUGAAGUAGCAUUUAAAAAAAUGUGAAAGCUAGAAAGAAAAUUGAAAGAUGAACACAAUAAUUUAGAAUGGUUUAGCCUCAAUUGCCUACUCCACUACCUUAACUUUCCACAACUAAGGAUUUUUCCCAAAUUCGCUAAAUUGAUAACCUUUAAGGAUAAGGUUUAACCUUACAACUCUCUUAAAAUUUUUGUAACACCCCAAACCCAAUCUAGACGUUAUGGCCGAAUCUAGCUUUGUCACAUGGAAUGGGAUUUGAAACAUCUUUGUUUCGAUGAAAACAUUUUAUGUUAUUAUCUUUAGUAAACCUUUGUUAGAACUUAGGAAGUCGUCUUUAUUCAUUUAAAACAUUUGUUUUGAAACAUACCUCGUUGCGGAAGCUUUAAUAAAAUAGUCUAAGUGAUCAUGCGUUUAGAAAAUACUUUUAACUUUUUAAAAACUGAAUUUCCUAUGAACAGUAGGUAUAAAUCCAUAAAGUAAAAUAAAUAAAUAAAAACCAAAAUUUAAAACCAAAGUCCCAGAGGUUUCUUAAAUUACAACCCAAAUAAUCAAUAAUAAUCAAAUCAUAAAUCGUAAAUUGAAAACCAUGAAGUCCAAAUAUUUCUGUGGUCACCGCUAAGUCCUCCGUCGCACCGAUCCGUCUAGGUCUGGGGAUUACCUGUACACAUUAAACAAAAAAAACGGAGUUUACGUAAACUCAUGUGUAAUCUCGUAGAAACAAACAAACAAUCAGUAUUCACAGUGCAUAGUUGAACAGUCUUGGGCCUUAGCCUAUCUCAGUACAGUGUUAAAAAUGCAGUAGGUCUUUAGCCCAUCACAGUAUCAGUAGCAAUAACAAUUAUGCAGUAGCAAAAUCCUACCCAACCAGCCUCUACAUACCAUCUCCAUCCAACCCUACACUCCAUGUGGGGAUAUAAUCAACCCACCCAUCCCUUUUUAAUAUAACCCAUGCUAACUAAAUAUUCAUUUAUGUUUUUAGUAUUUACUUAUAUGUUCAUUCAAAGCUGUCUACUUGAGUCAUUGUCACUAAAUUAUUUAUAUAUUUAGCUACAGAAUUCCAAAUUAAGAUCCACUUGAUGUUUUCAAAACUAGACUCAAAUACCUUUCUACCAUAAAAUUUUCAGAAUUUAUAGCCUAUCAAAUAACUACAGUAAAAUCUUCAAAAUUAUCCCUAUUCUAUUGUUUGACAGCUUCAACCUUUCCUUACUAAAAAUUAUUUAUCUCUGAAUACGAAAUUUGGAUGAUGUUUCCAUUUGUUUCUCUUGAAAGUAGACUCAUUAAGGAUUUAAAUGUAUAAAUUUAAGCCCCUAAUUAAUUUUUUACAAUUUUUGAUGAUUUUCCAAAUUUAAAAUAGGAGAACCCUAAAUCAUUCUGACCUUGUCUCACAAAAUUCAUUAUAUCUCCUAAUUUAAAAUUCCAUUGCUUACAUUGUUUCUUCCGUGAAAAACUAGACUUAAUAAAAUUUCAUAUUUUAUUCAACCUUUAACUCAAUUUCCACUAGUUUUGAUGAUUUUUCAAAGUUAGACUACUGCUGCUGUCUAAAACUAUUUUAGUGAAAAAUGUUGAUUUCCAAGUUUAUAAUACCCUUAUUUCCUUUCUCUACAAUUUUUUGCAUCAUUUUCUCUUAUUUCUCGACAGUAAGCAAUUUUGGCUUUUCACUGAAUCCCAUUUUCUGCAUUUUGGGUACACAUCUAGUUUCGUUUGAUGCUAAAACAGUCCCCAAGCACUAUAAAGCCUAUAAUUGAACAAAUAACACUAAUUUAAUCUUACAUAGUGAUCCCAAAUUGAACUCGUAUCGAGGUUUUAAUCCAUAAGCGACUAAACCUUACCUUCAACUGAUGAACAAUAAUUCCUACACAAACUAAGACUCCGAUUGGUGAUUACGACCCUUGAAUCCUCCCUUAAUUGGCACAAACAAAACACUUUAGAAGAAAGUUAAAAAACAAAGACAAAUCACUUAUCUAAAACUUACCAAACGAUCAUAGACAAACGUGGAACGACACGAGGCAGAGUGGGAAAAGAAAAAUCAAGAAGAUGAAGGGUGAAAGAGAGCAGAAAUUCGACAGCAAUGAAGAGAAAAACGGCAAGAGGGUGGAGGGGUUUGGGGAAAGUAAAAAAAAAAAGAAAAAAAAAUGAAAAAAAUAUUUGAUAAUCACCCCAAUCCCUUAUUUCUCUCCAUCAAACUCCCCAAUAAAUCAACUACUCAGAUUUUUAGUCAAUCUCAAACUCUCCUAGACAUACGAGCAAAACUAAUACCCACGCCAAGAUUCGAACAUAGGACCUCCUUCACACCAACACUCCACUUAUCCACUAGACCAGCAAGCCAAUUCUAUUAAUUAUUUGCCAACUUUUACUUAAAAGCCUACUGACCAAAUAUAGAGCUUAUUCAUAAAAAGGCCAAAAUUUGCCCAAGUCCUGACUUGAACUUGUGACCUCCUAAACACACCCAGAACACAUAAUCACUAAAGCAGACAGAUAUUUUGUGUCACACAUUCACAAUACCCAAAAUUAAAAUUUUGGGGUGUUACAAUUUCUAUCUCAAAUCUUAAGACACAAACCUUCGCAAGGAAAUACAAAUAAGCAAAUAAAGAAAUAAUCCUUACAAAAUCAAAGUGUUUGUAAAUUAAGCUCAAAUAAAAUGAAAUACACUUGAGCAAAAGAAUAGGAGUAAAGCUCACAAGUGUAUGAAAAAGAAAUAUGGAAAUAGUAAACUCAAAGGUUGUUUGAUUGAUGAUUUUUUUGCUUGAAAGUGAUUUCUUGUUGUUGUAGAAACUUAAGAAGUUAGUAUUUAUACCCCCUAAUUGAUUUCCAACCAUUGAGGUUGUUGGUGACAUGAAUAAAACCAUUGGGAUGUAAAAAUCAGAGCAUUUAAUUCACCUGCAACAUCGAGUCUUGAUACUAUAUAAAAGGGUUUCGAUAAUUUUUGCUAUAAAUGCUAAAUUCAAUGAUCGUUGGAGUUUUGUUAUCGAUACCAAAAAAAAAGUUUAUCGAUACUUGUAAAAAGGUAUUGAUACUGUAUCGAUACUUUGUAAGUUUUGUAAGAAACAAAAUGCUAUUUUAGUAUCGUUUUUAAGAAGGGGUAUUGUAAUAGCCCAAUUUCAAUGAAAUCAGAACAGUGGUUUCGAGACCACAAAUUUGAGAUUAGAAGAAAAUUUAUUUUAAUAUUAUCGUAUGUCUGUAUUAUGAUAGAAAUAUUACAUGAAAAAUUUGAUAAGAAAAUUUUAUCGAUUGAGUGCUUAAUUGUGAAAAGGACUCAUAAAAUGCACAAGUUGAAUUCUAGCAGCUAAAAGGAUUAAAUAGCUAUGGGGUUCAAAAUGUAAGGUCCUUAUAUGGUAAUUAGACCAUAAAUUAAAAGUUAGUAGAUAUUUUGAGAUGACUCAUCCAUAGAAAUUUUAGAAAAAGGUAAGGACUAAAUUGGAAAUUAAAUUAAUUUAAUUAAUUAAAAGAUGAUAAAAGAAAUAUCAUCUUAUUUUAUGUCAUCUUCUUCCUCAAAAUGCAUGGAAACCCUAAGAGAGACAAAGGAAACUAACCAAGCUUGAUUAGGUAUGUUUUCUUGUAACACCCCCACCCCUUAUUCGUCGCCGGAACAGGGUUACAGGGCAUUACUGGACAUUUCAAAUCAAAUACGAGUAAUCACAUAUUUGUUUAACAUAAACAUCACAAAUUAAUCAAAAUGUCCUUUUUAUGAGCCCUCGAGGCCCAAAACAUGAAUUAGAAACAAAUCGGGAGUCAGAGAAUUUUUUGUGAAAUUUCAAAAUUUUUCCUAAGUGUAGGGCUCACACGUCUGUGCAGUUUAGAGAUACGCCCGUAUGAUCCUAAACACGCCCGUGCUUCAGGUCGUGUCCUACCUCGUGUAAUUCUCUGACUUAGAUCACACGGCCAGCCACACGCCCAUGUACAUAGUCCGUGUGCUUAACACGGCUGAGACACACGCCCGUGUCUCUGUGAUGCGGAAACCCAGAUCUAAACACAAGAAGAGAAACACAAAUUAGAAAUAAAAACGAGAAUAAGUAAAAAUUAGUUAAAUAAUAAUAAAAGAAAACAAAUAAAAGAAAAGAUUAAGGAUAGAUUUGCCCUAUAGAACCCUUGGUUAACUUGUAACCAAAAACUUCAAUGAUUGAGCGGCUCCCUACGAAACCCCUAGAAGAAGAACCUCUAGAAACACCGAUGAACGGGAAAGAAAUUUGAAUAUUUGUAACUCUGAAAUACCCUCGAAAGUAACAAACUCCAAACUAAAUAGCAAGAGAAGAAUCACUCUACUCUCAAAAAUUUGCCUCACACAAAUUUGGAAGAAAACAAAAUACUCUUCUUUUUUUAUUAAUCCCCUCAAUGUGUAGAAAGCAAGCCUAUUUAUAGGCAAAUUACAAGAGUAAUUGAAUCCUAAUUAAAACUCUUUCAAGAGUAAUUGAAUCCUAAAAACUCUUUAAAGAGUAAUUGAAUCCUAAUAAAACUCUUUAAAAUUAUCUAAGAAAAUAAAUAAAUAAUAAUCUAACUAAUAAAAUUACUUAACUCAUAAGUGAUGUGUUCCAACCAAUGAGAAUUAAGUAAAUAAUAAUAAUAAUAAGAUACAUAAAAGAUUAAUCCACCAAUUUAUGGGCUUUCACUAUUCCAAGAUUGGUCCAGUGAAUUGCAUUCCCGUAUUUGUCAACGUCACGAACAUGAUGAAUUAAAUUUGUAGUAACAAAGUCUUGGACAAAAGCAUUCAUCUUUGAUUUUAAUUGUCGUGCCUUGCUUCGAGUGAUUGGACCACUAGGAAAAACAACCCUUUGAGUGUCACCUCCUUAACUCGUAUCAUUCUCCCCUUCUUCAAGAAGAUUCGUCCUCGAAUCUGAACCUAUAUCAAAUUCAAAAGGAGAAAGAUCAGAAACAUUGAAAGUAGCACUAACAUUAUACUCACCUGGAAGAUCAAUGCGAUAAACAUUGUCAUUUAUUUUCUCGAGUACUUGGAAUGGUCCAUCUCCUCGUGCAUCAAGUUUAUUCUUUCUCUUAGAAGGAAAUCGUUCCUUCCUCAUAUGCACCCAUACUCAAUCUCCAGGUUCAAAUAAGACUUGCUUUCGCCCUUUAUUAGCUCGAUGUGCAUUGCACUCAUUCUUUUUCUCAAUGGCUUUACGAGCCUUCUCAUGAAUCUCUUUCACUAAAUCAGCUUUCCUUUCACCAUCUAAAUUAGCAAUCUCAUUCAAAGGUAAAGGAAGCAAAUCUAAAACAGUAAGUGGAUUAAAGCCAUAUACAAUCUCAAAAGGAGUAAAACCUGUGGAAGAAUGAACAGAACGAUUAUAAGCAAACUCAACAUAGGGUAUCCAUUCUUCCCAAGAUUUAACAUUCUUACCUAUUAUGGCUCUAAGCAAAGAUCCCAAAACUCGAUUUACCACCUCAGUUUGACCAUCAGUUUGAGGGUGGCAUGUAGUAGAGUAAAGUAGUUUAGUACCUAACUUACCCCAUAACACCUUCCAAAAGUGACUAAGAAAUUUUGCAUCUCUAUCGGAAACGAUAGUCCUUGGGAUUCCAUGUAAUCUCACAACUUCACGGAAAAAUAGAUCGGCAACAUGGGUUACAUCAUCAGUCUUAUGGCAUGGAAUGAAAUGAGCCAUUUUAGAAAAUUGAUCCACAACCACAAAGAUGCUAUCUCGACCACGCUUUGUCCUUGGUAAAACUAUUACAAAAUCCAUUGAAAUGUCAGUCCAAGGUGAACUAGGAACAGGAAGAGGAGUAUAUAGACCAUGAGGCAUCACAGUGGAUUUAGCUUGUUUACAAGUAAUGCAAGUAGAGCAAAUUUUCUCAACAAGUUUUUGCAUGUUAGGCCAAUAAAAAUGCUCAUGUAAAACAUCAUAAGUCUUAGUGACUCCAAAAUGACCCACAAGACCACCACUAUGAGCCUCUCGAACCAACAAUUCUCGCAUUGAACACUUUGGUAAGCAUAGUCUAUUAUUUCAAAAAAGAUAGCCAUCAUGCUUAUAAAAUUUGUGAAAUGCACCAUGUUCACAUGCGUCAUAAAUGCUUGCAAAAUCAGAAUCAGUGGCAUAUAAAUCUUUGAGAUACUCAAAACCUAAUAACUUAGUAUGCAAAGUACUAAGUAAAGUGUACCUCCUUGAUAGAGCAUCAGCCACAAUAUUAUCUUUACCUUUCUUAUACCUUAUAACAUAAGGAAAAGAUUCAAUGAAUUCAACCCACCUCGCAUGUCGCUUGUUCAACUUACCUUGUCCCUUUAAGUGCUUAAGUGAUUCAUGGUCAGUGUGAAUCACAAACUCCUUUGGUAAAAGGUAAUGUUGCCAAACUUCUAAUGCCCUUACCAAGGCAUACAACUCUUUAUCAUAGGUCGAAUAGUUCAAAUGUGCUCCACCAAGUUUCUCACUAAAGUAGGCUAGUGGUUUACUAUCUUGCAUGAGGACAACACCUAUACCUACACCAGAAGCAUCACAUUCAAUCUCAAAGGUCUUUUCAAAAUUAGGUAAAACAAGAAUAGGAGCAUUACACAAUUUAUCUUUAAGUUCAUUAAAUGCUAAUUCUUGCUUAUCUGUCCAAUGAAAAGAUACAUUCUUUUUAAUAAGUGCAGUCAAAGGCGAAGCAAUUGCGGAAAAGUUACGAACAAACCUGCGGUAGAAACCAGCUAACCCAAGGAAAGACCUUACCUCAGAAACAGUUUUAGGGAUAGGCCAUUCUUUAAUUGCCUUUACCUUCUCCUCAUCCACAUGGAUUCUUGUAGAACUUAUCACAAAACCCAAAAAAACAAGCUUAUCCAUACAAAAGGUGCAUUUUUCAAGAUUAGCAAAGAGUCGUUCAUGCCUUAACACAUCCAAUACUAAUUUAAUAUGCCCAACAUGAUCAUUCAAAGUUUUGCUAUAAAUCAAUAUGUCAUCAAAAUACACAACGAUAAAUUUUCCUAAAAAAGGUCUAAGUAUGUGGUUUAUUAAUCUCAUGAAUGUGCUAGGAGCAUUAGUUAAGCCAAAUGGCAUGACUAACCACUCAUACAGGCCAUACUUAGUCUUAAAAGCAGUUUUCCAUUCAUCACCUUGUUUCAUUCUUAUUUGAUGGUAACCACUUUUUAAGUCAAUUUUAGAGAAAAUGCAUGCACCAUUAAGCUCAUCCAACAUAUCAUCUAAUCGAGGAAUUGGAUAUCGAUACUUUAUCGUAAUCUUGUUGACAGCACGACAAUCAACACACAUUCUCCAAGAACCAUCUUUUCUUGGGACGAGAAGUAUAGGGACCGCACAAGGGCUUAGACUCUCAUGAAUCAACCCUUUCUCUAAGAGAUCUUCAAAUUGCCUUUGCAACUCUUUAGUUUCUUCAGGAUUGCUUCGAUAGACUGGUCUAUUCGGAAUACUCGAACCAGGCACAAAGUCAAUUUGAUGUUCAAUCCCUCGUAAAGGAGGUAAUCCUUUAGGCAUUUCAGAAGGAAAUACAUCCUCAAAAUCCUGCAAAAGAUCAACAAAACAACUAGGCAAAUGUGUAUUAGGGUUAGUCAAAACAAAGUUUUCCCUAAACCUAAUAAUUACAAAUGUUUGUUUUGUACAAAGAGCAAAUUUGAUAUCUCGAAACCUAGCGAAUAAACUCACUUUCUCAUCUCAUGACUUGUGUGUGCAAUCACUCACCAAUGUUGGGCCUUUAAGUUGGCUUUUAACACUAAGGGCCUCUUUACUCUCAGCAUUUUUCAAUGAUUUUACCUCACUUCCCUUACCCAUCUCACUAGCAAGUUUGAGUUGAUCAUUAUAGACUUCUUGAGGAGGAAGUGGAGCCAAAGUAAACUUCUUUCCAAGGAACACAAAGGUAUAUUGGUUAAGGAAACCAUCAUGAUUUACUCGUCGAUCAAACUGCCAUGGCCGUCCAAGUAAUAUGUGCCCAGCUUGCAUUGGAACAACAUCACACAAAACUUUAUCAGAGUAUCUACCAAUGGAAAAUGAAACUAAGCAUUGUUUAGAUACUUUUACCUCCCCACUAUUAUUCAGCCAUUGCAAGCGGUAUGGCCUUGGAUGCUUCACACAAGGUAGGCCAAGUUUCUCAACAAGGGAAGAACUUACCACAUUGGUGCAACUUCCACUAUCGAUGAUCAAUGAACUAGGUUGUCCACCAAUCAAACAUCUUGUGUGGAAAAUGUUAUCUCUUUGUUCGCGCGCUUCCUCUUUAAACUGGACAUUUAAAGCCCUCCGAGCAACAAGUGCUUUCUCACCAUACUCUAAAUAUUCUUCAUACUCAUCAUGAGCAUGCACAUCAUCAACAUCUUCUAAAGGAGGCAUCUCAUCUUCGUUAUCAGACUCAAAAUCAACCUCGCCAUCUUCUCGAAUCACCAAUGACUUUUUAUUAGGGCAUUCUCGAGCAUAGUGACCCCUUCCUUGGCAUUUGAAGCAGGUAAUAUCUUUUUGCUGCUUAAUGGCACUAGGAGAAGUAGAAGAAGAAGAUGGAGCUUGAUUAGUAGAAGUAGAACUUUUAAAUGAAUUAGGCAUACCUCUAUCUUUGGAGUAAGUUCUAGGCUCAUUUGGCUUGAACCGUGCAUCUCUCCCAUUCCACAAUCUAUCAUCUUGUUUUUGCCAAUUUCCUCUCCAAGUAGGAUUAAAAACUGAACUAGAACCCCUCGGUGUCCCUUUCUUUCGUCAUUGCUUUUCAAUGGUGAGUGCGGUUUGAAGCAUCUCUUCAACAUCCAUGUAGUGUUGUAACUCAAGUCGAUUUGCAAUCUCAGGCUUUAGGCCGGCAAGGAAUCUAGCCAUAGUCACCUCAGCCUCUUCAACAAGAUUGGCUCUAAUCUGAAUAGUCUCCAUCUCUUUGUAGUAGUCAUCCACAGAUCUAUCUCCUUGAACAAGAUGUUGGAGUCUUUGAUGGAGUUCUCGAUAAUAGUAUGGUGGAACAAACCGUUUUCGUAAGAUGCGCUUCAUUUCAACCCAAGUAGUAACAGGUUGCUCUCUAUAAAGAAUUCUGCUUUUACAUAAUUGAUUCCACCAUGUUAGUGCAUAAUUAAUGAACUCAGCGACAGCGUAUGUUACCUUUUUUCUCAUCAGAGUAAUUGUAACAAGCAAAGACUGCUUCCAUCUUUUCCUCUCAAUCAAGGUAAGCAUCAGGAUCAUUCUUCCCUGAAAAAGAAGGAAAUUUUGGUUUGGGGGUGUCAUUGUUUCGCUCCAACCUUUCUCUAGGUACAUACUCGGACUCAAAGUCAUCAUCAAAAACAUGGUCCUCCCUUCGUUUAAAAGUUUGAUCUCGUGAAUUUGAUCGGCUUAUAAAGGCUUCGUUCAACUUCUUGUAAUUAUCGGCAAUGUAUCUCUCUUGAGUUGUAAGUUUUGUAUCAAGAUACUCCCUUUGCUCUUGUAACAUCUGGGUCAUGCGAUGUUCGACUUGAGUUUGCAACUUUUUCAUCUCUUUUUGUAACAACUCGACCAAAGGAUCAUUCUCUCUUUUUAGCUCAUCCUCUUCAUUUUUACUAGUUUGGGAUCUAGUGAGCGGAAUGGUAUCUGUGAAAGAUCAAACAAACAGGAACAAGAAAAAAAAUAAUAAUAACCUCACUCGUUAGCUCUCAAAAGAAUAACUCUCUGAAUGAUUCAAAACCUGUAAAUAUGUUUGGAGAGGGUUACUAAUCAAGAUCAAAUAACGGAGGUGCAAACUUCAAAGAAACAAUGAAGACCCUAAUUGCUCUAAGAGGCCAAUAAACUUGACAAGGCAAUUUGUAAUGGAGGCUACACGGAUGAAGAAAUUUGUGAGUGCCUUUAAUAUCUGCUAACACAAGAAGAAACAAAGUGUUAGAAAGCGUAAGAGAAACAAAAAAAACGUAGACCUACAACGAUCCCUAACUCUAGAGUCAAAGAAAAGCUUUAAUAAGAAGAAAACUUAAGAAAAACUCUACCCAAAUUUUUAAAAAAAAAAUCGAAAACGUUUGGUGUCUUAAGAUUUUCAAAAAUUGAAGCUUUAAUUAUACUUGAGUCAAGAAAAGAAGAAGGAAAAGAAAUUCAAUUUUGGGAAAAAUAAAAAUAAUAACAAUAAUAGGAAAAGAAGAAACUUACGUAUGAAAGGUAGUCAACUUUUUUUUUGCUCUUUUUACUUUUUUUGUGCUGUUUUUUUUUUUAAAGAAUAAGAGGAGAAUAAACACAAACUUCAAAAAAAAAAGAAUUGACGAAACUGAUGAAAAGUGUUUUUGGUAUUUUGACUCGUUUCGGAUUUGAUUUUAGCUUAAAAAAUAACACCGAAUAACCUGAAACUGAUACCAACUGAUGCGGAAACUCGGAUCUAGACACAAGAAGAGAAACACAAAUUAGAAGUAAAAACGAGAAUAAGUAAAAAUUAGUUAAAUAAUAAUAAAAGAAAACAAAUAAAAGAAAAGAUUAAUGAUAGAUUUACCCUAUGGAACCCUUGGUUAACUUGUAACCAAAAACUCCAAUGAUUGAGCAGCUCCCUACAAAACCCCUAGAAGAAGAACCUCUAGAAACAGCGAUGAACGGGAAAGAAAUUUGAAUAUUUGUAACUCUGAAAUACCCUCGAAAGUAACAAACUCCAAACUAAAUAGCAAGAGAAGAAUCACUCUACUCUCAAAAAUUUGCCUCACACAAAUUUGGAAGAAAAAUACUCUUCUUUUUUUAUUAAUCCCCUCAAUGUGUAGAAAGCAAGCCUAUUUAUAGGCAAAUUACAAGAGUAAUUGAAUCCUAAUUAAAACUCUUUCAAGAGUAAUUGAAUCCUAAAAACUCUUUAAAGAGUAAUUGAAUCCUAAUAAAACUCUUUAAAAUUAUCUAAGAAAAUAAAUAAAUAAUAACCUAACUAAUAAAAUUACUUAACUCAUAAGUGAUGUGUCCCAACCAAUGAGAAUUAAGUAAAUAAUAAUAAGAUACAUAAAAGAUUAAUCCACCAAUUUAUGGGCUUUCACUAUUCCAAGAUUGGUCUAGUGAAUUGCAUUCCCGUAUUUGUCAACGUCACGAACAUGAUGAAUUAAAUUUGUAGUAACAAAGUCUUGGACAAAAGCAUUCAUCUUUGAUUUUAAUUGUCGUGCCUUGCUUCGAGUGAUUGGACCACUAGGAAAAACAACCCUUUGAGUGUCACCUCCUUGGCUCGUAUCACUCUGCCCGUGUGCAAUUUCUUAGGCAUUCUAUUUUGAAUUUUUAAGGUGCAAGGGACACACAGCCUAACCACACGCCCAUGUGUAAGCUGUGUGUCUCACACGUUCUAGUCACACGCCUGUAUGGUAGGCCGUGUAGACUCAAAAUAAGCAUUUUACAUCAAGUUUACCAACCUUGCAAAUCUUGAACAACAAGCAACUCAAUAAUCAAUCUUUCAACCAAUCCAAAACACAUUCAAAUACUUUUAAUACAUGCCAAAUUCAUUUAUUUAAGAACCUAACCAGUGUACUAACAUAGAUACUUUACAAAUAACAUCCAAAUCAAUCUAAUUAACUUCAUUCUAACCAAAUCUAAUUUCAUACCAAAACAUACUACUUAUAAUCUUAAUAUAGCACAUAAACUUAUAUAUAUAAGUCUCCAAUAACAUUUUGUAACAUAAUUUACAAACACUUCUCUAAAUAACAAACACAAACAUCCUAGGUACAUGCCAUUUACCAAAAAGAAAUGUACUUCACCACUUUGAGUUCCGAAACAGCUUUGGAUGCUGAUUGAAUGGUCUGACUUUAACCUAACCUAUGCACAGAAACAAACCGUACACUGAGUAUGAACUCAGUGGUAUUUCUAUAAUCCAAAUACUUUUAAAAUUAUGAUAAUAUAACAUGUAUAUUUAAUUAUAUAUUAACAAUAGUCAUUCAGUAAACAAUUCAUAAACAAAUAAUUUAUAACAUUUUCAUUUCCAAUUAUUUGUUAUUCCAAACACCUUUUCACAUUGCCAAUACAUAUAUCCGAUCAAUUGCUAUCCCAGAUAGCUUUUCACAAUGUCAAUACAUAUCUCGUUUGCAUUUUCACAUUCAAUAUUCCAAUAAUCACUUGAUGAACUUAUGGUUCAUACUUUUUCAUUUACACAUCACAAAUCAAUAUCUAAAUCCAAUUCAUAUUCAAAACCAUUCAAUAACAUUCAUAUCAUCAAUUCAUUAAUUACCCCUAUUAACAUGACUCGAACUUUGGCGGAUACACGGAUCUAACCAAAACACACCAGUUUAGCACCUAGUGCCUCAUCGGAUAAUUCGAAGCAAUAAGUUGACACCCAGUGUCUCAUCGGCCAUGCCGAAGUAAUUUGGUACCAGUACCUCAUCGAAUUUAUCUGAAGCAAUAGUUUGACACCCAGUGUUUCAUCAACUCAUGGUCGAAGUAUCCCUAAACUCUUCCAAUCCGAUGGCAUGCCAAGUAUAUCCAACUCAGCCCAAUACAGUUAAUAGGGUUUCCAAUUCACUUCCAAACACAACCAAUAUUCAAUAAUCAAUUGUCUCAAUAUUUACAUUUCAAUAUCAAUGCAUAUUUCAAACAAUCACAAAUUCUCAUAAUUCAACUCAAUUCAAUACCAAUCCUCACCUCAAUUCUACUUACCAUAAAUAUAAAAUAAUAAUAAACACAACAAUUAAUUAUCAGCUUUGGAUUAUAGAAAUACAAACAAUAAUUCUCGAGUCACUUCUGGUUAACCUUGUCUUUUCCUUUCUUAGUCGAGGUCUCCGGCUUGAUGUUAGCUACGGAAGUAAAAUAAUUAAAAUUCAUCAAUACAACACAAUUUAAUAUUGAAUAUUUCAACUUAUACACAACUUAUGCCUAAAUUCUAAUUUAGUCUUUAAAUCAAACUAACUCUUUUUCUUACAAAACUAAUUCCAUAUCUCAAUUCAAUUUCCACUUUAAUCUAAUUUCAACUUCUUAAUUUCAUCAUAAAACCCUAAUUUUGAAAUUCUUUCAAUUUAGUCCCUAUUACUCAAAACUUAUAAUUUAAUUUACAAUUCAAUCAUUCUUCUCAAUUCUAUCAAUUUAACCUCUAUUUCUUCAAUUUAUUCAACAUGAAGUACAUCUAAAAAUCCACUAAAUUUCAAAUUUUCAACAUAAAUCAAGUAGUAUUUUGUUCUAGGAUUCUCGAAACAUCAAAAUUAUAAGAAAAAAAGGCUAAAUUGCCUUACCAAAUUAACUUUGAAUCCUUAGAACCCUAAUUUCCCUUUUCUUUUUCUUUCUCUCUUUUCUCCCCUGUUUUCGUUUCAAUUCUAUUUUUUGUUUCCUUUAUUUAUUUGUUUAAUUAUUAUAAUAAUAUAAUAAUAUAAUAUUAAUAUAAUAUAUUUACUUAAAUAAUAAGUAAAUAAUAAUUAUUAAUAUAUGUAUAUUAUUUACACACAUGGAAUUUAUUUUUACCAUACACUUGUUAACACUUGUUAACUUUUGGCUUAAUUUCUUAUUUAGUCCCUCGGCUUUUCUCCAUUCUAUAAUUAAACUUUCACACUUUAUUCAUUUUAGUCCUUAUACCUAAUUAACCUUAAUUUAAGCUAAUUCACCUAACUAAAACCUAAUUUACCACACAACUAACUUUGUAAAUAUUUUUAAUAAAUAUUUAUGAAUCCAUUUUACGAAAAUGGAUACCCGAAAAUACACUUUCUAAUAACCGUAAAUUUCUGGUCGUUACAUUUCUUGUCCCAUUUUUAAUGAUUUUUAUAUUUUUUAGAUCUAGAUAGCCUAAUAUAUCCAUUUUAGAGAUUAAUUUGAAAAGUUAACAAAGUAUGGAAAUUUUGUCAUGGAUGAAUAUGCUGGAAAAUUGAAAUUUAUGGUAGAAUAUGAAAGAUUGUUGAUAGAUAAACAACUUUUACAAAGUGAAUUUUAAUGAAAACAUGAUUUAGGGACUAAAUUGAAAAGUAGUAAAAUUCAUAGAAAAAUUAUAAAUUUUUGUGAAUUGCGUGUGUUGUAAAAGUUAUGUUAAAAAAUUGGUUAGGCUUGGAACAAGGAUUAAAUUGCAUGAAUUUUAUUUCCAAGCCUAGGGACAAAAUUGGAAUUUAUGUAAAGUUUAGGGGCAAAAUGAUAAUUUUGUCUAGAGAGUAAAAUAAAUUCAAUUAAAUAUGAAAUGUGAAAAUUAAUGAUUAAAUUCAUUUAUAUCGAUCCGGAUAAUUCAAACUCGAAGCCUGAUCAGGGAAAGUAAAAGUUUAGAAUUAGUAGAUUUUUCGAAUACGAACCAUUAUCGAGGUAAGUUCAUAUGACUUAAUUUAAUAUAUAAAUAUGAUUGUAUUGAAUAUUGCUUUUGUAUUGAAUUUGAUAUUUGUCUAUGUGAAUUAAAUCAAUGGUAUAUAUAUACAAGACAUGAUUAUAUACUUGAAAAGGAUUAAAUCUGUUUGAAUAUUUGAUAUCGAUGGACAUAUGUGAUUUCCUUAUUGAAUGAGGUCCUGCAUUUAUUGCUGAAGGGAUUUAGCUCGGACGAGUAAUCCUAAUGACCUCAUUUUAGACGGUAUUUAGCUCAGAAGAAUAAUCCCUAUAUUAGCCCUCUCGAGUAUAAGUUGUAGACAGGAUUUAGCUCAGACGAGUAAUCCUGAUACAGUUCAGUAAGCAUUCUGAAUGGUAGUGUACUUGCAUAUGUUGCACAUUACCAAAGCUAUGAAUAAAUGAUUUGAUAUGUGACUCGAGAGUGUACUCUCUGGUUUAGUACCCUAUGGGUACCUACAAUCAUGAAUUGACGAUUUAUAGACUUGUACACAUUGAGUGUACUAUUUGAUUAUUCAUCGAUAUUUCCAAUAAUUCAACGGAUGAAAUUCUUGACAUGAGAAAGUGAUGAGAUAAAAAGUAUGAUAUCUUGAAUGCUUCUAAAUUGGUUGAUGAAAUGUACAUGAUGAGCUCAUCCAUGUUUAUUGAUAUACAUGAUGCCUAUGAAACUAACUUGUUGAUUAAGUGCAUUUGUAUAGGUAACUAUGCCAAGUUGAUGAAUAACAUGUUAUAAUAUGUUUGGAUGUUAAUAAAUUAGAUGGGUAAGUUUAAUUCUUGUUAUAUGAACUUACUAAGCAUAAAAUGCUUACUAGGUUUAUUUUCCUCUGUUAUAUAGUGCUCGAAAGCUCGCGAAGGUUGGAGUUUGGUUGGAGCAUCAUCACACUAUGCACUCGCUCAUUUUGGUAUUAAUGGAAAUCUCAUUUUGGGUAUAAUGGCAUGUAUAGGCUAUUUUGUCAAUAUUGGCAUGUAAAUGGUUAAAUGUAAUCUAGCCGUUAGAAUGGCUAGCAAUAAUAUGUUUUGGUUUAAUUAAGAGGUUUAUCAUGAUGUUGUCUCAUAUGCUCUGUAUGAUUGAUUAAAUUAUGUUAACAUAUAUGUUUACAUAAAGGUAAGAAUAUAAAUGUGAAUGCAUGAUACAAUAUACCAAGUUAAAAUAUGGAAAUUGCUUAGUUAUGAUGCUUGGAUUGGUUAGGAUACAAUUAUAAAGUUCUGUGUAGGUUGUUGGUAAAUUUGGGUGAGAAAGUAAAGAAGUAAAGCUAGGAAAUGGCUUUAUUUUAUCCACACGGGUAGACACAAAGGCGUGUGUCUUGACCGUGUGUGACACACGGCCUGGUACAUGGUCGUAUGGUUAGGCCGUGUGUCCCCUGCACCUUAAAUUCGAGAAACAGAAUGCCCAGUAUUGAGCACACGGGUAGAGACACGGGACACAAGCGUGUGACUUGGCUAUGUGAAAACUGCUUCUUCAUGUUUUGCAAGUCAAAAAGUUAACGGGUUAGUGACACGGCCGUGUGACCUAUGUCACACACCACACAACCUAGGACAUGGGUGUGUCACUUGGCCGUGGGCGUGUGACCCCUGUACAUGACAAUUUUUAAAAUUUUACAAAAAAUUUUAUAAGUUCUCGAUUUGGUCCCAACUCGAUUCUAAUGAUUACUUUGGGCCUCGAGGGCCCAUUCAAAGGAUGUUAUAAUGAAUUACGAAAAAUGUAUAAUAAUUGAUUUGAAAUAUAUGGAAAUAUUCUAUAAUCAUCGGUAAUGCUCCGUAACCCUGUUCUGGUGACGGAUACGGGUUAGGGGUGUUACAAGUAUUGAUAUUUUAGAAAAUAUCGAUACGUAAAAAAAAUGUAUUGAUACUUAAUAGGGUUUGUAAAAAACAAGAUGUCAUUUUGUUAUCGCUUUUAAGAAGGGAAUUGAUAAUUCAUAAAAUAUCGGUACUUAGCUAAAGAGGUAUUGAUACUUUUUGGCCUGAAGCUAUUUUGACUUGUUUGAAAAUUAUUUUAACUUGAUAAAAUGAUAAACACUUACUUAGUCAAAUUUCUUUUAACUUGAUUUUAGAAUUGCUUCAAAAAAAUUUCUAAGAGUUCAAAGUAGAUAUUCAAAAUUUUUAUCACUUAGACUUCAAUUUUAAACAAAUCAUUUUGUUAAUUUUGUUCAAUCUUAUAUUUUAUUCAAAAACACUUCAAUUUCUUAUAUCAAAGUAUUUUAGCAAAUAAAGCUUGGUUUAACACUAUCUCAAUACUUAAAAAAGUGUCGGCCCAAAAGUGUAGUCUUAGGACUAUCUUGUUGUAGUGUCUUGACGAUGUUGUGGAUAGCUCGGUUCAAGUUGAGGGUGCUUCUAAUAAUGCUGAUCUUUCUUCUAUUGUUCCAUCCGAUAGGAAUCCUUCUUCUAUUAGUGUAGCUACUGAUACUGUUAUCUUUACUUCAAUAUGAGAUGAGACAAUAUAGAUUAAGUAGGUCAUGUUUAGUCUUUCUGUAAAACUUUGGUAUUUAAUGCAAACUUUAGCCCUUAUUUGGAUUCCGUGUUUAUGUUAUGCUUCGUUGCAUUUCUUUAUCAACUUAUUGUAUUGAUCUUGUGUAACUUUAUGAAGCUUUUAUUUUUACUACUUGGAAGAUGUAGGAAAUUUUAUUCUUUCCUUAUUUGUUUUAUUGUGCUUUUAGAUUAACUUAGUGAUAAGUGCCCUUGGAGGGUUAAGUCCUUCAGAAGGCUAGUAGUUUUAUUUGCUACUAAUUUAAUGAGCAGUAUCCUUGGAGGGUUUAUGCAAAAUUAGUAGAGCAGAGGAUUGGUUGCACUGUCAUUUUUAGUUACGAUAUGACACCCCACACUCGUUCCGGACAGCAAAUUCAAAUAUAAGACAUUACAUCCGUUGCUAAACAACUUAAACAAAUAAAAACGUGACAUCGAACAUCGAUUCUUUUCACUUCGAAAUGGGUUGUCGUGACAUUGGACUUUGAAUAUAAUUUCUUAGGUUCGAAGUUGGAUGUCGCGACAUUGAUGGCCCUUUUGACCGUCAAAGUUGGAUGUUGCGACAUCCUAGGGUAGUCUACUGACUCCUCGACCUAAAACAAUGUCUUGCACACUUAAUCAACUUGUUAGUCUUUCCCUUAGGCCCAAUUGGCCCAAUAGGUCACAAAACAUACUAAAGUGCUUGUAACACCCCAAAUCCGGCCUAGACGUUAUGGCAGUAUCUGGCAAUGUCACACGAUAGUGUUUUUGAAACCUCGUUGUUAUGAUGAAAACAUUCCAUGUUAUAAUCUUUAGUAAACCUUUGUUAGAACUUAGGAAGUCGUCUUUAUUCGUUUAAGACAUUUGUUUGAGACAUCCCUCGUUGCAAAAAUUUUAAUAAAACAGUCUAAGUGCUCAUGCGUUUAGAAAAUACUUUAACUUUUUGAAAACCAAAUUUCUUACGACCAACAGGUAUAAAUCCAAUAAAUAAAUAAAAACUCAAAUUUAAAACCAAAGACCCAGAGGGUCUUUAAAUUACAACUCAAAUAAUCAAUAAUAAUCAAAUCAUAAAUCGUAAAUUGAAAACCAUGAAGUCCAAAAAUUACUGUGGUCACCGCUAAGUCCUCCAUCGCACCAAUCCGUCAAGUCUAGGGAUUACCUAUGCAUAUUAAACAAAAAGGAUGAGUUUACGUAAACUUAGUGUGUAAUCCCGCAGAAACAAACAAAUAAUCAGUAUUCACAGUGCACAGUUGAACAGUCUUGGGCCUAAGCCCUUUUCAGUAUCAGUGACAGUUUGGGACUCAGCCCAUCUCAGUACAAUGUCAAAACUGCAGUAGGACCUUAGCCCAUCACAAUAUCAGUAGCAGUAACAGUUAUGCAGUAGCAAAAUCCUACCUAACCAGCCUCUAUACACCAUUUUCGUCUAACCCUACACUCCAUGUGGGGAUAUAAAUAACCCACCCAUCCCUACACUCCAAAUAGUACCGAAUGCGGCACAAAACAGUAGUUUGCAGCUGAGCUGCCAGUAAAUUAGGCUUAAAGCCUUUCAGUACACUUCCUCCGAAUAACAGCUCCCAACCCAAUGCAAUGCAACAUACCAUGGAUGAUAUGCUAUUAUGCAAUUUCAGUACAUAUAUUCAGUUCAAAUAUUAAUAUGCUCAGUACAUAUAUCAUUCAGUCAAUUUCACACAUUUAGGGGUCUAAGUAGCGCUUACGGACCUUACAGUAGGUUCACAGUCGACUAGGGCGACCCGUGCAACCUUAGAAACAUUUCGGUAAAAAUGGGCCCACACGCCCGUGUGAGCCCAUUUGGCCCACUCGAACCCAAUUGGCCUUGGCCGUGUGAUCCAUUUUUAAUGUAACCCAUGCUAGCUAAAAUAUUCAUAUAUGUUUUCACUAUUUACUUAUAUGCUCAUUUAAAGUUGUCUACUUGAGUCAUUGUCACUAAAUUAUUUAUAUCUUGAGCUACAGAAUUCCAAAUUAAGAUCCACUUGAUGUUUUCAAAACUAGACGCAAAUACAUUUCUACCAUAAAAUUUUCAAAUUUUAUCACUUAUCAAAUAAGUACAGUAAAAUCUUCAAAAUUAUCCCUAUUCUAUUAUUUGACUGCUUCAACCUUUCCUUACUAAAAAUUAUUUAUCUCUUAGUACAAAACUUGGAUGAUGUUUCCAUUUGUUUCUCUUGAAAGUAGACUCAUUAAGGAUUUAAAUGUAUAAAUUUAAGCCCCUAAUUAAUUUUUUGCAAUUUUUGAUGAUUUUCCAAAUUCAAAAUAGGAGAACCCUAAAUCAUUCUGACCUCGUCUCACAAAAUUCAUUAUAUCUCCUAAUUUACAAUUCCAUUGUUUACACUGUUUCUUCCGUGAAAAACUAGACUCAAUAAAAUUUAAUUUCAUAUUUUAUUCAACCUCUAAAUCAAUUUUCACUAUUUUUGAAGAUUUUUCAAAGUUAGACUACUGCUGCUUUCCAAAACUAUUUUAGUGCAAAAUGUUGAUUUCCAAGGUUAUAACACCCUUAUUUCCUUUCUCUACAAUUUUUUUCGCAUCAUUUUCUCUUAUUUCUCUUAUUUCUCGAUAGCAAGUAAUUUUAGCUUUUCGUCGAAUCCCGUUUUUUGUGUUUCGGGUUCACACCUAGUUUCGUUUGAUGCUAAAACAAUCCACAAGCACUCCAAAGCCUAUAAUUGAACAAAUAACACUAAUUUAAUCUCGCAUAACCUGAUCCCAAAUUGAACUCGUAUCGAGGUUUUAACCCAUAAGCGACUUAACCUUACCUUCAACCGAUGAACAGUAAUUCCCACACAAACUAAGACUCUGACUGGUGAUUACGAGCCCUUGAAUCCUCCCCUAAUUGGCAUAAACAAAACACUUCCGAAGAAAGUUAACAAAUAGAGACAAAUCACUUAUCUAAAACUUACCGAACAAUCGCAGACAAACGUGGAGUGACACGAGGCAAAGUGGGAAAAAAAUAAGAAGAUGAAGGGUGAAAGAGAGCAGAAAUUCGACAGCAAUGAAGAGAAAAACAGCAAGAGGGUGGAGGGAUUUUGGGGAAAGUAAAAAAAAGAAAAAAAAUUAAAAGAAUAUUUGAUAAGCACCCCAAUCCCUUAUUUCUCUCCAUCAAACUCCCCACUAAAUCCACUACUCAGAUUUUUAGUCCAUCUCAAACUCUCUUGGACAUACGAGCAAAAAUAAUGCCCAUGCUAAGAUUCAAACAUAGGACCUCUUUCACACCAACACUCUACUUAUCCAUCAAACCAGCAAGCCCAUUCUGUUAAUUAUUUGUCAACUUUUACUUAAAAGCCUACCGACCAAAGAUAGGGCUUACUCAUAAAAAUACCAAAAUUUGCCCAAGUCCUGCCUUGAACUUGGAACUUCCCAAACACACCCAAAACACUUCACCACUGAAGCAGAUACACAGUUGUGUCACACAUUCACAAUACUUAAAAUUAAAAUUUUGGGGCGUUACAAUGCUUGUUUUAUUGAAUUAAACUAUAACCUUACUAACUUCAUAAAAUGCAUAAAAAACUAAUGCAUCACUUGAUUACAAACUCAUAUUCAAGCUUAAUUUGCCACAGUGAGUUGUGGUCAAUCAAUUGUUAAUAUGAAAAUUAUUUUUUUAGAACAACCAAUUUCUCUCAACCGUAUUUUGAAGCAGUGGUGGAUCCUGGGACAAAGUUUGGAGGGGAGGCUAGUAAAAUUUUUAGGAAUUAUAAUUUUUUUUUGCCAUAACUAUCUAAUACUCAUACGUGUUUAUGCUUAUAAUAUAAUUUUUGUAACUAGUAUAAAAAUAAAUUUUUAAAAUGGGAUUUGAGUGUAAUUACGUAUGUAAUCAUUUUAACUCUCACCCUAUGUAAUCAUUUUAACUCUCACCCUCCCCUAAGAAUUAGAAAGUGUAAUUGAGUGCUCUAAUUACAGCCAAUUCGGUGGGACUCACCAAUCAAUGGUUACCCAAACAUGUCAUCUUUGUGUAAUUACUAGCAAUUACACCCAAAUUCAAUUACUAGGUGGUUUUCCAAACAUUACCUUAAUAUAUUACUAUUGGUUCUUUCUCACUUUUGUUUUAUUUUAUUUUCUUCACUUUUAAAAUGUUAUUUUAUUAUCUUAAUUAUUUUUCAAAAUUAAUAGAAUUUUAUUAUAAAUUAGGAUAGUUCUCAUUUAAUUAACAAAUUUUUAUAUAUUAAAAUUAUAAAAAUACAUUACUUAGUAAAUUAAAAAAAUAAACAAAUACAUAGUUUCAUUAAGAGUACUUUUGUAUUUUCUCCAUUAUGUGGUAUUUUCCCUAUAAAUACAUAGUUUUAGAUUUAUACCUAGAGAUAGCCACCUUAGUAUUAUUUUGCUUUAGAGUUUUCUUUUCUCCAUGAAUUUCUAAAUCAUCUUUUCUAGUCAAAGGAUUUUGAAGUUUGAUUCUAAUAGUUUGUAAGAUCUAAUUGCUCUUCAUCUAUUCUUUGUUCUUUAGUGUUUGCAUGUGUUCUAUUUUAAUCACAAAUAUUCAAGUUUGUUGGAUAUUGGUACCAUAUUCAAUUGCUUAGAACAUAGUGACAAAUAACAUUGUAAUCACUGAAUUUUGUCCGGGAUUAAUUUCGUAUUUUUUUCAAAAAAAAAGAAUUUUUUAAAAAAAAUUAUUACAUUUUGACCCCUAAACUUUUCUAAAAUUAUAUUUUGACCCCUAAACUUUCUCAAAAUUUGACCCCGAAACUUCCUCAAAAUUACACUUUGGCCCCAAAACUUUUGCUGCAUUUACGAUUUAGUCCUUCUAGUAGCCACCAAUGCAAGUUGCACCUACAACGGCGGCGGCCGGCCUAGGGCAUAGCCCCCUCCCCCUCCCCACUUGCUACCUGCAAAAAGAACAAGAAAAUCAGCUAUAAAAAGGGCUUAAAACCCCAAAAAUUGGAACCCCCACUCAUGAAAAAAUUCAAGAAAAAAUAAAGAAAAAGAGAGCUUUUUUUUCAAAAAGAGGAGGAGGAGAAAUCGGCCACUGGAGAACCACUUGCGGAGGCGACUGCAGCAGCACGAGCAGCGAUGUCGACGGGACGAAGGAGGCCGAACGGAGAAGAAGAAGAAAAAAGAAGAAAAAAGAGAAAGAAAGAAGGAAGAAGAAGAAGAAGAAGAAGAAGAAAGAAAAAGAAAAAAGAAAAAGAAAAAAGAAAAAGAAAAAAAAUAAAAAUAAAAAUAAAAAAUAAUAUUUUUUUGAACAGUCGGGUCGACCCGACCAGACCCGACCCACGGGCCGACCCGCGACCGACCCAUCAGCAGUAGGCCAGCCCAAUUCCGAAGGCAGCCCAAAAAGAAAGGAAAAAAAAGGAGCAGAAAAAAAGCAGGCCAAGCAGCCCAAUCCAGCAGGCCCAACAGAUCCAACAGCAGGCCCAAUCAGUGCAGGCCCAGAAGGCCAUCUGCAGCAGGCCUGUGGCAUGCCCAUAAUCGGCAGCAGCCCAGUCCCUGCAGUAGCCCAGCAGCCCAGCAGAAAAAAAAAGAAAAAAAAGAGGGGCCCAAGUCGUGUGACCCGUUCAAUUUAGUUCAUAUUUUCGAGCUUUUAGGUAAUUUUCUUUUUUUUCAUUUUUAAUUUAAUUUGUGUACUUUUAUAAUGUCUCGUAUUUUAUAUUAUGUUUUUAAUAUUUUCUUUAUUUUUAUUUUAAUUUUACAAAACAUCAUUAUAUUUAUUAUAUUUAUUUAUUUUAAUUUUAAAUAAUUUUAAUAAAUAAGGCAACGAAUCGAUUUAACAUUAAGCCAUUGAUUUCAUCGCUAUGUUGGGUGAAUAUUACCGGUUUGUGUUAAAUAGGAGACGCCCUUUUAAAAAUUGAAAAUAUUCAAAAAUUCUCGUGUUUUAAUAAAAUCAAGAUUAAAUAUUAAGUUGAGUCGAUUUGACACUAAUUCGAUAAUUUCAUCGCUAUGUUGAGUGAAUAUCACCUGUUCGUGUUAAAUACAAUACAUCUUUUUUAAAAAAAAAAAUCGAAAAAUUCGUGUUUCAAAAAAUUCUCUUGUUUCAAAAAUUUUCGUGUUUUCAAAAAUUGUUGUGUUUUAAAAAUUUUCAUGUUUUUAAAAUUCUUGUAUUUGAAAAGUUUCCGUGUUUCAAAAAUUUUCGUGUUUCUAAAAUUCUCGUGUUUCAAAAAAAAUCCCGUGUUUUCAAAAAAAAUGUUGUGUUUCAAAAUUCUUGCGUUUUUAAAACAAGAAAUUCCUGUGUUUCAAUUGGAUCACGAUUAAAUAUUAAAUUGAACUUGUAUUUUUGAAAAUUAAGACAACAUGCGCUUAACAAGAUACCAAUUUUGGGCGUUACGAGGGUGCUAAUACCUUCCACGUGCGUAACCGACUCCCGAACUCUAAUUUUCUUUGAAUUUUAACGUAGACCUAAAAUUGACUUUUUUUUAGAAAAUUUGAAAAAUAAUUUUUCUUUUAAAAAGAGAGUUUAUUAGGUGUCCGAUCACACCUAGAAAAAAUAUCGGUGGCGACUCCUUUUUUUAAAUAAAAUCGAGACUCUGUUUUCAAAUUUUCAAUAAUCACUUCAAUUAGCGCCAAUGUACAAAAUAUUUAGGUCGCUACGAACAUGAUUACAUAUAAACUAUGUAUGCAAUUCAUGUUAUGUGGAUACCCGAUUUAAUCUAAAUGAACCCCGUUGGUGUGUGUUUGUUGGUCAGAAAUAAGUUUUAGUCAUUCUUAAUACUACCGAUAAUUAAGCUAAAUCCUAGGCACGAAGUUAUAGGACAUCUUGGUUAUCGAAAGGUAAUGAGAGAUUGUUUAUAGGGUUCUUAAUGCUAGGUGCGACAUGGGCAACUAUAACUAAUUUAUUAAAAACACUAAAAUUAUAUUUGGAUCAUUGAUCAAACUCACUAAUCAAAAUUGAGAUUUUACCUUGGUUAGACUCUCAUUAUAUUGAUUUUGCUAUAUUUUAUUUUGCAAUCUUUUUUUACAAAGUUUUAAUUUUAAUUUUAAAAAUCCUUAUUUUUAUUUUACUUGUUUUAUUAAAGAAUUAGAACAAUCACUAGUCUUUGUGGAUACGACUCUACUCACAGUCAUCUACAAAUUUAUUUAUUUUAUUAAGAAUUUAUUUUUAUAGGUCACAACAACCAUACAACUUUUGACACCAUUGUUGGGGAUUGGUGUCCAUAAUUUUAUUUCCUUUUAAAUUCAAAUAAGAGUUUUCAAGAAGAGUGAAUAAGGUAAAUAUUUCUUUUUCCUAAUAAUCAUUGAGACCAAACGAUAACAUUAAUGAUGAACUUGAUAUUUGUGGGUGUCGAAAUAUCCCUAAAAAAAUGUAUUUCAAAAAUUAAUUUUCCAGGAAACACAUUAUAAAUAAUAAAAUAUCUAAUAACAAAGUAAAAAAAAAAUCGAAGUUUUGGUUCCCCUAUAAUCGAGGGCACAGUUUGCCUUUAACGUGGAUGAUGAGGAAAGUCUUGACGAUGUUGUGGAUAGCUCGGUUCAAGUUUAGGGUGCUUCUAAUAAUGCUGAUCUUUCUUCUACUGUUCCAUCGACUGGGAAUCCUUCUUCUAUUAGUGUAGCUGCUGAUACAGUUACCUCUACUUCAAUAAGAGAUGAGACAAUACAGAUUGACUAGGUCAUGUUUAGUCUUUUUGUAAAACUUUGGUAUUUAAUGCAAACUUUAGCCCUUAUUUGGAUUCCGUGUUUAUGUUAUGCAUCCUAGCAUUUCUUUAUCAACUUAUUGUAUUGAUCUUGUGUAGCUUUAUCAAGCUUUUAUUUUUACUACUUGGAAGACGUAGGGAAUUUUAUUCUUUCCUUAUUUGUUUAUUGUGCUUUUAGAUUAACUUAGUGAGAAGUACCCUUGGCUAAGUCUUUCAGAAGGCUAUUAAUUUAACGAGCAGUAUCCUUGGAGGGUCUGUGCUAAAUUAAUAGAGCAGAGGAUUUGUUUCACUACCUUUCUUAGUUGCAACGUGACACCUCACAUUCGAUUUGGAUGGCAAAUUUAUAUAUAAAACAUUAUAUCCGUUGUCAAAGCAACUCAAACAAACAAAUUGCUGAUGUCAAAGCCAAAUCAAGAAGCAUAGCACAUAAUUCAUAAUUUUCAAAACGCUAAUAAUUAAUUUGUAACUUUUUUUAAUAUAGUUAAUUUAGUGACUAAUGUCGUAAUUUGUCUCACUUAAAAAGAGCCCACCACUUGACUUGACGCAGAGGUCAAGAGAUAUCUCUAAUAAUGGGAAGCAAUAUUUGAUGUUUAUGGUUGAUAUUGCUCUAUGUAAGGGUGUUCAAAUGAUUAAUUGAUCAGUUAACUAAAUCGAAUUAGUAUUUGAUUGAAUUAAUCUAACUUUUUAAUCCUUUAAUUGUUAAUUAAAUCAAUUUAUUUCAAAAAACAUUAACCGAACAAAAAUAUUUCGGUUAAUUCGAUUUGUUAACCAAAAUUUAUAUUUUUUUUGUUUAAAACAAAUAUAAAACAUAUAAAAAAAUUUGAUAAUGUUCAUUUGACCGAAUUAACCUAAUUAAUCAAAUUAGUAAUAGCCUAAUACAUAUGACAUAUAAUAUUAUUUAUUAAGUUUGGUUAAUUCGAUUAAUUACUCGAUUUCGAACCGAAUUAACCAUUAACUGAAAUUUCAAAAAUCAUUUAACCGAUUUCGGACCAAACUAGAUUAGUUAACUGAUCAAUUAACCGAAUUAAAUUAAUCUGAUCAAUUAAUUUAAUUUUAACAGAAGCUUAAACACCAAAAACCAAGUCUUUGUGGAAUUAAAGUUUUGUUGUUAAGACUCACUGGAUUUUUCACAACCACUAUAAUUAGAUUAGAACUAUCUCUCCGCGUAUGCUCAAGUUUAAAAUUUUUUAAUUAAAUUUUAAUUAUCUAUUUUUUAAUUAUUAUAAUAUUAACAUAGAAAUUAAAAUUGUGAUUAUUGUUCAUAGUAGAAUAUAAAGUCUUAAAUUAUGAUGAUAACAUCAUGGAGAAAAUAUUUUAAUUUAAAAAAUGUAUAAAAUUUAUAUAUUAUCUCUUUUACAAUUAUAUAAAAAAUUAUAUUAAUAUAUAAAAAUAAUAAAUUAAAAAAAUUCUGUUUUAAUCGUUUGCCAUUAGAUAUCUAGUGAACUGAUGCCAUCCACUAAUUUGACUCUCAAAAAAUGGAAGUUUGGGAAAGCUAAAGGUUGUUAAAUUAGACAAAAAGAAACAAGAAGCCAUGCCAAUAAUUCCGUUAACAAUUUAACCGGACCAAAGUAGAACUAAACGAUAACAUUAAUGUUGAAAUUGAAAGUUUUUUGUAGUUCAAUGACAAAACAAAAAUACGCUAAUAAUUGAGCCACUCAUUGUGUAAUUUAGCAUUAAUUUAUUUUUGGAAGAAAUUGUAUUUAUGUGAUAAUAAUAAAUUUCAAAAAAAUAAAUUAUUUCUUUUGUCAAAAAUUUGUAAUUAUAAUAAUUUAAAUAUAUAUAUAAAAAAGUAUCCAACAAAUAUAUCAAAUUAUUGCAAUAAAAGGAUGAAGAAAUCAUAAUAUAACAAUACACCAAUUAGAAAUAACUUCAUUUCAAAUAUAAAUGAAAUUUAAUAAUGAAACAAAUUCUAUUAAAGACAAGGACUAAACUAAAAAAAUUAAAACCAAUUAUAGACUAAGAUAUGAAUAUAUAAAUAGUGAAAAGUGUAAUCAUAAACUUUUAAAAUAAAAAUAUUCUAGAAAGCAAUUAUUUCUAAAAAGUAAAAAUCAUUAACUCUUCCACCUUCCGCCCUCUUUUAUUUAUUAUAUUUUUAUAUUGAAUAUACUAUAUUUUUUUACUCUUAGUCUUUACUUGUUGAAAAGGUUACAAAGUUAUCAUAAAUUUCCUAAAAUCUUAUGGCACUUUUCCAAAGAUCCAAUACAGAUUGAUACAAUAGCUGAAUUAUACCAUUAAUUAUUAAAUUAUAGAUAAUCAAACAAGAUUAUAAUUUAGUCAUUAAUAUUUUCAAAAUUAUUUUUAUGGUCACCUGAUUAUUAAGUGGCACUUUUUUGGUUGGUAUGAUAACAAUUUUAUUCUUUGAUUUUUCUAUUAAUUUGGCCCUGGUGCUAAAUAAAAAUUAUAAAUAAAUAAAUAAAUAAUUUCGAAAACAGUAGUCAUCAAAUUGUAACAUUUUUAAUUUAAUGACUAAAACAAAAACUUACCUAUAAUUAAUUUAAUGACUAAUUUCAUAAUUUACCCUUUAUUUUUUGAAAGGAAAUCUUACUUAAAAAGAUACCACCACUUGACUUACACAUAAGUCAAGAAAGGAAAGCAAUAUUUGAUGUUUACUGUUGAUAUUGUUGUAUGAAUGCCAAAAUCCAUGUAUAGACUUAUUUCGAGUGUUUGAAUUUUCCACCAAAAACAAAGUCGCUGUUGAAUUAAAAUUUUGGUGCUAAGACCCAUUGUAUUUUUCACAACCACUAUAAUUAGACGAUAAUUAUCUCUUCACGUAUUCUCGAGUUUAAAAUUUUUUAAUUAAAUGUUAUUUAUUUUUUAUAAAAUAAAUAGUCAGAGAUAAUAAAGAACAAUGAAUAUGAGAGAACAAAAGAGAGUGUGUAUUUUAUUGAUCAAUCAGAAUAUCUACAAACUUUCUCCAAAAUCUGUAACACCUCAAACCUGGCCUAAACGUUAUGGCCGAAUCCGGAGAUGUCACAAAGAAUGGUUUUGAAAACGGAGUUGUCUCGCCAAAUCAUUCACAUUUCAUACUUCACACGCAUUCCCAAUUUUACUGAAAACAUCAUUUAAUUAGUUUGUUUGCUAAAAUGUAUUACAGCAGAAACCUGAAAACAAUCGUUAUGUUUUUAGAAAUGCAGCCGCAUUUUUAGGAAAACAUUUGUUUGCGUAAAAGCUGUCGUUUUCAAUAAAACAUUUCGUCAAAGCAUGCAUACCAUUAACAAUCAAAACCAAAGCCAAAGGUUAAAAAGUCCCAAACAGUCCAGAGAGUCCCAGAAUUUACAAACUCUCAAUGAAACCAAAAUUUAAUAUAAAAUCAUAAAUUAAUAUUUGAAAACAGUUUACGAACGACUGGUCACCACUGAGUCUCCUGCCGCACCGAUCCGCCUAAGUCUGUGGAUUACCUGACAUAAUAGACAAGUAGAUGUGAGUUUACGUAAACUCAGUGUGUAACCCAGCAGAAUUAAGCAUGCAAUCAUACAGAAUCAUAUACAUAAACAGAAACAAAUACAAUACAGAUUCGGGCCCAGGCCCAUUUCAGAUACAGUAAACAGAAUCAGAUAAUCAGAAUCCUAUCCCCAUCCUCUACACACCAUCUCCGACCAUCCCAACACACUAUGUGGGGUUAAAAACACCCACCCAUCCCUACACACUAGGUUGUUCCAUUACAACACGUAUCAGAUAUAGUGCAGCCAAGCUGCCAGAUAAUAGGCGAUGAUCGCCAAACAGAACACUUCCUCCAUCAAUACAAAACCCACCUCACAAUCAUAUACAGGACAAAUACAAAAUAACAUACUAGACAUGCUCAACAUGUUAUGUACGGAUAUCAGAAUAAUCAGAUAUGCAUGAUAUUAUCAUACUCAGAACAAAUCAUCAGUCCAUCAAAUCUACAGUUUUAGGGUUAGGCUAGCCCUUACUGACCCUACGGUAGGCCCACAGUUGAUUGAGACGACCCGUGCAACCCUAGGAUAAAUUUUAAAAAUUUGGGUCCACAUGCCCGUGUGGCUUGCCCGUGUAGGCCUACACGCCCAGAUUGGCCCUUACUAUAUGGCUUGCCUGUGUGGCCCACACGACCACACUCGAGCCACCGCACGGUCGUGUUCUCGCACAUGGCCUACCACACGCUCGUGUGGCGUCGAUAGAACUAUUUUUUGGCUUUUGUUCAAACCUCUUUUUUUGCAUUUCGGGUAUACACCUAGGAUCGAUUUGGUGCAAAAUCACACUCGAGCCUUCCAGAACCUAAAAUCAAAAUUUCCAAAUUUUGAAUUUAGUAACACCAACAAAUCUCCACCAAGACAAUUUCACAACGAAACCUUACAACAUUAAUCAACGCACGCGAAUACUUACCGCUAACAAACAACAACCUUGAAAACUUAAAUCGUCGCAGGAACCCCAACCGAUCCUUGACCUUCGCCUAAAUUGAGAGUAACAAAACAAAUCCUUUCGUUAAACACUUAGCCAAAAAACGUUAAGAUUCUAACAAUACAAAACUUACAAAAAGAAUGCAGUCAAACGUUGCACAAAAAAAACGAGACCGAUUCAGAAAAGAAAUAAAACAGAAGUGGGAAAUAGAGAGACAAUUUUUCUACAAAGAGGAGAACAAAAAGAAUGUCAGUUUUUUUUGGAAAUCGAAAAUUUUGAAAAAAAAAUAAAAUAGAAUUAUCCCAAAUCCCCCCCUUUUUCUCUUGCUAACCCACUAACAUCCAACAUCCUCAGACAUGCAGUUCAACCGAAACUCCCUCCGACAACCGAGCAAAAAUUAAUUACCCAUGCUAACGCAAAAAUUUGAACACAAGACCUCAAACACACCACUCCCUUACCACCUGAACCAACAAGCUCAAUCUAAUUUAAAUUUACAGGCAAUAAAAUAUAUGCCCCCUUACCAAGGAUAAGGCUUAGAUUCAAAAAUAACCAAAAUUUGCUAAAGGUAAGGCUUGAACUUGAGACCUCUCACACAUACCUAGAACACUUAACCACUAAAGCAAACAAAUAUUUGUCAAAAACUUACAAAAACAGAAAUAAGAAAAUCAGGGCAUUACAAAAUCUCUAUUUAUAGGUAUAAAAAGUAUAAAUGAAGUAGAGAUCUCCUAAUGACUAUUAGAAUUUAAAGUACAUCAAAACUUAUCUUGAUCUUAAUGGACAUCCAUAUAAUAAUAUAUUCAUAACAUUUAUUUAUUUUUAAAAAUUAUUAUAAUAUUAACAUAGAAAUUAAAUUUGUGAUUAUUGUUUAUAAUAUAAUAUAAAUGAUAACAUCAUGGAGAAAAAUAUUUUAAUUUAAAAAUUGUAUAAAAUUUAUAUAUUAUCUCUUCAAUAAUUUAAAUUAUAAUGAUAAUUUUUAUAUAUUAAAUUUAAUAUAUUUAAUCUUCCUUUAAAAGAAAUAAAUUACUUGUUAAGUUAUUGCAUUUAUUCUAUGAAUUAAUUUUAAAUUUUAUUUGUCAAUCUUCACAAAAUUAUUAGAUACUUUGAGCAAUUUAGAAAAUCAUUUAAAAAUAGAAAAAUUCCAUUGAAGAAUGAUACUUUUGAUUAUUGAAAGUAUCUGCUGAUUAUCGGACGCAUGAUGUCGAAACCAUUUUUUGGAAUCGACUUUUAUUUUAAAAAAUGAAAAAUGGGAGUCGCCACCAAUCCUUUUUUUAUGAGGUGUAAUCGGGUCACAUCGUAAUUUAAUCGUUUUAAUAAAGGGUUUAAUUUAUUAAAACAACGAUUUUUUGGUCUAGAAACUUUGAGAAAUGAGUUCGGGAGUCGGUUACGCACGAGGAAGGAUUAACACCCUCACAACGCCCAAAAUUGGUACCUAGUUGAUUAAUUAAUGUCUUAAUGUCGAAAAUUGAAAACUUGAAAAGAGUUUAAAAUACAAUCCCUCUUUGUAUUAAUAUCAUGAUUACUUAAAAAAUCUUAAAUAAAUCGAAAAGUAUGUUAAAGACCCUCUCAUCUCGAGGUAACAAAAUGUCACAUCCCGUAAAUUAGGACACGACACUUCAAAUUUUUGAGAAUGAAUUUGCCUUUAUUUUUUAUUUGAAUCUCACAUGUUUUAAUUUUAAAAAGAUAUUAGGUUAUUUAGACCCAACGAGAAAAAAAUCGAAACCCUGUAAGUUAGGGCACGACUUUCUCAAGUUUCCAAAUACAGAAUAUUGUAUUAUUUUAAAAAUUUUGAAUAAUAACAAGUGUAAUAUUUAAACGAUGUGUAUUUUUUAUUUGGAUACAAUACAUCAAUGGACAGACAUAUCUAAACUUAAUGUAUAGUAGUGAUACAUGAAAUAAUAUAAAAUGACUAUAUUGAUAGAAUAUUGGAAUGAUAAAUAAUAGGUAAAUAAAUGAAUACUAUAACAAUAAUAGUAUAACCUUAAUAAUAAUAAUAAUAAUAAUAUUAACAAUCAGAUCAUAGUGAUAAUAAAUAAAAUAAUUUAAAAUAAAUAAGAACAUGGAAGAUGCAUGUUAGAAACUAAAGGUGCGUUUGGUUCGUUGUAUUGGAUUAGAGGUGUAUUGGAUUAGAGGUGUAAUAGCAAACCAACUGUUUGGUUGAAUGUAAUGGAAUAGAGGCGUAAUAGUAAUCUUGUGUUUGGUUGAAUGGAAUAGAGGUGUAAUAGCAUAAUGGAAAAAACUAAAAUGACUAGAAUACCCUUAGCAUAAAUUUGUUUUGGUAAAUGAUUAUUGUUAUUGUUAUUUAAAUUUUAAUAAGAUUAUUAUUAUCAGUAAUAAAUAUUUUAAUCAUAUUUAAACAUAAUUAUUAUUAAAUAUAUUUUAAUUAAAAUAUAUAAUUUAAUAAAAUUCUUAUAAUUAGCAGAUAUUUGUUUUGGUAAAUUAUUAUUGUUAUUGUUAUUGUUAUUUAAAUUUUAAUAAGAUUAUUAUUAUCAAUAAUAAAUAAUUUAAUCAUAUUUAAACAUAAUUAUUAUUAAAUAUAUUAUAAUUAAAAUAUAUAAUUUAAUAAAAUUCUUAAUAAUUAAUAUUCUUAUAUGAAUUUACUCAAAUCAUAAUAUAUGAUACUGUAAAAAUAUAAAUUAACAUAAUUAUUAUUAAAUAUAUUAUAAUUAAAAUAUAUAAUUUAAUAAAAUUCUUAAUAAUUAAUAUUCUUAUAUGAAUUUACUCAAAUCAUAAUAUAUGAUACUGUAAAAUAUAAAUUAACAUAAUUAUUAUUAAAUAUAUUAUAAUUAAAAUAUAUAAUUUAAUAAAAUUCUUAAUAAUUAAUAUUCUUAUAUGAAUUUACUCAAAUCAUAAUAUAUGAUACUGUAAAAUAUAAAUUAACAUAAUUAUUAUUAAAUAUAUUAUAAUUAAAAUAUAUAAUUUAAUAAAAUUCUUAAUAAUUAAUAUUCUUAUAUGAAUUUACUCAAAUCAUAAUAUAUGAUACUAUAAAUGAAAAUUUGAAAUAAUUAAUAUUAAAUAUAUUUUAAUUAAAAUAUAUGAUUUAAAAUAAUUUAAAAUAAUUAUAACUAAUAAAUUAUAUUUUAUGAAUUUGUAUAAUUUAAAAUAAUAAUUAUUACAUAUAAUUUAAUAAUUAAUAUUAAAUUUCAUAAAAUUCUUGAUAAUAAAUUUUCUUAUAUGAAUUUAUACAAUUUAAAAUAAUUAAUAUUAAAUAUAAUUUAAUAGUCAUAUAUAGUUUCAUAAAAUUCUUAAUAAUAAAAUGUUCUUAUAUGAAUUUACUAAAAUCAAUAUAUAACUUGAGAAUUAUAUUCUGCAUAAACAUAAUUAACUUAUAUUAAGAAAAAGUUAGAUGAAAAUGAAAUUGUACAUCAUAAUCCAUAUGUUAUAUAGUUUUACAACAUCAAAAAGUUUGAACAUUGAUAUUUAAUGGUGAGAAAGAAAUCUUCUGACCCAUUCCAAUCGGGCAACAGAAGGUAAACUAAAGAAAACGAUCAUUUGAGUUGGAUGAUCGGGAAUUUUACUCUAAGCAUCAUACCGCUGAUCGUCGGUUAAACCUUCAAUUGACCAUAAGGCUGAAUAUAAAUUUGAAGCUUUCUUUUCCAUCUUUUGAUGUUCUUCUGACUUCUGCUGAACUACCACCUCGGAUGCAAUACUCCUACUGAUUUGAUCGCCAACGGCCUGAAUUUUUCCCCCCAACAAAAUGGCAGCCUCCUCAAAUGAAGAAUACACAUUAUCACGAGCAUCAGAUUUCUUCUUUCUCUUGUUUGAAGAUGAGGAACCCCCUUGGUCUCUAUCUCCUCGCGGAUCCGUACCAGAAACAUCCAUGUGGUCUAAAGAGACGUCAGCUUCGCAGUCAUAGAAUGUGUUUCUCUCUUCAUUCAUAUCUGUAGUACGUUCAUCCUCAGCAUGUAUUUCUUCAAGAACAUCAGCAGCUGUUUGAGCGUCUUUCCCAGUCGCCCGAUCUCUUGCGUAUAUGGCAGUAAGCUGGUUGUAGUAAGGGAAAGAACGAUGUCUGAACUGAGAGGCUUCUUUGUGACUCUAAAAAAAACAAGGAAAUCAUAUUAGUUAUAAGUUUUGUAAAAAAACAAAUAAAUACUUGAAAUACAUUUUACCUUAACAUAGGAUUCCCAAACUGCAUCUUCAGCAACAACGAGCUGCCUAUGCUCGUCCCAACCAAAGCCGCUGUUGUUUUGACCAUUAAGCAUGUCGUAGACGACUGACCAUUCCCUUUUUAGGCACCUAAUCCGAGAUUCAAUAUUUGGUCUCGCCUUCAACAUUGCUCUUGGUAAAGCCUUUUCUAGCAUUUUCUCUAGCUCGUUCAAAUAACCGACUUUGAACCCGGUAUCAGCAUUAAAUGUUCCUACAUUGUGCAAAUCCACCAUGCAAGAAACCAAGGCUGCAUCCUCUUCUGGAACCCAUUUUAUUUUGCUUCCUCGAGAAGCUUGAGAAGAAGCACCCGUUGGUGGAACACCUGACAUAUUGUUCUUAAGAAAAAAAAAACAAAUUAACAUUAUUUACUAUUUUGAAUAUCAUGAAUCAAAAGGUGAACAAUUUAUAAUAUUAUAUCGGUAGUUCAAUACUAAAUUUAAAUUUAUAACACAUGCUGAAUGAAAAGAUAAUUAAAUUAUAAUUCAACAAAGUUUAGUACAAUACAGAAUUUUAAUCAAAGACCACCAAAGUUUCAUAAACUAGAUACAUAAAAUAACAUCAACAAAUCAAUUCAAACUCAAUUUGUCCCUAAACCUAACUAAUUUCUAGAUGCUUGCCAUUCAUCGAACAUUUGGUUGGCUAGUUCCAUCCUCCAAGUUGCCCAAGCAUCCGAUGGAUGAAUAUUUGUGAUAUUCAGCUCAUCGUCAUCCACAACAUUAGUAGGUAAUCCUUCUCCCACCUCCGCUUCAAUGGGAUCAAUACUCAUAUGGGUUCGAAUAAAAUUAUGGAGCAAACAACAUGCAAUAAUAAUUCUAUUGUUAGAAUACUAAUUUAAUUCUAAGUCAACUAAAUGUUGUACAAUCUAUAUAUAAAACUCAGUCUAAUACCUUAAACCAUUUCCACCUUGUGUCAGAAGAAUCGGCUGUAAUUGGCUCCGGCUUUUUAAAUAAGACAUCUUGUAAGCGUAUGACAGCAUUUAAAACACUAUGAAAUGCUCUGCUUGCAGUUUCCCUGGACCUUCUAAAGUGAUGCUUGAUAACUCGAUUUUUAAGGUGAUGGGAGAUGAUAUGUAAAAACAUUGCUACUUGCUCAUCAAGAAGCAUGAACCUCGACGACUUCAAUCCCCCUAUCGAUUCUAACAUCUCACAUAGUUUAAAAAAUGCAGUUCUAUUCAUCCUAACUUGUUCAAUACAAGUCUCGUCACUAGCAUAUACAAGCCUCUUCACAUAAUCCCGUUGUGCAUAAAAAUCUACGGUAUAGGACCUAAUCCUUGGUCUAUAAGUAUGUAGGCUAAGGCUGGCACCCAUUCUAAAUAAGAACCAAAUCGCGAUUCUACAGAUUUCCAACCAAAUUGUCAAUGCAGCACCGAUUCUUUUACGCCUCACACUUUGUGCAAUUAAGGGCAGACGAGCCAUUACUGCACCAUAUUAAAAUUAGAACUCAGUAUCAAUCGCCUCACACUUUAGAGAUGCAAAUUUAUUAAAAUAAAUAUCGUAUAAGAUAUCUUUUUCAAUUAAUAAAAUAGAUAAUUCAUUCAAUUUUUGUUGAGAUAUUGUUAAUCUUCAGUAAGAUUUUAUCAAUUUUAAUUUUUAGAGCAUUUUCUCCGUUGAUGCAACAAAAACAUGAGUUAUUAACAUUAUACGCAUUUGAAAAAGGAAUAAACUCUUUAUGAAUAAUUAUGUCAAUUGAGUGUCAUUUUAUAAUUUGAUAAUUUAUUUGAAAAUAAUAUUAUAAUAAUUUGAAUUAAAUAAGGAAUUUGAAUAUUAUUAAUUUAAUAACAAUUAUAUAAGCAUCGAAAUUGGAACUUGAUUGAUUGUUUAUAUAAGUACCGAAUUAUAUUUUAAUUAAAAUAUGCAGAUUUAAUCUUAAAUUUGGAUAUUAUAUAAGCAUCGAAAUUGGAACUUGAUUGAUUGUUUAUAUAAGUACCGAAUUAUAUUUUAAUUAAAAUAUGCCAAAUAUAUAUUAUUAUCAUUACCAAAUUUCUACUUGGGACUUGGGUGAUUACUUUUCUUUACAAUUAACUCUCUUCAACUUUUCAAUCUUUUAUUUUAUUUUAUUUUAUUUUAUUUUAUUAACAUUGUAGCCUUAAAACAACUACCUAUUUUAUAAUCGCUUUAAUCAACACGUAGUUGAGGUUCGGGAUUCGAGUUUUGAUUUAUUUUAACACAUGGGUUCUUCUUAAGGGUAAGCAGGAAAAUUCGAAAAACCAAAAAUUAACUUGAACUAAUGUGUUUGGACGGUUUAUGAAAUGCUAGUUUUAAAAUGUGAAACCCAAAUCAUUUCUAUUUUUAUUUAUUAUAUAAUUAAUUUUAAUAUUUUAUGAUAUAAAAAUAAAAUUAUUAUAUUUACAGUAGUGAAAAUAAUUUAAAAGUUUUUGAAAGAUUAUUAUUUUCUAGAAACAUUUAUGAAAAUGUUUUUGAAAUUUUGUCAAAUAAUAUUCAAAAAGCCAUAAAUAAAGCUCUUUUUGUUAAAAUAAAUCUAAAAGCUCAAAACAAAAAUAUUAUAAGUAAUAUAAUAGAUAGUUGAAAAAAUUCAAAAGACUCAAUUAAAUCAAACCAAUAGAACCCUAAUUUUCCCCAAAUUUAUUAUAAGUAAUCAGUAAUCGAGUUAUUUUGCAUUGAAGUUGAUUUAAAAAAACUAUGAAAAUUUUAAAAAAUAAAAACUUUUUUAAAGAAACAUAAUACAAUCUUAAUUACAAUACAAAAUAAUACACGUUAGAAGCAUUAGCCUUUCAAAUUUUCAAAAAUACAGAAUACAUUCAAAAUUAUUAAUAAAUGGUCGGGUAUUACGUUCCUAAUGGAAAGACUCAAAUUUAAACUUUAGAGACGACAUUAUUAAAAGAGAAAAGCACAAACUCUAAACAUAAAAAAAUAUAUAUAAUACAUUUAAAACUUAAACCGAAAUAAAUAUUAACUAAAAAUUCGCACAUGAAUGACAUAGGAUGAGACUCUAACAUAAAAUUUUAAAGAUUUUUAAAACUUCAACCAUACAAGAUACUGUUUAAUUUAAAGAAUUUAAAAAUAACAGUUGAAAGAAAAAGAUUACAUGUUUUUCCCAUCCCGUCAAAUCAAAUUAACUUUUUUUUUCUAUAAUUUUAUAGUAGUAGCAUAAUUUAUUGAAUCCACUCAUGAACAAGCAUGAUAAAAGAAUGCGAAAAAUUCAGCAAAAUCAUGCAAAUAACAUCAUUACGCAACUACCUUUAGAUUCAAGUAAAUUGGACAUUCAUGAUGACUUGGAUAAUAAAAUUACUAUAAUGAGAAAGGGCAAUGCUCAGAAAGCCUUCAAAGUCGAUACAUAUAUGAGAUGGAGAGUAGGUUAAAGAGUUACAUGCAAAUAAGACAUUACCAGAAUUAUAUUCUAUCCAAUAAUUGAAGCGGAGUGGGUUGAAGGAUGUUUUAUUAGAUGGGGCUAUCAAAGUAGGCUUUCUUAUUUCUUCUAAGGGAGCUUAUAAUGUUAGAACCAUGGAAGAAUGAUCGAAAUGACAAUAGGUAAUUAUUUUGGUAACUUGGAGUGCUGCUGGUUUUAUGUUCUAGUAAUGUAAUUUUUUAUGGUAGAGUUAACAAUCUUGCCAGUAUCAUAUUAGAGAGAAUUAAGUUAAAAGGCUCAUAGUUCUUCAAUACUAAUCUCAGUAACAGUAAAAAAAAUCAAAUAAUUUAAUUGCAAAAAAACUUACAGUGACUCAGUGAAUACAAGAGGCUUAGUUAUGGGUGGAGCAAGCAAGCCAAGGGACUAAGGGAGUAGUGCUAGUGGCCGGAGGCGAAGCAAGCAAGGGAGGUUGGGACUGAGAGGUGAAAAUAAAAAUACAAAUUCAAUAAUAAAAAAAGAAGAAGAAAAAGUAAAGCAAUAUGUUUGAAGAAGUAAAACAACAUGCCUAUAACAUAACGAAUAAGAAACACAUAAAUAACAUAACCCAACAAAGAAGAAAAAGCUAAAUAGGAAUAUUUCAUGAUGUGUAAUAGGAGAUGACUAGCACUUCGAAUUUAAAGGAAUUUAUGUUAUUUGGUUUCAUAGUUUAGGGAUUCAUCAGCUGACAGUUGGUCUAGAUCAUUGGUCCAGAUACAACUUCACGAAUGAGUUUCUAUUUGGUUUCAAUGAUUUUUAACUCGUCUUCAUUGUCUUGCUCUGCUUAGCUUUGUUACGGAAAAAAGGUUUCAUUUAACUAGAAACUCAUGGUGUCAGGGUUUAUUCCAAGAAAUCCACUAAUUACUUCUUCAACUAUGUUUAGAAAAAAUUAUAAAUAAGGACAUACAUUCUUAGUAAAAAUACAAUUUACUUAUCCAGUUCAGCUAGUAAUAUACACAUGACUAGAAAGCAAGAGGGCAAAGAAAUUAAGUAAAUUAACCUCAAAAAAUGUACUCUUACAGGAAUCGUAGCUUUUGAAGCUUGCCCAGAGUAGAUGGAAUGUGUCCGGUUAAAGUAUUCAAGUAAAGAUCCAAGCUCACUAAGUUGGUCAAAUUUCCAAGAUCCUCUGGGAUUAUACCAGAUAUGUUAUUACUAUAAAGCUCCCUGUCAUAAAAAAAUGGUAAUCUUCAGCAAAAGAAGUUUAAUAGAAGCACAUAAACCAUGCAUGUAUCUAUGAAAAUGCAACCAAAUCCAAUGGAAAGAUGACAACAGAUGCAAACCAUUGUGUAAUGACAAAAGCAUAGAACAUCAUUGUUUACAACUAUUUCUACUAGUAUACCUGAAUAACUCAGACAUUCUGGUCAGUUUUGGUUACUAGGAUGACAAAAGCAUGCUGGUGUUUUGUUUUUCCUUUAUGUAUGUCUCAAUAUUCUAACAAUGAGAGGUAGCAUGUAAGAAAUGAGUUAUCUAUUUUGGGGUCAACCAAAAAUAGACUAGGCCUACACUAUUGACUUACAAAUUCUGCAAAGCCGGAAGCUGUCCAAGCUGUGGAACCAAAUGACCAAACAGAUUUGCAUUCCCGAGGUCCCUAAAUUGAGAAGGAAGAAAGCGUUUACUAAAUGCUUAUCAGGAAUGAGUUUCUAUUUGGUUUCAAUGAUUUUUAACUUGUUUUCAUUGUCUUGCUCUGCUUUGCUUUGUUACGGAAAAAAGGUUGCAUUUAACUAGAAACUCAUGGUGUCAUGGUUUAUUCCAAGAAAUCCACUAAUUACUUCUUCAACUAUGUUUGUAGGUACCACUGAAAACACAUGAAAAGAAGUCUAUCUUAAAGUUUUUCUCAACAAUGAAAGUUAAAAAGGAACAAGAAUCAAACAUGGAACAAAGUGUGUGCGAUGAAUAUGUCAAAAAAAAUUUGCUGAAUAACUUAAAGGAGGAACCUAAAAGUACAGAUGAUAGACUUGCAUCCUUAACAGAUAAAAUCGUUCACCUCUUUUAGUAAGCAAUUCACCAUUCAAGUGCUUUCUUUUACACAACAAAUCAAUAAGAACAACAGAAGAACACAUGCAACCCCAAAUCCCCCUUAAAAACGCUUCUUUUCCUUUGAUUAAUUAAUGCUUUUAACAAUUUAAACCCAAAAUGAAACAACUUCCAAUUCCCUGUUAGAACGAACCAACAAAGCCUAUAUACUUAAUCAUGAAGUAAAGAAAAAAAAAAGAAAUCACCCACUAAUAAAAAACAUAAAGGUCUUUUUUUUAAAUGGUGCAAUACAAAACCAAAAGAGCUAAAAACCUCAGUAAAUGAAUGAUAUUAAGUUAUUAACAUACAAGGAAAAUGAUCAUAGUUUAUAUGAAGAAAAAAUACCUGAAACUAGGUUAAAACUUCUGGGUCUGUUACAGAAAACAAAGAAAGAAAGGAGAAGCCUUUGUAAAUUUUUACUUAGAAAGAGAAAAACAGAAGCAGCUCUCUUCUUACCUUUCUCUAUGGCAUGCUCGAGAAGAAUUUGGGGCUACUGGCCGAAGGCGAAGCAAGCAAUGAAGGAGAUAAAGGAGAGACAAACCCAGGAAACAGAGGGCAAAUUAGGGCGUGAAAACUAAAACGGAUGUAAACUGAAGAGAAGGCAAGGAUUAGAAAACAGAGAAUUCUGAGGAUUAGGGGCGUAACGUAUUAGGGGUGUAUUAGGCAAUACAUUGAACCAAACACCUACUUAAGAGGGGCUUAAGUGGGGCCCACGGAUUAGGGGUGUUUUGGCUAAUCCAAUACACCAAACCAAACAUAGUGUAAAUGACAUGAAAAUGCCAAAAAUAAUAAAAGAAAAAAUGAAGCAAUAAGAGCACACCAAAAAGUAAAAAUAAGAUAACAAUGACGAUAAUAAAUUAAAAAUGUGACAAUAAAAGCAUGUGUACAAUCCAAUUUACGAGUAUGUGUAAAAAAUAAUAAUAAUAAUAAAUAUAUGAUAAAUAUAUGGGUACUAAUAAUAAUAAUAAAUAAAAUAAUAAUCAUGAUAACAAAUGCACAAAAAGAAAAUAAAAAAUAAAAAAGCUAAAAGAAAAAAGAAAAAAAUCACGAUAAAGGAAAAUAAAAUAAAAAACAGUUUUAAAUAUUAAAAAAUGGUAAAAAAAACUAAUAAAUAAGUAAAUAAGCAAGUAAAUAAAUAAAUAAAGGACUCAAUCGCAACUUAAAUAGAAUUAAAAGUAUAAAUCAAGAAAAAUACAUAAAUAAAAUACCAAAAUGAAAAGCGUGAAAACAAACGAGGACCAAAUGAGAAAUUAUCCCAAUCCUCUGAACAUGCGUCCCUUCUCCAUGAGAUUAGCGAGCCAGGGACUAAAUUGAAAUGCGUGAAAACUUCAGUGGCCAAAUCUAUAAAAAAAAGAAGUAAAAAAGGGACUAUAUUGAAACGUGAUGUAAAAGCGGAAGGAUUGACUACGCAAAUAUGCCAAUUUUCAAAAACAAGCGGAUCCCAAGGGUUAAUGGAUCGGGAAAUUGGGUCGGCCCAAAACGACGACGUUUUGGGCAUCAGAAGCCAAUCCCAAAGCGACGUCGUUUUGGGGGGGCUUAUUUAAGUUAAUUUUUUUCAAAAAAUUUCAUUUCUCUCUUGCUUUAUAAAAAACUGCUUUCAACUCUUUUUUUUUCUCUGAAAUUUCCCUAGGGCCGGCCAUCCGGUCCAGUGGCCUCUCGUCGACCACCGGUCACCGGUGACAAUGCCGCCGUCCAUGGUGGUCGAAACCCCUAAAAAAUCCCUUUUUGGCCCUUUGUUUAAAAAAAACUUAGGUUUUAGAUCUAAAGGCAAAUGCCUAAAAAAUAGAAAAAAAGAACAAAAAGAAAUUCGGCCUCUGCCCUUUUUUUGCCUAUUUGCCCUAUCGUGUUCCCUUCUUGACGAAGGCCGAACGGUGCCCUAAGGACCUACGACAAGCGUGACGCGAGUAGACAGGUAAUAGAUUUUAUUUUUUUUAUUAUUUUCCUAUUUUAAGAAUAAAAAAAAAAGUGAGUCACCCAUUUUUUAAUCUGAUUUUCUUUUUCAAAAAAAGUCCCUUGAUACAAUCUGUUUUAUGGCUUUUAUAGCCAUCACAUACAUUUUUCUAUAUUUUUACUGAUUCUACUAUUCUUGCUUGGUUGUCUUUCGUCCUUUUUCACUUUUUUUACAGGCAUCGACGCGCGGUCAACAAUGGGGAGAAAAUGGCGCCCUUGCUAUUUUUUUGAAAUGGCAGCAGGGGCAUCAGACCUCGGGACGAGGUGCCUCGAGCGGCGUGCAUACGAAAGGGGGUGCGAGCUAGAGGCUAGGGUUUUUGUUUUUUUUCUAAAAUAGUUUAGGCUAUUGGGUCUAGGGCCAUAGGGUUUUUUUUAAUUUUGGGCCAUUUGGGCUUGUAACAUAUUGGGUUAUAUUUGUUGUAAAUGAACAGUUUUUUAUUUUGGACUUUAUUAUUUUUGGUUUAAAUUUUUGUAAUUUGGGCCUAGGCAAAAUUGGGUCAUUACAACUGCCCCUUUUUGCUCGUUGACAUGUAACGUGAAUAGAGCAAAGGCCUUAAAAGGGUCAACUUUGCCUGGUCUUGCCGAAUCUCAACUUCUUUGGUACUUCUCUUUUUUAAGUGGUUUCAUCCUAUCCCACAGCAACUUCAGGGGUAUAGGAAUUGUAGUUUCAAUAUACUCCACUACAACGUCAAGGAGAUAAGAUUUGUAGCUUGUAGCUUUAGUCUAUUCCACUGCAACUUCAGAGAGAUAAGACCUGCUAUGGUAGAUUUAAUCUGACCCACUGCAACUUCAGAGGUAUAGGACUUAUCGUUUCAAUCUACUCCACUGCAACUUCAGGGAGAUAAGAUUAGUAGCUUCAAUCUGCUCCACUGCAACUUCAGGGAGAUAAGAUUUGUAGCUUCAAUAUGCUCUACUGCAAUUUCAGAGAGAUAAGAUUUGCUAUCUUCGAUCCACUCCGCUGGAAUUUCAGAGAGAUAAGAUUUGUAGCUUGUAGUUUUAGUUUAUUCUACUACAACUUCAGGGAGAUAAGACCUACUAUGGUAGAUUUAAUCUGACCCACUACAACUUCAGAGGUAUCGGACUUAUCAUUUCAAUCUACUCCACUGCAACUUCAGGGAGAUAAGAUUAUUAGCUUCAAUCUGCUCUACUGCAACUUUAGAGAGAUAAGAUUUGCUAUUUUCAAUCCACUCCACUGCAAUUUCAAGGAGAUAAGAUCUGUAACUUCAAUCUGCUCCACUACAACUUCAGGGAGAUAAGAUUUGUAAUUUGUAGCUUUAAUCAAUUCCAUUGCAACUUCAGGGAAAUAAGAUUCGCUAUCUUCAGUCUGCUCCACUGCAACUUUAGGGAGAUAAGAUUUGUGGCUUUAAUCUGCUCCACUACAACUUCAGAGAGAUAAGAUUCACCAUGAUGACUUCAAUCCAUCCCACUGUAACUUCAGGGGUAUAAGAUUUGUGGCUUUAAUCUGCUCCACUGCAACUUCAGAGAGAUAAGAUUUGCCAUGAUAACUUCAAUUCAUUUCACUACAACUUCAGGGGUAUAGGAUUUGCGGCUUUAAUCUACUCCACUACAACUUCAGGAAGAUAAAAUUCACCAUGAUAACUUCAAUCCGUCCUACUGCAACUUCAGGGGUAUAGGAUUUGUGAUUUCACUGAUCUAUUACACCGUUCUCUAGGGAACAUAACCUGUAGAAUCCAUUUCAAGGGCCUAUAUUUAUGCCAAGUAAUUAGGAUGUUAUGGUCAGAAUGAAUCAAAUGCUCCUAACUAGAUGUGUAUGAAUGAUAUUUGCAUGAGUGCAGAAUGUUAUUUUUCGAGAAUGAUCCCCUUUUAAUGCUUAGGUUGUCAUUGCGCGUUGUUCAUCAAGGUUCUAUCACUGAUGUGUUUCCAUGCCUUCUUGUUUAGCUGGUAUCUUUGACAGAAAAUCCGAAGAAAUAGUCACAAUUUAGACUAUUCUUUCUCAAAUGUUUCCAACCCUUAAGUUUGGUUAGUUCUAACUAGUAGUCCUAUUUCAAGUUCCUGUACUAUUUAGAAGCCUUUCAGAGAAAUAUGCAAAACUCAUUUUACUUGAAUAUUAUUAGUCCAUUAAUCGUUAUUUCAAUGUAAAAAUGCUUGAAAAAGAUUGUAACAAUAGACAAGAUUGAAAUUUAUUGGGAGCAAGGUUCGAAAUGAAUGGAUUAACCAAAAUAGCAAACGUUGCUAAAAUACAAAAUAAGUAAGAUGAAAUUAGGUACCCCAAAUAUCGCAGCAUGAGCUUCUUUGCACAAACUUCUUGAGAACCAUUUUGAGCUUGAUAUGUGUUUAGGAGAUCCAGAGUACUUUGUUGAUGCCCCAAUACGUAACGUUCCUCCUCCUUGUUAAUUUUGAGAGGACAAGACUACCGCAUGCCCCAUCUUCGAUCAAAAUUUGAGCUGUCCUUUUUCGGGUUUUCAACUCAAAACCUCUUUGGUCUCAAGGUGCCUUUUGUGGGUUUUAGCCUUGGCCUCUCCUAUUUGUUUCUUUCUUUUUUUUUAGGUGAAAUACCUCUUGAUUGAAUCUGACUUCACAGGGUUAGGCAGGUUUUUUGCCAUCCAUUUCGGUCAGAAUCAGCGCUCCUCCAGAAAAUGUCUUUUUUUACCACAUAAGGUCAUUCCCAACUUGGCAUCCACUUUCCUCUGAAGUCCUUUUGUAUGGGAAGGAUCUUUUUCAAUACUAAGUCUCCCUCAUGGAAUUCUCUGGGGUGAACAUUUUUGUUGUAAGCUCGCAUCAUUCGUUUUUGGUACAUCUGAUCAUGACGGAUAGCUUUCAACCUCUUAAGUUCAACUGAUCAUAUCGAGAUUGGACUCAUUCUGCUUCAUCUAACUUCAACUCUGAUAAAACUCGGAGGGAAGGAAUCUCGACUUCAAUCGGGUCGGCCCAAAACGAUGCCGUUUUGGGCGUCAGAAGCUAAGCCCAAAACAACGUCGUUUUGGGGAGCUUAUUUAAGUUUUUUUUUUUUCAAAAAAUUUCAUUUCUCUCUUACUUUUAAAAAACUACUUUCAACUCUUUUUUUUCUCUAAAAUUUCCCUAGGACCGGCCAUAGGGUUCGGUGACCUCCCGUUGUCGACCACCAGUCGUUGGCGACGGUGCAGCAGUCCACUGUGGCAGGAACCCCAAAAAAUCCCUUUUUGGCCCUUUUUUUUAAAAAAAAAAACCCUAGGUUUUAGAUCUAAAGGCAAAAGCCUAAAAAAUAGAAAAAAAAAAAGAAUGAAAAGAAAUUCGGCCUCUACCCUUUUUCUGCUUAUUUGCCCUCUCAUGUUCCCUCCUUGACGAAGCCCGAACAGUGCCCUAAGGACCUACGACAGGCGUGGCGCGAGUAGACAGGUAAUGGAUUUUAUUUUUUAUUAUUUUCCUAUUUUACGAAUAAAAAAUAAAAAAAAGUGAGUCGCCCUUUUUUUUAAUCUGAUUUUCUUUUUCAAAAAAAGUCCAUUGAUGCAAUCUGUUUUAUGGUUUUUAUAGCCAUCACAUACAUUUUUUUAUAUUUUUACUGCUUCUACUGUUCUUGCUUGGCUGUCUCUCGUCCUUUUUCACUCUUUUUGCAGGCAUCGACGCGCGGUCAACAGCGAGGAGAGAAGGGCGCCCUUGCCAUUUUGGUGAAAUGGCGACAGGGGCGUCAGACCUUGGGACGAGGUGCAUUGGGCGACGUGCACACGAAAGGGGGGUGCGAGCUGGAGGCUAGGCUUUCUGUUUCUUUCUGAAACAGUUUAGGCUAUUGGGUCUAGGGCCAUUAGGGUUUUUUUAAAUUUUGUGUCAUUAGGGCAUACGAAAUGGAUAGUUUUUUAUUUUGGACUUUAUUAUUUUUGGUUUAAAUUUUUGUAAUUUGGGUCCAGGAAAAAUUAGAUCAUUACACAUGAUAUUUUAAAAACUUCUCUUAAAAGAGUCUGACCCCUCAACAAUGUUAUAGAGCAAUAAUUUGAAAUAGUCAAGAAACUUGUAGGAAGGGUAUAGCAAGAGGGUUGGAGGGUUGACGCCAGAAGUCAAGAGAUAUCUCCAUAAUGGUCACUUGUGUUGAGUGGUCUGCUUUUCUUCUAAGGGGUGAUUGAAUUUUCUACAUUGAAAACGAAGGUAGAGGACAAUUGCUUUUUUGUCACUAUUGCUACAAAUGCCAUUGAAUUUCCACAAGAAAUUUAUCCCAUAUUUAGUUAAGGGAACCUCACUUGACUUGACGCACAAGUCAAGAUAUAUCUCUGAAAUGUAAGUAUUAUACACUUUUAUUUUUCCUAUUAUAUCAAAUAAUUUUUUUUAUAUUUAUGUCAUGUAAUUAUAUUAUGCGGUAAAACGUAAAAUUCUAAUGAAUAAUGACUUUCGAUAUUGCCUAACGUGUCAUCAUGUCUAUGCUAUUUUUGUAUUAUCCUUGUUUUCAAGGCAAUAUAUAUUUAUAUAAAUUUUUUAAAUUUUGUUUUAGGUAGAUUUUUACAUGUUUUUUAUUCAUGUCAUGUUCAUUUUUUUAAUUUUUUUCAUAUUUUAUUUAUUGAAUGUUGGGCUUAAAAUAUUAUAAACGUUCCUAAUUAUAUAUUAAUUUUACAUUAAGUUUUAACAGAUAAAUUUAGCAUUAUUAUAUUAUAUUAUACUAAAUUUCUUAGGUCAAAAUUAUCUUUGAUUUUUUAUCCAAUUAGAUAUUCCUACACAUUUUUUUAUUUCUAAUAACAAAUUUAAAAUUAUCUAUAUCUAUCUAUAGUACAAACUAGCUCUUAAGAGAGUUUUAAGAGUAAAUGAGUUGAUAAUAGUGUUUUUCAAUUUUAUCUAUAUAUUAAUAUUUUUAGCUCUUAAAAAUCUAAAUUAUAUUUAAUAUUUAUUUACAACUCUAAAUAUCAAAGCUUGAUUAGAUAUAGGUUAUUUGAACUUUUCAUUUUAAAUAAAUUUGAGGAAAUUAAAAAUGGAAAUUUUAAUUAAUUUUUUUAAAAAAAUAACAUGAUUUUGAUUCAUUUCAAUGUAUAAUAAUUUUAAACUAACGUUUUUUCUUCAGUAAAUUUCACUUUAAUCCCUUUCUUUACUUCUUUUAAAGUUAUUUUUAUUUUUUGCCCUUUAUUUUUCUUCUCAUUUAUAAAGUCUUUAAUCUUAUAUGUUUCGAGUAUCAAAGUGUAAAUAAAUAUAAAUAUUAAAAAAAUACCUAAAUUUUAAAAUAAAAAUAAUUAAUAAUAAAUAUUUAGCUUUUGUAGUACAGAUGUAUAAUUCAGACAAUUUUAAUAUAACAAAUAAUCAAGUAACUGGGAUUUAAUAUUUAAUUAAAAAUAUUCAUCCAAAAAUUGUAAAUCGCAUAACAUUAAAACUCUUUAAAUAAUAUGUCACAUACAUGAUCCCUUUUUUUUUUUUUGUAAAUAUACAUGAUCUGUUUUUAUUUAUAAAACUUCCUUUUACCUCAUUUUUCUUCAUUAAUGUCUAGAAAUUUGAAGGGAGUCCUGUACCGAUUACAUUUGAAACCUAUCAAGAAUGAGCUUUUGAUUGUUAUAUUAGAUGUUUUCCUAUUAGUUUAAGAUCCCCAAUAAUUAAGCAUGCUUUCUUAAUAAUUGGAAAAUAUUUAUUUAAAAUAUUACUUUUGAAAGUAUUUCUGUGAAGUGUGUCUCAUAUUUUCGGUCAAACUAAAUGGCAAAGCAGGGGCAGCGUCGCGACAUUCGAAACUAAAUCGAAGCAGGGCCGAUGUCAUGAUGAGGGGACCUACGAUGUCGCGACGAUGCGACGAGACAACCACGUCUCUUGACAACUCUAUGGAUUUUCUUUCUUCCCGUUGAACUUUGAUUCUCGGUUCUCUUUUCCUAAUUUAACUCUAACUAUUCUAGGGAUAUUUUUGUAAUACCCUAUAUGUUACACCCUUAACCAGUCUCUAUCGUCAGAUUAAGGUUACAAAUAUUACCAAGCAAAACAGAACAUUUAACUUCACAACAGAAACAAUUAUAUUAAUUAAAUGUAAUCAUGGUAAAAAUACAAUUAUAGGUCUUAACUCGAGUUUACAGGACCCAAAAAACAGUUUGGGAACAUUUAGAGAUCAAUUCGAAACAAAUCAAAAAAAUUUGAAAAAACAUGAAAAUUUUAGAAACAGGGAUCACACGAUCGUGUGACAUAGCCCAAAUUGUGUGGACAUUCGAAUUCUGAACACACAGUCGUUUCCCAACCCGUAUGAGUAUUCGGAAUAAGGCUACACCAACAUGUUACAAUUAAGUCCUGUGUCAAACCAUGUGUGCAUUCGAUACUUUUGUCACACGACCUGUGAUGAAAACAAUAAUUAUACACGGAUGUGUAGGGUGACCGAAAAUUCAUAUACAGACUUAUUUUGAAUGUUGUAAUUUUCCACCAAAAACAAAGUCGCUGUGGAAUUAAAAUUUUGGUCCUAAGGCCCGCUGGAUUUUUCACAACCACUACUAUUAGACUAGAAUUAUGUCUCCACGUAUGAUCGGGUUUAAAAAAAUUAUUAAAAAAAUUAUUUAUUUCUAAAAUUAUUAUAAUAUUAACAUAGAAACUAAUUUUGUGAUUAUUGUUUAUAAAGAAUAUAAAGUAUUAAAUUAUAAUGAUAUCAUCAUGAAGAAAAAUAUUUUAAUUUAUAAAAAGUAUAAAAUUUAUAUAUUAUCUUUUGAAUAAUUUAAAUUAGAGAUAAAUCUCGAAAUUAUACAUGAACUUUGAUUUAAUGUGAAAUUGUAUACAUAAACUUUAAUUUGAUUUAAUAAUUUACAAGAAUUUGAUCAAAAUAAAAUUUCAUGUAUAAAAUUGUAUAAAAUCAAAGUUCAUAUAUACAAUUGCACAUUAAACCAUAGUUCAUGUAUAGUUUUAAGAUUUAUCCAUUUAAAUCAUAAUGAUAAGUUUUAUAUAUUAAAUUAAUAUAUUUAAUCUUCCUUUAAACGGAACAUGCUACUUGUUGAGUUAUUAUAUUUAUUCUGCGAUUUAAUUUUAAAUUUUAUUUGUCAAUCUUCAUAUAAUUAUUAGAAGAAGGAAUUUAUGACCAUAAAAAAUAAAGAUAUAUUUAUCAACUAAAUAAUAAAAAAAUAUUAAAAAAAUAAAAAAAUUCCUACAGAAGGACAAUAUCUUUAGUUAUUAAAGGGAUCUGUUGAUAAUCAAAGGAUAUUUUAAAAACUUUUCUUAAAAGAGUGGGAUCAUCAAAUGCUGAUAGAGCAAUAAUUUGAAGCAGUCAAUAAACUUGUAGAAAGGGUAUAGCAAGAGGUUUGAAGCAGGCAAUAAACUUGUAGAAAGGGUAUAGCAAGAGGAUGGAAGCUUGACGCCAAAAGUUGUGUUGAGUGUUCUGGGGUGAUUGAAUUUUCUACAUUGAAAACGAAGCUAGAGGACAAUUGUUUUCUUGUCAAUAUUGCUACAAAUGCCAUUGAAUUUCCCACAACAAAUUUUCUACAAAUGCUUUUCAAUUUUGAAUCAAGUUGGUUUAUGAUUGGAAUUACUUGCUGCAAUAAGUUAGUUAUUUCAUUUUUUUAUUUAAUACCAAAAUUAAAUAAGUUUUUAUUAUUAUUCUCAUUAAAAACCCGUUAAAGUUUCAGUUUUUCUAUUUAAUAUUGCAACUUUAAUUCUAUUGAAUGUUUAGGUUACUCUUUGUUUUUCAUUAAUACUUUUGGUUUUUUUUUUAAAUAUAAAAAGCUAUUAUAUAUUAGUUAUUACUUAUUAAGAUAUCAACAUUGUUAGAGCAAAAAAAAUCUGUGUGAUGGUAAAAAAAUAUAUACAUAUUCUUUUUGGUGAAUUAUAAUAACAAAGUAAAAUCUGAACAACUAACGCAACUAGUGCGACUUGAAUCCAGGUCAUAUAUGAGGUGUAGUUAAAUGAGAAAGACAUUGUAUAUAAUAAAAUAGAUGUGAAAAAAAAAUUGUUUCAUUAAUUAUUAAUAAAAUAAAAAUAUGAUUCAUUUGCAUUUGGUAAAAUUUAAUUAAACAAUAAAAUGUUUUUUUUAUUCUCAUAGAAGUAUAUUUCAUUGAAUAAUUUAAUUGCUUUUAUUGAAAUUAUCGUGGUAUAUACGAAUGUUGCUUAGAAUUUUUUUUUUGUAACAAAUAUUUUUCAUUGUCAUAUAUUGCAUAUGAUAUAAAGGCAAUAUUUGAAUGGAGCAUUGGUUAGUUUUUCACAGUGAAUCCUCCACAAUAUUCCUUUGUUUGAAGUUGCGGAAACAUGUCUCGUGUUUUUAUAAGAUACAUGCAUUUAAUUGGUUUCAAACAAUUCUCCUUCAGUAUUACAAAAAAUUAUGGAUAAAAGUAACUCUUUUAUAAAAUAGCUGCCGAUGUUGACGGAGAACUUCAUACUCCAAUUGCAAUGCAAAAGGCAAAGGUAAUGAGAAUUGUAAGCUACCAACCCGCCUAAACCUUAGAUUCGAAUUCGAAAGAUUAUAUUGGCUACUAAAAUGACUCAAUAAGGUAGCGGAAUUUAUAAAAUAGUCGUUUUAAAACAUUUGUUUAUCUUUAGAGGAAGUUUUGUCUAUUUUCAAAAAAAAAACUUAGCGUUUUAUUUCCCUUCUUACGAAAUAAUAAAGUUAAUCCAAAACUAAUUGAUUUAUAAAUUAGCUACUCGUUUAAAAAUUCAUUUUCCAACAAUGCAGCAGAAAAGUGAUACUAACAUAGUUUUAAUGAAAACCAUGUUUUAUGCAUUAUAAAAUAAAAUAAAAACUCAAGUUUUAAUAGCCUAAAAAUACCAUGCAUGCCCUAAAUAAACUCAAAACUAACUCUUGUGCCACAGUUUAAAAGUUCUCAAAAAAUAGGAACUAUAUUAAAUAAUAUUAGGUAAAAAAAUAUUUAUAUAUCUUUAAUCCAAGACUAGCCCUCCGAUUUCCCGAUUUUACUUCCUAACCUGAUGGAUUAUCUGUAAAUAUGUAAAUUAAAAAGGAGUGAGCUAUGAAGCUCAGUGUGAGUUCAGUCAUAAGAAAACUGGAACAAAACUGUAGGCAAAGCACAUCGGUUAGCAAUUCUGAGAAUAAUCACAAUCAUAAAGCAUUUCAAAUUAACAGUUUUUCAUAUCAUCACUUCACUAUUUCAUAAAUCACAAUUUUAUAUGCACAUGCUAAUGAAUGACAAUAUAAUUUCAAUUUGUUUGAAAAUAUCACUCUAGGUUGCGGAUGAACCAUCGUUGAUUUGCAGAUAAACUGCCACUUGUUUCUGGAUACGCGAUGUAAUUGCAGAAGCCUUUUUCAAUCAAUGAGAACAAAGCCCCGGGUCCGGAUGGCUUUAAUUUAUGCUUUUUUUUUUAAAUGUUGGGAGGUUCUUCGAGAGGAUUUGUUUGAGAUGAUGGCAAAGUUCUUUAAAUCUGGAAAAUUGGAGAAAAAGUAUAAACUCGUAUUUUAUUGCAUUAAUUCCCAAGAACGAUAAUCCGCAUGAUAUUUCCAAAUUCAGACCAAUCUGUUUGGUGAGCUCGCUGUACAAAAUUAUUGCUAAGGUUCUAUUGAGAAGAUUACGAAUUUUAUUGGGGAUGUGGUCAGUGAUACGCAAUGUGCCUUCAUUUGAGGUAGACAUAUUUUCGAUGGAAUUUUAAUCGCAAAUGAAUUGAUACAUUCGGUCAAGAAAAAGGAUGGCUCCGGGGUUAUUUGUUUUUUAAGUUGGAUUUUUCUAAGGCAUACAUUUGUGUGAAGUGGGAUUUCUUAGAAUUGAUAUUGUUGAAGAUGGGUUUCGGCUAGGAUGGACGGGAUGGAUGGUGGAGUGUGUGUCAACAACGAGGGCUGCAGUGCUAAUUAAUGGUGCAGUUACAAAUGAGAUCAGAAUAUUCAGAGGUCUCCGGAAAGGGGAUUCUUUAUCUUCAUUUUUAUUCAUUCUUGUGACGGAAGUUCUGCAUCUGAUGUUGGUGGAAGCGGAGUAGUUGAGGGUAAUUGAACGGAUAAAAGACGUUAUUCAUGGGCAGUCUGUUUCACAUCUUCAAUUUGUAGAUGACACCAUUUUAUUUUUGAGGGCUGAUGUAACAGCUCAAUUUUCAGUAGUGUUAGAACAGUGAUUUGAGAUCACUAAAUUCGAUGAAAAAGUUAGAAAAAUUGAUUAAUUAAUAAUUAUAAGUUAAGUGUGAUUUUAGAAAUAUUUUUAAAUUAGUGAAUUUUGUGAUUUAAAAGAAAUUAUUAGGUAAAUUGGGUCAAAAACGAGGUAUCGAGACCUCGAUAUUAUAAACUGAGCUGUAAAUAUUUUUAUAAAUAUUUACGGAGUGUCAUUAGGGUAGUAUUAAAGUUUCGUUAAGAAAUUUUAACGUUUCGAUGGUUAAUUGAUUAAAAAGAACAAAAUUGAAAAAAAAAUGUAUUCCCGAGACUCCGUUUCGUAACUCGAAUUCAUAAAUAUUUAUUAUAAAUGUUGACACCAUUUUUUUAUCGAAAACGGGGUCGACUUGGGUUUUGAAAAAAAUGAAAAUGGGAGUCGCCACCGAUCCUUUUUGAUGAGGUGUGAUCGAGUCAUCUUAAAAAAAAGGGUUGUUUUUAAUAAAUAAUUUGAUUUUAUUAAAACAACGGUUUUGGUCCACGAAAUUUAGAAAACGGGUUCGGGAGUCGGUUACGUACAAGGAAGGAUUAGCACCCUCGUAACGCCCAGAAAUUGGUACCUAGUUGAUUAACUAAUGUCUUGAUAUCGAAAAUUGAAAACUUGAAAAAAUUAAAAAUAUGAUCCUUGUAUUAAAAUGAUUUUUUUUUAAAAAAAGGGGCAUAUUUCACGUUUAAUCGAGAAAGAAAGCAUCAUAUCCAGUAAGUUAGGACACAAUGUCUCGAAUUCCCGACACGUAAAAAUGCCAAAAUUUUACUCAUUUAAAAGACAUUUUAGCCAUCUUGAGUUUAAAAAUAAGAUCACGACCAGUAAGUUAGGACGUGUCUCUUUUUUAAAUCCCGAGAUAGUUUGAAAUUUGAGUUCGAAAAUUUUGUGCAUUUAGAUUUAUUGUAAAAAUCGAAACCCAGUAAGUUAGGGUACGAUUUUCUCAAAUCUAAACACGAAAUGCCAUUUUUUUAAAACAAAACUUUCUAUAUCGGGUAAAAUAAAACACGUAAUUGUAGCAAGGAAUAUGAAAGCAAGUUACAUUUUAUUAUGCAUAGCAAAACCAUAAUGAAUAUGAAAGUAUAAAAAAUAUAAAAAUAUGAGCAAUAGCAACGAUAUAAAAGGCCAAAUUUACAACAUAAACAAUAGCAAAGCAUAAAAACGAAUAAAACUAAAACAUUCAUUCAAAAUAAUAAUGAAAAUGAAAUAAAUAAAGAGUAAAUACAAUAAAAAAAACAAAGAGAUAUAUAUAUGUGUAUAUAGGUAUGUAGAUAGUUUUAAGCUAUAAAGUAUAAAAAUAUGUGCAUAUGUGAAUUAUAAAAUAUAUAAAGACCAUAUAUAGGACACGUAUUUAAAAAUAUAAAGAAUAUGUAAGUGUAUAUAUAUUUAUGAAACAAGAUAUGUAUAUAGAUAUAUAGAUAUGUAUAUAAAUUCAAAUAUAAAGAUAUAAAUCUAUUUAUAAAAAUACAUACAUAGAUAUGUAUAAUAAUAUGAAGAUACAUAUGUAGGUAUAAGUAAAAUAUAUAUGUAAAAAAAAGGAAAUAUAAUAUAUACACAUAAAAAUAUACACGUUUUAAUAUGAAAAAUAUAUAUGAAUAGGUAUAUAAAUAUUCGUGAAAGUAAUAUUAAUACUAACAAUAAUAGUAAUAAUAACCAUAAUAAAAAUAAUAGUAAACUAAUAAUAAUAUUUAAAAUAAUAAUAAUAAUAAAUUGCUAAAAUAUGGGCUAAAUCAAAAUAAAAAUAAAAUGUAGGGCGAAAUUGAAAGAAAAAUAAAAUAAAAGGGACCAAAUCAAAAAGCGCGCCAAAAGGGAAGGGUCAAAUGGGUAAAUAACCCAACCGCCUCAAAACGCGGCGUAGCAGUUGGCCAGAUUGAAAUAAAAUUAAAAUUAUAGGGCUAGAUUAAAAAUAAAAGGAAAUAGCGAAAAGGACCGAAUUGAAACACGCGAAUCCUUUGGGUCGGGUCGGGUCGACGCGUGGAUUCCCCAUUACUCAAAACGGCGCCGUUUCAAAAUUAAUAUAAAUACUAAAAAAAACAGUCUUAAAAUCAUUUUUCAAAAAAAAAACAGAGAGAAACUCUCUCUCAUUUUCUCCCUCAGGCUCCGGUGCCGGUCAUCGGCCGAUCUAGGCCUCCGACGUGCCUCCGCCUUAGCACCGCCACAUGCGGUGGCCGGCGAUUCCAAAAUCGGAUCUUUUUUAUCCUCUUUUGAAGCCAGGCGUGUCCUCGGCACAAAUCUAGGGCCAAACCUCAAAAAGGAGUCCGAAGCCUGAAAAACGAGGGGAGACCGCUCGUCUUCUCCCUUCCGGCGCGGCGCAGGUAAGUUUUUUGUUCUUUUUGCUUGUUAUUUUGUGUAGAAGAUAAAAAUAAAAAACAAAGAAUAAAAAAAGGAAUAGAUUUGGACACCAAAAGAGUCACAUUUUUCUCUUGUUUUUGUUUUUUUUUUUUUUUUUGCUAAUCUCUGUUUUGUUACAAAAAUCGCUAGAAGAGCAAACAAAGUUACAUUUUUGGUUGGCUUUUAUAGCCGAUUUUCUACUACCUGCGUUCUUUGUUUGCUUGUUCUCUUCUUUGCAGGUAAUGGCGCAAGUGGGGGUGGCGACGUGACCGGGGCGGUGGCGACGUGACGUGGCUGCAGUGGCAGAAGACCAAAAGUCAGAGGGGGGCAGUGCCUAGGUGCGACGCUAGGGUUUCCUUUCUAAAACCCUAGGCAAAUUUUUUUAUUAUUGGGCCUCGGGUUAGUGGGUUGUUGGGUCUAGUUUAGUUGGGUAUUGGGUUGCUGCUUUGGGCUUUGGUUUGUAAUUGGGUUAGGCUGUUGGGUUUAUUUUUGGGUUUGUUAUUGGGCUAUUCAGGUUUGGGUUGGUUAUUGGGCUGAGGUUUGCUGGGUUAUAAUUGUUUUUGUUUAGUUUAGGGUUAAUUGGGUUUUGGGCUAAAAAUUGGGCUUGUACAAUAAAUAUUUAUGAAGUUAGUUGUGUAGUUAAUUAGGUUUUAAUUAAGUGAAUUUGUCUAAAUUGAGGUUAAUUAUGAAAAAGGAUUAAAUUACAAUAGAGAUAAAAGUUUAAUUAUAGAUUAAAGAAAAGUUAAAAGGACCAAAUAGGCAAUUAUACCUUUUUCUAAAGUUGAGUCUAGGGGUGGGCAAAACUCGAUUCAACUCGAAAAAAUCAAAAAAAAAUUCGAAUUUAGAAAUAAAUGAAUCGAGUUAUUCGAAUCAACUCGAAUUUUUUUUUCAAAUUUUGAGUUCCAAUCGAGUUGAGUUUUCGAAUUCGAAUAACUCGAAUAAUUCGAAUAAUUCGAAUAUCAAACUAUAAUAUUUUAUAUUUUUACCCCAAACUCCCAAACCUUUUUACUUUUCCCUCAAACUUUUACUCCUUCCCACUUUCCCCCCAAAACUUUUACUCCCCUCCCCUCCCAACCCCCCAAUCUACCCAAAAUCCAUUUCCCACCAAAAUUUUACUCUCCCAUUUACUUUUUCUCAAAAUUUUACUCCCAAAAACCCUCAAGACCUUUUAUUUUCCCCCAAAAUUUUUACUCCCUCCCACUUUUCCCCUAAAACUUUUAUUUCCUUCCCAUCCCACCUCCCACCUCCCAUCUACCCCAAACCCUACCCCCUCCAAUUUUUUUUUUAAUAUUUUCCCUCCAAAAUUUUACUCCCCCUAUUUACUUUCCCUCAAACUUUUAUUCCCCAAAACUUUUUAUUUUCCCCCUAAACUUUUACUUCUGACACUUUACUCUCAAAUAAAAAAUCAAAAUUAUCUAAAAAAAAUCACUAAAUAUAAAUAGUAAUAAUUUUAUUUAUAUCUACUAUUUAUAUUAUUAAAUUAAAUUUCACAUUUUAUAUUAUUUAUAUUAUUGAAUUGUUUAGUCAUAUUGAAUAUUUAUAUUAAAAUUGAAUUAUUAAUUAUACCAUAAAAUAUUCGUGUUAAAAUUUUAUAUUGGUAUCAAUUUCACAUUUUAUUUUUAAAAUAACUUUUAUUAAAAAAUCAUAUUUUUACAUUGAAUAUAUUUUUUAAUUCCAAAAUACAUAGUGAUAAGAAUCUGAAGAUAAUUGAAACAACUAAGUAAGCAAAGAAGCUAACCAAUAUAUAAAAAAUUAAUAAAUAAAUUAUGAGGUGAUGAAAGUUAAUAAAAAAUUUGAUUAAGGUGGACAAAUUUUAUUACGAUGGGCGACAGGGGUUACAAGAACCCAAAAUUAUUUUUUAAAAUUUAACUCGAACAAAUAUAUUCGAUUUGAUUCGAUUCGAAUUCCAUCUCACUUGACUCGAUUCGAGAAAAUUUCAAAUAAAGUUAGGAUGGUAAAAUGAGAUUUCAAAUUUUGAUUAACUCGAAAAUUUUUUAUUCGAUUCGAUUCGAUCGAAUCCCACCCCUAGUUGAGUCAGCACAUGCAUGACAAAAAUCUUAGAUUUUUUUUAAAGUAUGUUAUUAUUUUAUUAUAUUGUAAAUUAUAUUAAUUAUAUUAUAUUAUUAUAUUUUAAAUAAACAAAUUUGUUGACAAAUGUAUGGUGCAUAUGAUGACAUGUGGAAAAAUGAAAUACAUAUAUUAGUAAUUAUUACAUAUUUACUUAUUAUUUAAGUAAAUAAUUUUAUAUUAUUAUUUUAUUUUUAUUAUAUUAAACUAAUUAAAUAAAAGAAAUAAAAGAUAGAAAAGAGAAUAGAAACAGAAUAGGCAAACGAAACAGAGAAGGAAAGAAGGAAAGAAAAAAAAGAAAGAAAGAAAAGGGAAAAUUGAGGUUUUGAGGUUCCAAGCUCAAUUGGUAAGUCAAAUUAAGUCUUUUUCUUAUACUUUUUGAGUUUUUUAGAGUUCUAGAACAAAAUAUUUCAUGGUUUAUGUUGAAAUUUUGGAAGUUAUUAUAUUUCUAGACAUUGAUUAUAUUGAAUAAAUGAAAGCAUUAGGGGUUAAAUUGAUUGAAAUUCAAGUUAGAAGUUAGUAAAUGAUUUAAUUGUAAAAUAAAGUGUAAGUUUUGAAUAGUAGGGACUAAAUUGAAAGAAUCCCGAAAUUAGGGAUUUAUGGUGAAAUUGAAGAGCUAAAUUGAAUUAUAGUAAGAAUUAAGAGAGAAUAUGGAGUUAGAAUGGGAAAAUAAAAUUAGUAUUGAUAAGGGAUUAAAUUAGAAUUUGGGUAAAGUUUAGGUAUAAAUGGAAAUAUUUUAAUGAAAUUGUGUAUUAAUGAUUUUUAAUUGUUUAAUUAUGUAGCUAAUGUCGUGCAAGAGUCAUUGUCCGAGAAAGGAAAGGAGAAGGUGGACAGUGAUUGACUCGAGAGAAAUUUCGGUUAGUAUUACCAUAAUUCGAAUUUAAUUAUUAAUUGAUAAAAUUUAAAUUAAUAUACAUGAUAAGCAAAUUGGGGUAAGUAUCACGAUUGAAUUGAAUGAUAAAUACAUAUUGGUAUUGAAUUUAUUAAUAGUAAUUGUUGAAUUUUGAAUAUGUUUAGUAAAUAAAAAAAUAAGGUGAAUAUCGAUAUUGAAUUGUAUGUGAAUUGAAUGGAAAUUACUAGUGAUAUGAUUUGAAUUAAAAGAAUUAAUGUGGUAUUGAAAUGUAUAUUGAAUGAAAAAUAAUUAGGGAUUUGAAUUUGAUUGGAAAAUGAAUUAAAAUAUGAAUUGAACAAAAGUGAAUUAAAUUAUGAUUAUGUGUGAAUAUGUGUAUUGUGAAUUGAUAUGUGAAUUGGAAAUCGAGAUAUGAGAUUUGAAGAUAUGUGAAUAUGUGAAUAGUGUAUUGAUUGAAAAGUGGUUUGAAUGAAAUUAGAUUGAAUUGUGAUUAUAUGUGAGUAAUUGAGAUGAAUAUUGAAUUAAGAAAGUGAAAUUGAAAUGUGAUUAUUGAAUAGAAAAUGAAAUGGUUUGAAUUGAAUUAUUGAAUUGAACUGGAAUAUUGAAAUUGGUGAUUGAUAUGGAUUUUAUUAGAAUUGAAUUGAGAAAAUGGAAAUUAAUAUGUGAGACUGAUACUGAAUUGAAUUAUGGAAUACUAAAGUAAUGAAUUACUGCAAUACUGUGAAACUGAUUGAAAUAAGGAAUUUUAAUUGAUACUGAACUAAGAUGGAAAUUGUACUAAAAAGUAAAUUAAAUACCCUAUUAACUAGUCGGGCUAGUCGGAUAUAGUUGGCAUGCCAUAGGAUAUGAAAGAGUACGGGUUUUUGCCGGCUUACUGAUCAGGCACUUAUUUGCCGACUACUGUUACUGUUACUGAUUCGAUACUUUGUGUGUCGAAUAUUGUUACCGUUACUGUUACAGAUUCAGCACUUUGUGUGUUGAAUACUAUUACUGUUACUGUCACUGUUACCGCUACCGUUAUUGUUUACUGAUUAGGUACUCUGUACUGUUUUAGGCACUAUGUGAUGUAUUGGUGUGCUGGUUGGAAUCCGUGUAUCCGCCAAAGUCCAAGUCAAGUUAAUAGGGGUAAAUGAAUAAUUUUGUUAAUAUAAAUUUUAUUAAAUGAUCUUGAAUAUGAAUCGAAAAGAGAUAUUAAAUUGAGAUAUAGAAAAUGAAAUGUAUGAACCAUAGGUUCAAGAAAUAGAUAAUGAUAUAGUUCAUGAAAUGGUUUUGGUAGUAUGAGAUGAUGUAAAAAUAUAAGUAAAGAAAAGUAAACUGAAAUAGCUAUUGUUGAGAAAUGAGAAGUGAAAAUAAAAUGAUUUGAAAUAGUGAAAUUAUAUGUGAAUUUAAUUGAAUACAAGUUAUUGAAAUUUAUUUAUGGAUUUAAUGUAUAAAUUGAUUGUUAAAAGAUUAUAAGUAUAAAAUUGAUUAUAACUGAACGAAUCGAAUUGAAAGAUAGUUAUAAUUAGUUAUUAUUAUUGAAACAUGUUGGUCUAAAUUUUAAUUUGAUUAUUAAAAUAUUGAAAGUAUAAAUUGAAUGUAUACAAUUUAUCGAUUAAUGUUAUUAAUUUGAAUUAUGGUAAUACCACUGAGUAUUCCCAUACUCAGCGUACAGUUGUUUCCGCGCGCAGGUUAGUAGAAAACCAGUGUUUGGUCCAGCAUCCAGAGCAAUCCCGACCUCAAAGAAAUUUUAGUGAUGUACCUUUGUUUUGAUAAUGUGGCAUGGACCUAGGUGAUGUAUAGGUUAAGUAUAAGAGUUUUGUGAUUACGGUUGUAGAAUGAUGUUUAAAUUGGUUAUAAGUAUGAAAUGGAACUAAUAUGACAUAUUUGAUACAAGUAUGUUAUAUCUGUUAUUUAUUUGUGAACUAGUUAUAAGUUAUCCGAUAUAUUCGGUAAUGCUUUGUAACCCUAUUCCGGUGAUGAUUUAGGGUUAAGGGGUGUUACAGCAGAUGAGGUUGUGGUAAGAAUUUCUAAGUACAUUCUUCGCUGUUUUGAAAUUUUUUCUGGAUUAAGUAUAAAUUUUCGGGAGUCUUGCAUAGUGGGUUUUGGUACUGAAUAGGAGUUUUUGUUCUAAAUGGCUGCUAUUUGUAAAUGCAAGAUAGGGAAAUUAUCAUUCAAUUUUUUGGGUAUAUCUUUAGAUGCUGAUCCAAGGAAGAUAUCUUCUUUGAAUGGUUUUGUGGAAAGAGUAGAGAGGAAAUUAUCGGGCUGGAAAAGUAAGUCUCUCUCUUGGGCAGGCAAAACUGUGCUUAUUAAUGCUGUGUUAUCCUCUCUACCUAUCUAUUUUAUGUCAAUUUUUUAAACACCUAUUGCAGUGAUUAAUAAGAUAGACAAAUUUAGACAAAAUUUUUUAUGGGGAAGUUCUUAGAACAAAAUGGCAGCAAACAUGAGCAAACACAAACAGCAAGCAAAAGAAAAGAAAACUGAUGAGCAAAAUUAUAACUGAAAGAAGAAGUUAUCCAUUUCAUUCACAAAUUUGAAAAUAUAUUAAAGUUACAGACUAAUUAGUCAAUUACCUAAACUUGUAACUGCUCCCACUAAUUUGUCUAAUUGAUAACUUAAGUAAUACAAAAGCAAAACUGAAAAAAGUCAGCUAUUACAUCCAUUAGUUUCAAAUCAAAAAUUUACCAACUUUAGAUAUCAAGUUACAUGCUAACUUGAUCACAUUACAAAAGAACAAAAUCAAACAAAGGAAGUAGACUGCUUCUGGUUCUGUCUCGAUGCUGGCAUGCUAGCUGAUUUGCUGCUGCUACUGCUCUUGGUUACUCGUUGCAUUGCAGUCCAUUGCUUAACACUCCUCCUUGGACUAUAGGCAACAAACACCAAUUGAAUCUCUCAAGAUUUUGAACCUUGCUGCACCAAGAGGUUUUGUCAAAAUGUCAGCCAAUUGAUCUUGUGAGCUGCAAUGAAUGAGACCAACUUCUUUGGAUUGUACAGCCUCUCGAACAAAAUGAAACUUAAGUUUAAAAUGUUUGGUUUUGCCAUGAAAAACUAGAUUCUUGGCUAUGGCAACUACUGAUUAGUUAUCCACCAUGAUUUCAGUAGGUUCAAGUUGUUCUUCAUUUAAAUCACAUAGCAACUUUCUAAGCAAAAUGGCUUGGCUUACUGCUGCUGUAGCUGCUAUGUAUUCAACCUCAGCUGUUGGCUGAGCAACUGUUUGCUGCUUCUUCGAGCUCCAGCAGAAAACUCCUGAGCCAAGUGUAAAGAAAUAGCCCGAGGUACUUCUCAUAUCAUCAACAGAUCCAGCCCAAUCACUAUCUGAGUAACCAAUCAGCUUAAGCUUACUUUCUUUCUUGAACAUAACCCCAAACUUCAAAGUUCCUUUGACAUACCUGAGUAUCCUCUUAGCUGCCUUGAAAUGAGUUGUAUUGCAGCAGUGCAUGAAUCUCGACAAUAGACUAACUGCAUGCAUAAGGUCAGGUCUGGUUGCUGUUAGGUUGAGCAAGCAACCAAUUAAGCUUAUGUACUCCCUUUCAUCAACUCUUUCUUGACUUCCAAAGCUAAUCAGUUUCUCCCCUUGAGCCAAUGGUGUGCUCACUGAUUUACAGUUUGUCAUAUGAAAAUUGUUGAGAAUUUUUAAGGCAAAGGCAUGCUGGCUGAUAAAAAUGCCUUGAUCAGACUGGCUUACUUCCAUACCAAGGAAGUAUGUCAUGAUUCCUAAAUCAGUUAUAUCAAAUACUUCUUGCAUUCUUACUUUGAACUCUUGAAUCAAAUCAACCUUGCUUCCAGUCACUAACAGAUCAUCUACAUAGAUUGAAACAAUCAGUAAAGUUUCAUCUUGACACUUUUUCACAUAAAGUGUAGGCUCACUCAAACUUUUCUAAAAAUUGAGCCUAAACAGGUAAGAAUUAAUCCUGUCAUACCAGUCUCGAGGUGGCUGUUUCAGCCCAUAAAGUGCUUUCUUCAACCUACAAACUUUGGCCACAUUACAUCUUUGUCCUAUUUUCCUUGGACCUUAAAACCAUCAUGUUGUUCAACAUAUAUCUCUUCUUUAAGAAGUCCAUUCAAGAAGGCUGACUUAACAUCAAGCUGAUGCAUUCUCCAUUGCUUCUGUGUAACCAAGGCAAACAGAAGCUUAAUGGUGUCUAGCCUUGCUACUGGAGCACAUGUCUCCGCAAAAUCUAUGCCAAACUGCUAGAUAUACCCUUUCACCACAAUCAUUGCCUUGUGUUUGUUUAAAGAGUCAUCAGCAUUGAAUUUAGCUCUAAAAACCCACUUGACACCUUGAUCUUCUUCUGGUCAGGUCUAUCCACCAGAUCCCAAGUGUCAUUUUUGUGGAUCAUAUCAAUCUCAGCUUCCAUGGCUUGCUUCCAAUGCUUAUUUCUUACAGCUUCUUCAAAGCUAGAAGGCUCAACUAUGGCCACAUUACAUCUUUGAUAGAUGUCAGCAAUGGACCUGGUCCCUCUUACAGGAGAAUCAUCUACAUUUGCAUUACUGGACUCAUUUUCUGUUAAUUCCAAACUGCUGUCAAUCUGAUCUUCUUCAAACUGACUUGUGUCUGAACCAUCCAAGCUCCAAAAUUUAUCUUCAUUAAAUUUGACAUCCCUACUCAUCAAAAUUUUCUUGGUUGAGGGAUCAAAUAUUCUGUAGCCCUUUUUGGUCCCACUGUAGCCAACAAAUAUCCCUAGAACUGAUCUUUUCUCAAGCUUAGUUCUUCUUUCAGCAGGUACAAGGACAUAACACACACAUCCAAACACCUUUAAAUGGGAAACAGUUGGUUUAAGACCAUACCAUACUUUAAAAAGAGUUUUAUCCUUCACAGCAUGUGUUGGCAGCCUAUUAAACAGGUACACAGAGGUGUUGACACCUUCAACCCAAAAUGUGCUUGGAAGUUUGCUUUGAAAUAGCAAACACCUAACCAUGUCCAUCACUGCUCUAUUCUUCCUCUCACACACCCCAUUUUGCUGAGAAGUAUACACAGUGGUCAAUUAAUGAUGGAUCCCAGCUUGCUCACAUAGCUUCUGAAAUCUUUCAAACAAAUAUUUAGUUCCAUUAUCUGUCCUCAAAACUUUAAUCCUGCAGCCUGUUUGAUUCUCUACCAAAGCUUUGAAUUUUGCAAAAGCUUCAAAUGCCUCAUACUUGUGCUUUAUGAAAUAAACCUAGGAAAAUCUGGUCAAAUCAUCUAUAAACAAUAUAAAAUACUUACCGCCAUUUAAUGAAGGGGUCUUCAUUGGUCCACAGACAUCAGAGUACACUAAUUCAAGCUUUUCUCGAGCCCUCCAUGCUUGGUUUACUAGAAAAGGCAGUCUAGCCUGCUUACCAAGCUGGCACACUUCACAAACAGACUCUUUUGAAUCAACCGUGGUCAUGUCCUCUGCCAAAUUCAACUUGUGCAGCAAAUCGAGUGACCUGAAAUUUACAUGGCCUAAUCUUCUAUGCCAUAGGCUAGUAUUGUCAGUUAAGCUUGUAUAAGCUUUUCUCUCAAGCUAACUUACAUCAAGCAUAAAACACUUGUCUGCCAUUGGUGCUGAGACAAUUUCUAUACCAUGAACAUCAUUAAUAACACAAGAACCAUUCUUGAAAACUAGUGAGUAGCCUUUUUCAACCAACUGACCUACACUAAGUAGGUUCUGAUCUAUAUCAGGUACAUAAAGCACAUCUGAGAUAACUUUGUUACCUGAAUCAGUGUUGAUCACCACAUCACCUCUGCCUUUGGCUUCAAUCAGAUUCCCAUUGCCUAUCCUGACCUUCGAGGUAAAACUUCUGUCAAGGCCUUUGAACAAACUUCCAUCAGCUGCCAUGUGAUGUGAGCAGCCACUGUCAACAAGCCAACUAGAUUUUACAUUGCUUGUGGUUGCAAAUCAUGAGGCAGUAAAAACAUGCUCCUCCUGAGCUUAAAGAUCCUCAGCAGUUUUAGCUUGUACUUACUGCUGAGCAUGAGCCUUCUCUUUGCCUUUGCAAAUUUUCUCAUGAUGGUCAUACUAUUUGCAACUCUUGCACUGAAUAUCUAGUCUAUUCCAGCAGUACUUUUCCAAAUGGUUUGUUUUCUUACAGUGAAUGCAUGGUGGAAACCUCCUUCUCCCUGCAUCUUUUCUUGAUUUCUCCCUUCUUUCAAAUCAAGGCUUCUUUGCUUUCUGACUUGAGUUAGAGCCUUCUUUGACUUUUGCUUGAAAGGCUCCUUCAGGAUGCUCUUCCUGCCUACUAGCCCUUCUCUGCUCAAGUGCAUAAAGUGAGUUUACCAACUCAGCCAAAGAAAUGGUUGUGAGGUCCGUAAUAUCCCGAAAAUUACUAUUGUAAUACCCCGAAAAUUACUACAGUAAGAAAGUAGGUAUCAUUGAUAGUAAAAUAAGGAAAUAAAGUGACAAAAAGGGAAAUUUUGAGUUAUAGCAACAUUGGGAAUUAUAUUAUGACAUAUUAAUUCAAGAAAGGAUUAAAUCGCAAAAGUGAGAAAAGUUUUGUUGCCCAAGAGUAAAUACUCAAAAUUUGAGGGAUUAAAGUGUAAAUAUGAAAAAGUUGAAGGACCAGUAGUGUAAAUAUUUUAAGAGUGGAAUAAUCUAGAAACUAAAGAAAAUGGAUGAAUUAGGACCAAAUUAAAAAGGUGAAGAACUUUGAGGGACUAAAUUACAAUUUUACCAAAUUAAAUGAUGACUCAAUGAUGGAAUUUCAAAAGAUUAUAAAGGGCAAAAUGGUCAAAUAUAUAUAGAGAGAGAGAGAGAAUUCUAGAAGGUAAUAAUAAUGUUUGUGAUAUUUUUAAUUAAUUAAUUAAUUAAAUGUUAUUUAAUUAAUAUUUUAUUAAGAUUUUUAGUAUUAUUUUAUUGUUAAAUGAUUAAUAUAAAAGGGAGGAAAGAUGAUGAAAAAAAAUCAUCAUCUUUCCAUGCACCCAACGUUAGAAGAGAAGAGAAGAAAGAAAGUUUUACUUUCUUUACAAUUUGGUCCUUUCACCAAAAAUUUACUAUUUUCACCUAGAAAUCAAAAGAAUUUCCAUAGCUUCCAAGAGAGAAAAAUAAUAAGGAGACAAUGGGGAGCUAGAAUGUCAAGUUAGAUUCAAGAAAUAGAAGCUGGAGGAGAGAGAAAAUCAAGUUAAAGAUUGAAAUCAAUAGCACAAGGUAAGAACAUCAAGAUUUCAAUAUAUUUUUAAGUUUGUUAUUAUUGAAAAAAGCAUGGAAAUGAUGUUAUAGUAGAUUUUUCUUAAAUAAAGUCUUAUGUUCUUGAUAUAUUAGUGAAGGGAAAUAAGUAAAAAUGAUGGGAAAUAUUAUAGAGAAAGGGAAUUAUGGAGUUAUAAACUUAGUAAUCAACAUCUUGCACUAAAACAGUUUUGGAUAGCAGCAGUAGGUUAAAUUUGAAAAAUUACCAUAAAUUAUGGAAAUCGAAUUAGAGGAUGAAAAAACAUGGAAUUAAAUCUUAUUAAGUAUAGUUUCUCAUAGAAGAAAUGUUGUGAGACAAGGUCAGAAUGAAUUAGGGUUCCCCUAUUCUGACUUUGGAAAAUCAUCAAAAAUUGAAUAAAAAUAAUUAGAGGCUUAAAUUUAUAUUUUUAAAAUCCUUAAUGAGUCUAUUUUCAAGAGAAACAAAUGGUAACAUCAUCUGAAUCCUGUACAAGGAGAUAAUUAAUUUUUAGUGAAGAAUGGUCGGAACUGUCAGACAGCAGAAUAGGGAUGACUUUAAAGAAUAAACUGUACUUAUUGGCUAAACCAAAAAUUCUGAAAAUAUUAUGGUAAGAAUAUAUGUGAGUCUAAUUUUAUAUAAAUUUAGCAGGUCUUAAUUUGGAGUUCCGUAGUUUAAGAUAUAAAUGAUUUAGUGACUAUGACUCAAGUGGACAGCUUUGAAUGAAAAAUAAAUAAAUAGUGAAAUUAUAGAUAAUGUUACAUAUAAGCAUGUUAUAUACAUUAAGGAUGUGGAAUGGAGAGGAGGAGGAGGAAAAUAAAUGAUUAUUCAACUAGCAUGAGUUCUCAUUAAAAAUGGUCAAUUUGCAUGUUUUAGGUUCAAGGACUAAAUUGAAUAAAAGUAAUAUUUUAAGGGUAAAUUAGUAAAGAUGUCAAAAAGUAAUUAAAUAGCAUGAAAUGAAUUGUUUUAUUAUUUAAAUUAAUAAAUUGAAUGAAAUAUUAAUUUAUAUCAAGAUUGCGUGGAAAUUCGAGAAAAAUGAAAAAUUACCAAAAUGUCCUUGAAUUUUGGUAUUUCUGUAAUUUAGCCUGGUAAGUUCGUGUAACUUGAAUUUUAUUCUUAGAUGAUUGAAAUAUAUAUAUUGGAUUGAGAAAUUGAUUUGAAUUGUGAACAAGAGAAAUUGUGAAUUGAAUGAAAUAGAAAUGAAUCUUUGAAUUACAUGAGUAAAUAUUGGGUCUCGUAGGCCCUGUUUAUUAAGAAUAUAAAAUUUUGAGGAUACGUUGUAAAGAAUUAUAAAAGCACGUUAAUAAUUUGAGAGUUUUAAUUCGAAUAAAAUUUUGUAACUCGGUUUAAUACGUAUGCAAAUUUAUGUCUUCUAGUAAUGCCUCGUACCCUAUUCCAAUGUCGAAUACGGGUAAGAGGUGUUACAAUGUGACAUCGCCAAAUUCGACCAUAACGUUUAGACCGGGUUUGGGGUGUUACACCUCGAGUCCUCUAAUGAGGAGAUUUUUUACUCAAACCUCUCAGGGAGAGUGGUAAUAACUUUCUCAACAACCCUGCUGUCACUAAAAUCUUCUCCAAUGAGUCUGAUAUUGUUAAUAGUAGCCAUGAUCCUAUCAGAAUAUUGCUUGAUAGUCUCUGACUCCUUCAUUUUCAAAUUCUCAAAUUCCCUUCUAAAGUUGAUUACUUGUUGCUAUCUUGUCUUGUCUGAUCCCAAGAACUCCUUUUUCAGCCUAUCCCAUGCUUGUUUGGGUGAAUCACAGGCCAUAAUCCGAGUGAAGAUCACAUCAGACACCCCAUUCUGCAGGCAAGCCAUGGCUUUGUGCUUCUUGGCUCGCUCCUCACUAUGCUGCCUCAUCUGUGCAAUAGUUGGAUUUGCCCUCAAUGGAGGUGGUUCAACAUCACUUUCAACUACACUCCACAAAUCAUGUGCUUGGAGGUAAGUUUUCAUUUUAACUACCCAAAUGUGGUAGUUCUCUCCAGCAAACACUGGUGGUGGAGGAGGUGUAAAGCUCAUGUUGCUAAAACAAGUUUGACAAAAUUGAUUUCUUUUUAAGUUUGUUUUAAACAGAAAGGCUUAAACAACAACAGAGGUCCUCAAAGACAAUAGGCUCUGAUUACCAUUUGUUAGAACAAAAUGGCAGCAAACAUGAGCAAACACAAUCAACGAGUAAAAAAAAAGAAAACUGAUGAGCGAAAUUAUAACUGAAAGAAAAAGUUAUCCAUUUCAUUCAUAAAUUUGAAAAUAUAUUGAAGUUACAAACUGAUUAGUCAGUUACCUAAACUUGUAACUGCUCCCACUAAUUUGUCUAAUUGAUAACUUAAGUAAUACAAAAGCAAAGCUAAAAAAAGUCAGCUAUUACAAAUCUAAAAUUUACCAACUUUAGAUAUCAAGUUACAUGCUAACUUGAUCACAUUACAAAAGAACAAAAUCAAACAAAGGAAGUAGACUACUUCUAGUUCUGUCUCGAUGCUGGCAUGCUAGCUGAUCUGCUGCUGCUACUGCUCUUGGUUACUUGUUGCAUUGCAGUCCAUUGCUUAACAGAAGUGUAGGUGGUCAGAGGAAAAUGGUGAAGGUAAAAUGGAAACAGAUUUGUUUACCAAAGGAUAAGGGGGCGCGAGAGUGAUGGAUAUCAGGGCUAAAAAUAAGUCUAUCAUGACCAAAUGGUGUUAGAGAUUCACGGUGGAUAGAGAAGCUUUGUGGAUAAAAAUUAUUGUUGUAAAGUAUGGUUCCCCUGUGCAACAUUGGCAUUUUAGAACGAGCAAUUUGAAAGAUAUGUCGGUAGUUUGGAGGGGUAUUGUGGAGAAUGCGGAAGAUUUAAAAGUGACUAAAUGGAUGGGGAAUGAGUCUUUUCGUUGGUUUGUGGGGAAUGGCAAUUCGAUAUUAUUUUGGGACGAUAUUUCGUAUGGUGAUAGUCCUCUGAGAGUGUAAUUUCCAAGGCUGUUUUGUUUAGUCUUGAAUAAGAAAGGACUAGUAAAAGAUUUUUUUGAUGUCGAAUGGGUUUAACGAGGUUAAUUGGGCUGAUUUCUUUUCUCGUCCGUUAAUGGAUAGGGAGAUUAAUAUGAUUACUCGUUUAAAGAAAGCUGUUAGCAGUAUUGUUUUGUUACCUGAGGAGGAAGAUCGAUUAAUCUGGAUUCAUGAUAACAAAUGGGUGUUUUCGAUGAGGAAAUUAAUAGAAUUAUUGAUCAGUGAAUGUGUGGUAGACAUAAGUUUCACUUUUGAUAAAAUCUGAAAGUUAAAAGAUGCCUCCUAGAGUGAGAAAUUUCCUUUGGGUGGUUUCAAUUGAUCGUCUUCCUACUAAGGACUUCCUCAUUAGAAGAGGUGUGAAGAUUAGUCAAAUGGAGAUUGGUUGCCCUUAGUGCUACAGUGAACCGGAGACAGCAGUGCACCUUUUCUUCCAUUGUAAAUUCAUUGUGGGUUUUUGGAGAAAAUUUUUGAAUGGUGGGAGGUGAAAUGGAGGCCAAUUGAUGGAUUCUCUACUUUUUUUUCUCAUUUUGUAAUAAUGUCUCUUAUACAGGAGUGGUUAAAAGUUUAUGGAUGAUCUCAGUGUCAGCGGCUUGCUGGUCGAUGCGGUUAGUGAGGAAUGAGUUGGUGUUCGUUAGAAAGUAGCCUACAAUGUCUAGCUUGGUUUUUCUUUCAAAGAUUCGGGCUUUGAUGUGGAUCAGAUCGGUGCAUGAAGAAUUAAAAGUGGAUGAGAAAAUUUAGUGGGUCUGUCCAUAUAGAAGCUGGAGUGAUAUUAAAAAAUCUAGAUUGAAUGGUAGGUUUUGGUGCCCUCCGAGUCUUGGUUGGGUAAAAUUUAAUGUUUGUAGUGUGGAGAUUGAGGAUGAAGUUGGGUGUGGAGGGGUGUUAAGAGAUUCAGACGGGAUGGCAAGGGCAUUAUCUUCUGGUCUGUUUGCAGCGAAAGACUCCCUUACUGUGGAGGUGGGGGCGAUUAGCUUGGCUUUGGAUGUGUUCUUAGCAAUGGGGUGGAAAGGUAAAUGCUCUUUAAUCAUCGAGGUUGGAUCCAUUGAGGUGUUUAAUUGGGUAGAAAACAAAGGUUUGAGACUGUGGUUGUUGUUUUCUUUCUUUAAAAAAGUUGAAAUUAGGUUGUCUAGAAUUGGAAAUAUUUCCUUUUUGAAAGCAGAUAAGCACGGCAAUAAGAUGGCAUUUGUGCUGGCGGUUUCUAGUCUGAAAAGGCCGGGAAUGUUUAAGGCAUGAUGGUGAUUUUAGGUGUGAUGUUGUUGUGUGUUUAUAGGUGUAUUUGUAAAUUGUUUAGUGGUUUAAUGGGGUGUUUUGUGUAGGUUUUAUUCUGGUUUGAGGAUUGUUUAACAGAUGGGGUUUGUUUGGGUUUUUGUAGGUUUGCUUGCUGUAAUCUGUCUGUGUUUGGAUUAUUGUUUCUUGGGUUUGGGUCUUCUUGUAUCUGUUGUAUGUUUAGCUUUUUUAUAGCUUUGAAAGCUGUUGCACCUUGAUUAUGCGAAAAAAAAAUAGCAGACCAAAUGAUAGAGUGACCUCAUUUUUCUUCCUUUAUGUCUUAUAUUGUGUAUGAUAUAAAGUCAAUAUUUGAAUGGAGCAUUGGUUAGUUUUUCGCAAUGAAUCCUGGACAAUAUUCCUUUGUUUGAAGUUGUGGAAAUACAUAUAUAUUGUAAGCUUUUGGUUUGUGGGAAUGCCGCCACUUUGUUGUCAAGAUUUGCUGCCCAACUUUCGCAUUUUGUAUGUGUGAUAGUGGGUUUUUUUAUCUAAAUAAUACAAAAAAUAAAAUUAAUAACUGAAAUGGUAUGCUCAUAAGAUUAUUUACUAAAAUGGUAUGGUUUUACUAGUGUCUGCUUGUCAAAUUGGCGGCACUAGACUGAAAUGUAAUGAUCUGAAGUAUUUAAGGACUUGAUAUGCAAAUUUUUCAUUUUGAGUGGCUGCUAAAAAAGGUGAAGGGUGCCACCUAACAGUGUGGCAGCACCAAACCUUAAAUGUGGCUAAUUGUCUUGUAAGCCCUCCUUAUUUAUUAUUUUAUUUUUAUUCCCCUUCAACUCACUAUAUUGUAUUUAAACAAGCCCUUAACCUAAUUUUGUAGUUAAAUAAGCCCUUAACUUAUUAUUUUUACUCAUAAAAUCCCUUUAUUUUAAUGUUAAAGUAAAUAUAUUUUACCCAAAGUAAAGCUAUUUAAAAAAAUAUAAACUAAUUCACAUUUUAUGUUGAUGUGAAUUUUAUGAUAAUAGAUUAUUAAAAUAAAAAAAUAAAAUUUUAAAAUUUCUUAAGAGUGCUUAUAUACAUGAUAUUCUUAACUACUGUUUGAAAUUUUUUAUUAUUUUUUAGAUUUUAUGUUGAUGUUAAAGUGUAUAUAAUUUUUAUUGCAUCAACAAAAAAUUAAGAUAAGAGCUUGAAAUUUAAAAUAUAUUUACUUUAAUAUUAAAAUGAAGGGCUGAGUAAAAAUUAUUUUUCCAAUAAGAUGAUGGGUAGAGAUAUUGUCAAUAUUAUUGGAUUAAAAAUUAAAUGAGGAUGUGAGAAUAAAGUAAAAGAUACAAAUUAGACGAAAAGUUAUUUGUUUACAUUUUUAAUUAAAAUAAUAUUAAUAUGUCAUGGACCAACGUGUCGAAUAUGCCUCAAUUGAGCAAUAAUAGAUAAUACAAAACUAACGAAAUAAAUAAAUAUAUCUACCUAAAUUACAUUUGAAGUUUUAUUCCAAAUAUUGUUUAGGUAAAAAUAUUUUUAAAUGAUUUUUUGAGAAAUCUCUUAAAUUUCUAUAUAAUUAAAAGUGAAAUAAAAGUAAAAAAAUUAAAAUUAAAAUAUUUUUUUUCAGAACAUGAAUAUUAAAUCAUAUCUAAUUACCUAAAUGAGAAAAUUAUAAAUUCAUUUAUUUCAAAUAAAUAAUUUUAAAAAAUCAAAUUUAUGAAAAAUUAAACCAAAAUUUCUUAUAUAAAUCAUUUACUUUAUUUUUUUUAAUAAUUCUCAUAUAAAUAAAAAUACAAGGAAAUAACUUACAUUAGAAUUAUCUUAAAAACUAAAGUUUUUAGGCACCAAUAAAAUUUUGCCACAUCAUUAAAUUUUUAAGACAUAAAAUUAUUAUUGUUAUUAUACACUCAUCCAUAGAAAAAUUAUUUUAUGGACCAUUCCCACUACAUUAUUUAUGGCCCAUUUCGAAUUAUUUAAUAACAUUUCAUCAAUUUUUCCAUGUGGUUAACACAUAAUAUUUGUAAUUUUUUUACCUUUGAACCCCAAACCUAAAACUAUGAUCAUUAAAUCUAGAAUCUCAAACUUUAAAUCUAAAAUCUUAAAUCCAAAAUCCUAAACUUGAACACUGAACUCGUAACCCCAAACCUUGAACACUAAAUCUAAACUUGAAUCCAAACCCUUAACCCUUAACCCUUGAACCAAAAUCUCGAACCUCAAAUCCGUAACUUUGAACCCUUAAACCUUGAGCCUAUCUUGAAACCCAAACCCGAACCUUAAACCUUAAAUCUUGAAUCUAAACCUUGAACCUUGGGGUUCAGGGUUUAAAAUUUAAGGUUCACGAUUUGGGUUCAAGGCUCGAAAUUCAUGGUAAAAUAAUUACCAAAACUAUGUGUCAAUAACAUAGAAAAAUUGCACAAAAUUACUAUUUUUAAAAAAAAUUGGCUGCAAAAAAUAAAAAAAUAUAUUAACUUAUGGAAAAAAGCAAAAUGAUUAAAUUUUGAAAAAGAAAAAAAUGAUUGUUUAUAAUUUAAAAAAUUAUUUAUUUUAAGUAAUUUAAUUAAAGUUAAAUUAAGUUUGAGAAGAUAUUAGAUAUAGAUGACUGUAUAAUAAUACUUUAUUAUCUUUAAAAUUUAAUGACGUGAUACUAAUUUAUUUGUGCCUAAAAAUAAUACUUUUUAAGAUAAUCUUAAUAUAAGUUAUUCCCAAAAUACAACUCCUAUUCCUAUACAAUAAUUAUGUGGUUACCAUAAUUAGGGAGAAAAAUCAAUGCAGUGGGGCCUAACUUUUGGAGUAAGAGAGGAUUUCAAGUUGUGUAUAAAUUCCAAGGCUUUGGUUGAUUGAAAUGCAGGAAGAUAUCAAGUGAGUGGUUUGUUGAUUUAGAGAAGAUGGAGGCUAAAUCGUUGUGGGUAUUACUCACUACACUUCUGUUCAUCAUACAAGGGUGGCGACAGACUGAGGGUUGCUUGGAGCAGGAGAGAAUUGCUCUCUUCCAACUCAAAUCCUUCUUCAAUCGCCUUUACAAAUUGGAAAACUGGGCGGAUGUGAAGGGUUCAAAUUGUUGCCAAUGGGAAAGAGUUGAGUGCAACAUCACUAGUAAACGAGUAACAGGCCUUGAUCUUUAUUUCACACGUUAUUGGGAUAACCGUGAAAGAAGAUCAGAUUUAUCUGGGUAUCUCAAUGUCUCUUUAUUUCUUCCAUUUGAGGAAUUGAAGAGCCUUAAUUUGAGUGAAAAUAAUAUCGCAGAUCUUGUAGAUAACCAAGGUUCGUUGCUUUUCUCUCUCUCUCAUUUCCGAUUAAUCCUUGAAAUUUAAUUUAACGUUUAAUAAUUAAUUUGUUUCUUUUAUUUUUCUAAACUAAGACACUCAUGACCAAUAACUUUCUCUUGCAUGCAGUAUCUUUAUCAUCUGUUUUCAACAACUUAGAAAUCCUUGUCUUAUCCGGCAAUAACUUCAAUGACAGUGUGUUAUCAAGUAAGCUUCCAUCUCUCAAUUUCUAUCUAUAUCUAGCAAUUAAUUGUAAGCUUAUACAAAAAAAAAAUGAAAUGAAAGUGAUAGGGUUCGAUCAUACCAACUUACAAUUGAUUGCUACAUUCUCUAUUAAUUUAUUUUAAAUUUCUUUUAAUUAACAGACAACAGGUUGAAAUAAACAAAUUGUUUCCCUUAUUUGCAUACAUUUAAACAAGUUAAAGCAUGUAUGUACUUAUUAUAAAACUUGCAAUUACUUGUCUCUAAUAUUUAAAGAUUACAGAUUUUUUAUAUAAUUAAUAGGAAUAACUUACAUAUGGUCCUAAAAAUUAAAGUUUUUAGGCACCAAUAAAAUUUUGUCACCAUUAAAUUUUAAAUGUAUGAAAUUAUUAUUAUACACUUAUCCAUAGAGAAAUUAUUUUAUGAACCUUUCUCACUUCAACAAUUUUUUUCAUGCUAUUGACACAUAAUUUUGAUAAUUUUUUUACCCUAAACUUUAAACCUAAAACCCGUAACCCUGAAUCUUUAAACCAUGAAUCUCAAACUCAUAACCUGUAUCCUUCGCUAUUUGAAGGACUGGGUGAAUGGGAAAGAGUUGAAUGCAACAUCACUAGUGAAAGAGAAAUAGGGCUCCGUCUUUUUUCCAUAUGGGUAUCUCAAUAUCUCUUUUUUUCUUCCAUUUGAGAAAUUGAGAAGUCUUGAUUUGAGUGGAAAUAAAAUUACAGGCUCGUUACUUUUCAUCUUUUCAAUCACCAAUUAAUUCCUGAAAUUUUAUUUAACGUUUUAUAGUAACUCGUUUAUUUAUUUUUCUAAAUUAAGACACUCAUGAUCAUUAAUUUUCUCUUACAUGCUGUAUAUUGAAAGUUGGAAAUAUAUUCUUCUUUUAAAAUUAAAUAUCCUACAUUACUUUUUUUUAAUGUGAAUAAGCCUCCAUAUGUGUUGAUAUAUUUCAUUGCUCUUUGAUAGAAUUGAAGAGUUUGACAAAGUUGAAGACAUUAGAUUUAAGCGACAAUAGAAUCAUAAGCCUCCGCCACUUUGAAGGUAUAUCUGAAUUUGAUAUUCUAUAUGCAUUCAAUUAAGUUUUAAGGCGUUAGACUUAUAAAGGCCUUCAUCUGUGUUGAUAUAUUCCGUUGCUUUUGAAUAGAAUUGAAGAGUUUGACAAACUUGAAAACGUUAGAUUUAAGUUAGAAUAGAACCGAAAGCCUCGAGCACUUUCAAGAUAUAUUUAAAUUUGAUCUUCUUUAUACAAUCAAUAAACCUUCAAACCGUUAACCCAAAUAAAUUGUCCUUUGAAUUGCAUGACAUAAAUCUUUUACAGGUGAGAAAGUGCAACCGAUGAUGAAUUUAGAAGUGCUUGAUUUGUCUGGUAAUCUCUUGAAGAACAAUGAUCUAACAUAUCUAAAGGGGUUAUCAAGUUUAAAGUCCUUGAACAUUGGAGGAAACCAAUUGGAAGGGUCAAUAGAUAUUAGAGGUAUGUAAAAUUUCAUAAAAUAAAAAUAAUAAGCUAUAUGUAAAUUACAAUUUCAUCAACUUUUUUAACUGUUAAAAAAAAUUAUAUCCAAAUGUAUUGGUUCAUGUGGGAUUUAACUUUUUAGGUAGUAAAAUGAAAGUAUAUUUUAGCCCUCAAUUUAAUUUUUCGUCACUUUUAAUCUUUAAAUUUGUAUUUUUUGUCAAAUCACCUAAAAUAGAUGGAAAAGUUAGACAUUUGUUAAUUUUGCUAAUGUGGCAUACAUGUGGAUUGCCACAUAGAUGACACAUCAAUAUUUAAUUUAUUUUUUAAAAUUUAAGUAUUUUUUAUUUUAUUCUAUUUUUUAUUUUUUAUUUUUAAAAUAUUUUUUGAAAUUUUAAAUUUAAAAAAUUAAUUAAAUAUUGAUGUGUCAUCUACAUAACAAUUCACCUGCAUGCAAAAGUAAAAAAUUAAAUAGAGUUCUAAAAUAACAUUUUUUAUAAAGUUGUAGAGUCAAAUGAAUUAUUAUUUUUAAAAUGUAUUUGAUGACAUUUUUAAUCGAGGAAACUAGUUGAAUUUCAUGAACCAAAAUUAUUGAUUUUUGUGAUAUGACUUAAUUUGACUAACAAAAGAGAUAUUUGAUUGAUUUGAAUAGUAUUGAAUAAUCUGACAAAGCUAAAGCUGUUGGAUUUGAGUGACAAUAAAAUUGAGAGCCUCCAAUCUUCCCAUGGUAUGUGUUGAUAUGUUUUACUUUAUCAUAUUCUUAUAUAUAAAUACCAAUAUCUCAUUUAAUAUUCCAUUAGUAAUAAAUUUGUUUAUCUCAAUGCUUUGUAGAUGGUGAGAGGCCACUUAAUUUGUCCAAUUUUGAAGAGCUUUAUUUGGAUUCCAACUCCUUCACAAAUAGUUUAUUGGCACAGCUUAAUGGUUUUUCUAAUCUAAAGUCAUUGAGUAUACGCGGUAACCAGCUUAACGGAUCAAUAAAUAUUAAAGGUAGAAUUACUUAAUAUAUUUAAUCUUCUUUUAAACGAGACAAAUUACUUGUUGAGUUAUUGCAUUCAUUCUAUGUGAUUUAAUUUUAAAUUUUAUUUAUCAAUCUUCAUAGAAUUAUUAGAUGCAUUGAGCAACUUAGAGCCAUUGAGAAAAAUAUUUUAAUUUUAAAAAAUGUAUAAAUUUUAUAUAUUAUCUCUUAAAUCAUUUAAAUUAUAAUGAUAAUUUUUAUAUAUUAAAAUUAAUAUAUUAUCUCUUUUAAAAUUAUAUUAAUAUAUUAAAAAUAAUUUAUAAAAUAAAAAAUUGUCUAUUUAAUAUAUAAAGUAAAAUAUAUAUACCAAAAUAAUAGUAUUUCAAUUUCAAAUUUUUUUUGUUAUCAAUUCUUUUAAGAUUUUUUUAGUAUUAAAUUAAAAAGUUGUAUUUUAAUCAAUACAUACAAUCAACCUAAGGGAAAGAAACUAGUUAAUAUAUAUGACCAGCUUUGUAGAUGUGAGAAUUAAUUAUUUCUAAUAGUAACAUCUAUAAAUUAUAUAGUACAAUCUUUACUAAAUUAGUAAUUAAUUCUAUUUUCUAAGUGAAAUAAUAAAUAACAAAUUUUAGUUAAUACAUUAUUGUAAUAAUUUUAUAUAAAAUAUAUUAAUCAUAUUUUAUUAAAAGAAAAUAUUUUUUAAUAAAUGAAUUUCGUUAAAGAUACAAUCUGAAUCUCGUUAAUUAAUAUUUUUAUUAAUAUAUUAUAAUUUUUUAAUUUAAAAUUUUUUAAAAAUUCAAAUAUGAUUUAAAUAUUAAAUCUUGUUAUAAAUAUAUCACAAUCACUUAUCUAUAACAUUCAAUAUUUUGACAGACGAAUGGAGUUGUUAUAUGGAAGUUGAAUAUAACUAAAUUUCUGUGAUGAUUACUUUAUUCGACUGACAAAAAAUGCAUUGGAUUGAUUUGGAUAGUAUUGAAUAAUCUGACAAGGCUAAAGACGUUGGAUUUGAGUGACAAUAAAAUUGAGAGCCUUCAAUCUCCCCAUGGUAUGUGUUGAUAUGUUUUACUUUAUCAUAUUCUUAUAUAUAAAUACCAAUAUCUCAUUUAAUAUUCCAUUAGUAAUAAAUGUGUUUAUCUAAAUGCUUUGUAGAUGGUGAGAGGCCACUUAAUUUGACCAAUUUAGAAGAGCUUUAUUUGGAUUCCAACUCCUUCGCAAACAGUUUAUUGGCACAGCUUAGUGGAUUUUCUAAUCUAAAGUCAUUGAAUAUAAGGAAUAAUCAACUUAAAGGAUCAAUAAAUAUUAAAGGUGAAAUUUCUUAAUAUAUUUAAACUUCUUUUAAAUGAAACAAAUUACUUGUUGAGUUAUUACAUUUAUUUUGUGUGAUUUAAUUAAAUUCUAUUUGUCAAUCUUCACAGACCUAAAUGCUUUGAGCAACUUAGAGAAGCUAGACAUGAGCAAUAAUGAGGUGAAAGAAUUUGUGCCCACAAAGAAUAAAGGUAUAUGUAUCAACUAAAGAAAAUCUUAAUAAUUAUUUGUCGUUAGAUAUCUAGUGAAUUGAUGCCAACCACUAAUUUGACUCUCAGAAAAUGAAAGUUUGGAGAAGCUAAAGGUUGCUACAUUAAACAAUGUGUUCAUCAAUGGGACUGUUUCUCUAAUGCAACUUCUGGAGACAUUCUCAUCUGUUAAUACCUUAUAUUUGAGAGACAAUCACUUCAAUGACACCAUAUCUACUCAAGGUAUAAUAUAUAUGUGCGUGAAUAUAUAGUUUUAAAAAUAUUAUUUACUUAACAUCAAUCAUCUAAAUAACUCUUAUAAAUUUGUAAAGAUCAAUUGCAUGUGUCGAGCAAAAUAGAGGAAUUGGUGUUGGAUGGUUCAUAUAUCAACAACAACAUUCUUCAAGGCAUUGGUGUAUUGGCGUCUCUUAAAAUUUUAUCUUUGCGUGGUUGUGGGUUGUCUGGGACAUUAUCUACUCAAGGUAAAUUAAUAAUUAUGACAUAAUUAUUUAGGCAAUCUCUUGAUUAGUUAUUUUUUAUCCUCUUAGAUAACUAGAAUAACUUGCACAAAUUUUUUUUAAAGGGUGGUGCGAUUUAUGGAAGCUUGAGGUGUUGGAUCUUGGUGAAAAUGCUAUUGAGGGAACACUCCCUCCAUGUUUGGCUAACUUGUCAUCUCUUGAUUAUUUGGAUAUUUCUGAUAAUCAAUUCACCGGGAAAGGUGCCUCCACUGCUCUAGCCAAUCUCACUUUGCUUAGAUUCAUUUCUCUUUCACAAAACCUAUUCGAAGUUCCAUCAAUUUUCAUAUCAUUUGCCAACCACUCACACCUCAAAUUCCUCUUUAGUGAUCAAAACAAGUUAGUCAAAGAACCUACCAUUCAAACAUGGGUCCCAAAGUUCCAACUAAAAGUCUUCCGUUUGUGGAAUUGUGCAACAAAGGAACUCCACAUUGAAAUUCCAAAAUUCCUCUAUUACCAAAAUGACUUGAGUUUUAUUGAUCUUUCAGAUAAUAAUUUUGGAGGGAAUCCUUUUUGGUUGUUAGAGAACAAUACAAGAAUGGGAGCAUUUUUAAUGAAGGGUAACUCUUUUAUGGGCCAUUUCAAUAUCCCAUCUCAUCUGAAUCCAAACAUGUCCAUUGUUGAUAUAUCUGACAACAAAAUACAAGGUCCAAUUCCAGCAAACAUUUGUUCAGUCUUUCCACAACUAGCUAGGUUAAACCUAUCAAGCAAUUUCCUUCAAGGUAAUAUUCCUCCUUGUUUGGGUAAUUUGAAGACUAUGUUGAUGAUAGAUCUGUCACAUAAUCAGCUAUAUGGAGGAAUACCAGAAAUGUCAGCUCAAAGUGACUCAUUGAUGUUUCUUAGGCUAUCAAAUAAUCAUCUAAGUGGGAAGAUAAGCCCAACGAUCUUUUGUUCAUCUUCAUUACAAUUCUUAUAUUUAGAUGGCAAUAAAUUUGAUGGAAAUAUACCUAGCAUUGAUAUCUCAACUUUCCCUUAUUACUCCCUUAUUGAUAUAGAUUUAAGUAACAACAAUUUGUCUGGAGAGCUACCAAGAUGGAUAUGGAAUGUGUCAAAUUUACAAACAUUGGCAGUAUCCAACAACCAGCUCAA
rnacentral:lncRNA from 1 species